rnacentral:lncRNA from 1 species
AAUAAAUAAGGGUGUAUUGAAUGGCAUCUUUUGUUUGCGGGCUUUCAAAGGAUUGAGGAAAUAAUUUUCGUAGGUCAUUUUCCGUAACAGAGAUCUUUGAUGCCGUUUGAGAAGGAAGAAAUGACUGUUGGGGCAAUUGGUUUUCCAAGCUUGAGAGAUGCACCAUGUUUCCUUGUUUGAGAAGUGAGAGUCUGAAGAAAGAAAAAGGAUCAACAUGUAGGACAACAUUUGGGCUAAUUCUGCCAUAGCCGUAAUUAUUCUUGUCCAAGAAACUAUCAACACGUGCUUUGGAUAAACAAGCUAGGUUUGCAAGAGAGCAAAGAUUUGCAUCAAAUGGAAGAUUUUUCUCGGACGCUAAUGAAGUGAAAUGUUCAGCUUGUUCCUUGCUCAGUGGAGAUAGUUUGGACAGAAGAUUUCCAGGCAUGGUGCCUUGGACAUUUUCUGACCAAUAUUUGAGCUGAUUCAAUGCAGUGAAUGAAGAAGAUGAAAUGUGUGCAGCAAAAUGGGACGUAGGAAACGUGAGGGCAAUGACAAAGAGAACGAUAGCAAACGUUGAAGAGGCCAUUGGUUUCAUCGACACUAAUAUUGAGCUAAUUUUCUUCAGUGGAUGAAGUGCUGAUGACUUUGCUAGUGCAGCUUCUAAUUUAUACUAGUGCUCGAGCCUGGACACAGGGCCUCACCUGCCCAUUUCAGGAUAAAAUGGUUACUCUAAAUUUUUUUUACAUCUUGUUUUAGUUGGUAUAUAUCUUUACUUCAAUUUAUUUACAUCCCACUCCAACUUAUUUGUACCUUAGUCUAAACCGGUUGGAAAUGGAACUUGUGAGGCCUCAUCCCCCACUCUAGCCUUGUGUUUGCUCCAGCUAUAAUCUCUAAAGGGAAACCGUUCAAAAUGUUCCUUAUAUUUUGUCAUAUAAAUUUUUUCCUUCUUGUUGUCCCUAAAAAUUAUCAAUCCUCAAUCAUUAUUGUCCCUAAAUAAGUAGAAUCUAAUCCAUACCAUGUUCAUUUUUCUCCAUAAAAAAGUGGAAUAUGACCCAAUCCAUAUUUAUUUUUGCCACAAAAAAAUGGGAUCUACCCUUUUUGGACAUAAAAAAUAACUGUAUAUAGGUCACAUGGUGAUUUUAAACUAGUCAGAUAUUUAGGUUGGAACUAAAUUUUGCUAAUUUGAAUUUUUAAGUGAUUUAAUUUGAAGUUUAUAUUUUAAAAGUGAAGAACGAAAAAAUUUAUUUGAUAAAAUGUGUGGCAUGUUUUGAAUGAUUUUCUCAUCUUCACAUGUAUAUAUUGUACAAUUAAUCCAAAACAAAACUCCAAAUGUACCUGUGUUUACUAAUCCAGAAAAAAAGAGACAAAAUUGAAAAAUAAAUUUAUUUGAAUAGACAAUUUGCAACUUGUUCCACGUUCGCAUUUGAAUGGGUUAAAUACACUAAUCAUACAUCCACGUUAGACAAUUUGCGGUUGUCCCAUUUUAUGCUCUCAGCUUGCGGUCCAUAACCUGAGAUAUGUGGUAGUUAAAAAGACAAUAUUUGUAAUCUCGAAAGUGACGGACAAUACAGUCCCGCACAUUUAGUGCGUCUUGUAGGUAUAUAUGGACAACCGCAGCAAGGAAUUACAUCUCCAAAUACGAAAAUUUCAUGAAAUGAGAUGUAGGUGUGUGUAUAUGUAUAUAGGUAUAUAAAUAUGUAUGUAAGUUUGGUUUAUAAAAUAUUAGUCAAUACUAAUCGUUCAAAAUGACCAACAAAUUUCUUAAUAAAAAAACAUUGAUAUCCUUGGGGAUACUUUUUUAUCCAAUAAAGCAGCUGAAAAUUGUGUAAAAAAUGCAUGCUUCCUAUAAACAAGAUUGGAAAAGAAAACGAAAAUGAAUAAGUCACAUGCUAUGAAAGUCAGUUGAAAAGGAAAAGAUUGGCUCGUGUAGCCAAAAAUUCAUAAGCAUUGCAGUUACCAGCAACACGUAUUUCCGAUUUUCAGAUGUCCACGAUUUGUAUAAGGGUUCUAGUCUGUUGCAUUUGCAUCCCACAUACAUUGAUAACUCCAUUUGAUUUGAAGAGGAACACCUUGCGCAAAAGAAAGAUGUUGCAGAAAUUUGAGACAUGAAAAAAAAUUUAGAGACUAGCAUUGAAACUUUUCCAUUAAGGAAAUAGAAAGUUUAAGAGCUAUCAAUUGCUACAGCUAAAAUAAAAUAAGAAUGAGACAGAGAAAUAGGUUUUGAAACACACUGUGUGAAAAAUGGAUUUAAAAUGUGGUCAAUUGUUUGUACUAGUAGCAAAGGGUAAUUCCAACAGUCCCAAACGUAGGGGCAAGUGUAGGCAUUUAACAAAAGAAAAUUCUAUAUUAAGUGAUAUACAAUAAUACAAUAAUCACAAUUUAAAAGAUGGCGUACCUCAUGAUAUCUAAGAGUUCUCAUAUUUAAAUUUGAUAAAUGGGAACGUCAUGCAAGUUGUUCUUAUAGCAUGCAAGUGUUUUUGGAGUAAAUCGAUUUUAGAAAAGUUUAGAACAGUACUAAGAAAAGUUGCUUUCUAUAAUUGGUUAUCAGUUUUAACAGCAUUGAUUUGGUUUAGUUACUAUUACACUAUAAUGUCUUAGGGAAACAAUUAUCUGUUCACAAAAAGAUAUUAAAGUGCUACAAUUAACGAACUCUUUAAUAGGCUUUGUUGAUUAAUUCUAGAAUUAGAUGAUUGUAAAAAACAAUUAGACUAUUAACAUCGAACUUUUAUUUUUUUUCUUCUAAGAACAAUAGGAAGGAAUAGCCUUACAUUCUUUGACAAAAAGAAAGAAAGUAAAAAUCCCUAGCUACAUUAUUUGAGUUCUCAAGUACUACUGAUUAUGGAUGGAGAAAGAUUGCUCAAAAUUGCUGUCCUUUUGAAAUUCAUGAAAUUAUUAAUCAAUUGGCAACUUUGGUUGACUGGUCUUUUAUUGGGCAAUUUUUUGACAGAAGUUUGUCGGAGAAUAUCCUCUCCUUCAAUUUAAAAGAAGAAAAUUUUGAAGUAAUUCCUCCUACACUAGCCAAAAAUCUUUUCUAUGUUCUUCAGCUUGGGCUGGAUAGUGACCUGAUCGAGUUUAGGUAUUAAGAGCCAAUGAGUUCGAUCGAUUAGUUCGGGAUCUAGCUGAAUGAUGUCAUAAUGAUGCCAUAAAUAUAUUUUAAUUAUCUAUAAAGUAAAAAUUAUAUAUAAAUUACACAUUAGCUUGACAUAUUUGGUGAGUUUAUAACAAAUAUGAAGAACUCAUUCAAAUAGUUGUACAAAUUUAGGCUGGAAAUAUAAUUUGAUAAGUAUUUGUGGUUUAAUAUAUAAUUUUUUUGAAACAAUUCAGUGUCAAUUCUUGAACUUAAAGUCCAAAUACACAUUGAUGAGCCUAAAACUUUUUAAUAGGACAAUUCUUCAACAAAAUUGAGGUUUGUAUGUAAAAAUACAAAAGUUAGAGUUGCGUAGAGUAAUUAUAAAAGAAGUUUGGGAGUAUAUUUAUGAUUAUAAAAAAUGGAGGGUCAAAACAAAAUACUAGAAAAGUUUUAUAUUUAAUUGGCAAUUUCUUCUCCACCAUGCAUCUUCAUCAGCCAGGAAUCGGGAGGUUUCAACCUUCAUCUGCAUUCCCCUUUUUUUUGGUUUCUUUUUGUAAUGAUUUCAUUGUUUUUUUGUCCCUUUUCUUCAACUGGGUAAGAAUCUUCCCCUUAUUCUUUAUUUUCGUUCUCUCCUGUUUUCUUCUUUUUCUAUUUAGAUCUAUAAAUCUUUGAGAGAUGACAAUGAUAGAUUUAUAGAUCUAUUUUCUCUUUUCCUUUUUUCUUCUCUUGCAGUAAUUGAAACUUUUUAUUAUGAUUUGUCAAAUAUCUUACCACCUUUUUUUGGAGAGAUAAAAUUAGGCUUUAGAAAUGAAGAAAAUUUUUGGAAAAAAAUCACAAAUCAGCAAUGAAGAAAUUCAGGUAAAAUGAGGUUUUUCCCGAUUUUAUUGAUUCCCAGUUUAACACUCGAUUUUUUAAGGUGACUUGGACCGAAUGCUUGAUCGGUCUUGGUUUGCCCGGUCAGACUGAUUAGUCUAAUCCAAAUUUUAAAACAUAGGAUUUAAAAGGACAUAUUUGACUUGGGGAUCUAGCAGCAGAGCAUUUGAGACUGAAAAUAUAUAUGGAUGUUAAACAAGGGCGGCAAUGGAAAGAUAGUCUAAUGCUAUACCAAAGCAAGGAAACAAAAAGAAAAAGGAUUAAAAGUAAAAUUAGUUGUGACCAAAUAAAUGUAGCCAACUUGAACAUGGUAUAAAAGCAAUUGAGCAAAUGCCUUGUUCAAUUCAAGAUAAUUGAGGUACAAAAUCUAGAUUAACACAGCAAAUUAGGUUGCAGAAUGUUGGGUGUGGGCCAGCUCAUUUGUGAGCCAAACUAGAAAAUCAAAUAUUUUUAGGUUUAAGUCAAAAAUUUGACUUAAAUAAAAAAGGCGAGCAGCCGCAUGAAGUAUGAUUCUUCGGUCCUUGUGCGAGAAAAAAGAUUUCAGCCGCCGCUCUUGCUGGCUUGGUGAAGAAGGAAAAGAGAAAAAUAACUGGGAGAUCUUGAUUGGAAGGUGAUUCGAAUCCCGAUUGAAAUAAAAUUUUACAUACGCGAUCCUCUCAUCAAUCUCUACUCAUCUACUGGUCCAGAUUUUAGAUUUCCUCUUCGUUUGGUGACACCUUUCUAAACUCACUUCUUUGAUAGUUGUAGUUUUUGGGGGUGAUUUUGUAGUAAUUUCGUUUGAUUGGUAUUGGUGAUAUUAUUGUCAACCGAAUAUUUUGGGUAGACCUGUGUAUUCCUAUUGUUGUGAUAGUGAAGAUUUUUGACUGGACUAGAUCCCGUGGUUUUUCCCAAUUUGGAUUUUUCACGUAAAAAUCUUGGUGUCAUGUGCCUUUUAUUUUUCUUGCAUUUUAUUAUCACUACUGGUAUUAUUACUUGGUGAUUUGAUUUAUUCCUAUUUUUAACCGGUACAUAGAGAAAGAGAAAUUUGUCUUGGAUUAACUCUGAUAUUGUGUGUCUAUACCCAUACCUCUUUCCCAACAAAUGGUAUAUUAGACAAUCUUCACAUUUUGCACUUUCAUAAAGCAAUUACACCACAACUAUUCAGUUUUAGAUCGACAACUUUGUAUGCUACAGUUCCUUAGGCUGUCAACCACGUAAAAGAUGUCUUUCCGCAUCAUAUUGAAUGCGUUAGUUACUUUGUUUAGCAAAUUUAUAAUUAUUGAGAUGCAUGAAAUACUUUUUUUUCUGCAAGAAGAAUGGUUAAAUUCUCAAUUACAAUGAAAACAGAUAAUAUAGUAAUCCCACCAAUAUUGUUUCUUUAAACAUUUUGUUGUAAUACUCUCAACCUUUUGCUUUUCUGGUAAUAUACUUUCUUUUCAUUUCCUUUCCUUCAAUUCAAAAGGUCACUAAAUUUUUUUCCUCAAAUGGCGCCUAAAUUACUUUAAAAGCAAAGAUAACUAGUGAGAUGCCAAAAAUUUCCAAUCAAUUAUAUGCUUUACUUUGAAACUUACCGGUAGUUCCACUUGUUUUAAAUUUGUAUUAUUUAGGUAGGUUAAAAAUCGAACCAAACUAUUCGAUAUUUGAAAUAAGUUUGGUUCAGUAAAAACUUGUUCUAACUUGAUUUAUGAAUUAAUCAAACAAAGUUUGAACAUCAUUUUGUGUUCAAUUAACUUUUAAACUCUAUUUAAUCCUGGUACAAUUAGCAUAAAACUUGAUUUUAUAAGUAAAAAAUUCAAGCUAUUUGAGCUCAACUCAAAUCUGGCUUGAUUAAAGUCAACAUUAAAUAUAAUUUCAAAUUUGCUAAAAUAAUUAAACAAAAUUGAACGCUAACUUGUCCUCAAUCUUACUAUUGUCCUUAAAUGCAGCCAUGCUGCAAAAUACCUAUGCAUUAUUAGUUGGCCACUUACUUCGACAUCUUCUUAUCCUCAACUUCUUUUGCCUUUCUUUCCUUUUUUGUCUUCUUUUGUUUUUAUGUUACAGUACGGUACACCUACAAAAUUAUUUUGCUACCCACUUUACCCCGCUAUACAACACGGAUGAAGGUUACUAAAUACAAAUUAGGGACAUGAGACUUAUGAAAUAGAGGCCGUAGAAAACAAAUGGGAGAACAAGAAAUCUAUAUUCUUUCUGUCAACUUGCAAUACUCAAUCUCCUUCAACUUCAAUUUCCUUCAAAGUUUCUUUUAAUUUUUUCUUGGUGCUUUAAACAUGACACAUUUCCUACUACCUUUUCUUUAAAAAAAAAAAAAAAAAAAAAACAUUGGCACGUGAAGUUGGCAAUUGGCACUUAUCAUACAAGUGGCUCCGGAUGUGCGGUAUCGUUUGUUUCUUUUGUUUCCUGGGGAUGAGUUUUUGGACUUGGACCACUCAUAAAUAAAGUUGUUUCCUCCUGUGCGGUAUUUCUUGUCAUGGUUGCUCUUACAAUACAGCCAGCCAAUGAAAGUGAAUGUGACAGAGAGAUAUACGCACGGAGACAAAGACAAGGCUGCUCGUGUCUCAUCGUACGAUCCAAUAAUUUGGGAAUUCGAAAAAUCUAAAACCAAAGGAGAAAACAAAUGUAAAUGUGUAAAUUUACAAGUAACCAGUAUUGGUGUAAUCAAUGCAUAAAUGUGUACAUUACAACUGAUAACAUGCAUAAACAAGAUAAACUCACAUUUAACGAGACUUGACUCAACGGUUAUGAUUGUUGAAUCUCAACCUUGAUUUUCUAGACGAACAUCUCGCUGUACAAAUUAUUUAAAUUGCUAUUUUUAAAAUUUUUGUAAAAAAAUAUAUUAUAGUGAUUUGAUAUAUGUGAAAUAAAAGGGUGAUUGAAAAAUUUAUUUAUAAAAAAUCUAAAAAAUUAUCUAUAGAAAAUAGUAAUGGAAGCAAAGGUUUUUGAAUUAUUGGAGCACCCCUAAAUUAGGAAGGACGAAAAUUCAUUAUCACAUCAUAGGACCAGCUAGUCUAUUAUUCUACAAGGUGAGAUAAUUAUGAAAUUGACAUGAAGAAAUACUUCCCACACGAGUCAUGAAUCGAUCAGAUGUGGGACUGGUGGCGGCCGCCAUCUCAAAAAUUAUCAUACGACAAGACGUGUUUCAACACCAUAAGUUGCUUUCGAAGAAUAUUAAAAAUAAUGUUCUGCACAAUAUUUGGACAAGGUCACAAGAAUGGCUCAAAUCACUGAAUCAAAAAAUCCUUUAGCUGCUCAGCUUGAGUUUCACUAAAUAUUUUGAAUUGCAGAGACCUAGUCAAAAAUCGAGUUUGAUCAUGAAAAACAAGGAAAAAAUAGAAAAGUUUUUCAUUUUUUGGUGAACCAUUUUCUUUUUUCUAUUUUGUUAAAGUUUUCCAUAAAAUAUGUUUACCAUAGUUUGAUGGGUUAGAUGCAAAACUUAGCUCUUAAUUAUAACAAAUUUUGCACUUUACUCCUUAAAAUUAUCUUAUUUUGACUUUACUCCACUAUUAGUCAACUCAAACAUUAUAUACCCAUAACCUGAAAAAAACAUUCAUCCUGAGGGUUAAUGACAGUAAAUCCCCUCAAGGUAUUGCAUGUUUUAUACUUUACUCUAUAAAGUCAUCUUUUCUCAAUUUGUAGGUUUGUCCCAAGACCAUUAGUUAACUCCAAUAUUCUGUAACACCCAAGAAAAAACAAUAGCUAAGAGACAUUUAUAUCCUUGACAGGAUAGUGAACUGAAUAAUAUUUUAUGGAUAUGAGUCUAGUUAAAUUUCAUCUCGUAAUUACACUUUUUUAAGACAGGGGGAAAUUUCUCGAUCAUUUUAUGCCUUAAGGAGGAAAAAUAAACAAAAUAUUAUUUAAAAAUAAAAUAUGAAAACUGAAAAUAUUACUAAAUUUGUAAAACCCGCUUAAAAACUGUCAAUCUCUCUUUUCAAAUGUGCAUAUAGGUUUGCUUUUCAUUUAAUGGCUACAUUUUUGCUUUGCAUAAAAAAUAUACACUUUUCGUUGUUAGUAACACUACAAAGGGGCAAAAACAUGAUGGAUUUGGCAUUCCAAAGCUUUAUUGUCACUUGUGCUCAGAGCGCACCCGACGUGUGUACAAUCAAAAAAUAUAUAAUAUUAAUAGUCAUAUAUUUUAAAUAAAAUUUUUAUUACUAAAGCAAAUUUUAAUCUUUUAAAUAUUUUUCAUAAAAUAAUUUUAUAUUGGUAGUUAUGUUGAAUACAUAUACUUAAAAGUAAAAAUAGUCAUGGGUGGUUAUAGAUAGUUAAAGUAAAAGUAAUUUUUAUAAGGGCAAAAAAGAAAGUUCAUAAAGUGACGAUAAAAGUUAACCCUAAUUUUAACCCCAAAUCUCUUUGUCAAGCUUUACAUAUAACUAGUGCCAAAGGCACACCCACAUGUAUGCAAUUUAAGAAUAAAUUAAUUUUUAUGAAAUUUUCUUUAAUGAAUUGAUAGUUAGUAUUUUGGUAGUUAUGUCAAUUGGUAGUUAUCUUGGUAAUUAAACUUUUUUUCAUAAUAAAAAGUUUGGAUGUUUAAAUUUUAAACAUAUUGGUAGUUGCAACAAAAAUUAUGUUGGUUAUAUAUAAUUGGAUAGUUAGGAUAAAAUUUAAUUUUGUGAGGAUAAAAAUGGAAGUUUAAAAAGUGACAAAAGGUAUUUACCCCACCCUUUCAUUUCCUAGAGUAAGUAAGGGUAAAUUUGAAAACACACAAAACUAACACCAAGUUAACUACCUACACAUGUUUUAUUAUUUUAAAGAUAUAGAUUUUGUAAUGCUAAAAGGCACUUUUCUCAAACUUCAACGGUUUACUACAGAGGCAUUUUUUUUACAAGUGCUCAAUACACACCCAAUGUGUGUGCAAUCAAAAAAUACAUAAUUUUUAUGGUCAUAUAUUUUAAAUAAAGUUUUUAUUACUGAAGCAAACUUUAAUCUUCUAAAUGAUUUUCAUAAAAUAAUUUUAUAUUGGUAGUUAUAAUGUUUAGGGGUAGUUAUGUUGAAAACAUAUAUUUAAAUAGUUGAAAGUAAAAAUAAUCAUGAGUAGAUAUAGGUAGUUAAAGUUAAAGUAGUUUUUAUAAGGGUGAAAAAGGAAGUUCAUAAAGUGAUCAUAAAUGUUAAUCCCAAAGUUAACCACAAACCCUUUCCUUAGACUUUAUAUGUAGUAUAGAUAUUGGUGAAUUUAACUAAUGAGGGAACAAAGUGAUAAAAAGAUAAUAAAAUUUGGAAUUCUAUGGGGGAAUUCUUAUAAAUAACCCGAGUUUGAUACUAAAAAAAUUAAUGCCUUGUUUAGAAAGAGAUUUUUUAUCAAAAAAUCUAUACGUUUUUCAUAAACACAUUUUUUAAUCACCUUUUUACCUCACAUAUAUGAAAUCGCUACAGUUUAUUUUUUACAAAAAUUUCAAAAAAUUGCAAUCCAAACAUAACCUAAACUUUUAUAGUGCGCCCAUGGAUAAUUAGGAAACUGUGAUGAUCUAAUAAAAGUUUUCCAGGGUUAAAAGUAAUAAGCCCCCAAAACUUUUGGGAUGCUUUGCACUACAGUCUCUAACGUUGAUUUUGUGCCAUUUAGUACUUUUGUUUUUUUAAAUGAGAUGUCUUAAAUUCAAAACUUCAUACUUACAAUUCCUUCCACCUCACCACUUAACCAUACCCUCCACCCCAAACUCCAAUUUUAGUACUUGUGUUAGUCAACCUCAACAUUUGCCGUUAAAUGGUACUAAUUUCUAAAAUUACCCUGAUUUCUAUGACAAAAAUACCUGUUGUCCUAAAUACAAUAAAAAGAUCUCCACAAAACCCUGCAAUCCUUUUGUUUAAUAUAAAAAAGUUUAAAAAAAAAACCGCAAGCAUUUUGACAGUGCCAAUACAACAAAACCACAAUCUUCCUUUAAUUAACUUAAAUGCAGCGAAGUAUUUCUUCCAAUCUUCUACUCCAUAGUCUUUUUUUUUUUUUUUUUGGAUUAACCGUAGGAGAGCGAAGUACUUUUGUCCUUUUUCUCCUUUUUAUCAAUCUCACAGCUGACAAAACAAAAAUUUUCAAAUAUAUCUAAACUAGCAGUUCCGUCUCUCACUUAUCUUUUUGCUUUCAACAGGUUUUGUACCUAAACAUUAUGUUUUUUUUUUCCCGCAAAAUUAUGUGCUAAGUACAUUCAUUUCCAGAAUAGACAAUUAGAAACAGCAAUGCUAUUAUUCAUGUUCAACUCGUUUGAAUUUGGAAAAGGUUUAAUCACAGAAUAAACAAAUAAAACUCGAAAACAAGAUUGAUUUGGAACCAACACACAAAUUUGGGUGCAAGCGGAUUGAAUAUGUUAUUGAACCCCACAAAAAAUUAUAUUGUUGCCCCACUUUGCCCCCUUAUUCUCCUUACCAGUAUUGCAACUAGAGGUGUUAAAAUGGAUGAUUUGGACGGGUUUGGAUUGGCAAAAAUGGAUAAUAGGUAUAAGUAAGUCAACCCAUUUAUACCUAUUUAAUUAAAUGGGUAUAAAUAGGCAAGCCAAAAAUGAAUUGGAUAACCCAAUUACUCAUUUAUAACCCAUUUAUUUUAAUUUUUUAUAAACUCAUUUAAAUUCAUUUUGCAAACUAGGUUAUCAAUUUAUACCACCCUUUACACCCAUCAUUAGUUUUAAAUAUUUACUUAUAAUGCUCAAUAAGCCUAUUUACCAAAUUUUUUUCCAUCCGUACUCUAUGUCGUAAAAUUACAUGCUAUUUAAUAAUUGAACAAUCAGAAUAUAAAAAUUUGAACUAAGUACUAUAAAAGUUAAACAUAAAAAUUUAAUCCAAAAAUUUUAAACUCCUAGCAUUUUUUUCAUGUGUAAAUUUAAAAUUUCAUUUUGAAAAAGUAGGAAAAGAGGCUAAAACUUGUCAUAAAUUGGUAACACUAAAGAGUAAGUUAACAAACUAAGAGAAAAAAAAAUGAUAAGAUAAAACCAACCAAUGAUAAUAAUAAUGAAACAAAAAUAGUUAACAUCAUAACAAAAUGAAGAAUCUGAAAAAAAAAAUGGGUGGGAGAAGAGAGAAUGCUUGGGGGAAGAUAAUUCUAAAUGGAUUAAUUGGAUUUGAUGGGUUAUCAAUAAUACCCAUUUAUUUAAAUGGGUAUUAUUGGAUAAUCCAUUUAUACCCAUAUGCAAAAACUUAAGAUACCCAUAUCCAUAUAUUCAUGGGCGGGUAUGGGUAAAUUUAGUUAAAUGGAUUCAUUUGCCACCUAUAAUUGCAACCAAUGCAAGUAAAAAUUGCGAUACUUGUUUACUACAAAAUAAGGACGUGAAUUUAUCAAAUAGAAAGUGGAGAGAAAAAAAAGGGCAAAAUACACUUAACUCUCUUGUGAUUUAUUGAUUUUUUACAUAACCUCCCUAUAGUUUCAAAUACUAUAUAUAACCCCCUCAUAAUUUGCAUUAAAGUUUCAAAGUGACAAAAGUGAUUAUUUGCAAUGAAACCCAUGAAAAUAUCGAAAUUGCCUUUGUUUAAAACCUAAAAUGACUGAACUGAUCAAAAAAUAUAAAUAUAAUAUGCAUGACACUCUAACAUCGUAUAGUUUUAUAUUUUACUAUAUAGUCCCCUUAUAGUUUAGUGUUUUACCAUAUAAUCCCCUUAUAAUUUUUAAAAUAUAUACAUAAUCUUUUAUGGUUAUAAAUAAUUUUUAACUUUACAUAAGAGUAUUUUUAACAUUCUAGUUGACUCCAUUAUGGAAUACAAAUUCAGUUAUUUUAAGACUUUAAUUCAAAUCAUGAGAGGGGUAUGUGUAUCUUUUGAAACUAUAGGAGAAUUAUGUGAAAAAAUAUUAAACCAUAGGGGGUAAAGUGUAUUUUUCCAAAAAAAAAAAAGGAAAAACAAGGAGUGAGACCAUUUUCUCAUUUUAUAUGUGCACUUUAGUAAAAUAGUUAAUCAUUUUUCUUCUUUUAAAUUGUAAAACUCAACCUCUUUUAAUUUAAAAUUUCAUUCGAAUGUUAUUUUAAUUUUGAUCUUAGUUCUUCAAAAUUGGCAUAUUAAUUUCCUACAAUUUUUGUAAGGAAAAAAAAAGCAUAAAACAUGGCACUUGAAGUUGGUUGUCGGCACUUAUAGCUUGUAUCAUUUGUUUGCUGGGUACAAGUUAUUGGACUUAGACAACUCAUGGAUAAUUAAGUUGAUUUCACCAGUGGGGUUUAUGGUGGCUUAUCUCCUUCUUAUCAUGUUUGUUCCGACGAUGCAGCCGGCCAAAGAAAUAGGAUGAGAAAGAGAAAUGGGCGCAUGGAGACGAAGGGCCGGCGGCUCCUUUUGAUAUAUCAUCGGUCCCAAUUGUUUGGGAAAUCUAAAAGCGAAGGAGAAAACAAAUGCAUGCAAUUAUGCGAAUCGGAAGAGAUCUGAAUUUUUUUGGAUCAAUUCAAGAACUCUCUAUAUUAGAAAGGGCAAUAAUGCAAUGUCACAUCCACAGGACCAGCUGGUCGUUUGUCAAUUAUUUUACAGUGGGAAAUUAUGAAAUUCGCAUAGGGAAAUACUUUCCUGCUCAUGAGCCGAUGAAACAGUGGAGUGGCGGCAGCCGCCGCCCUUCGAAAAUUUAAGUUUGUUUUUGGAUUGUAAUUUUUUUUAAAAAAAAUUCCUACGUUUUUUGUGGAUAUAUUUUUCAAUCACUUUUUUAUUUUACAUAUAUUAAAUCGCUACAGUAUUUCUUUUACAAAAAAUCCAGAAAAAUGCAAUUCAAACAAAGCUUAAAAUUUUAUUUAUAUCAGAUUUUUUUUUGUAAAACAUUAUAAUUUUAUUAAAUUUUGUAUUAAUGGCAAAAGUUACAUCAUCUGAAAAGUGGAUACUAUAGAUAUGAAAAACAGAUAAAAAUUACACUGUAAAAUUCUAAAAAAUAGUUUAAAAAAUGAGAUAAAAUAAUUGUAACCUCACGAAUAUCUAUGCAUGCUUGUGAUCGUCAAAUCUAUUGAUUAAUUUUUUCAAUUCUGAAUAUUAUGGUGAGAUUUACCAAAUAAACUCAAGAAAUUCCAAAUUUGAUAAAUAAAAUCUAAAAAAAAAGAGUUAGAUCGAAUAAAAGAAAAUAAAAAAAACUACCUAAAGCAUUCAUUAGAAAUCUCUAGGAAAGAAGAAAACUCUCACUAGGUAACACUAAGAGAGGAAAAAAUUCUCACUAGAAAAUUGUAAGAAAUUUUAUUUGUACAAAUGAAAAAAAACUAUAGAUAAAGCUCCUCCUAUGGAGAAAGAUUGAAAAAAUGUGAUUUCUCACCCGAAAGAAUUGAAUGAAGUUUUGGUUAGAGAAUUUUCCUAAAGAGAAACUAAUUCUCUCUUUCUUCUCUCAAGAAUUGGUGGGAGGUUUUUUUUAUGUCUUAUACAGUUCUUUCUUAUUUAUAUCAGAAUUAAGAGAAUGGAAAGUGAUAAUUUGGAGAAAAAAAUUUGAUCAAAGCCUUGAUAAUUGUAAGGUCCAAUUAAUAUUCUAGAUCUUGGCCAUAUUAGCUCGAGCUAAUCUAGGUCAUCCAUCUCUUUUCUAAAGAAAAUUUAUAUUUUUUUUUUGUUGUAAAAGUUAAUGGCCAGAUUUGGACCACAUCAGCAAAACUUGAUUUGAACCAUUAAUUGUACGUAUGCCAGGCAAUCGUGCAUUCUCCUAAAAGUAGCCAAUUGCCAUGGAAGGUUGUAAAUGACCAUCUUAAUCCCUGAAUUAAGAAACAGUCAUCCCAUAAAUCCUCUUCCUCCUUCCACAUUCGAAGACCGCCACCGCAGCUUACUCCACCCUUCAUUCACAAACCCAGUCAACAAUUUUUGCCUACAUAUCAAUCUUGAUUACCUUGCUAUAUCCCCUUACUCUUCCCUUCACGCUAUCUUCUUCCCAUAUUGAAGAAGCAAAACCAUGAUGAAAUAUUGUUUUGGGACAGGAAUAUGUCCAAAAGGGUGAUUUUAGGGCUAUCAAUGGGUCCGGACCCAAAUCUGAUCCAAUAUGCUCGUUUGUUCGAACCUGACCAAAUCCAAAUUAUAUGCAUUCUAAAUGGAUCGGGUAUGGAAUGACAUGUUCCGAUUCAUUCGGAUCCGAUCCAAUUAAUUGGACAUAUAUAAGUAAUAAUUAUAAUAUUCAUUAUAAAUUGUUACUAACCCACAUGUUUUCUCUUUGAAAAAAAAAGGAGGUACUCUAAGAACCAAAUAAUCUUUGGAAUUUUUCUCAUUGUGUAGUUACUAUUUUAUUAACAAAAUUUGUGUAAAAAUAGAAUUCAAAAAUUAUCAAAAAUUUUGUUAUACUAAAUUGAUUUUAUGGAUUGGAUAUAUCCGAAAUAGAUUUGAAUCCAACAGAAACUGGAUCCAGAAAUACAUAUUAAGACUUCAUUAGGUAAAUGGAUUGGGAUCCAAAAUAAUUAUUACCUGUCGGAUUUGUGUUAGCAGUUAUCAAUUUUACCCAGAAUCAACCCGAUGAGUUCUUAUUUUGUUUCUUUUUGGGCAAAGCUCAUACUAAUGGAGAGGGAUGCCAGUCCCAAAUUUAUUACUAAUAGAGAAAGGAAGGGCCAGGCAUUAAUCUAAACUCUAAUACAAGAAAAAGAAGCUAAUGAAAUGGAAAAAGGAGUACUACUCCCGUGCCGAUCUUAAUCUAAUGUUUGGCAAACUAAUACUAUCAACAGAAAUAAUAGCUUUUACUGUGAAGCAUGGUUCAAAGUCUCGGCCGACUCGUCACCGUCUCAGACCCUUCGAUACGUCACUGUGAACGGUUGAAACGGUCGAGUUACACUGAAUCACUCCGAGUCAUCCUAAGUCAACUCGAUUUUUUAUUAUUUUUACUAAUUUUUUAAUUAAUUUUGUUUACCAUAUUUUUUAUAAAUUUUAGAAUAUUAAAUAUUUCAAAAAUUCGCGUCUCACCGAGACUGCAUGCCAAGAUCGAUGUAGAACGGUCUAGGCCGCGACCGCGACUUUGAACCAUGCAGUGAAGGCAAUUCCGACGUAGAAGUGUAAAUCUGCUGCCGAGAGAGAGUUAAAGAAACAAGAAAGUAAACUGAAAAACUUGCUCCACCAUAAAUGUGAUGAACAAAAACCCGAUAACACCUUGAAGCAAAUGACGAAUUUGAACUAGGGCACUACACAUUGGCCAAUUAGCUAAAGCAUUGGUUGAUAAAGGUGCACAGGUAGCUUAGCAUCCACCUGUACCAGUACAUCAUCAGUAGUGCAUUAUUUUCUACCAGCAAAAAAUUUGCCUUGUCAAAUUCUUCAUAAAAUACAAAGACAAUCCUAUCAAUAUUAUGAUGCUAAAUGAGAAAUUUUGGGUUCGAGUCCUUCCAUCUAAAUUAUUUUAAAAAAAGCAAAAAAAAAAAUCCAUGAUGGUCUUGUAGAAGACUCUCUCGAGAUGAAGUUAACCUUUUAGUACUGGUAAUGGUAUUGAGUUUAUAAUGCUUUUCCAUGGUGGAAACCAUCAGACAGCCAUUACCGAUGUCCUCAUGGAAGUUUCUAGCCUAAAAAACUUUGCAGUAUAAGUAUUCUAAUCACUUAUUACAUAAAAUCCUAUCACCAAGGAACGUGCUCCUAACACAGCAAGACAAUUAUCAACCUUCAAAAUAAUCUUAAAAGCGAGCGAAGAGAUUCUUUGAAAAUGUGUUUCGUUCUUUCCACACCAUGAAAACCACAAAGCUAAUAUAGGUAAAAUACAUCUAAUGUGAUCAAGAGGUGCUUUAUCUAGAGACAAAUUAACAAGAAGACAUCAGCAAAGAAGAGAUACAUGUAUGAGGCUAGAAGGGAAUUCUGAAAACUGGGAAGUAAUGCCCGGCAAACUUGAACUGGAAUCGAGCCUUCUGUUAAAGUAUGCGGCAAAGAUGUUGUAAAAACUUGAUAUUUCAAAAGAUUUUUCGUUUGUUUCGGACUAGAGCUUUAUCUGAUAAUAUUUCAUCAGAUAUGGUUGUUUCUAUUUUGAUGGAGAAGUUUUCAAAGAUAAGGUUUUGACUAAAAGGCAAGUUCAAGUGCUAGAUAGGAAGUUAAGCUUCGGAUGGCCUUUUUUCAAAUGACUUGACCUUUUCCAAACUUAUCACCACAGAGGAUAGACCUCUGACUACUUCAAAAGAUAAAGUCUGGCACGAAGCAAGCCUAUUCUCACGGAAAAUUAGCUUUCAAAAUUCUAUCUUCUUCCGUCCCGUGAAGCUUAUAAAUAGAACCAGUUGCCAGGCUCAUUUCGCACUGCAAAAACGAAGUCUACACUUUAAAACACUCUCUACCUCCUCCUUUGUCUAUCCUUCACAACAUUCUUGCUUUUCUGCUGGGUUAGAAACAAGAUUUUUUUUGCUGGUUCUAUGUCCCUCUCACAAAGUAGAGGAAAACUUGUUUAAUUCUGGGGAAACGUUUCAAUACCCUGAAAUAGUUUCUUAGGACAGUGCUUUCUAGCACGACUCAAGUAUCCACGUGUUGACAUUGUUCGGGCCGCUUUAUCCAACAAUCUAAGAAACUAUGGCAUCUAACAAUGUUAGCACCCCACAGCCUUCAUCAGCAACUGUUGCAGUGGCACUACCAUUCGCCAAGCUCUUUCCGGAUGUAUCCAAAAUUGAAAUUUUCGCCAAUGAAAAUUUUAAAAGAUGGCAAGAACGUGUGCACUCUCUACUUGACAUCCAUGGAGUAGCUUAUGCGCUCACUGAAUCUCAACCUUCUGCAACUGCGGAUGCCAAGAGUCAAGAAGCAUGGCAAUAUGCCAAUAAGGUAUGUCGACACACUAUCCUUCAAACACUCUCUAAUGAAUUAUUUGACGUCUACUAUAGCAGCAAAGAAGCCAAGGCAAUUUGGGAAGCCUUGGUAACAAAGUUUACUGCCGAAGAUGCAACCAAGCAAAAAUUCGUCGUAGGAAAAUACAACCAAUGGCAAAUGACUGAUGACAAGGAAAUGAAAAUUCAAAUCACCGAAUAUCAAAUGCUGCUAGAGGACUUGAAAAAUGAAGACAUCAAUCUUCCUGAGAAAUUCGCUGCAAGCAUGCUGAUUGAAAAACUACCAGAGUCAUGGGCCGACUAUAAAAACAACUUGAAACACAAGGAGAAAAAUUAUACCAUGGAUGAGCUCGUGAAGCACAUCCUCAUUGAAGAUUCAAACAAAAGGGAGUUAAGAGCUACCAAGGCAAAGGAGACGGCUUUCAAAGCCAAUCUGGUACAAGGUAAUAAUAAAAGGUACGCCAAUAAAUCCCAGAAUUACAAGCCCAAAAAUUUUAAUUUCAAGCCUAACAAUCCCAACUUUAAGAAAAGGAAAGGCAAUUGAUUUUAUUGUGGAAAACCAGGACAUCAUGCAUUACAAUGCAGACAUAAUAAAGGUGACAGAGCAAAUGGUAAUCUUCCUAAGGUGCACUUAACCGAAGGAGAUGAUAUAAUUGCUGCUGUCAUCUCUCAAGUGAACAUUGCAGCCAAUGUCAAAGAGUGGGUGGUAGACUCUGGGGCUACUCGGCACAUAUGUGCAAAUUGAGAAGCAUUUUCCUCCUAUACUCCUAUAGGGGAUGAUGAGGAAGUUGUCUACCUUGGUGACUCACGAACUGCUAAUGUUCUGGGUAAGGGCAAAAUAUUCUUGAAACUCACUUCAGGAAAAACUUUGGCUCUCAAUGAUGUACUGCAUGUGCCCAACAUUCGGGCAAAUCUGGUUUCCGUAGGAUUGCUAGGAAAAGUUGGAGUGAAAGUGUCAUUUGAAUUUGGAAAGAUCAUAAUGACCAAAAAUAAUGUAUUUGUGGGCAAGGGCUAUUGUAAUCAGGGACUCUUUGUACUUAACAUUGCCAAUGUGAUCAAUGAGAAUGCUUCUUCUUCUGCUUAUAUUAUUGAUUCAAUUUCUUUAUGGCAUGCAAGAUUAGGACAUGUUAAUAUGAGUUAUAUAAAGAAAAUGCAAUCUUGUGGCCUGAUUUCUGGUGUUAAUGAUAAAAUGGAUAAAUGUGAGAUAUGUGCAGAAACUAAAAUGACAAAGAAGACUUGUAUAACUGUUCAAAGAGAAACUGAACUAUUAAAUUUAAUCCACACAGAUUUAGGUGAUUUAAAACAAACUAUGACUAGAGGAGGAAAAAGAUAUUAUGUCACUUUUAUCGAUGACUACUCUAGAUAUACUAAACUUUACUUACUUAGAAAUAAAGAUGAUACUCAUAAUGCCUUUUUAUCUUAUAAGUCUGAGGUAGAAAAUCAACUUAAUAAGAAGAUAAAAAGAAUUAGGUCUGAUAGAGGAGGCAAAUAUUUAGCCCUAGAUAAAUUUUGUGAACAUGAAGGCAUAAUACACGAAACAACACCUCCUUAUUCGCCAGAAUCUAAUGGAGUAGCUGAAAGGAAAAAUAGAACAUUAAAAGAAAUGAUGAAUUCUAUGUUAGUUAGUUCUCAUGCUCCUGAUAAUUUAUGAGGAGAAUCUAUUUUAUCUGCAUGUCAUUUACAAAAUAGGAUACCUCAUAAGAAAACUGGCAAAACUCCUUAUGAGUUAUGGAAAAGUUAUAAACCAAAUUUGAAAUAUUUAAAAGUAUGGGGAUGUCUUGCUAAAGUAUUGUUGCCUGAACCUAAGAAAAGAAAAUUAGGUUCUAAAACUUCUGACUGUAUGUUUAUUGGAUAUGCUGAACAUAGUGCUGCAUACAGAUUUCUUGUUUUAAAAAGUGAUACGCUUGAUUGUAAUACAAUUAUUGAGACAAAGAAUGCUGAAUUCUUUGAACAUAUUUUUCCAUUGUCGAGUAAAAUUUCUCAUGCACCUGUUGAAAUAAAUAGAGAAAUAAUUCCGAAUGAGGAAUUAAGAAGGAGUAAAAGGCCAAGAAAAGAAUUUUCUUAUGGAAAUGAUGUUCAAACUUUUCUUGUUGAUAAUGAUUCUUUAACAUACUCCGAUGCUAUUUCUUCCCCUGAUUGUAAAGUUUGGAAAUAAGCAAUUAAAUCUGAAAUUGAUUCUAUCUUGUCAAAUAAAACUUGGAUUUUGGUGGACUUACCUCCUGGUGCAAAACCUAUUGGUUGCAAAUGAAUUUUUAAAAGAAAAUAUAACUCUGAUGGCUCUAUAGAAAAGUACAAAGCUCGUUUAGUAGCAAAAGGAUUUUCUCAAAAACAAAAUAUUGACUAUUUUGAUACAUUUGCACCAGUAACAAGAAUUGCGUCUAUUCGAGUUUUAUUUGCUUUAGCUUCUAUCCAUAAACUUGUUAUUCAUCAAAUGGAUGUCAAAACAGCAUUUCUAAAUGGUGAUUUAGAGGAAGAAAUUUAUAUGUUUCAACCUGAGGGGUGUAUUGUAUCUGGACAAGAAAAUAAGGUUUGUAAACUAAUUAAAUCUCUUUAUGGCCUAAAACAAGCUCCUAAACAAUGGCAUGAGAAAUUUGAUCAAGUAUUGAUAAAAGAUGAAUUCUUGUCUGUAGAAGUGGAUAAAUGUGUGUAUGUCAAAAUUAUAAAUGAUCAAUAUGUGAUAAUCAGCUUAUAUGUGGAUGACAUGCUUAUAUUUGGUACUAGUCUAGAUAUUGUAAAUAAUACUAAAUAUUUUUUGUCCUCUAAUUUUGAUAUGAAAGACUUGGGUGAAGCCAAAAUGAUAUUGGGUGUUAAAAUCAUAAGGAGAGGUGAUGGUAUAAUGUUGUCACAAGAACAUUAUACAGAGAGACUUCUUAGGAAGUUUGAAAAUUAUGAUGUGACACCUGUGAGUACUCCUUAUGACGCUAACAUUCAAUUGAGGAAAAAUAAUGGCGACCCAAUUGCUCAGUCUAAAUAUGCUCAGAUCAUUGGGAGUCUGAUGCAUCUGAUGAAUUUCACUAGACCGGAUAUAGCUUAUGCUGUAUGUAGACUGAGUAGAUAUACUCAUAAUCCCAAUCGUGAGCAUUGGUUUGCAUUAGUCAGACUAAUGAAAUAUUUGAGAGGUACCAUGAAUUUUGGUAUACUAUAUAGUGGAUUUCCCACUGUAUUAGAGGGUUACAGUGAUGCUAACUGGAUCUCUGAUCCAAAUGAUACAAAAUCCACUAGUGGUUAUGUGUUCACCCUUGGUGGUGGUGCGGUAGCAUGGAAAUCAGCCAGACAGACAAUUAUUGCUCGGUCAACUAGGGAAUCGGAGUUCAUAGCUCUGGAGUUAACUGGCUCUGAGGCAGAUUGGUUAAGAAAUUUCUUAGUCAAUAUUCCUCCUAUUAAGGAUCUGUUGUCUCCUGUGUCUAUACACUGUGACUGUCAAGCGGCUAUUGCUAUUGCAAAAAUAAAUCUUAUAAUUGUAAAAGUCGACACAUGAGAUUAAGACAUGAUGUCGUAAAGCAGCUGCUUAGAGAUGGAAUUAUUUCCAUUGAUUUUGUGAAGUCAGAGUUGAAUUUGGCCGAUCUUCUGACUAAACCUGUAGGAAGAAAAUUAAUUCUUCAAACUACAAGGGAGAUGGGACUUAGGCUAACGGUUGUCAAUAGAGAUGGUAACCCAACCUAUGUGAUUAGUGAUCCCAUGAAAUAGGUUCAUAUGGGUAAUAACAAGUCGAUAUUGACUGUAAAAGCACUUGAAAUUUAAGUCCCUUCAAAAUUAAGUGCUUUGACUGCCAAUAAUUGUGAGGCUGAGUUUAAUACUCUUAAUGAAUUUAUAUUCCUUCAGGAAGGUGUAUUUAGGGCAGUAUACACUUGAUAAAUUCACCUAUAUGUGAGUGGAGUGGGGCCGCUCCUAUAAGAUUUUUUGGCCGAAUCUUUAGAGCUCUCAUGAACAACCAGGCGGGCGCACGACCUAAAUGCGCGAAACUGCAUUGAACAGCAAAAUUAUGGGUUAUAAUGUGAUUGAUAAGAUCUCUGUCAUACAAUAAGAAUUAUUGGUUCAUAGAAAGAUAUGUUUUCACCAAUAAUUCUGUAAGACAUAUUUUAUCAAUUUAAGUUUGGUUCAUAGUCCAAAAGACACCAAACUCAUUACAUUGAGCUCAGACAAAUCCAGCAGAUGUUUAUACUCUUUUGUCCAAAAUCUUUUGAAAUAGGUGGGAGAUUGUUGUAAAAACUUGAUAUUUCAAAAGAUUUUUCGUUUGUUUCGGACUAGAGCUUUAUCUGAUAAUAUUUCAUCAGAUAUGGUUGUUUCUAUUUUGAUGGAGAAGUUUUCAAAGAUAAGGUUUUGACUAAAAGGCAAGUUCAAGUGCUAGAUAGGAAGUUAAGCUUCGGAUGGCCUUUUUUCAAAUGACUUGACCUUUUCCAAACUUAUCACCACAGAGGAUAGACCUCUGACUACUUCAAAAGAUAAAGUCUAGACGAAACAAUCCUAUUCUCACGGAAAAUUAGCUUUCAAAAUUCUAUCUUCUUCCGUCCCGUGAAGCUUAUAAAUAGAACCAGUUGCCAGGCUCAUUUCGCACUGCAAAAACGAAGUCUACACUUUAAAACACUCUUUACCUCCUCCUUUGUCUAUCCUUCACAACAUUCUUGCUUUUCUGCUAGGUUAGAAACAAGAUUUUUUUUGCUGGUUCUACGUCCCUCUCACAAAGUAGAGGAAGACUUGUUUAAUCCUGGGGAAACGUUUCAAUACCCUGAAAUAGUUUCUUAGGACAGUGCUUUCUAGCACGACUCAAGUAUCCACGUGUUGACAUUGUUCGGACCGCUUUAUCCAACAAAAGAUUCAAUCGAAUAGCUACUAGCCAAAUUAUCUGAACAAGAAGAGCAUUAUUUGGAAACCAAAAUAAUACCAUGGACAUGAAUAUCCUCAUCUCAACGGCUAGAGGGAAUUCCAUGUGAUCUUCAAAACAAUGGAAGAAUUCUUCUUCUUUCUCACCUCCCCCCUCCCAAGCCGAAGCUAGAGUAAAACAACCAAAGGUAAAUAGCUGCCACACCAACAUAUCUUCUUGAUUUGAUCAAACCCUUAACUUCAAAAUUGCAGCCACUAUACGAAGAGGAAGCCGGUCAUUCAGCCGAGCAACAUUCCAAUCGAAAUUCAUAAGAAAAACUCAGCUACUAGACAAUAUGGUGGAUAAUCCAUAUCACAAACAACAGCAGAGGGUUCAUCCAAGACCCAUCUAUCAAACCAAAAAUCUAUCAUUCUCUACUCUACGCACCAAUCGAUAUUCACUUCAGCAACUCCUUUAAUGUAAAACAAAUGUUUUCAAACAACUUAACCCACGCAAGAUUGAACUUGCGUUGGAUGAAGAGCAUGAAGAUAUUUCCGCUACGUAAACUUUGCUUAAACUGUUUUUUUUUUCUAAAAUUCUAUCGUAGCUUAAUACUGAAAGCAUGGAUCUAAUCCCUUGACUUUCUCUACUAGAAAACGUAAGUUUUCCCAAGAAGACCAGUGAAUAUGCCUCGAAUUAUCUUUAACAUCUGACAGAAAGCUAUUAUACGUACAUUCAAUAGUUCUAACCACCACUUUUGGAGGAGAUAGCACUUGCAACAAGUACAUAAGAAUUUAAGAAGGGACAUGUUUCAGUAUAAUUAUUUUCCCACUAGCUGAUAAGAAUUUAGAAUGCCAACCAGAAUUCUCCCUCUGAUUUUCGAUACAAUGCUUCAAACAUUACUCUCUUUGAUCUACUCUCAUAUAAAGAAACUACCAAAUAGGAAAAGGGGAGACAUUGAAGUUGAAAUCCCAAAUAGAACAUACCAUACACAUCUAGCAGUCAAGAUCUUAUCGGAACAAAUAAAUAAGCUAUUUGCAACCUUGAUCCACUGAUCAGAUUAGUAGUGAGAAAGAAAGUACUUUAUCGCCUUCAAACACCUCUUCAAGCAAUGUGUAAAAAUGAUUGUAUCAUUAGCAAAAGCAAGAUGCAAAACUUGACCUCCUGAUAAUGUAAAAAACAUCCUCCUCCCAUUUUCAAAUAAAUCAAUCAAUCCAUGACCAAGAUAUUCAGCAGCUAUCACAAAUAAAGUUGGUGAUAAUGGAUCUCCUUGACGACGAACACCACGAAAGGACUUUAAGAAUCCCACAACUCCACUAUUUAAACUAAAUGAAAACCAAUUGUUGGAGACAAUGCGAAACACAAGAUCAUUCUUGUAUUCGCUAAACCAGAAAUCUCAAUAUUUGCAUAAUGAGAGACCAAUUCGCCUAAUCAUAUGCUUUCUCUUAACACAUUCAGUUCCUGGAGUUUCUUAUCAAUCUCAGCCACAAGCUCUUGAGCUAACAACAUGAAAUCAUUAAUUCGUCUUCCCAGAAGAAAUCCCGUCUGCAAUGGGGACAGAAAGAUAAUUUAUGGGAGAAUUGUUGGGUUUGUGAGUCCAACCCAUUUGUUGGGCCAAGUCACAAUUAGAGCCCAAAGCCCAUGGUCAUUUGGUUUCCGAGUCAAUAUUUGACUUGAGAUUAUAGGAAGUGACUAGUCAAUUAACUAAAACUUGAAGUCGCACAAAAGGGAAUAAAUAUCAACCUAUGAGAUUAAUUGCAACGUUAUUAAACUCGAACGGGAUAGCGACUUGGCUAAACUAUUGAAUCAAGGGUCAACUAGUCGGAUCGGUUGGACCGCUUUUAAAAACCCGCUCAUGUCAACAUGUCGUCAUAGUUAUUUUAUUUUUUUUUAUAAAUUAUAGAAAUAUAGAAAUUAACUUCUUAGUUAUAUUCGAUCAAUCAUAGAAAAUGUUCCAAAAAUAUUAGACUUGCAAUCAAAUAUACACCUAAUAAUUAUAUAUAAAAAUGUAAAUUCAUGGCUAAAAUAUGUCCAUUCUCCAAAACUACUUGAAAAACUAAAUUAAAACAAAUUAAUGCAAGUUGGAAUCACUGAUGCUAAAAUGAUAAGAUCAUAUGGAUGAAAACAUUUUGAUUUAGAGAUCAUUCAGGAAAGGGAAUGAUUUUUGUAUUUACACUAAGUGGAUGGCGUUUUCUUAUUCCUAUUAAUAAAUAAGACUCAAAUUAUGUUUGGGAAAAAGAAGCAAGAAAAGUUUGAAAAUUAGGUCAAUCAGUUGAACCGGGUCACUGGUUUAGUCAAUUUUUGACGGUUUUGACCAAAGCGAUUUUGUACUACAAACUAGCUCGGAAAGAUGGUCGAUUCAUAGUCGGACAGGUUGUCAGGACAGAAGAAAUAAGCUAAAUUUAAGAAUACUUUGUAACGGUGACGUUUGGGGAAUAAUUGUAGUGCAGCGAUGACGUUUUGUGAAAUGUUAGUAAUAAAAAGGGAUAAGUGGAACGGUGUCGUAUGAAAGGCUGAGUUAGUUAGAACAGUCACGUGGGUUGUGACAGAAAUUGGGUAGCGGUAGUUAAUUCAUCCUAUUUGUACACGUUUGAUUGGCUAAAGAGGCAUCAGAGAAUAACAAUUGCAUUUUCCCUCUUUUCCUACUUUCUCUUUCUACUCCCCUUACUCUCUGCAACUUCUUUUCAAUCUUCUCUCUCACGAAGCUCUUCUGAGCUUCUCUCCUUUCUCCAAUUCAGGGAUAUGGUCGUAGGAGCCUGACAAGUGAUAUCAGAGCUUGUCGAAUCCUUGGAAUUGAACAGCAAUGGCGGAGAGUACCAGAUUCAAGACUCUGGAAGAACAGAUCAAGAAAUAAGAUUCCAAGCUCCAGGAGGUAAUAGAAAGUCUGUAGGCUUCGCACCACCAACAACAGCAGCUUCGCGAGGAGCUGCGAACAGAACUCGAGGAGAACAACCAGAAAAUGGAAGGUCUGGUAAUAAGAUUGAAACAAGAGUUCAGCGCCUUCAUGAAGAUGAUGCUGGAAAGAGAGAAACUGAAUUAUGAACCAGGAAGAACCCUGAGUGAUCAACCACCUCUGCUGCCAACACCACCGCCUAGUCAGAGGCUGCAAGUUGGACUCGAAGGUAUCAAGAUUGGGAGGAGAGAAACAAACAAGGCACUGAUUCCAAAUCCCCCAAAAAUUGACUUGCCUCUAUUCGCUGGGGAAAGUCCAAGGGAAUGGAUCAGGAAGUGCAACAAGUAUUGCAUAAACUACCAAAUUCCUAAGGAACAGAAGGUAAAGGUGAUCGAGAUGUACUUGGAAGGGAAGGCGGGCAGGUGGUUCCAGGGAGUUAAGGCGGAGAAACCUGAAAUCACGUGGCCAAUGUUUGAAGAAUUAUUGGGCAAAAGGUUCGAUAACAAGGCAGGUAAGGAUAUUGUGGAGGAAUUUAACAAAUUGCACCAGACAGGGAAGGUGGAGGAGUAUCAGGAAAGGUUUGAGGAGCUCAAGGUCCUCAUGACAAUGAAGAAUCCGCAUCUGAGUGAAGAAUAUUUUGUAUCCAGCUUUAUCAGUGGAUUGAAAGAUGAAAUCAAGACUAUGAUCAAAAUGUUGAGGCCUACCUCUCUGUCCGAGACUUUUGAAUUAGCAGUAUUGCAGGAGAAUGCACUGAACCUUGUGAGGGCCUCAAAAUUUAUUAUUUUAAUAAGAAUAUUAUUAUUACUAUUUCAUUUAUUUAUUUUAUUGUUUUAUUUAUUUUAUAUAUAUAUUUUUUGAAAAGUUAAAUAAUAAAUGUGAAUACAAUUAUAUUAUGUAUUUAUAUAAAAUUACAUGAUCUUUAUGUGCAUAGUUCGCAUUUUCAUAAUUAAAUUAUUUUCAUUCGAACAAAAUUCCAAUGUUUGACUGACUAGUGCUAAGUUCAGUUUUUAAGCCGUGUCGAGGAAUUUAACUUUGGUGAAAGAUUAGUCUAUGAGUAGCUUUAAAAGAAUUAUAAAUGAGAUAGAACUAAGAUAGAUAAGAAAAGUGUAGUGGACAAAUUUAAGUGGAACAUAAGCAUUGGUCAAAGUUGGACAAUUUCCGCUAAAACUAAGUUUUAAUCUUGCCAUUGUUUCUUCCAUUUAAUUUCCUCCAAUUCACUUCAAUUUCUUUUCCUUUCUUCCUUAUUAUAGUCGAGAAUCCCCCUCCCUCAUUAGCCAAGAUAAUCACUUUCAUUCCCACUAAAUUUACUCUUAAGACAUUAAUAUGUAAGAGGGGACAUGAUCCUUAAAAUAGGGCUUUAAGUCCUAUCCUUCUCUUCCCAAUAUAAUGCUCCCAAUUUUUCAAACAUUUCAUUCCUUUUCUUCUUCCCUUAUCAGCCGACCACCCUCACACACUCUCUCCCUCUUUCUAGCCAAAGCUCUAUCUUCUUCUUCCUCAACUCAAACUCCAUGACCAACCAACUUCUAGCUUCACUCCAUCUCCUAUUUUUUUUUCUUGUUGUUCUAGCCGAGAGAAUGAGAGGGAGAAACCGAGAGGAGCUCUUUGUGGUGGCUGGCCAGAUUCUUGGAGAAGGAAAGAGAUCUCUUCGUGGUGAAGAUUGGACAUCCUAGCCUUGGGAAAAUCAGCUAGAACCUGAGGUAGUUCUCUAACCCAAAAGCUAGAGCUUUCAUGUUAUCUCUUGAAGAGUGAAUCUUGAAACUUCAUUGGGUUGAAUUCUUGUUGGAUUUGGUUAAUGUACGGGUUCUUGGGAUUCCCACAAAUGUAUGAUCUUGGUUGCUAGCAUGAUUUUUGAUUGGUAUAUGUGUGAAUAUUUGGAGUUGUGGCUUGAACUUUGGAAGGGAAGAACCUUAACAGAAAUCGGGAGAAAGAGGGGGAGAGAGAGAGAGGGGGGACCAAAAUGGUUUCUGUUUUCUCUAUUUUUCUUGGCUGUGUUUUCACAAAUUUAAAGAUUGAUUUGGGAGCUAAAAAUUUAAGCUUUAAGCUGUCAUUUUCUCUUACAAAAAAAAAAAAAAAACCCCUUCAAAUGGCGUUGCAAAAUGGUUCCAAAAGAAGGUUUCAAACCUGGAAAUUUCAAAUGAGAGUACGGUCCGAAAUUUCUGUGAUUAUUCGAAAAUGUUUGGGGCUCAAUUAGCCUUAGCACAUAACAUGAAAGUUGUAGAGAAUUGAGUUUAAAUUAUGCCUGUAAAGUUUCAGCUCAAUCGGAGCUGGGUAUCCUGUGAAAUGACAAAAUUGCCCCUGCUACCCUGUUUCUAUCAGAAAUGAUAAUCAGCCUCUGUAAUUGGUUAGUUUGACCGGGAAUAUUACUGAAUUGGUUGUCAAUGUCUUCUUAAGAAUUGUAGCCUUGUAUCUUAGCUUUGAAAUGGCUUUGGAAUCACCUGAAUCGGAGUUGUGUGUGCUGAGUUAAGAUUAACUGAAUCAGGACUAUCAGUAAUUGUGUCAGUGAGAAUUGAACCAAGAAACUUGGGCUAUUUCGGUAAAUUUGAUCUAGUUAGGGUGAGAACUGGGUUGAGAUGUCUUCACAAGAAUGGUAGAUCUAUGUCUUAGCUUCGAAACGGUAUAUUUUUUGUUUCAAUCCGAUAAGUGUAGCUCGAGUUGUGCUUAAAUUCCUAAAAGGAUUUGGUAAAUGGAUUUACGAACUGUACUUUCUUAUUAGGUGAGUGUGUACGUUAUCACACUCGCCAAAGGACAUGUGACUUUUCACUAUUUGAGUGACCUAUUUACCAAUGUGUUUAUGUGGUCAAUGUGGUUACUGGACGCUUGGUUUGAGGUGAUUAUUGUGAUUAUUGUGGCUGAACCCCUUGAGCAUUUGUUCGGGGUGACUAGCUUGAGGAUUUUAAUUGCUUUCUUGUUUUUGGCUUGAUGAUAGGUAGAGGUCUGGAGGUAUAUUGAGCUUUAGAUGCAUAUAUGUGAUAAAUCUUGCUUUAUUACAUGUUUGGCUUGUUAAUUAUUGCCAGAUAUUCCUUUAUUUGGAUAGAUGAACUUGUGUGUGUUUAAGUAUAGCAAGAGGAAAAAUUUUUGUUUUGAAUCUUUCAUGUUGGCCGAAAUUUUUGGGACAAAAUUUCAGAUUUUUGGAGCUUUUAUUUGAGUUAAAGUUGUGCCAAAAUAAUGGAUUCUAAGUGUAUUUGGGUUGAUUAAACCGAUUGGCUCUUCAAAGGAAAAAAAAGGAGUGAACUUGCUAAAGUGAAAACUGGAAAUCUGCUUUCUGGAACAACAGACCAGUUUCGGAAAAAAAAGUUAUAUUUUCAUGUAUACCACUCCAAAUCGAGUCCCAUUUGUUUUUUUUUUUUGAAACUAGACACAUAAGGUUACAAAUCAUGUAAAUUUCAGGGGCUAACUCAUUUUCUGUGAUUUUUGGUGUUUUUUUAAAGUCCGUUGGAAAAACGGAAUUUUACCUGCCCUGCAUUUUACUGUAGCAGUCUAUUGACGGAAACACUGGGCAAAAUUCGUAUGGAAUGUCAUCAAGGUGUCUUCUACAAAGUUUUAGCCCUUUCAAUUAGGUUUCCAACGGUAUCAACUAUGCAAAUUUUGGACUCGUAAAUAUUAAGUUACGAUUUUCUAAAGAUUUCUACCAUAAACCUCCAGUUUCCUGAUUUUUACAAUAAACAUGAAAACGACUUGAUAUUUUUGCUUGGCCUUGAAUAUGCACGUGAAUGAUCGUGAUUAUACAUGUCUCAGGUGAAUACGAGAACUCCGAAGAACCCGUUUAGCCGCUUAACUUUUUCUCUCUCAUGACUUUUGGUGAGUGUCAAAUGCAUGUUAAGUGUUUAAAUGAAAUGUUUCUCGUACUUGCUAGUUCAUGAGGGUAGAGUGUACUUUACCGCCCUUGUCCUCUAUUUCAUGAAAUUGCUUGCUUGAUAAGUGAUAAGUGUUACAUGUGAAUGUAAAUGAAAGUGUUUUCCGUGAGCAUUGAGCAGCAGAAUGUAUCACACCCUUUUAGGGUUGGAGGUACCGCUCAUCCCGUCUCAAUGCUAUGACCAAAUCUUGUCGAUUGGAGAUUCGUCUCAUCGACCCAAAAGUGAAUGGGGGGGGGAUGCCCCAACCCAUUGGCUAGCCUUGUAACUCGAGCCGGCAAGGGCUUGGUCGAGAAACUUGGUGAACCUUAGGCAGUGUUAUAACUUGAUCCAAAUAAGAUGUCUUGCUAGGUAUCCUUGUUAAGUGAUACCACCUACAAGCUUGUUUGGUUACGGAUCCAAGAGGGUGUCAUGGUGGCUGGAGGUAGUAAGUGGAGUUCUACAUGGAUAACUGUAAAAGUUGACGGAGGGUCAACUACCUGAGCUUGGAUAGCGCGUGGAUUAGCUCCUGAGAGCUCUCGUAUCCUUUUAAUUGUGAUUAAAUUCCUUACUUGCUAAAUGUUUCGAAGUUACUUGUUACUCAAGUUAUUGCUUUAUAUUGUGUCUUUGCUCGCAUGCUUGCAUGUUUUUCCCUUGGCCUCAUUGAGCGUCAGCUCACCCCAAUUUGUUUUCCUUAACAGGUUUGGAAGUGGAAGUUCUGAGGCUUAAUUAGUGACAAUCCCUUUGGGUAGAACUAGUCGUUAUCUUUAAUUCUGGGACUCCAUAGUGUAAAACUUAUGAUUAUUUUGGGCUUUCGGUAUUGUAAAAGUACAUUGAAAAUCUUGGAUGUAAUAUAGAAGCAUGAAUUGUUCUUUUAUAUUUUAGAGUACAUGAAUGUUUUAGUGGAGUAUUUCAUGUGAUAUUGGAGUUUAAUUUGUAAUUUACUUGAAGAUUGUAGUGAGUCCCGGCGAGAGUUGGGCAGGCGGUCUGCCGAACCCUUUGGUUCGCCUUAGGGGGAGGUGGGGUCGUCAUAGUUGGUAUCAGAGCUCUAGGUUUCAGAUCUCUGUAGUGUAUCCUAAGUUCUAAAAGUUGAGGAUGCCACACAGUGGGAUUCGGGUUCGUUUGAAUGUUAAGUGAAAAAGUGAAGUAGUGAGCAAUUGUGGUUUCGAUGGUUAUUAAGAUUCAAUAAUUGAGGAUUAUUGUGCUAGACUAGCAAGAGAGAAGAAGAUUGUAAGAGAUUAAACACUAUUUAAAAGAUAGUAAGUAAAUUUCUUGAAUAAUGGCAUUUGCUAGGAGGCGUUCUUGAUUUAAGGACUUAUGGGGAAAUAAAUGAUUAAUUUGUUUGGGAUAACCUUUAGUGCUUGAUCGUUGCCACUAGAUAUAUUUUAGAGUUGAUAUACCUUGUUCUUGCCUUGGGAACAUGACUGCAAUUAUGUCUUGGAAUUUGGAAGGCCUACCUUUUGUAGUACCUAGUUAAGUAUGUGGUGACUCGUGCUUGUUAAAGGAUAGAUAUUAUGAUGGAAUGCGGAACUUUAAUUGAAAAGAUAGUUGAUGUAGCUCUAAUGUUCAAAAUGAGGUUGGCCUUACCUAAGGGAAUUAAGCCCCCUCGCUCAGUUGCAAGCUAGACUAUGGAGCACGACCUUUUAUACCUUUUGUUUAUGAUAGUUGGGGUGAUGCUUGUGCUUUGGCCUGUAUAUUUUGUUAAGCAUGAUAUUUGUUCCCUUUUGAAGUAUUUGAAUGCUAUAAAUUCUAUACCUGAUCAUGUUGACUUGUUAAUUUGUUUGGUAGUACACAUGCAAAGUUUUAUUUUCAUUAUCGACUCAUGCAAUGACAUGCUCUCAUUUUGGUUGAUUGUUCUCCCUCUUGUAUGACCUUGUUCAUAAAAAAAAAAUUUGAUUUGUAUGUCAUCUGAUCUAUUGACUGUUCCUGUGAAAAUAUGAAGUGUGCUUUGAUUGCUUUUCAAGUUUUAAAUUCCAUUUUUCCUUCAUUGGACAUAUUUAGAUUUAUAUAUUUAUAUAUUUAUUCAUUUACUAGAGUUAUCCAUCUAUUAGUUAUUUAUUUAUUUAUUAUUUUUGGUCCUCCGUAAGAAUUAGAAAUAAAGGGUAGAAAGGAUCGAGACUGUGGGCCAGAGGGGCCAGGCAAACCCCAAAGCGUGGAAGAUAAUUGGGAAAUAAAGUUGAGGGUUAGUGAAUGAUGACAAAGAGAUAACUAGUGGAGUAUAUAUUGAAUUAUUAUAAUUAAAGAAAAAAAAAAGAGUAACUGCAAGGAGGUAAACUAGUGGAUAAGAUAAGCUGUUAUUAAGAAGUUUCAUUUAGUGCGAGUGUGACAAAAUUUAUGGUAAACUUUGGAGAUCUAAGACUUGUUAUAAUUAGGGUUGGAGUUUUGGAUGAGAUAGGUGUUUGAACUCAUUAGAUUUACAAGUUUAUGGUUAAAUUCAAUGAUUCCCGGUUAAUUGAGCUUGGGUUAUGGAAGAUAUUCCUUGGACUUUGAUUACUAGGCUAGAUGCCUCGGGAAUUCUCUAUGCUUCAUAGUGUAAAAUUGUGGUGAAUCUUGGCGGAUAAGAUAAGAGAGCUUGAUAUAUGUUGAUUAUUGGAUAUUGUGGUUAAUUCAUGAGAUUGAUGAAUUAUAAUAGGAAAGUGAUGAUAGGAUCGGUGAAAAUUUUUGGUAGUAUCUCUGCUGGCCGAACAUGUUUAGUUACCUUUAGCCCUGUUUUCUUACAAAUCAUUGGCAAAAUUUUGCUUAAUAUUUUAAACGUUGAUUCUUGAAAAUGAAAUUUGAAGUUGAAAGGAAAUAAUUUUUAAACCUGGUUUUGCUAAAAAUUUUUCCAAAAAGGAACACCGUACAGUUUUAAAAUUUGUGAUGCAUUGGUGUAAUAUAUAUAUAUAUAUAUACACAUAUAUACAUAUACAUAUAUCAUAAAAAAAAUCCAAAAUUUAGUUUCGUUUAUUAGAUUUAAAAGUUGACAAUGGCUCUUUUCACCGUGUAAAAUUUUCAAAUUUUCUUAAAUUCUAUGAGCAUCGGAAAUUUUCCUACGAUAAAUGAAAUGUCAAAUCCAUUCUUGCUUUUCCUAUUUGUUAAAGCUGUAGUUUAAGGUCAAGAUCCAUUUAUUUACAAAUUUAAUCUUGAAAGGAUGCCUUUUGGGACAAAUGUAGAACUUUUGAAUGGUAUAGGACUGGUGAUUUUUGGAUUUAUGGAACUUAAAAAUACAGACAAUUUUAGUUUGAAAUAAAAGUGUCCUUUUAAACCUUACGACCUUAAAUAUGAAAAUAUUGAUCCGAUUUGAACUUGAAAAGAGACACGAGAAAAAGUUAAGAUUAACUCGUCAAAGGAUAUUAAUGGUUCGAAACCGUUAAAAGAGUUAUACAGAUAAUAGAAGGAGAGAUUGAUAGAUAGUUUUGUAUAAUCCAAUGGGAUCCUAGUACUUGAUCUAAGUCGAAACCGAACGAGGAGAUGAGAUCUAUUGGUAUUUUGAUGGAUUGACCUAGUUGAGUAACUAGUAAGGUUCUCCCUUGUGAACUUAAUGAUUACUUUACAUAUAUCUUGUGAUUGGCCCUAUAGGCAUGUUUUAAACUUGUACGAAUAUUUGAACUUCCAAGUUUUGUAUUCAUUAUUUGUGGUGUGACCUGGAUGGAAUGAAAGUCCUUUCAAUUUUUGCUUAACCAUUACUGUGUAUAUAUCCAAUUACUUGUUGUUCCUUUUUACAAAAAAAAAAAUAUUUAUACAAAUGUAUAUACUCUGAACUCGCAUAAAAAUUGAAAAUCAGGCAGAGUUUGGGUUUGGACCUUUUCUUAGAAAUAAGAAUGAAUAUUGGUCGUGAAUUGGAGAGUAAAUAGUUAAGUUUUAUGUGGCAUAAAAGCUAAUUCUCAGAUUAGGUGUGAAGAGUAGAGGCGUUGGACCGAAGUUUAAGUAAAUAUGAACCUGCAUGUCUGCUUAUUUUCUUAAAAGCAUUUUAUUCUCAAAAGUGAUUUGUGGGGUUAAAUGAUUUUUCUUGAUCAAACGUCCAAAUAACAAAUGUUAAACUUCUUACCAAAAGUCGAAUGCAUUUAGAAAUUUUGACUAUCAAGAUCAGAACCAAUUUCUUUUCUUCUUGUCUUCCAUUCGAAUAGCCAUUUUAUUUAUAUAUAUAUAGACCACAAUUUUUCCAAAUGUGUAUUUGAUAUCCUGUUAUUAGUUUGGUUACGAAAGGUACGUGAAAAAGCUUUCCUCGAACAAAUAAGAUUUUCAGUUGGCCGUUUUGGGACAAAAGAAACUGGAUCAUUUCUAAAAUUGUUAAUUUUGAAAAUCGAAUACUAGUAAAUAAUUUUGGACAAUUUGAGUACAACCAUUUGGUGAGUGAAACCUUUUAUAGAAAAUAUAUCUUUGUACUCGAGUUUUGAACUACAUGAUUGAGUCAUUUGAUUUAGUCGAGAAAAAACAAAGUAAAUUUCGAGGACGAAAUUAUUUUAAGGAGGGAAGGAUAUGAGGGCCUCAAAAUUUAUUAUUUUAAUAUUAUUAUUAUUAUUACUAUUUCAUUUAUUUAUUUUAUUGUUUUAUUUAUUUUAUAUAUAUAUUUUUUGAAAAGUUAAAUAAUAAAUGUGAAAAUAACUAUAUUAUGUAUUUAUAUAAAAUUACAUGAUCUUUAUGUGCAUAGUUCACAUUUUCAUAAUUAAAUGAUUUUCAUUCGAACAAAAUUCAAAUGUUUGACCGACUAGUGCUAAGUUUAGUUUUUGAGCCGUGUCGAGGAAUUUAACUUUGGUGAAAGAUUAGUCUAUGAGUAGCUUUUAAAGAAUUAUAAAUGAGAUAGAACUAAGAUAGAUAAGAAAAGUGUAGUGGACAAAUUUAAGUGGAACAUAAGCAUUGGUCAAAGUUGGACAAUUUCCGCUAAAACUAAGUUUUAAUCUUGCCAUUGUUUCUUCCAUUUAAUUUCCUCCAAUUCACUUCAAUUUCUUUUCCUUUCUUCCUUAUUAUAGUCGAGAAUCCCCCUCCCUCAUUAGCCAAGAUAAUCACUUUCAUCCCCACUAAAUUUACUCUUAAGACAUUAAUAUGUAAGAUGGGACAUGAUCCUUAAAAUAGGGCUUUAAGUCCUAUCCUUCUCUUCCCAAUAUAAUGCUAUCAAUUUUUCAAACCUUUAAUUCCUUUUCUUCUUCCCUUAUCAGCCGACCACCCUCACACACUCUCUCCCUCUUUCCAGCCAAAGCUCUAUCUUCUUCUUCCUCAACUCAAACUCCAUGACCAACCAACUUCUAGCUUCACUCCAUCUCCUUUUUUUUUUUUUGUUGUUCUAGCCGAGAGAAUGAGAGGGAGAAACCGAGAGGAGCUCUUUGUGGUGGCUGGCCAGAUUCUUGGAGAAGGAAAGAGAUCUCUUCGUGGUGAAGAUUGGACAUCCUAGCCUUGGGAAAAUCAGUUAGAACCUGAGGUAGUUCUCUAACCCAAAAGCUAGAGCUUUCAUGUUAUCUCUUGAAGAGUGAAUCUUGAAACUUCAUUGGGUUGAAUUCUUGUUGGAUUUGGUUAAUGUACGGGCUCUUGGGAUUCCCACAAAUGGAUGAUCUUUGUUGCUAGCAUGAUUUUUGAUUGGUAUAUGUGUGAAUAUUUGGAGUUGUGGCUUGAACUUUGGAAGGGAAGAACCUUAACAGAAAUCGGGAGAAAGAGGGGGAGAGAGAGAGAGGGGGGACCAAAAUGGUUUCUGUUUUCUCUAUUUUUCUUGGCUGUGUUUUCACAAAUUUAAAGAUUGAUUUGGGAGCUAAAAAUUUAAGCUUUAAGCUGUCAUUUUCUCUUACAAAAAAAAAAAAAAAACCCCUUCAAAUGGCGUUGCAAAAUGGUUCCAAAAGAAGGUUUCAAACCUGGAAAUUUCAAAUGAGAGUACGGUCCGAAAUUUCUGUGAUUAUUCGAAAAUGUUUGGGGCUCAAUUAGCCUUAGCACAUAACAUGAAAGUUGUAGAGAAUUGAGUUUAAAUUAUGCCUGUAAAGUUUCAGCUCAAUCGGAGCUGGGUAUCCUGUGAAAUGACAAAAUUGCCCCUGCUACCCUGUUUCUAUCAGAAAUGAUAAUCAGCCUCUGUAAUUGGUUAGUUUGACCGGGAAUAUUACUGAAUUGGUUGUCAAUGUCUUCUUAAGAAUUGUAGCCUUGUAUCUUAGCUUUGAAAUGGCUUUGGAAUCACCUGAAUCGGAGUUGUGUGUGCUGAGUUAAGAUUAACUGAAUCAGGACUAUCAGUAAUUGUGUCAGUGAGAAUUGAACCAAGAAACUUGGGCUAUUUCGGUAAAUUUGAUCUAGUUAGGGUGAGAACUGGGUUGAGAUGUCUUCACAAGAAUGGUAGAUCUAUGUCUUAGCUUCGAAACGGUAUAUUUUUUGUUUCAAUCCGAUAAGUGUAGCUCGAGUUGUGCUUAAAUUCCUAAAAGGAUUUGGUAAAUGGAUUUACGAACUGUACUUUCUUAUUAGGUGAGUGUGUACGUUAUCACACUCGCCAAAGGACAUGUGACUUUUCACUAUUUGAGUGACCUAUUUACGAAUGUGUUUAUGUGGUCAAUGUGGUUACUGGACGCUUGGUUUGAGGUGAUUAUUGUGAUUAUUGUGGCUGAACCCCUUGAGCAUUUGUUCGGGGUGACUAGCUUGAGGAUUUUAAUUGCUUUCUUGUUUUUGGCUUGAUGAUAGGUAGAGGUCUGGAGGUAUAUUGAGCUUUAGAUGCAUAUAUGUGAUAAAUCUUGCUUUAUUACAUGUUUGGCUUGUUAAUUAUUGCCAGAUAUUCCUUAAUUUGGAUAGAUGAACUUGUGUGUGUUUAAGUAUAGCAAGAGGAAAAAUUUUUGUUUUGAAUCUUUCAUGUUGGCCGAAAUUUUUGGGACAAAAUUUCAGAUUUUUGGAGCUUUUAUUUGAGUUAAAGUUGUGCCAAAAUAAUGGAUUUUAAGUGUAUUUGGGUUGAUUAAACCGAUUGGCUCUUCAAAGGAAAAAAAAGGAGUGAACUUGCUAAAGUGAAAACUGGAAAUCUGCUUUCUGGAAUAUCAGACCAGUUUCGGAAAAAAAAAAGUUAUAUUUUCAUGUAUACCACUCCAAAUCGAGUCCCAUCUGUUUUUUUUUUUAAACUAGACACAUAAGGUUACAAACCAUGUAAAUUUCAGGAGCUAACUCAUUUUCUGUGAUUUUUGGUGUUUUUUUAAAGUUCGUUGGAAAAAUGGAAUUUUACCUGCCCUGCAUUUUACUGUAGCAGUCUAUUGACGGAAACACUGGGCAAAAUCCGUAUGGAAUCUCAUCAAGGUGUCUUCUACAAAGUUUUAGUCCUUUCAAUUAGGUUUCCAACGGUAUCAACUAUGCAAAUUUUGGACUCGUAAAUAUUAAGUUACGAUUUUCUAAAGAUUUCUACCAUAAACCUCCAGUUUCCUGAUUUUUACAAUAAACAUGAAAACGACUUGAUAUUUUUGCUUGGCCUUGAAUAUGCACGUGAAUGAUCGUGAUUAUACAUGUCUCAGGUGAAUACGAGGACUCCGAAGAACCCGUUUAGCCGCUUAACUUUUUCUCUCUCAUGACUUUUGGUGAGUGUCAAGUGCAUGUUAAGUGUUUAAAUGAAAUGUUUCUCGUACUUGCUAGUUAAUGAGGGUAGGGUGUACUUUACCGCCCUUGUCCUCUCUUUCAUGAAAUUACUUGCUUGAUAAGUGAUAAGUUUUAUAUGUGAAUGUAAAUGAAAGUGUUUUCCGUGAGCAUUGAGCGGCAGAAUGUAUCACGCCCUUUUAGGGUGGGAGGUACCGCUCAUCCCAUCUCAAUGCUAUGACCAAAUCUUGUCGAUUGGAGCUUCGUCUCAUCGACCCAAAAGUGAAUGGGGGGGGGGACGCCCCAACCCAUUGGCUAGCCUUGUAACUCGAGCCGGCAAGGGUUUGGUCGAGAAACUUGGUGAACCUUGGGCAGUGUUAUAGCUUGAUCCAAAUAAGGGGUCUUGCUAGGUAUACUUGUUAAGUGAUACCACCUACAUGCUUGUUUGGUUACGGAUCCAAGAGGGUGUCAUGGUGGCUGGAGGUAGUAAGUGGAGUUCUACAUGGAUAACUGUGAAAGUUGACGGAGGGUCAACUACCUGAGCUUGGAUCGCGCGUGGAUUAGCUCCUGAGAGCUCCCGUAUCUUUUUAAUUGUGAUUAAAUUCCUUACUUGCUAAAUGUUUCGAAUUUACUUGUUACUCAAGUUAUUGCUUUAUAUUGUGUCUUUGCUCGCAUGCUUGCAUGUUUUUCCCUUGGCCUCCCUGAGCGUUUACUCACCCCAAUUUGUUUUCCUUAACAGGUUUGGAAGUGGAAGUUCUGAGGCUUAAUUAGUGACAAUCCCUUUGGGUAGAACUAGUCGUUAUCUUUAAUUCUGGGACUCCAUAGUAUAAAACUUAUGAUUAUUUUGGGCUUUCGGUAUUGUAAAAGUACAUUGAAAAUCUUGGAUGUAAUAUUUAAGCAUGAAUCGUUCUUUUAUAUUUUAGAGUACAUGAAUGUUUUAGUGGAGUAUUUCAUGUGAUAUUGGAGUUUAAUUUGUUAUUUACUUGAAGAUUGUAGUGAGUCCCGGCGAGAGUUGGGCAGGCGGUCUGUCGAACCCUUUGGUUCGCCUUAGGGGGAGGUGGGGUCGUCACAAACUUACAGUCCAGAAAUUCUAAGGAAAAUGUAAGGACUACCUCAGAGAACAGGUUUGGAAUCUCUAAAAGUUCAUCUCAGCAGUUGAACCACAUUUCACACUACAAAGUAUCCCCUAUUAGUUCAUUCAGAAAUACUCAUUUCAAAGGUAGACCUGUUUCAACUACUGAAGCAGAACCUAGAAGAAUUUCAGCACAAGAAAUACAAUAUAGAAGGAACCAUGGCCUAUGCUUCAAGUGUGGAGAGAAGUUUGGGCAGGGACAUCAAUGCAAACUGGGCCAUCUGAACUUCCUGAUCAAUGAUGAGGGAGAAGAAUCUGAAUUCGAAGAUGCACUGGGAGAGCAGGAUGAAACCACAGGGAAUCCAGGGCAGAUCAUGGAGAUGUCCUUACACACACUGUCCGAGGCACUUAAACGAAAAACAAUCACACUGGUAGGAAGACUAGAUGGGGAAGAGAUGCUGAUACUGGUAGACACAGGCAGUUCUGAUAGUUACAUAAGCAGUGAGAAGGUAAUUGCCUUUGAUAUUCCUUAUAAAUUAGUCAAUCCUUUUUCUGUGGUUUUUGGGAAUGGGGCUUGUGUAACCAGCAAGGCCAUAUGUCCUAAGGUGGUAUGGGGAAUUAAUCAGCAUAGGUUCUGUUAUGACCUCAAAGUGAUGGAUCUAAGUGGAUGGGACAUAGUGCUUGGGGUGGACUGGAUGACUCAGUUCAGCCCUAUCACUUUUGAUUUCCACAAGCUGACUAUCUUCUUGCAAGAUCAAGGGGAAGCAGUGCACUUGCAUGGCCAAGCUGAAGACUGUGACUUAGAUCUAAUCAGAGGAGGCGACCUGAGGACAUUCAUUGAAUACAAGAGACAGUUGUGCAUGUCCAUGAGAUUGGGACAGGGUGAUCUGAUGCAGGGAAAUGACAUUCCUGCAGGAGUCCAGGGCAUCAUUGAAGAAUUUACAGAUGUGUUUGUAGCACCCUCUGAGUUACCACCAGCAAGAAGUAUAGAUCAUGAGAUACCACUAAAACCUGAGGUUCAACCCUUCAAGAUGAAGCCGUACAGAUACCCUCACUCCCAAAAGAGGGAAAUUGAACAACAGGUUAAGGAUAUGUUGCAGCAUGGAAUCAUAGUGCACAGUAACAAUCCUUUUGCCUCCCCAGUUCUGCUUGUCAAGAAGAAGGAAGGGACCUGGCAUUUUUGUGUAGACUACAGGAGACUGAACGAGAUGACCAUCAAGGACAGGUACCCCAUACCUAAUGUAGACGAACUGAUCAAUGAGCUAGCAGGAUCCAAAUACAAAUCAAAGUUGGACCUCACUUCAGGCUACCACCAAAUCAGGGUCAAGCCUAAGGAUACAUACAAAACUGCAUUUCAAACACACUGUGGCCACUAUGAGUUCUUGGUAAUGCCUUUUGUGUUAAGAAACGCUCCAGCCACAUUUCAGUCCCUCAUGAAUCAGAUAUUCCAGCCUUACCUGAGAAAAUUUGUUCUAGUUUUUUUUGAUGAUAUCCUAAUCUAUAGUCCUACAUUAGAGCUACACCAGCAACAUCUGAGGAUAGUCUUGACAGUAUUGAGGGAACAUAAGUUGUUUGUAAAACGUUCCAAGUGCUCGUUUGCACAGUCAACAGUGGACUACCUUCGUCACACUAUCAGAGAGAGUGAUUCAAGAAUAACCACACAAUGAAACGUAAUUUACCACAAACUUCAGAUACCAAAAGUAAUCAUGAAAUGCUUCAUGAUCCAAUCAACGCGAGAAUAAGUAAUUUUGACAGAAUAAUUAUUGACUUUCUUCAUCUCUUUAGUAUUAUUUAUUUUUCCAAUUUAUUGUUUAGAACAAAAAAAAAUAAGUCAAUUCAAGAUAUGAACAUAUGAAAGGCUCAACAGCUGGAUAAUACUCAUUAACGACAGAGGCUAUUAAUCCAAAAGGACUAAAAUGGAGUAAACUUUAUAUUCCAAAAGGCAUUUAUGGUGGGGGAAAAAGAUAGAAUCUAAUAUGGCAUUAUACGUCCUUUCAAACCUUAAUAACGAUUACAAAUAAUUCAUAAAGACGCCAAGACUUUUGAAAGGAUUUAGAUUUCGUUGCAAUUUAGCCUUUACUCAUGAAAGGGAUGGUUGGAUAGGAAUUCUGUAGCAUGCCGGUAGCAGCCAUCCAAAAAGAACUAGUCCAUUUGUGCACAAAAUAAAGUGAAUAUAAUGUGUGUGUGUGUGUGUAUUAAAAAGUAAUCAAUUGGGUUAGAUUUGAUGAUUUGUGAUUACAGUGUAAUCUUUUAUAUAUAUUUUGUAACUCUAUUAAAUCUAAUAUUUUUCAAAUCAAAUAUAUCUGUGACAUAUUCAAUGUAUUUUUUGACAUUGGUGCAGAUUACUUUGUUAAACAAAUCGUGCUGGAUGAUGUAAUGGCUGCUUCAGCAAGAAAUGAAGAGGGAGUUAGCAGAAAGGGAAAGAUGGGAGAGAGACUUGAGAGGGAAGAUAGAAAAUGCGGAAAAUGAGAGAACUGAAUUUGUUGUAUCUGAUAGCAUGCCCCUCACGUCUUACCUUUAGGCUUAUUCAUACAGGAUUCAUCCUCUAGAUCCUUCCAUGCCUUAGCUAUAACAGAAUGCUUAACAGAACGAUCACGCAUGCAUGCAUGCAGUGCAGUAACUAACUAGCCAACUAACUCUCUGAUAUGCUAACUGACUUCCAGAAAUGGAAACCAUGGCCACUACAUUAUUAGCUAUAAAUAACUAGGGAAUAUCUAAAAUAUCUAGAGGAAAUAUCCAGAAUAUCUAGGAUCAUUACAAUACCUCCCCCUCAAGAAUCCUAGUCACUAGGAUUGAGUUGGAAAUCUGGAAAUUGUGAUUGUAUCACUGUGAUAUCCUCCCAAGUUGAGUCUUCAGUGCCUAGGUUCAACCAUUUGAUCAACACUUGAGUUACCUUGUGUCUUUUCCUCAUGAUUUCACGAGUAGCAAUAACACUUUCAAGGGCAAUUUUAACCUGUCCAUCCGUAGUAGUCAAAGGUAGUUCUUGAGUAACUACAUGAUUCUUGGCUGAGGGCUUGAGUAAGGAGACAUGGAAGGUAGGGUGAAUCAAGGAGCCAGCAGGUAAUUCCAACCUAUAGGCUGCAUUUCCCACCUUCUAAAGAACUUUGUAGGGUCCAUAAUAUUUUGAAGACAAUUUCAGAUUCUUUUUGACUGCCACAGACGAUUGUCUAUAAGGUUGCAGUUUCAAAUAGACCCAAUCUCCCACUUGGAAACUCCUUUCACUCCUGUCCUUGUCCGCAAACUGUUUCAUUCGAUUUUGUGCUUUGAUUAAAUUCCCCUUCAGCAGCUCGUUCCAUUUUCUUCUGUCCCCUAGCCAUUGCUCCACAGCCGCUACUGGAGUCCCCAAGGCAUUGAUGCCUAGUUGAGAUGGUGGAUAUCCAUACAGAGCCUCGAAGGGAGUCAUUUUUAAGGCUGUGUGAUGGUUGGUGUUGUACCACCAUUCAGCAGCAGCUAGCAAGGACUUCCAUUUAUGGGGUUGCUGGAAACACAGGCACCUCAAAUUUGUCUCCACACAUCUGUUCAACCUUUUUGUCUGUCCAUCUGUUUGGGGAUGGUAAGCAAUAGAGUAGUGCAGCUCCGUGCCUAACUUCCCAAACAACUCCUGCCAGAACAAGCUGGUAAAUAGCCUAUCCCUAUCAGAUACAAUGCUCAGGGGUAAUCCAUGUAGCUUAUAGAUGUUUUCAAAAUACAUGUUAGCCACCGACUGUGCAGUAUACUUCGAUGGUAAUGCUAGGAGGUGAAAGUACUUGGUGAACCUAUCAAUGACAACUAGCAUUCCCUCAUACCCCUGAGAUUUAGGUAACCCCUCAAUGAAAUCCAUUGAAAUAUGCUGCCAUGCUUGUUCAGGAAUAGGUAGAGAUUGUAGCAGUCCUGGUGUCUUGCAAUUUUCUACCUUGCUCCUCUUGCAAACAUCACACUGUUGUACCCAUUGUUCUACUUCUCUUUUCAUUCCUGGCCAGAAGAAUGGUCCCUUUAAUCUUUGGUAGGUCCCCAGGUUGCCUGAAUGACCCCCAAUGAGAGAGUCAUGAAAGCAGGCUAUCAGUUUCUGUCUCAAGUUCCCUGAGGAACCAACGUACAUCCUGCCUUUAUACCUGAGUAAAUUCCCAGCAAAAGAAUAAUUUGGGAGAGAAUCAGGUGAAGUAGUCAGGCCUUCAGUCAACUUAGUCAUAGAACCAUCCCCUUGGUAACUCUCUAGGACUUCAGACAGCCAUGCCGGUUUCAUGACUGAGAUGCUAUGUGUAAAGCUGUCCUCUUCAUAGCAUCUUCUAGACAGUGCAUCAGCCACCAGGUUUUCAUUUCCUUUCUUGUACUAUAUUUCAUAAUCUAGGCCCAAUAACUUAGUGAGCCAUUUCUAUUGUAGGGGAGUAGUUAUCUUCUGUUCCAAUAGGUACUUUAAGCUCUGGUGAUCUGUCUUGAUGAUGAAGUGGCUUCCCAACAGGUAAUGCCUCCACUUGGACACAGCUGUAAUAAGGGACAACAACUCUUUUUCGUAUAUGGACAGUCCCAAAUUCUUAGGUCCCAGAGCUUGACUGAGAUAGGCAAUAGGCCUCUCUUGUUGCAUUAGGACUGCACCAAUAGCCUUCUGACUAGCAUAUGUUUCUAGAGAAAAAGGUAAAGAAAAGUUAGGAAGUGUUAGGACUGGUGUGCUACUCAUCAGCUACUUCAGUUUUUGAAAGGCUAGCUCAGCUUGUUCAUUCCAGUGGAAGUUUUCUUUCUUCAAUAACUCAGUGAGUGGUUUGGCAAUGAGUCCAUAUCCCCUCACAAACCUCCUGUAGUACCCUGUGAGUCCCAAAAAUCCUCUCAAUGCCUUUAGUGAUGUAGGGGUAGGCCAUUCUACCAUGCUCUUGAUUUUUGAGGGAUCUGCCUGCAUUCCAUCUCCACUGAUAAUAUGCCCCAAAUAUUCUAGUUGAGACUGUCCAAAGAUGCAUUUGGAAAGCUUGGCAAAUAGGGAGUGAGCUUUGAGUGUUUCUAGGAAAGUUUUGAGGUGCAAAAGGUGAGUGUCUGGAUCUGAACUGUAUAUGAGGAUGUCAUCAAAGAAAACUAACACAAACUUCCUCAGGUAAGGUUCAAAAACAUGGUUCAUCAGGCUUUGAAAUGUUACAGGUGCAUUGGUAAGACCAAAUGGCAUAACAGUGAACUCAUACAAUCCUAGGUAAGUUUUGAAGGCAGAUUUUGGGAUGUUAGUCUGGAGCAUUCUGAUCUGAUGGUAUCCAGCCCUUAAAUCAAUCUUGGAGAAGAUCUUAGCUCCAAACAGUUCAUCGAGUAAAUCAUCAAUGAUAGGUAUUGAAAAUUUAUCUUUGAUAGUCAGGUCAUUUAGUUGUCUGUAAUCAACACAAAAUCUCCAAGUUCCAUCUUUUUUUAACUAAUAGAACUGGAGAGGCAAACGGGCUAUGGCUAAACUGAAUAAUGCCACUACUGAGCAUGUCCUUCACUUGCCUUUCUAUUUCAUUUUUUUGGUUGUGAGGGUACCUAUAAGAUGCUAGCUUGAAUGGUUUGGCAUUUGGCACUAAGGGAAUUUGAUGGUCAUAGUUUUUGGAAGGGGGAAGGGAUUGUGGUUCUCCAAAUACAUCUUUGUAGUCUUCAAGUAAAGCACUUAGGGACUGUUGAAAACCAAUGUCUAGAUGAGUUACAGUGUUUACCUGAGUUCCCUUCAUUUUCAGUCUGCACGCGUGUUUCCAGAUUCUGGUGCUCAACCCCUCCUUCUCAGUACUAUUACUAGGAAGUUUGAGAACAGUCUCCUUAGACUCUCCAUGUAACAAGAUCCUCUCCCCUUUCUCAUCAAAGGACAUGUUCGGCUGCCUAAAGUCAAAGGUGAUGGGGCUGUGUGCAGCCAUCCAGUCUACUCCUAUAAUCACAUCAUAUGGCUCCAAGUUAAUGACAAACAUAUCAUGAGUGAACUGUUUACCUUGCAUUUCCCUGCUCAUAUUCGGAAUCAUCUUGUGACAAGUCAAGUGCUCCCCAUUAGCCAUCCUGACCCUGAAAGGCUUGAUAGAUUGGACCAGUUCUGGAUAGAGUUGUGCCACUGCCCCUUUGAUAAAAUUGAGUGCUUCCCCCAUCCACCAGGAUUGAUAGUGGAGUUUCUUUGAUCCUCCCCUGUAGCUUGAUGGUGUUGUAAGUCAUCUUCCCAGUCAGCGCAUGUAUCUCCAUUUCUACCCCCUUGGCCGACUGUGCUCCUUGGUACUCGAUCAUCUCCCCUUCUACCAGAUCCUCAGGACUAUCUUCUACUGCUACAAUCAGGUGGAUUUCCUUUUGCUUGCAUUGGUGGCCUGGUCCGAACUUUUCCCCACACCUAUAGCAAAGAUGGUGCUCCCUCCUGUACUGCAGCUCUACUGGUGUGAUUUUCUUGAAGUUCUGAGGAGUCUGUUUCUUUACAACAUUGGCAAUAAUAGGUUUGGUAUGUGGAAUGGUGUACUGCGCAACAGACUGUGGAGUAUUCCCCAAAGAGAGGGAUUUCGGAUGAUGUUUGUGCUUCUUGUGGUAGGCUUCAAAGGCAUUCUCUUGCAACCUGGCCAACUCAAAUGCUUUGGAUAAUGUCUUGGGGUCAUGAGUCUUCACCAUUGAUCUCAAUUCAUCUAGUAGUCUACUCAAAAAACAUGAAAUGUAAUAGUUUUCUGGAAGGUGUGGGGCUCGAAUCAUUACCUCUGAUAGUAGUUCCUCAAAUUUUUCUUGGUAGGCUAGGACUGUGGAGGAGAGUUGUAACUUAUUGAAUUCCUCCAUUGGAUCCAUUUGUCCCAAUGUUCCAAACCGCUUGCACAACUCUCCAGAGAACUCCAUCCAAUCCAUCUUGUUACCCCUAGUAGACUUGAAUCCCUGAUACCACACUUCAGCUUUACCUUCUAAAUGGAAUUCUGUCAGCUCCAUCCAUUGCUCCAUAGGAAUAUGCAGAAGCUGGAAAUACUUCUGAAGUUUUCUGAUCUACUUCCUAGGAUUGUUUCCUCUGAACACUGGUAUUUCCAGCUUAGGUGCACUAGCGUAGAAUGAACUUCUGACAUUCCUCUCUCCUUGCUCUCGAGUCACCAUAUCUGAGCUCCUGGAGUGACUUCCCUCUGGCGAUCCCAAUAUUCCUUUCUCAGGAUUUCCUCGGUUCAAACUGGAGAGCUGUUGAGAAAUGGCUACCAUGAAUGCAUCUAACUUAUUGUUCAGCUCCAUGCUUACUGCAUCCAACCUUUCCUCCAUGAUCUGUUUGUUUGCGGCCAUGGAUUCCAAAAUUCCUUGGAGUCUGCUGUCUUGCUUGCGUAGCUGUUCCUCCAUGGUCUUCAUUCGAGUUUCAUCUGCCAUUGUUAUAUUGAUUUCAGCUUCUUAGUCCAAGGACCGGAAGCUCUGAUACCACUUGUAAUGGCUGCUUCAGCAAGAAAUGAAGAGGGAGUUAGCAGAAAGGGAAAGAGGGGAGAGAGACUUGAGAGGGAAGAUAGAAAAUGCAGAAAAUGAGAGAACUGAAUUUGUUGUAUCUGAUAGCAUGCCCCUCACGUCUUACCUUUAGGCUUAUUUAUACAGGAUUCAUCCUCUAGAUCCUUCCAUUCCUUAGAUAUAACAGAAUGCUUAACAGAACGAUCACGCAUUCAUGCAUGCAGUGCAGUAACUAACUAGCCAACUAACUCUCUGAUAUGCUAACUAAUUAACUUCCAGAAAUGGAAACCAUGCCCACUACAUUAUUAGCUGUAAAUAACUAGGGAAUAUCUAAAAUAUCUAGAGGAAAUAUCUAGAAUAUCUAGGAUCAUUACAGAUGAUUUCUAACUAGUUUAUUAAUAAUAUUGACUUCUUUUUUAUAAAAAAAAAAGUAAUCAAGGAAAAAUGGGGAAUCUAACAGUCUAAUGCUUGCUUGCUUCUUUUUAUUGUUUGAAGUGAUUUUGGUGUCUUGCUAGUUUGUAAUUGAUUCAAGGUGGAUAGAAAGAAAUUGUUCAGAAAUGUGAAAUAGGGUAAGUAUCCCAGUUUGGUUUUGGAUUUUGAAAGUUAUAAAAACGAAAAUGAUGUCAGUGAUCCUCUUCAAUUUUUUAUCACCAACCAAAGCAAUGAUUUUUAAGAAUAAAAAUAACAUUUGAAAUCAAAUCACAAUCUUUAAAGAGAGGAAAUAGAUGGUUGAGGGCGAAAUGGCCAUGGUGAUGAAUUGACAUCAUGGAAAUCAAACUGUGCUUAGUAACGCCAAAACGUCACCAUAACUCACAAAUGAGUGACUAAUGUGAUGCCACAUUAAGGCUUCAAUCUACUAUUACAAGUUUUACUAUGGACUAAAUUGUGUGGUAAAUUUAGUACUACUAAUAUUAAGUUUAUGUUUAAAACAAGUAAAUUUCAAUAAUUUAGGUAACUUACUCUUUAAAUAACAAAUUUUACUAAAAUUUUAACAAAAAUUGCCACUUUUUCUUCGAAACUUACCAUUUUCUAUAUAAAACUUGCUAAUUUUUCAAGUAAAACAUAUGAUUUUAUUAGCAAAUCAUACCACUUUUUUUAGUAAAAUUCACUAAAUGGUAAGUUUUCAAAAAAAAACUUACCAUUUUUAAUGCAAAUCUUACUACUUUUUUCAAGCAAAAUGUAUGAUUUUAUUAACAAAUGUUACCAUAAUUUUCGUAAAGUUUACUAAAUCAUUAACAAAUCUUACCAUCUUUCAAGCAAAACUUAUCAUUUUCUAUACAAAACUUACUACUUUUUGGAGGCAGAACUUAUGACUUGAUUAUUAAAUCUUACCUUUAUUUAGGAAUAAUUUUGGAAACCUCCCCUGAGCUUUAUGCUAAUAUCACAUAACACUUCUAAAUUUUAAAAAUAUCACUAGCCUUCCCUUGAGUCAUAUUUUUUUGUAAGAAUUUGACCCCUAUAUCAAAAAUAAAUACUCCUAACAUAAUUUUUUAAAGGAAAAUAGAUAUAUUUUUCUUCUAGUUUUACACUUUUGUGUUGUCUUAUUUUUUAAUUUUCUGCCAAAUUGAUUUUAAGAUAAGAUUUGAAUGAGAAAGACUUAAAAUGAUUUUUUUUAAGGGGAGAAGGUGUUAAGUGCUAAAGCAAUUGCCAGAAUAGCGAUUUUUUUAUUUUUGGUUUAUCCUAGAUUUUUUCCUAAAUAGUUAUUAGAAUAACAAAGAAAUUAAAUUUAAUAUAAGAUUGGUAUAGGAAGAUCAAAGAAGGCAGAGAAGACAGAUAUUUGAAUACAAAACUAAUGGUUUUAGUAGGCAUUUCUAUGAAUUCAGAUUUAUUAUCUUCUAAUUUUUGUGGCAUAAAUAAUUAUUUGAAUAACAAUUAAAAUUUGAGAUAAGGUUGCCAUAGGAAGCUUGGGAGGGGGAGAAGGGUAUUAAAGGCAAAAAAUGAUUAUUUUAGUAGACUUUUCUUAAUAAUUUCCUUUUGUUCAAAUUUUUUUGCACAAGUAAUUGUUAAAAUAGUAAAGUUAAAUUAAUAAAUGCUUGGCAUAAUACUACAAAAUAAAGGGGUGUUUAAGUGAAAAUAGUAAUUGAUAGAGCAAUGUUUGGGCAUCUUAUGCGCUGUUAUGUGGUCAUAAUUUUGGCUACUUAUUAUGCUAAGUAUUGAGGUUUUGUUCAUGUUUGAUAUUUGUGUAAAUUGUAGGCAGUUGGUGUCAAAAAGUGAUCUCUGAAGGUGAAUUUCCAGAAGACUUUUAUUUCAGGGCGUGCCCACGCCAAAAACUGUUCAAGAGACGCCUCAAAGUCGGACCAUGGGACUAACUAACUAACUAAACUCAUCCUUAUUCCUGCGGGAUGCGGUUGGAAGUGCGUCAAAACAAAAAGGCAGCAAUUUCCAGUGGAUUUGGUAACAACCAAUAAGGAGGAUGCGGGGAAUUGGGGAAAUAUUUGGAAAAGCUACUAUUUUCUCGUGGGCCAAGAAGGGUGUAACAGACAAGUAGUUUUAGUCUUGCAGAUAGCUUUUUAGUUUCUUACGUUUUCUUUGGAGGGCUAUCUUCUGGGAACUGGCAAAAAGCCAGAUUCAUGUGGGAUUAGGAAAUUAUCUUUAGUUUUGUUAUCCCUUGGUAGAGGAUUUGCUCUCUGUUUUGUUAUUACAAUUUUCUUUAGACCUUUGCUUUACUUUUUCCGAAUGGACACAAAACAAAAAAAGAAGCAAGACAUUUUCUUUUGUUUCUUCAUCACUUCAUCUUUCCCAACUCUCUUGUGAUUGUGUGGAUGGAAUCAAUCAAAUCCCGCGAGAUUGAUAUGAUGAGGAGCGGUUAGGUUUCUCUUCUACCCAAAGGUCGACGCGAAGGCACGGUCCAUAACAUCUGUGAGAUUUAAUCGAACUUUCACUAGUUCUUCCAGUCCGUUACUAUUCGUGUGUUUCCUGGAUUAACUGUUUAUGAUUAUUUUAUUAAUUGAGUAUCAACGGCAGGACAUUUAAUUUAAUCUAAUAGCCUACUGUCACGUUAACUAAAUUGAAUCCGUAAUUAUUCGUUUAGUUGAUAACUAGUGACAACCAUCAUAAUUGGCUUUAUGUUAGGGAAACGUAAGAUCUAGUUUAAAUAAACCCUCUUAGCGUGUUUAUUGGUUAGGGUUGGGUUUUUCUAGUUUUAAUGCAACCGGAUAAUUAAAUUUAUUGGUUAGGGUUGGGUUUUUCUAGUUUUAAUGCAACCGGAUAAUUAAAUUCCUACGAUCGUACCUAAAGCUGUUUUCUAGUUAGAGAAACAGUCAACGGUCGUACCUUGGCUGUCGAAAAAGUAAGGAAGAACUGGCUGUCAGAGCUUGUUGAUAGCUAUAACUAACCUAGUGACGAAUGAAUGAAAUAUCUUUGUAUCGAUGAUCAUUUAAUUGGACCGCGCCUAAAAAGUUGAUCCUUUGGGUAGAAUUUUACUAAUUGCUAUUUUUAGUGAAUUGUACUUGGUGAGUUAGCUUUUGAAUUUUGUUUAUUCUAUUUUCUUUUUCAGUCCAUUAAAUAUUCCCCAAUUUUGUUCUAUUGACUUGGAAAGAAACAAGUUCCUACCCGUUCCCUGUGAAAUCGACCGUACUUGCCAUUGUAUGCAAAUUUAAUAUUUUUGUAGACAAAUCUUGUAUAUCGAAUCAAGCAUACUCUUUGGGGAGACAGGGUGAAUAUAGUAACCCAUUGCACAUCUAGAGUCACUGCUCCAGUACUUAGAUUUGUUCUAUAAUUAAUUAUGGUAGUAAUUAGGACUUUUUAGUAAUUAUUAUUGCACAGGUUCGACACCUGUCAAUUUUUGGCGGCAUUGCUGGGAAGAAAGUGUCGACAAACUGGUGAACAUGGGAUUCUGGCUUACAAGGCAUGCCCACGCCUUGCAAGACGCCCUUUCAAAAAAAAAAAGAAAGACAAAAAGAGAGAGAAAAGAGUUUCGACACUUGCGCAGUAGGUAUAGCAAAUGGAAAUGCCUUGCUUGUGGAAUUUCUCCAGUAAAGCGUUGAGGUUAUGUAGUAGAUAUCGGACAUUCUCUUGACAUAGUGCACCCUCUCUUUACCUCCUUAUCCCGCCUUUCACCCAAGCCCUAUUACAACCCUAUUAAAGUCCCUUUGAUUUAUGUAUUGAGUUCACUUUUGAGUGGUGGAGAUGUGAUAAAUGUGCAAGCCUAUGGUAAUGUCAUUCCGUGGUGUUGAUUUGAGCGUUCCUGGUAUCUAUACAUUUUCUUGAAAGUGAUGAGUAUUACUACUCAUACUCUUUGGAUAACUACCUAUCCAGUGUGCUCUAACUUUGGCGACAUUGUCAGGAAUGCAGGAUGCUUGUGUUAGUGUAGAUCACCGCAUAGUAGUUCCUUUCGUGAUUGAACUUCUGAGCUUCAAAAUGCUUGAGGACAAGCAUUGCCUAGGUGUGGGGGGAUUUGAUAGAGCAAUGUUUGGGCAUCUUAUGUGCUGUUAUGUGGUCAUAAUUUUGGCUAUUUAUUAUGCUAAGUACUGAGGUUUUGCUCAUAUUUGAUAUUUGUGUAAAUUGUAGGUGGUUGGUGUCAAAAAGUGAUCUCUGAAGGCGAAUUUCCAGAAGACUUUUUAUUUCAGGGCGUGCCCACGCCAGAAACUAUUGAAGAGACGCCUCAAAGUCGGACCGCGGGACUAACUAACUAACUAAACUCAUCCUUAUUCCUGCGGGAUGCGGUUGGAAGUGCGUCAAAACAAAAAGACAGUAAUUUCCAGUGGAUUUGGUAACAACCAAUAAGGAGGAUGUGGGGAAUUGGGGAAAUCUUUGGAAAAGCAGCUAUUUUCUCGUGGGCCAACGAGGGUGUAAAAGACAAGUAGUUUUAGUCUUGCAGAUAGCCUUUUAGUUUCUUACGUUUUCUUUGGAGGGCUAUCUUCGAGGAACUGGCAAAAAAGCCAGAUUCACGUGGAAUUGGGAGAUUAGCUUUAGUUUUGUUAUCCCUUGGUAGAGGAUUUGCUCUCUGUUUUGUUUUUACGAUUUUCUUUAGACCUUUGCUUUAUUUUUUUUGAACGGACAUGAAACAAAAAAAGAAGCAAGACUUUUUUUUUGUUUCUUCGUCACUUCAUCUUUCCCAACUUUCUUGUGAUUGUGUGGAUGGAAUCAAUCAAAUCCCGCGAGAUUGAUAUGAUGAGGAGCGGCUACAUUUCUCCUCUACCCAAAGUCGACGCGAAGGCGCGGUUUAUAACAUCUGUGAGAUCUAAUCGAACUUUCACUAGUUCUUCCAAUCCGUUACUAUUCGUGCAUUUUCUGGAUUAACUGUUUAUGGUUAUUUUAUUAAUUGAGUAUCAACGGUUGGAUAUUUAGUUUAAUCUAAUAGCCUACUGUCACGUUAACUAAAUUGAAUCCGUAAUUGUUCGUUUAGUUGAUAACUAGUGACAACUAUCAUAAUUGGCUUUAUGUUGGGGAAACGUAAGAUCUAGUUUAAAUAAACACUCUUAGCCUGUUUAUUGGUUAGGGUUGAAUUUUUCUAGUUUUAAUGCAACCGGAUAAUUAAAUUCCUACGGUCAUCCCUGAGGUUGUUUUCUAGUUAGAGAAGUGGUCAACGGUCGUACCUUGGUUGUCGAAAAAGUAAAGAAAAACUGGCUGUCAGAGCUUGUUGAUAGCUAUAACUAACCUAGUGACGAAUGAAUGAAAUAUCUUUGCAUCGAUGAUUAUUUAAUUGGACCGUGUCUGAAAAGUUGAUCCUUUGGAUAGAAUUUUACUAAUUGCUAUUUUUAGUUAAUUGUACUUGGUGAGUUAGCUUUUGAAUUUUUGUUUAUUCUAUUUUCAUUUUCAUUCCAUAAAUAUCCCCCAAUUUUGUUCUAUUGACUUGGAAAGAAACAACUUCCUACCCAUUCCCUGUGGAAUCGACCUUACUUGCCGUUGUAUGCAAAUUUAACACUUUUGUAGACAAAUCUAGUAUAUCGGAUCAAGCACACUCUUUGGAGACAGGGUGAAUAUAGUAACCCAUUGCACAUCUAGAGUCACUACUCCAGUACUUAGAUUUGUUCUAUAAUCAAUUAUAGUGGCAAUUAGGACUUUUUAGUAAUUAUUAUUGUACAGGCUCGACACCUGUCAAUUUUUUGCGUCGUUGCCGGGGAACGGUGUUUUGGUUAAUUUUGUUUCUUUUCAAGUUAUUUUCUUUGGAUUUGUCUGGCACUUUUCUAGUUUAUGCCUCGUUUUUCUCGUACAUGUGAAUUGAUUUUCGACCUGGAAGUAAAGAAGAUUGCGCGCCGAACUAGGAAAGAAACUAAACAGCUCAGAGAGGAGCAAUCUAGCAUUGCAUCUCAGAUGCUGGAUCCAGAGGUUGAGUCAACAGAUUCGAGUGGUGAUAAUUCAAGUGACUCAGGCCAAGAGGACAUCCCUAUGGCGAAUCCAAGAACACUAAAGGAGUUGGCUGCUCCGGAAUUGACCCAGCAGCUUUUGUGCAUUACAUUUCCAACUCUAGCUGAGAAUACCUCCUUCGAACUGAAGUCAGAGUUAAUUCAUCUCUUACCCUCAUUCCAUGGCCUCUUGAGUGAGGAACCCCAUAAACACAUCCAGGAGUUCGAUGUGGUAUGUUCUAGUAUGAAACCUCCAGGGAUUACUGAAGAGCAGAUCAAACUUAGAGCAUUCCCUUUCUCCCUCAAGGAUGUAGCGAAGGAUUGGUUAUACUACCUACCUGCAGGUAGUAUCAUAACAUGGGCCCAACUGAAAAAGAAGUUUUUGAAAAAAUUCUUCCCGGCAUCCCGGGCUGCAAGUUUGAGAAAAGAGAUAUGCAGCAUUAAGCAGUAUCCCAGGGAAUCCCUAUAUGACUAUUGGAAAAGGUUCAAUAAGUUGUGUACUAGAUGCCCACAGCAACAAAUUAGUGAACAACUAUUGAUCCAAUACUUCUAUGAGAGACUUCAGUCAUCUGAUAGAAAUAUUAUUGAUGCUGCAAGUAGGGGAGCACUGGCAAAUAAGACACCGAGAGAAGCAUUGCUGCUUAUUGAAGCAAUGGCAGAAAAUUCUCAACAGUUUGUGUUAUUCUUGGUUUUGAUGAUCACAAAAGUUCGUUGAAAUGUUUAUACAGACCAAGAAAGUGAACACUUUGAUCAGGCCUGAUGGAACAAAGUAAGCAUAUGUUCGAUUAACUCCAGACUACGAUGCUUUGGAUGUGGCAAACAAGAUUGGAAUAAUAUAAACAAAUUUAGUCAUUGUUUUGUUCCGAUCAAAGAUACUGUCUUUUAAGUAUGACAAUUUUGUUAGUCUUGGUUCCUUGAAAUGUUUUAUCUAACUUUCUUCAAAUAUAAGUGUUGUUGCCUAUCAAAGAAUCAGGUACGAAUAUGUCGUGAGCAAAAACAGGACACUCAUGUCGGACGGCCGAAAGGAAUCUGUCGGACGUCCGAAGGGAUGAAGAACAUCAGGAAGGAGUUUCUGUCGGACGCACAUCGAUCGUGUCGGACGUCCUAAAAAUUCCACAAAGCUUUGAUGACUCUCUGCCAAGACACUGUCGGACGCUCGCAAGGAAGCAUCGGACGUCCUGAAGGAUCGGACGCAUGCUUCGGACGAACAUCAAUAUCAUUGGACGUCCUAAAAAUUCCUCGAAGAUUUGAUAACUCUCUGGACGACGUUCGAACACUGAAGCUCGGACGAUAAAAUUCCAUCGAACGUCCGAACUUCAAUUUGGCUGUUUUUCGGACGAUUGGUUCGGACGAUAAUUUGAUCGUCGGACGUCCGAAAGCCCCAACGGCUAGCUGACUCUUCAUCUGCCUUCUAUCCGUUGGAAGCUUUAAUGAAGCCCAUUUCUGUUCCCCUUUAAAAACAAACUGUUCUGAACGAAGUAAGAACUUUUGCACACUUGGUCUACAAGAUCUCAAGAGAUAUUUUAGCUAGAAAAUAGUCUCCAAAGUUAGAUUUGUUCUCUAAGUGGUGUGAACUUCUGGUGAGCUUUUCUCUUGUGGUUGAAAGUUUCAUUAGUGUAGCUUUGUUGAGGGUUAUCUGAGUGUUUGUAAAACUUCUUAGCUUGACUAAGUGAGGUUUAGGGCAAGGAGGAAGUGCUCCCUCCAUUGUACAUCUAGUUGAUCAUAUUUCAUCAAAGAGAAGUUGCUCAACCUUGUGAUUGGUCUUCAAGUUUAAGGAAAGCUUGGUAGACAAUCGGUUUGAUUUCCUAUUUUACUUUUUGUUUAAUAAAAUUCUCAUUGCUUAUAUAUACUUAUUUUUCUGAUCAAUAUUGCUAUUGUCUUCUAAUCUACUUGGUUGAUCUUUACUAGAAAAGAAGGUAAAUUUUUAUUAAAGAAAAAGUGCAUAAAUUUGGUUAAGGUUUUAAUCAACCCAAUUCACCCCCCCUCUUGGUUGUCUUUGGGACUUACAAUUGGUAUCAGAGCUUGGUCUCCUUGAGAUUAAGCUCUAACGGCUUGGAGUAAAGAUGACAACCAGUCAUGCUAUGUUUGUUGAGGGGCAAUCUGUUACUAGGCCUCCCAUGUUCAGUGGCUCCAACUAUGUUAGCUGGAAAGAACGGAUGAUUAUCUUUUUGUAAUCUAUUGAUAUUGAACUAUGGUUUAUUGUGAGUGAAGGACCGCAUGAAGCUAACUUUCUUGAUGCAGAUACAGGGUUGCUUCGGCCAAAAAUGAGAGCUGAAAUGAAUGCUCAAGAUAGGACUAACCUCACAUUGAAUGCCAAGGCCAUGAAUGUUCUUUAUAGUGCCCUAGAUUCAAAUGAAUCAAUUAGAGUAAAAGGCUGCAAAUCGGCCAAAGAAAUGUGGGAUAAACUAAGAGAAAUCCAUGAGGGUGGUGACAACGUGAAAGAACAGAAAAAGGCUAUCUUGGUCACAAAAUAUGAAUCAUUUAGAAUUGAACCUCUUGAGGAUAUUGACAAAAUGUAUUGCAGGUUCACUGACUUGAUCAAAGAUCUCGAGGUGUUGGGCAAAGAGUACACCUUGGGAGAGAAGAACAGGAAAAUUCUCAAUGCGUUGGGCAAAGAAUGGGAAAAUAAAGUGACUGCAAUAGAGGAGGCUAAGGAUUUAAGUUCUGUGGCUAUUGAAUCUAUCAUUAACUCACUAACCUCUUAUGAGUUGAAACUGAAAUCUAAAGUGCAGGAGGAAGAGGAAGCUAGAGCAAAGAGAAACAUUGCUCUAAAGACUACUCAAGGUGAAGAUGAUACAGCUCACUUGGAUGAUGAAGACUCGGAUGGUGAUGAUAAUGAUCUUGCUCUCAUCACCAGAGGUUUCAAGAGAAUCUUGAAUAAAAGAAAGUUUAGAAGGGGAGGACCUAGCAAUCAAUUCCAGAAUCAGCCAUCUAUCGCAAAGUACAAAGGAAAACAGGAUUUCAACAAGAAACAGUUGGACAAAUGCUUCGAAUGUGGACAGCUUGGACACUAUGCAAAUGAAUGCCCCAUGAAGAAGAUGAAAGAUGGAAAAGCUGAUCGGAAGCCAAGAUUCAACAACUUUCAGAUUACUUGGAAUGAAUGCAACUCCGAAGGGGAAGUAGAAGAAGAAGAAGAAUCAGCUCAAAUGGCCUUCAUGGCUAUUGGAAAUAAUGAGGUAACUUCCACACAUUCUCAAUCUGAAAGUGAUGAUGAUGAAGAUGAUGAUCUUGAAUCCUUUGUUGAAAAACUGCAUAAUGCCUUGAAGGAAUCUUAUGAUAAAAACAAGCAGUUAAAACAGAAAAUGGCUUUUCUCAUUCAAGAAAAUGCAAGUCUUUUUCAACAAAAUAAACAACUAAAGACUGACAAUGAAAGUCUUGUAAGAGCCGGAUGUAAUGUUCAAAAUGAGCUUGAUAGAAAGACAAAUAUUUGUGAAAUGCUGAAGGAAAGACAUGGUGAUUUGAAAAAAAGAAUGGACAACUUGGAUGAGACUUUGAAAGCAAGAAAGCAGGAGUUUAUCAAAAGGAACAUGUCAUCUACACAUCCUACUACUUUUCAAAGAACAUUUGCACACAACAAAAAUGCACAUGGUUUCACAACAUAUAGAAGAGGUGGAUUGAGAUAUGUCAAACCAGUACAUGUUAAGGACUCUUCCAUUAUGUGUGGUUUUUGUUGUCAAAGAGGGCAUUUGAAAGGUGAUUGCUAUGUGAAAAGAAAUCUGAACAAAGGGAUGAAAUGCAUGUGGUUAGUUAGAUACAAUGCUAACUAUUGCGGACCCAAAAAUUAAAAUGGGUACCAAACACUUUCUCUUUUCAGGAAAAAUGCUCAAACAAGUCCAAAUGGUUUAUUGAUAGCGGUUGCUCAAGGCAUAUGACCGGUGAUCCCUCUUUGUUCAUAAAGCUGAAAUCAAAGUCAAGUGGAAAAGUGACAUUUGGUGAUGAUGUGAAAGCUAAGACAAUUGGAAUAGGUGAUGUUGGUAAGGAUGGUGAUACUUUUGUCCAUAAUGUGCUCUUAGUUGAUAACUUAAGUUAUAACUUGCUUAGUGUUAGUCAAUUGUGUGAUAAAGACUUGAAUGUGUUGUUUAAAAAACAUGAAUGCAUUGUGCUUGAUUCCAAAUAUAAUAUUGUGUUCAAAGGUAAGAGAUUCAACGACAUAUAUAUUGUGGUUCUUGAUAAAAUUGAUUCUUCUAGCUUAAAAUGUCUUAAAGCUUCAAAUGAAGAUCCUUGGUUGUGGCAUAGAAGACUUUGUCAUUUUAACAUGAAUUUACUAAAGGAAAUUUCGAAAAAGGAGUUGGUUAGAGGCUUGCCAAAAAUCAGUUUUGAUAAGGACAAAAUAUGUGAUGCAUGUCAAUUUGGGAAGCAAACAAAAAAUUCCUUUAAACCUAAGAUGUGUGUAUCUACUUCUAAACCUUUGGAACUCUUGCAUCUUGAUUUAUUUGGUCCCACUCAAAUUACUAGCUUGGGAGGUAAAAGAUAUUGUUUUGUAAUUGUUGAUGAUUAUUCUAGAUACACUUGGGUGAUAUUUCUUGCUCAUAAAGAUGAUGCCUUCAAGAAUUUUACUUCAUUGUUUGCUAAAAUGCAAAAUCUGCUUGGGUUAAAAAUUGUUAGGAUUAGAAGUGAUAAUGGGACGGAAUUCAAGUAUUGUGGUUUUCCAGAAUUUUGUGAUCAUAAUGGUAUAACACAUGAGUUCUCUAUUGCAAGGACUCCACAGCAAAAUGGUGUUGUAGAAAGGAAAAACAGGACUCUUCAAGAGGCUGCUAGAACUAUGUUGAAUGAAUGUAGGUUGCCUAAAUAUCUUUGGGCUGAAGCGGUAAACACUGCAUGUUAUGUGAUGAAUAGAAUACUCUUGAGACCUAUUUUAAAGAAAACUCCUUAUGAGCUGAUUUUUGAUAAGAAACCUACGGUUGGUUAUUUCAAAGUAUUUGGUUGUAAAUGCUUUAUUUUGAAUCUAAAGGAACAUCUUGGUAAGUUUGAUAAAAAAUCUGAUGUAGGAAUAUUUUUGGGGUAUUGUGAGAAUAAAAGACGAUAUAGAGUUUUUAAUAGAAGGACUCUUGUGAUUGAAGAAGCUAUACAUAUAACAUUUGAUGAAACCAAUGAUGAUAAUUCCAAAAGUUCGUGUGAGGAUGAUGAUGUAGGUGUUCGAGAAGCAAUGAAAAACCUAUCAAUUGGAAAUGAAGGAAGCUCUAAACCAGCAGCAACUGAAAUGGAAAAUGAAGUUCAUAAUGAUCAAGAAGAGGAAGAUGAAGACAAAAAUGAUGAUCCACUCAAAGAUCUUCCCAAGGCUUGGAAAUUCAGCCAAAAUCAUCCAAAAGAGCUUAUAAUUGGUGAUCCAUCCGAGAAGGUAAACACUAGUUCCUCAUCUAGAAAAUUGAUUGACAAUUUUGCUUUAGUUUCUCUUUUUGAACCCAAAAAUAUCAAUGAUGCUUUAAAGGAUGAAAACUGGAUUUUGGCAAUGCAAGAGGAACUUAAUCAAUUUGAGAGAAAUGAAGUUUGGACACUUGUUAAUAGACCUCAAAAUCAACCUAUCAUUGGCACAAAGUGGAUUUUUAGAAAUAAGUUGGAUGAUAAAGGUGUUGUUGUAAGAAAUAAAGCCAGAUUAGUUGCUAAAGGAUAUGCACAAGAAGAAGGAAUUGAUUUUGAUGAAACAUUUGCUCCCGUAGCAAGAUUAGAAUCUAUUAGAAUGCUUCUUGCUUUUGCAUGCUUUAAAGGCUUCAAAUUGUUUCAAAUGGAUGUUAAAAGUGCUUUUUUAAAUGGUUUUAUUGAUCAAGAAGUAUAUGUGGAUCAACCCCCCGGUUUUGAAAAUACAAAAUUUCCAAGUCAUGUGUUUAAACUAUCUAAAGCUUUAUAUGGUCUAAAACAGGCUCCAAGAGCUUGGUAUGAAAGACUAAGUGGUUUUUUGAUUGAAAAUGGUUUCAAAAGGGGUGUUGUGGACACCACACUUUUUACUAAGCAAGUGUUGAAUGACCUUCUUAUUGUGCAAAUAUAUGUUGAUGAUAUUAUUUUUGGUGCUACUAAUGAGUAUCUAUGUAAGGAGUUUUCCACCACUAUGCAAAGUGAAUUUGAAAUGAGUAUGAUGGGAGAAUUAAAUUUCUUCCUUGGACUUCAAAUACAUCAAGCUCUUGAGGGAAUUUUUAUAAAUCAAGCAAAAUAUACCAAGGAAUUGUUGAAAAGGUUUGGCAUGGAGGACUCAAAGCAAGUUGGAACUCCAAUGUGCACUUCUACAAAGCUUGACAAAGAUGAAGAAGGUAAUCAUGUGGAUGAAAAGCAUUAUAGAGGUAUGAUCGGAAGCCUACUCUAUUUAACCGCAAGUAGACCUGAUAUUAUGUUUGCUGUUUGCUUGUGUGCUAGAUUUCAAUCUUGUCCAAAAGAAUCACAUUUGAAUGCUGUAAAAAGGAUUUUUAGGUAUUUGAAAGGUACAUUAGACUAUGGUCUUUGGUAUGCUAGAUCUAAUGAGUUUGCACUAUAUGCUUAUUCGGAUGCUGAUUUUGGAGGUUGUCGUGUGGAUAGAAAGAGUACUAGUGGAACUUGUCAUUUUCUUGGAAAUUGUUUAGUCUCUUGGUUUAGCAAGAAACAAUGUGCAAUCUCUUUGUCUACAACCGAAGCGGAAUAUAUUGCCGCUAGUGCAUGUUGUGCUCAACAUUUAUGGAUGAAGCACACCUUGAAUGAUUUUUGAUUGUUGUAUGACUGCAUGCCUGUAUUCUGUGAUAAUACUAGUACUAUAAAUUUGACCAAAAAUCCUAUUCAUCAUUCUACGACAAAGCACAUAGAUAUAAAGCAUCACUUUAUUCGUGAUCUUGUUCAAAAAGGUGAAAUAUGUGUAAAUUAUGUUUGUUCUAAAGAUCAAUUUACGGAUAUUUUUACAAAAGCUUUGCCAUUAGAUCAGUUCAUUCAUCUAAGAUCAAAAUUAGGAAUAAUCGAAAAAUCAUCUUAAUUUUUGGGUCUUCGGACGUCCGAAAGAAGAUGAACGGACGUCCGAUGAUGUUCUUCAGCCAUUUUCCAGAUUGCGCCUGUUCGGACGCAGCUGUCGGACGCACAACGUCGUUCGGCCGUCCGACAGUGCAACGGAUCAAUUUUUUAAAUAACUUUCUUUCUCAUUUGCUUCAGACUCUUCCUAUUCUAUUUCCUCUCGGACGAAAACUCUCUCUUCCCUCACUCUCAAAUUCGUACCAUUUUGAAGCUCUCAUUCUCAAAUUGACUCAAACAAAACUUUUUCUGACUGAUUGCGAUUCAUUUCUCCUGAUCAUUUUCCCGAAUCGCAUAACAUUUCACAAAUUCCCAAAUUUCCUUCAAAACCCUACUUUCUCAUAACCGCUCUGCCAAAUCUUGUUUAAGGCCUUUUUGUCCCAAAAUUUCUGUGCAAAUCACUUCCCUACCACUGUGUGCAUCAUUUGCAUUCUUCAUUCCACACAUUUCACACAAUGGUGAAUCUGAGAGGAGGAAAGGUUACUGCCGGACGCAAGCAUCCACUCAGGGAUGAGGAUGAGGAUCUUCCUACGGUCAAACGUUCAUCCAAACGCUUCAAGAGAGGAGCCAUAAAGGGUCAAAUGUCACGGCCUACUCCUCAACCCACCUCUCAGCCUGAAUCUGGACAGGGAACCUCUGCUCAACCGCCUCCAAAAUCAGCCCCUCCCCCUACAUUCUUUGAUGAUACAGCAAGAGACAAACACUCCUUGAUAUCCCAGAAAGGUGUCAUCCCUCAACGUACUGUAAACCCUUCUGAAUUUCGUCUCAUAGGUUUAGAAACCAUUCUGAAGUUAUUUGCUUUUCAGAAAUGGUCGCAUAUCAUUUCUAUGCCAAAUGUUUACUAUCCUGAAAUGCUGCAUCAAUUUUUUGCUAAUCUUAGAAAAGGGUCUGACCAAACUGAAAUCUUUUCCAGGGUUAAUGGGGUAGACUUAAUCUUUGACUCUGAAAUUGUGAAUUCCAUUUUAAAUACUACCAUUGAACGUGGGUGCAAGGAUAAAAUUACAAAUUUCUUUUCCUAUGAAGAGCACCCUAAUGCUGAUAAUCAUUUUGAUGGGGCUAAAAUGAUGACCUAUUUUAAAAGAAGUUUUUCCUCCCCUGCUGAUGCUAAACUGAAUGAUCUUGCCCCUGUGAAUUUAAUUGCUUUUUCUAUCAUUUCAAACCUGCUUGUGCCUACUGAUGGCCAUAGAACUGAUGCAAACAAAAUGGAGUUGUACCUCUUUUAUUAUUUUCGAGAAAAAAUUUGGAUUGAUUUUGGUUUUGUCAUGUGCAAGUUUUUACUUCGCUAUACCACUGACUCUCGCAGAAAACUAUCCUAUGGAAAGUUUCUUCAAAAGAUUUUUGAGUUUUUCAAAGUUCCAAUUUUAGGUGUUUGUCCCAAAGAAGCAUCUUCUUAUGCCUUUACCAAAGGAUACUUUGAAAGGAAAAAUCUUGUUUUUAAAGAUAAUAUGUGGUCUUAUAAAGAGGCAUCGUCCAGUGAACGUAGGUCUAAGGCUGCACAUGAUCCUUCAUCUAUUCCACUCACUCCCAUUCAUCCUAGGAAAUCUGCCACUAAGGCAUCUUCCUCCUCCAAUGAUGGAGUGAUUGAGCUUCUUCAUGAACUCAAACAGCAUGUUCUUCUUCUAGAACAUGGCCUAAUGCUCACCAUGUCCUCUGAGCAACAAACUGCCUUUCUAGACAAAAAGAACCAUCUCUUUCCCCCACCUGUGGUUGAGGAAGUGUCCCAUGACAAAGAGCCACACCCCACUGAUCCAAGCUCAUCAAUUCCAGACCCUGGUUCAUCAACUCCUGUGACUCCUCAUGGUCCUUCCACAGCAGAUAAAGGCAAGGAACCAGUUGAAGUGGAUGCUGAAGCUGAUGAAGAAACUGAAGAGGAGGACCUCUCCCAAUAUCAGCUCUCUCGAAGAACUCCUGGAUCCACACAGUUCACUACUUAGGACAUUUGCAUUCUGUUUGUCUAUUUUAUGUGUUUGUAAUGGUCAACAUUUGUAACCUUCUUUUAAUGUUUCUCUUGUUGGUACUGUAUGUUUAUGUUAAGUAUUUUGAAUGAUGACUGUGUUUAUGGAUGUUUAAGUAUUUUGGUGCAAUGAAUUUGGUUUUCAUUGAUGAAUGUGUUUGUGGAUGUGUUGAUGUGAUUGGUUGCCCUUUUGUGAUGACAAAAAGGGGGAGAGGACUGGAUUGAUGAUUGAUGAUUGGUGUUGAGGACUGGAUUGAUUGAUGAUUGAUGAUUGGUAUUGAUUGAUGAUUGAUGAUUGGUGAUGUUGGAUAUGUUGGAUUGAUUGUUUAAAUUUGGAUUGGCUGAUAUGCUUAAUUGUCAUAUUUUUAGAAAAUUGUUUAACUCGGAUGGGCAGCCAAGUGAGGGGGAGCUUUUUCAAAAUUUUCAAAAUUUUAUGAUUCACUAAAUAAGGGGGAGUUCGUGAGAAAGGGGGAGCUUAUAAUGCAAUCAUCAAAUUUCAUUUCAAACUUUUGUUUUGUCAUCAUCAAAAAGGGGGAGAAUGUUAUUCUUGAUUUUGAUGAUCACAAAAGUUCGUUGAAAUGUUUAUACAGACCAAGAAAGUGAACACUUUGAUCAGGCCUGAUGGAACAAAGUAAGCAUAUGUUCGAUUAACUCCAGACUACGAUGCUUUGGAUGUGGCAAACAAGAUUGGAAUAAUAUAAACAAAUUUAGUCAUUGUUUUGUUCCGAUCAAAGAUACUGUCUUUUAAGUAUGACAAUUUUGUUAGUCUUGGUUCCUUGAAAUGUUUUAUCUAACUUUCUUCAAAUAUAAGUGUUGUUGCCUAUCAAAGAAUCAGGUACGAAUAUGUCGUGAGAAAAAACAGGACACUCAUGUCGGACGGCCGAAAGGAAUCUGUCGGACGUCCGAAGGGAUGAAGAACAUCAGGAAGGAGUUUCUGUCGGACGCACAUCGAUCGUGUCGGACGUCCUAAAAAUUCCACAAAGCUUUGAUGACUCUCUGCCAAGACACUGUCGGACGCUCGCAAGGAAGCAUCGGACGUCCUGAAGGAUCGGACGCAUGCUUCGGACGAACAUCAAUAUCAUCGGACGUCCUAAAAAUUCCUCGAAGAUUUCAUAACUCUCUGGACGACGUUCGGACACUGAAGCUCGGACGAUAAAAUUCCAUCGGACGUCCGAACUUCAAUUUGGCUGUUUUUCGGACGAUUGGUUCGGACGAUAAUUUGAUCGUCGGACGUCCGAAAGCCCCAACGGCUAGCUGACUCUUCAUCUGCCUUCUAUCCGUUGGAAGCUUUAAUGAAGCCCAUUUCUGUUCCCCUUUAAAAACAAACUGUUCUGAACGAAGUAAGAACUUUUGCACACUUGGUCUACAAGAUCUCAAGAGAUAUUUUAGCUAGAAAAUAGUCUCCAAAGUUAGAUUUGUUCUCUAAGUGGUGUGAACUUCUGGUGAGCUUUUCUCUUGUGGUUGAAAGUUUCAUUAGUGUAGCUUUGUUGAGGGUUAUCUGAGUGUUUGUAAAACUUCUUAGCUUGACUAAGUGAGGCUUAGGGCAAGGAGGAAGUGCUCCCUCCAUUGUACAUCUAGUUGAUCAUAUUUCAUCAAAGAGAAGUUGCUCAACCUUGUGAUUGGUCUUCAAGUUUGAGGAAAGCUUGGUAGACAAUCGGUUUGAUUUCCUAUUUUACUUUUUGUUUAAUAAAAUUCUCAUUUCUUAUAUAUACUUGUUUUUCUGAUCAAUAUUGCUAUUGUCUUCUAAUCUACUUGGUUGAUCUUUACUAGAAAAGAAGGUAAAUUUUUAUUAAAGAAAAAGUGCAUAAAUUUGGUUAAGGUUUUAAUCAACCCAAUUCACCCCCCCUCUUGGUUGUCUUUGGGACUUACAGUUUGGCUCCCGCGAGAGUAACCCUACCCAUAGGGUUAACGAGGUAAAGACGUCGUCCAUUCAGCAGCAGCUAUCGGAGUUAACAUCUUUUGCUCAGCAGUUAGCUGUGGGGAAUAUGCAUCAAGCAAAGGUCUGUGGAAUUUGCACAAACAUGGGCCACCCCACUGACUUAUGCCCUAUUUUGCUAGAGGAUGGGGCUGAACUAGUAAACAUGGUUGGGGGCGUGCCCACGCCCCGUAGGUAGUACGAUCUAUACUCGAACACGUACAAUUCGAGUUGGAGAGACCACCCCAACUUCAACUAUGGGAACAGGCCACAGAAGUCAUUCUCAAAUCGUCCAGCAACCAUGGCAACCAAAGCUUCAACCUUCGUCCUCCAAUUCAGGAGGCUCUUUGGAGGAUAUUGUCAAGAGCCUGGCCACGAGUACUACUCAGCUCCAGCAAGAAACUAGAUCCUUGGUCACGAGUACUGCUCAAUUCCAUCAGGAAACUAGAUUAGGCAUGAAAAAUCUGGAGACUCAAAUAAGUCGUAUGGCAACUGCAAUUAAUCGGUUAGAGUCUCAAGUUUUUGAAAAAUUGCCAUCGCAACCCGAGGUAAAUUCCAAGAAUGUAAGUGCCUUGACAUUGAGGAAUGGCAAGGAAGUGGAGGGGCUUAAGGCCACGAACCUAAAGAGUAAAAGUGAAGAAGAGAUCGAAAAGGAGAUUGAAGAAGAAGGACGCAUUCGUGGAGACCCUAAGGUAACUCUUACUCCAUCAAUUCCCAUUGAAUCUAAUUUACCUCCUUUUCCAUACAGGUUGGAAAAGACAAAGAAGGCGGAGAUGGAAAAAGAAAUCCUAGACGUAUUCUGAAAAGUAGAGAUCAACAUUCCCUUGUUGGAUGCAGUUAAGCAGGUACCAAAGUACGCAAAUUUUUUUAAGAAUUUGUGCACCUAUAAGAGGAAGUUGAGACGGGACAAAAGAGCAGCAGUGGGAGAAAAUGUAUCAGCUAUACUCCAAAGAAAACUCCCACCCAAGUGUGGAGAUCCAGGUAUGUUCAUGAUCCCAUGCAAAAUAGGAAAUACACCGAUUAGAAAAAUAAUGUUGGAUUUAGGGGCAUCAAUCAACGUAAUGCCAAGCACCAUUUAUGUUUCUUUAAAUCUUGGGCCACUAAAAGAAACAGCCAUCAUAAUCCAACUAACUGACCGCACCAAUGCUUAUCCAGAGAGGCUAGUUGAGGAUGUCUUGGUUCAGGUAAAUGAGUUAGUUUUUCCAACAGAUUUUUAUAUCUUAGGUAUGGGAGAUGAAAAAUUGUUAAAUCCGUCACCUAUUUUGUUAGGUAGGCCAUUUCUUAGCACUGCUAGGACUACAAUAAAUGUGAAUGAGAGUACUUUAUCAAUGGAGUUUGAUGGCGAAAUUAUAAAUUUCAAUAUUUUUGAGGUGAUGAAGUAUCCGGAGGAAUCUAACUCAGUCUUUGCAUUGAGUGUUAUUGAACCUAUUGUAUAGGAAACUUUCGAAUUAGACUGUGAAGACGCAUUGGAAGUGGCCUUUAUCAAGCAUCUUGAAAUGGAUGUAACUCUUAAUGUGGACAUGAGGGAUGAGUUGCACCAUACAGUUGAAGCAUUACAUUCACUUCCAACCAUUCCUUCGAGGUAUGAGCUUACCUCUCUUUUUGUGCCAAAAACUCAGACAAAGUUGUUGCCUUCAGUUGCACAGGCACCGGAGUUAGAGCUUAAGACUCUCCCGAAACAUUUAAAGUACGCAUUCCUGAGAGACUAAGAGACGCUUCCGGUGAACAUUUCUGCACACUUAUCUCCAAGUCAAGAGAGCAAACUGGUGCGAACCCUUAGGGAUCAUAAGGAAGCGAUUGGGUGGAGUAUAGCAGAUAUCAAAGGAAUAACUCCGUUCUUAUGCAUGCACCAGAUACGGCUCGAAGAUGAUGCGAAACCGGUAAAACAGGCGCAGCGGAAAUUGAAUUCGCUAAUGAUGGAAGUAGUGAAAAAGGAGAUACUUAAAGUCCUGGAAAUAGGAAUUAUCUUUGCUAUCUUGGACAGUCCUUGGGUGAGUCCCGUUCAAAUAGUCCCAAAAAAAAUAGGAGUGACUGUAGAGGAAAACCAGGAGGGUGAGAUGGUUCCAGUCAGGAAAGCUACAGGUUGGCGCCAGUGCAUUGACUACCGGAGACUAAACGCUGUGAUGAAAAAGAACCAUUUUUGAUGUGAAACCCCGGUCUAGACAACCAAAACACCAUGGCUUAGGCAGCGGAAAUUUGACCCAACUAAUCCCUAGAAGUCACGAACAAUUUUGAUAUUAUCUCAACCCGUAACUACUCGAAUUAACGAACCAAAUUGGAGGUAGUAGAACGCCACAAUCAAGGAGAUACUCGAUUGAUAAGUUCGGGUGAAUAACUUGAGAAGAUUCUCAAGUAUUCAAAGGCAACUCUCUUGCCAAAGAGAAAGUGAAAACUCACUAAUUGUAUUUAAUAGCCAAAAACUCGUCCCAAAACAAAGAGGAAGUGAGGCAAUUUAUAGCCCUUACAAGCAUUAACCCUAAUCCAAAAGUUGACCAAACUACCCUACAUACUUAAGAAAGAUUUUGGGCCUUACUUACUAACAAAUGGGCCGCAAUUAAACUAUCUUAAUUACCUAGAUUUUUAAAACAAGAAAUAACCAAAAUCAACGAGAAAAAUCAAAUAAUCCUACUAAACUCAAGCAUUCGUGCAAUCAACUAGUCUUCACUUGAAUCUUCCAAUUCCCCGUGUGCUUGAAUGGGCCUUGGUCUUUAUAUUCUCAUCAUUCCCCUCCUCUUAAAAGCAAUUUGCCCACAAAUUGAAGCACGAAUGGUGACAAGACGAGUUACAUGCCUUCGACUCAAUCUUGUUAUGAUGGCUACAGAUGGCAUCCAAUGCAAAACCCAUGUGCUAAGUUGGAAAAUAACCCUCGUCGAACCUUGAAUCUCACAGACCAUCUUCAAUGUAUGCUCAACUUUAUUGUUUGUGGUCAUGAGAUAAGGGUCCUCAAAGUGGUAUGAAGUGUAUCCCGUGAAAUCGAACUCCGGCUCGAACACACUUGCAAGGUACCAAGGCGGAUUUGGUGAUGUUGGAGCUUCAUGUGGACUAAGAGCAAGACGAAAAGCAUAAUGGUCAUUGAGGUACUUGUUCUUUAAACGAACCCUUGGUACACAACCAUUCCUAAAAUAUGGAGUGUUCCCUUCAAGAUGAGCUCGAAUCAACUCCCCUUUGGUGUGGACUGAUUUAAGUUGACAUUGUUCCAUGAAUGGAUACCAAGGGGGUUUAACUCUUGGAGUACCAACUCCAUGGAGGCUUGCAACGUCUACAAUUGAUUUUGGAAUGGAACACACCAAGAUCAGCUCAACUUGCCUUUGCUUGAUCUGUAUAAAAGAAGAAACACUAAACAAAGCAAAGGUAAGUUUGUUAAGAAAAUAAUAGGCCUUCACCGGGUUGCUCAAGAUCAGCCCACUUUCUCUUCUUUCUUCCUUUUUACCACCAAUCUCAUUAGAUUUUUCCAUCUCUUUUCCUAGUUCAACAGCUGACCCUUUUAUCUCAUUACUUUCAACUUCCUCGGGUUUUACCUCUGCAGGCACAAUUCCCUCAUCUAGCUUUUUCUCCAUUCUAUAACGCUCAAACUCACUUUUCAUGCAUGCUAGAUCAAUACAAAGUUGGUCAUAAGUAAGUGAUACAAGUGCAAGACGACGACUAUUAAAUAAGAAGGAAUACUUAUUAGUAUGUCCAUCAAUUUUAACUUCUCGCCUCGACAUCCAUGCUUUGCCCAACAACACAUGUGUCACUUGAAUUGGGACUACAUCACACAACACCUCAUCCACAUAUUUGCUGAUUUGAAUAGGUACAAGUGUGUGCUUAGUAACCCAAACAUCCCUAUGAGUGCUCGUCAACUUGUAAGGUUGAAGAUGAUCAAUGGUUGGAAGAUUUAAUUUCUCAACCAUGAUAGCACUUGCAAGAUUGACUUCACAACUACCAUCAAUGGCCAAGCUACAAAUUUUAUCUUUGACACCGCAACGAGUAUAAAACCAACCAAGCAACUGAGAUUUGACGAGGUCCAAUUGCUCAUCUACACCACGUAAUGCCACUUCUUUGACUCCCUUAGGAUCAGGAAGACAAUGUUGUGGGCUAGCUUUUAUGUGUCUUAUACUCGCCAUGACGUAUGAGGGAACCUGCAAAAAGUUAGCAACGAAACCGAAGAUAUUGCCUUUCACGCUCCCUUACGUGUAUCCACUCGCACUCGUGUAUAUGGAUGUCACUCUAAUGGACUUACCAAAUACCUUUACCUGUUGGGUUAGGUAGUUGAGAAAUGCUGCUCAAGUCCAACAACCGUUACCAACCUUUCCACAAGUGUAAUCACAAGAAUGUAGGAGAAAAUGUAUGAAAGUGUUCCUAGAAUCUAGGAAGAGAAUAUAGGAGAGUUUCAUAAAGUGGAUGAGAGAAUAUAGGAAAGGUCCUAAAAAUGGAUGAGAGAAUUUUAGGAGAGUUUCCUAAAAAAUGGAUGAGAGAAUUUAGGAAAGUUUCCAAAAAAAUGGAUGAGAGAGUUUAGGAAAAUUUCCUAAAAAGGUAGGAGAGAGAGUGUCCAAGUGAGUACAAAGAGUUAUCCAAGUGCUUUACUUAGUUUCCUAAUUGAUUUUGGAAACAAGUUAGUUUUUGGAAACCUUUUGAAAAUCCUCUUCCUCUUGAACAACUUUUGGUAACCUUCUUGAAACAACUUUUGGUAACCUUCUUGAAACAACUUUUGGUAACUUCCAAAUUCUACUCCAAGAAAGAUUGCACAAAUCAGAUUUGGUUCUCUAUUCAAAACAAUUCGGUUGCCCCUUUCUUUCCUUGCCUUUUUUUUUUUCUCUUGCCAACCAAUUCCUCUUUUCUUUCUUCUUUUUUUUUGUCUUUUUUUGACUACAACUAUCAACCACGACACAAAACAAGGAAGUCCACAAAUAAUAACAACCAAGAACUCCAAGAUCUUUCAAGAACGUUCAAGGAAGUUGUCAGGAACUUCAGAAAUUUCAAGAUUGUGGUCAAGAAUUCAAGAAGCUCAAGAUUAUUGUAAGUUCUCUUCACGAUUCACAAAAUUCCAACAAUUUUUGCCAAAAUUCAGAUUUGAAAACCAAGUAAACAAGUUGGAUAACACAAACAACAAGGCUGGACAGAUUUGUAUUCGGAUGAACAGAACCCUAUGAACAGUAUCAGUGAACAGUGUCGGUGAACAGUAACGAUGAACAGUAAUAUUUUUUUUUUUUUUUUGGUUCUGAACAAACGAACAGAUUGGGAUAAACACAUAUGACUCGAAAUAAACGAAAACAAAAAAAAAGAUAUAACCUGGUGGUUGUCAACUAGCUCUGGUACCAACUGAUGUGAAACCCCGAUCUAGACAACCAAAACACCAUGGCUUAGGCAGCGAAAAUUUGACCCAACUAAUCCCUAGAAGUCACGAACAAUUUUGAUAUUAUCUCAACCCGUAACUACUCGAAUUAACGAACCAAAUUGGAGGUAGUAGAACGCCACAAUCAAGGAGAUACUCGAUUGAUAAGUUCGGGUGAAUAACUUGAGAAGAUUCUCAAGUAUUCAAAGGCAACUCUCUUGCCAAAGAGAAAGUGAAAACUCACUAAUUGUAUUUAAUAGCCAAAAACUCGUCCCAAAACAAAGAGGAAGUGAGGCUAUUUAUAGCCCUUACAAGCAUUAACCCUAAUCCAAAAGUUGACCAAACUACCCUACAUACUCAAGAAAGAUUUUGGGCCUUACUUACUAACAAAUGGGCCGCAAUUAAACUAUCUUAAUUACCUAGAUUUUUAAAACGAGAAAUAACCAAAAUCAACGAGGAAAAUCAAAUAAUCCUACUAAACUCAAGCAUUCGUGCAAUCAACUAGUCUUCACUUGAAUCUUUCAAUUCCCCGUGUGCUUGAAUGGGCAUUGGUCUUUAUAUUCUCAUCAAUUUUCCUCUCCCUUUUAUUGACCAGAUGAUAGAAAGAUUGGCUGGUCGUGUUUACUAUUAUUUUUUGGAUAAUUUUUCAGGGUACUUCAGAUCUCGAUAGCACCGGAGGACCAGGAAAAGACCACAUUCACCUGCCCAUUUGGUACUUUUGCGUACCGUAGGAUGCCUUUCGAUCUUUGCAAUGCUCCAACAACUUUUCAAAGGUACAUGGUAAGUAUUUUCUCCGAAUAUGUAAAAAGAUUAUUGAUGUGUUCAUGAAUGAUUUUAGUGUAUACGGGGAUAGCUUUGAUGAAUGUUUCGAUAAUUUAGCUGUAAUUUUGAAAAUGUGCAUAGAGACGAACUUAGUUCUUAAUUGGAAAAAAUGCGCUUUAUGGUAGAGUAUGGUAUUGUCUUAGGGCACGUUGUGUCGGCUAAGGGAAUAGAGGUAGAUAAAGCAAAAAUAGAUCUAAUUUCUACUUUGCCUUACCCUGUAUGUGUACGGGAAGUACGUUUCUUUUUGGGCCAUACAGGAUUUUAUAGGAGGUUCAUCAAGGAUUUCUCAAAGAUUGGAGCACCCCUAUUCGAGUUGCUGCAAAAGGACGUGACAUUCGAUUUCACCAAUGAAUAUAAGGUGGCUUUUGAUAAAUUAAAGGAGUCGUUGACAUCGCCGCCCGUCAUUCAACCCCCAGAUUGGAGCCUACCGUUUGAAAUAAUGUGCGAUGCGAGUGAUUAUGAGGUAGAAGCAGUGUUGGGCCAAAGGAUUGGCAAGGUGGCGCAUGCAAUUUACUAUGCGUCGAAAGCAUUGAGUGGAGCUCAACUUAACUACUCCACGACGGAGAAAGAAUUACUAGCCGUUGUUUUUGCACUAGAAAAAUUUAGGUCAUAUUUAUUAGGUGCAUGUAGACACCAAAAAUUUCAUCGAUUCAGUUUUAGCUUUAUUCAUUCAAUUUUGACUUCCUUUGAUUCAAUUUUUAGUUUUAUUAUUAUUAUUUAUUCUUGUCUCAUAUUUAUUAUUUUUAAUUGAUUGGAGGUUGCAAAUGGUAAUUGAUGUUCAUUCUUAUUUUAAAUGCAUUAAAAUUCAUCAUUUUCUUUUUAAAGCAAUUUUACACUAAAUUUUAGGAAAAUCCCGAAUAAAGAUCCAUUUUAUCUUUUUAAAAUUUGAUUUUUUCUUGCUAAGGCAUUUUGCAAGGUAAUUUUUAAAAAUUAAGCAUGUUAAACAAGUGUGUCAAUUGCAUGUUGAACAAGUGUGCAAAUAAGCAUUAGACAAGUGGUUGAGGAAUGGUAGGACAAGUGUAUAGGGGGUAGCUGUCAAGGACACUUGGGGGGUUUUUUGGGGGGCAUCGGAAAAAAAAGGAAGAAAAAACCCUCGAAGAGGCUUGAAAACAGGGGGAAGAGAAAAGAGCUAAAAACAGGGAGGGGGCUUCGGAGGAAAGGGGAGAGGAAAAACGAAAUCGAAAAAGGAGGGGAGAGUAGGGAAAAAUCUGGGGAGAGUCUGUGGGCUAAGAAAAACAGCGGAGAGAUAGCGGAAAAAAAGGAGAAAAAGAACGGCUGAGGGGAAGGCUAAAAAUCUGAAAAGAGAAGAAGGCUUCGGCUGGGAGAAGCUGGAGUGGAAAAAAUAGAAAAAGGGAGAACGGCUGCGGUUGAGGGCCGAGAGAGUGGAGAGCCGAGGAGGAAAAAUCAGAAAAGGAGGAGAAAAAUCAAGGGCGGCGGAUGAAGGGAAAAGCUGGGAAAAUUAGAAACAGAGAAAGAGAGGAUAGCAGCGGACAAAGAGCUUGCGACUGAGGAAGCAGAGCAGCUGGAACUGCCGUUCGCGGGAAGCUGUUGCCGCCCUCUUCCGUCACGCGCGACGCCAGCUUCAUCGCUUCUUCCAUCAUAGUUCAAGCUCCGCCCUCUGCCGGCACAAACAAGUGGCCAACCGCCCGCCCAAGCAACCAAAUCCGAGAUCAGCACCCGCAAAAUUUUACCAAGAAACAAACGGUAAGCCACCAUCAUCCUUCAAAUUUCAGUUUUCAUGUAAGUUUUCGAAGCGUGUUUUAUUUUUCACGUUGUGGCUUGUAGCCAUUUCUCUGUUGAAUUAUUCACUAAUUGGAAGUAUGUAUGCUUUGAAUGUCGAUUGGACUGGAGUUUUCUUGCAUUUGAUGAAAUUUUGGGUGCUGAUUCAUGUCAAUUGAGCGAGAAAUUGGUGAAGUUUUUUAAUGGCUGUUUGUUGUUCGACAGAAUGCUUCAAUGAAAGUUCGGCCUGAAGAAUGGAUUAAUUUCUGAUUUAUAUACGUUCGACUGUUUCAUGCUUGUCAAAAUAAUUGAUUCGAAUGGGUUUGUUUGGGCGUCCGUUUGUUUUGGCAAUCUGCUCCGCUUCUCGUUUGUUUGGUGUUCCUCUUGUAUGGAUUUAAAUUCAUGACAUAAAAUGGCGUGCGAGGGGAUUCAUGUGAGAGUCAUUUGUUUUGCUUUUGUUUUGUUUUGUUGAUUGGAGUCCGAAGUUGAAUUUUCUGGUUGCAAAGAGGAAUGAAAUAGCAGCGAACGUUGAGCCAAUUUGGGAAGAAGAGGAUUGCUUGAUUAAAUUCAUGAUUCCAGUCCCUCAAUUUCCCUUUCCAUUAUGAUUUAACCCCAGAAUUUUAGGACUUCAUAAUUUUUCCUCCAACACCUUCAUAAGUCCUUCAAUUAGGUCCCUGCUCUUGUUGCAUUUUAACCCCUCAGCUUCCCCUUGUUCUGAUAUGACCCGAAAAGUGGAAAAAGUGCGUUUGUUUCUCCCUUCUAGAUUUAAAUCAUCUUCUAAUAAGCAUGAAUAGUCCUUUUACUAGAUUAAUUCUUGUUUGUAGGUUCUAAUUGUGGUUCAAUAAUUUAUUUUGAUUUUAUCAUGUUGGGUUUAAUGAAACAAGUGCCUUGGGCUAAGAGGUUAUUUUUGUUUGGGUUUAAGAAAGUCGUUUUAGUUUAUUUUGUUUGGUUUUUUGGUUCGGGCUAGAGGGUCAAGGCCCAUCUAUUUGGUUGGCUAAUUUUUGGGCCAGGAUAUUAUACUAGCCCACUUGUUUUCCUUGGACUUUCGAUUGGGCCAAGUUAUCUUGGCCCAAGAAAGGUGAAGAUGGCCCAUUCCCUUUUUGUUUUGGAUUUUCGGUUGGGCUUGUAAGGCUUUGGCCCAAACAAAUAAAGGAAAUGGCCCAAUGGCUUGGUCCAUUAAGAAACCAGAAAACGAUUUUGCAAAUCAGUCCCUGAAUUUCUCCCUAAUUGUAUUGUGGCCCUGGACAUUUUCAACUUCUUUCAAUUCGGUCCUUGCUUUAAUUGCAAAUAGGUCCCUGAACUUUAUUUUUCUUUAAUUUUGACCUCCAAACUUUGUCAAUCUUUGCAAUCAGGUCCUUUCUUCUCUUGACUUCUUAAAUGUGAAUUGUCGACAUGAUUUAAUUGAUUCAAAUUCAUGCUUAUUUUUUAUCCUUUGUGAUUAUUUGCCAAAUAAAUUGGUACCUUGACCUUUUUAUUGUUUUGAAGCUAAUAUCUCAUUUACUCGAUUUCCGUUGCGAGGGAGGUAACUUCUAUAUUUUUGAGUUUAUUUUUUCCUACGUGCUCCUACGUGUUAUGUGAAUAUGCCUGUCUACUUUGCUUUCUUUGCCUUUCUUUAAUUCUUUUCAUUUUUUUUUACUUACUUUUGCUUUUUAUUUAAGUUAUUCAUUAUGGGGUAUGUGUACACCUCUUGGCUUGUAAUAGUUAGGGAUUUAAUUAUUUUAUUCUUUUCCCCCUUUUAGAUUGUAGUGGGGUCUCCCUAAUGUAAUAGAUAGGGUUUGGAGGAGCAUUCAAUGAAGACCUAUCGAAGACUUGUGCCUAGCUAGCAAAUGUAAUAGUUAGGGCUUUAAUUGUCUCAUGUGCCUUGCAUGCUUAGUUGCUACGUGUUAAUUUGCUUUGCUAGGGCCUUGCAUCUAGUCGAGCAUGCAAAAUGUUAUGUGCUAUGUGUUUAUAAGUGUUUGGCAUGUCUACUCGCUUUCCAUAGCCUGAAUAAAUGUGAUGGAUGAAUGUACGUCACCACACUAGUCCAAUGCUAGUUGUGGCUCAUUAUUUCAUUAGGAAUUCAUAGAAAGGGCUAGUCCAACGCUAGACCCAAUAGGAUUUUUCCUUUGUUUUUCAUUAAUGCAUUAUUUGCCUGUUCACUACAUAUCAUGCAUUUUUCCUUAGUUUUAUCAUCUGGCAUGCUCCUCGAUUCCCCUUUCCCCUCACUUUAGGAUUUUUGCAUUUCAUGCUAGUUAUAGGGUUCAUUUGCCUGAAGAGUCCCCUUCUGAUAAGGGAAACGAGCGAGUGUGGCUACUCGAUAGCCUUAGCACGCUAGUUUCGCCUUCUAAUCAAAGGGAAGAUUAAGUCACAAAGUUAGGACUCCCCGUUCCCGUCUUGAUGCAUUCCUAUAGGAUUCAUGCAUUCUAUUCAUUCACUAUCACAUACACUUACUUUAUAUUCUAACCCUUUUUCCACAUUCUCACUUCACACUACUUUUACACGUUUUCAUUUAACUACUCACACUCUAUGCCAUAUCACUCGCACACAUGCACUUUAUAUUAUUUUCACAUUAUCAUUCUUUACUCACCUUACCUUGUAAAUACAUUUGCACACCUCCACUUUUCUCACUUCACAUAAACUUACAUUUUCACAUGACAUGCACCCCAUUCAUUUUUACGUCAUUUAGGAUUACGUGUGACCUCUCCAAAGGAUCAUUAUUGGGCUUCACAAUUAAUGUGAUUGGCACCACUCAACCUUUGAAGAGAAAUUUCCCCCAAUACCCCUAGGUCUAGGGUUUUGCAUUCAUAUAGACAUAUCCAACACGCGAUACAUACCUUGGGUAGAAAAAUUAGGAAAAAUUGGUUUAAGUCACGCAACUAGCCUUGGCUAGGUCGAAGGGGUGCCUUGGAUUUUUUAUCCUUGCCUUCCCCUUCGUCAAAUGUGACCCCCGAUCCCUCUUUUUGGUUACGUAGACCCAAAAGUUCUUUAAAAGGGUUUAUUUACUUUUUUUAUUCAAAAACAAAAAACCAUUUUUUGGGUGACUUGGUACACCCUAACCCUAUACCAAGUGGCGACUCCAUUUUUGAUACAAAAAACCCUUUUUGAACUUUAUAUGGCCAAACCGUCGCAUUAUCAAGUCCCAUGGCCUUUUACUUUUCAUUUACACACGUUCACAUUCCAUUACACCACUCACAUCUCACACCACACACACACCACAACUCAUCAUCUUCGAAAAGUGGGGCGCGACAGUUGGCGACUCCACUGGGGAAGCUCCUAAGUGGGUCCGAGCAUUUGACUUAGCCAUUCGUUUCCUUUUUCUACCCUUUUUAUGCAUUGCACUUGGAUAUUAGGGUUGCAUUUUUUUUAUUUUAGGCCUUUUUGCCUCGUGCGCGUAUCCAACUAUUCCCUCACUCACGUACGUGUGAUUGGUUGAUUGGAUGUAUGUUUACUUGUUUAUCUCGCGCUUGCAUUGCAUUUGGGAGGGGGCGUGUCACCUUUAGAGCCUCACGUUGGUUCUCAACCCCUUCCCUCAAAAUAGGGGAGCACUUCAUACGUGCACGUUUACUUGCUUUUAUCCCAUUUUAUUUUGUUUUUCGUGGGCGUUUCCCACACCGCCUUGUAGGAUUAGGAUCGAUUGCCUUGGGUAGGCGGCUGGUGUGCUCUGCGCCCAUAACGCUACCUAAGGGAUCACUCGAGCCACCGAUCAAAGGCCUUGGGAGUGAUGACCCUUUGCCUUUAGGUCUGAAGGCUUGGGAGCCGAAGCUUUAUCGAGUCUAGGCAUUAAUGAACCAAACCUCAUGCAUCCAUGUUAGCAUUUGCCUAGGGUAGAGUCAGCCUCACCCUUUUUAAGCACAAUUAGGCACGAGGGAAGGGGUUCCACCCCUUUUUAUUGGCUUUUAUUGUAUUUCUUUUUCUUAAUUGCUCCCAAUAUGUUAUGUGUAUUACCAAUUGCACUAACCAUUCUUUUGUUUUCUUGGCUUGCAUUCAUAUGCCCUAGCAAUAAGAGGCCCUUUUGGCACUCUUUUAGUGACCUAUCCACUAGAUAACUCACAUGUUUAAAUUUCAGUCAUUAUACUUAAUAAAUACAUUUCAUUUUAGACCUUUUUUCCCCCGAUGCAUUAUUUAUGUCCCUUAGGUCAUAUUUGUCACAUAUUUACAUCGCUUUAAUAAAUGACAUCAUGCAUAAACCCUAGAAAGGGAAUGCCAUUUAGGGGAUCCCGUGUCAGGAAUAAGCCACCUUGUGUCUCGGAUACUUAAUCCAGUGAGACUUGCACGUUUACAUUUUGUACCAUCCAAAGGGGGUAGUGCACAAGGUAAGGUAGGAUCCGAUCAUUUUCAUAGAGUGAUCUUUGGGAUAUGAGCAUCUAAUAAUCACUUUUUGGCCAUUUUAUCAAAAAUUGGUAAAAAUUCCUUGCGUGAAGGACAGUAAUUUGAAGAAAUUCACAAAUGAUUCCUUCUAUUGAGACGAUAAAUAAAUUGAGGCCAAAAUUUGAUUUUUAGAAGCUCAUAGACUAAUGCAUCUCAAUCAUUUUGAAAUCACCAAUGGCCGGACAAUUCAACCAAUCCAUUUUACCCAUUCAUUCAAUAAAUCAUCAAUUCAUUUGAUCAAUUUACCCUUUUUAGGGUCAUCCGGUCGAUUUUGAAUAAAUCGUCAAUUCAUUUGACCAAUUUACCCUUUUUAGGGUCACCUGGUCGAUUUUCAAUAAAUCAUCAAUUCAUUUGAUCAAUUUACCCUUUUUAGGGUCACCUGGUCGAUUUUGAAUAAAUCGUCAAUUCAUUUGACCAAUUUACCCUUUUUAGGGUCAUCCGGUCGAUUUUGAAUAAAUCAUCAAUUCAUUUGACCGAUUUACCCUUUUUAGGAUCGUUCGGCCGAUUUUUGAACAAGUCACUAAUUCAAUUUCAUUCAUUUGGCCAAUUUACCUUUUUUUAGGGCAACCGAGCCGUUUUUUGACCUGUUUCCCUUCUAGGGUAAUCCGGUCGAUUUUCAAUAAAUUGUCAAUUUCAUUUGACCAAUUAGGAUUUCAAUGUCGAAUUCCAAAUUGGGAAAUCUAGUCAAUUUUGAAGAAAACCGUCCAUUGCAUCCAAUCACUUGAUCAAUUAGGGUUUUUGACCCGUAAUUCACUGAGAAAUUUUAUCAACGAAUUCCAAUCUCUUCGAUAGGAGUUCGUCAAGGUCAAACCCAUGCGUUUUGCAAAUCAAAGGUGAUCAAUCUAUUCGGACGUUGUCCUCAUUUUGACAAAUCUCUUGCCACUCCAAUGGCCAAAUUUUUCAAAUUAUUUUUCACUCAAUGAGUUGAUCAGAUCCGUCAGGUAUGGUAUAGUGCUUCCCUAGAGGAUUGCAUUUUCAUGCUAGGCCUACCCUUGGCAUAAAAAGGGUUCCCCCAUAGGACAUGCAUACCGAUUUUUUUUUAUUCUUACUUACUGACUCUGGGUAUUUUUCUUUUUGUUUUCCCCUCCCCCUGCAUUUAUAAAAAUGUUUCAAUAAGGCGAGAAUAUUCUUCUAUAUCUGAUAAUUUUGAUCCAAUAAAGCUUGAAGAUUACAAGUAUUACUUGAUUUUUAGGUAGACAUUGCCGCGAAAGCAUAAAGGGGAAAUUCUAUUUAUUUGAUUUGUUAAUACAUUUUGUUCCAAAAGAAAAGGAGACAAAAAGUGUAUGUGUUGAGCUCUUUACGAGUUUCUCUCUUCUCAUUUGUAUCAUAAUUGAUUGAGCAAUUUUGUUUCAAACUUUUUCAACAAUAAAAUUUUUUGGAUAAUUUUUGUUUUGUGUAUAUUUAUGUACAUUUCAUUCUUUAUUCUUACUCAUUGGAGAUUUCAUGAUGAUUUUUGAGAAAUAAGACCCAAUUUGAGAUUUUUCAACCUAUAGCCUGAAUUUCACAAGUGUGUGCUUCCUAAAAUCCUUACACUCGAUUGGUGUUCCAACCUGUACAAUAAGAGUGCUCAGAAAGAAAGAGAGUGAACGGUCACUCAAAAGGCCCUAUGAGAUACCUUUCUCCUUCACUUAAUUCCAAAAUAAAAUCAGUCACAUUGAUUGAUAAAUUGUAAAUUGGGGUAACUUUUGCUUGAAAAUGUUCAAGGCGUCUAAUCUGGUUCAAUCACAUCUAAGUGAAAGCAAAAAUGUGCAUUAUUCUUAUUUGUUUGGAAAAUUUGGAAUGAUACUUCAAGCAUUCGUUUCAUUACCUGUACAGAUUUUUAUCAUUUGCUCUCCCAUUUGAGCUUCUAAAAGAAUAAUUUCGUUUCAAAUAAGGGUCUUAAUGAUCACUACCCGUCAUUGAAAAAUUUUCAAAUAUCAAAAGAAGAAUGGGUUUUCAAUGACCAUUUCGCUACUUCGGUUGUCAUGAGGUAUAAGAAUGAUACUUUGGCCGUCAGUUCUACAAUCUAAACACUGAUCAUCCCUUGCAUCCUCGUUUGAGCUAAAUUGGUGGUUCUUUUCGAGUGCACAUAUGAUCGCACCCCACAUUGGGGAAGGAGAUUGGGAAAUUUUGAAAAAAGGGAAAAGAAAAGGGGAAAAGCAAAAAAUGCUAGAAUAAGGAGGGAACCGCAAAUUUGGGGAAUUUGAUUCCACUUGGGUUCCAAUUUUGAAAAAAAAAAAGAAAAGAAAAAGAAGAAAACAAGUUCUAUCCGGUGGAUCACUUAUGUUUCAUAGACAUGAAUGAGCAAGGGUCUUCCUCAGUCAGUUAAUUCAGAUACAUGCCAAAAAUUUCCCAUUAAUGAAAAUUUCUUUUCAGAGUUAAUGUAAGGAACGGAAUACAAGUCAGGCCAUCUUCUUUUCCGAUCAAGCAUCUAUCCCUAGUUAUCCCUUUUGAGCAUUCAGAAUGAAAUACUUCGUUUGGCAACCCCUGAGAAUCGCAAACCCCACACUGGGGCAAGUUGGUUUGAAAAAGGAAAAUUUCAAGAAGCGGAAAAGUGAAAAGCCACAAAAUCAAAAGGCAAAGGAAGAAAAGAGAACCUCAGUUCAAAAAUAAACUGGGGCAAAUUUUGUGAAAGUUCGAAAAAAUGGCCGAAGGCCGAAAAAUCAAAAGAAAGAAAAUAAAAGUGAAAAAGCCUCAAUUGAGCAAAAACUGGGGCAAAUUCUGAUUUUACCCUAAAAUAGGGUUGACGCAACAAUGCGAUUUCAGAUUCUUCAAACCACUUUUGAAAUCCGCUUUCAAGCCUUAACUUUUCUAAGCACCCCACCUGACCCCAUUACAAAAGCCAAAAGUCCUGACUUCUGUUCUUUGCAAUGGCCCUGUCAAGAAAAUUUCUGAUGCCGGAAAAUUUUAGCUGUAUUGCUGAAUUGCUUGAGUAUGAGGUUGGCGCUACUCAUGUGAAAACCCAUCAGCUCGAGGGAAAAGAAAAGAGGCAAAAAGCAAAGCAAGAAAAGUAAAUGCAAGGAAAAUGCAAAAAGACUUGACGCUGAAGUCCCUGGGGAAUGAUGAGAAAAUCCAAACAAAGUCUGAAAUCUUUUGAGUUCAAAUAGGGGCAAUUUUGGAAAAAUGUGAUCUUCGGUGCAAUGUCCUUGAAAGUUUUAUUCUUUAGCUAUCGUUUUUCAAGCCAAAUUACAAGCUAAGAAAGUCCAUCGUUGACUUAUUCCUUCAUGACAAUCCAAAGUGAGGAUCAUACUCAUAAGAAAUUCAUCAAAUCAUUUGUGAUCAUAAGGGUAUAACCCGUUUCCACAUGUUUAGCUAUCACUUCUGUCCAUACGUUACAAGCCUAGAAAGCUGGUAUGUUGACUAAGUUUUCUUGAAAAAUAAGGGUGACAAACUCUUUGCUUUCACUAAGAUGUGACAUUGAAUGGAUUACAUACAAUUGGGGCACAAAAAUGAGACAGAUUCUGACCUCUCAUUUUCCUUCAGCCACUUCCAAAUCAAAAAUAAAGUCACUUGAUUGGUCCUGAAAAAUGAGCCAACCAGAAGUGGUGACCCGUUACCCUAAACACCAAUGCUAAAAGUGAGGAAGAAAUCUUCUUGAAUUUGGUGUUACUUCGAGGAAUUCAUCAUGAAAUUUCUGCAUGAGUUUCAAACUUGACGUUUAAAGUUUCUUCACAUUGUUGUAUAUGUGCACUCUUUUCUAAAUUUUAGAAAGUGCGGUUUUUCUUUGUUCAAAUCAAUGGGAAAUCAUCUGAACAAAUUUUUGCAAUUAAGGGAGCCCACACUGGGGCAAAAAUUUUAUUUGUGAGAUUUCAUGAAAUAAGCCCAUACUGGGGCAAAUUUUUUGUAAUACAUUUGAGAUUUGUGUCCAAAAAUCAAAUAAUAACAUUUUUCGAAACAAUCCCGCUGCUCUUUUCCUGGAAUUUAAGUGCAUGUCAUACUUUGAUGAACCCCUUGUACAGGUAUUCAUGAUUCAAAAUGACGAAAGGCAUCCAGUAAGGCGGAAGGCCGAUACUGCAAAGAGAAGCAAGAAGAAGGAGGAAAAAUGGACACUACACUUGGGGCAAAUUAUUUUUUUAAAAUUUUUGAAAAAAGGGAAAAAAGAAGGAAAAAAGAAAAAAAGAGAAAAAACCAAAAAUCAAAUCAAAAAGUCAAAAAUCAAGUUCAAAUUCUUGUUUCUUGAAAAAUCAAAUUUGAUUUCUUGUGGGCGAAGCUCCAAUGCACGCCGCGCAUCAUUCUGUUCCCCCCUUCUCUUGACAUUCCAAAUCAAGUUGGGCCUGGAUUUCGUGCCACCAACAUCAUUUUAUCACGUUGGGCCUGGACUUGGUGCCGCCAACAUCACUUUAUCACGUUGGGCCUGGACUUGGUGCCGCCAACAUCACUUUAUCACGUUGGGCCUGGACUUGGUGCCGCCAACAUCACUUUAUCACGUUGGGCCUGGACUUGGUGCCGCCAACUUCACUUUAUCACGUUGGGCCUGGACUUGGUGCCGCCAACAUCACUUUAUCACGUUGGGCUUGGUUUUCGUGCCACCAACUUCGCUUUGUCACGUUGGGCUUGGAUUUAGUGCCACCAACAUUACAAAAGUCACAUUGGACCGGGUUUUAUCCCGCCAAUCUCGGCAGGACCGGGUCUAAUCCCGCUGACCGCUUACAGGACCGGGUCUAAUCCCGCUGACAGGCAGGACCGGGUCUAAUCCCGCUGACCGCUUACUUCGGCAGGACCGGGUCUAAUCCCGCUGACCGCUCACCUCGGCAGGACCGGGUCUAAUCCCGCUGACCGCUCACCUCGGCAGGACCGGGUCUAAUCCCGCUGACCGCUCACCUCGGCAGGACCGGGUUUUAUCCCGCUGACCGUCCACACCCCGUCGGCCUCAGAUGUUAUCCCACCGACCAAUUCAUCACACUGGGGCAAAUUUUUUAGAUAAUUUUUCAAACAAGUCCUAUACAGUUCUCUAUUUAAUUUUCUGUUCGGGUCUAUCCCAUGGGUCUGUCCCAUCUACAUUUUUAUCCGAGUCUAUCGCAUUUACAUUCCUGUCCGGGUCUAUCCCGUUUACAAUUCUGUUCAGGCCAGUCCCAUGUUUGAAAUUCCUUGUUUAGGUCAGCCCUCCGAAUAGGGGCAACCGAAUGGUACAGGUAAGCAUUUGGUGUCUACUUCUUUGUCUCAAGUUUUUUCAAAACUCAGACAAAGAGGGGCAAACUGUAGACACCAAAAAUUUCAUCGAUUCAGUUUUAGCUUUAUUCAUUCAAUUUUGACUUCCUUUGAUUCAAUUUUUAGUUUUAUUAUUAUUAUUUAUUCUUGUCUCAUAUUUAUUAUUUUUAAUUGAUUGGAGGUUGCAAAUGGUAAUUGAUGUUCAUUCUUAUUUUAAAUGCAUUAAAAUUCAUCAUUUUCUUUUUAAAGCAAUUUUACACUAAAUUUUAGGAAAAUCCCGAAUAAAGAUCCAUUUUAUCUUUUUAAAAUUUGAUUUUUUCUUGCUAAGGCAUUUUGCAAGGUAAUUUUUAAAAAUUAAGCAUGUUAAACAAGUGUGUCAAUUGCAUGUUGAACAAGUGUGCAAAUAAGCAUUAGACAAGUGGUUGAGGAAUGGUAGGACAAGUGUAUAGGGGGUAGCUGUCAAGGACACUUGGGGGGUUUUUUGGGGGGCAUCGGAAAAAAAAGGAAGAAAAAACCCUCGAAGAGGCUUGAAAACAGGGGGAAGAGAAAAGAGCUAAAAACAGGGAGGGGGCUUCGGAGGAAAGGGGAGAGGAAAAACGAAAUCGAAAAAGGAGGGGAGAGUAGGGAAAAAUCUGGGGAGAGUCUGUGGGCUAAGAAAAACAGCGGAGAGAUAGCGGAAAAAAAGGAGAAAAAGAACGGCUGAGGGGAAGGCUAAAAAUCUGAAAAGAGAAGAAGGCUUCGGCUGGGAGAAGCUGGAGUGGAAAAAAUAGAAAAAGGGAGAACGGCUGCGGUUGAGGGCCGAGAGAGUGGAGAGCCGAGGAGGAAAAAUCAGAAAAGGAGGAGAAAAAUCAAGGGCGGCGGAUGAAGGGAAAAGCUGGGAAAAUUAGAAACAGAGAAAGAGAGGAUAGCAGCGGACAAAGAGCUUGCGACUGAGGAAGCAGAGCAGCUGGAACUGCCGUUCGCGGGAAGCUGUUGCCGCCCUCUUCCGUCACGCGCGACGCCAGCUUCAUCGCUUCUUCCAUCAUAGUUCAAGCUCCGCCCUCUGCCGGCACAAACAAGUGGCCAACCGCCCGCCCAAGCAACCAAAUCCGAGAUCAGCACCCGCAAAAUUUUACCAAGAAACAAACGGUAAGCCACCAUCAUCCUUCAAAUUUCAGUUUUCAUGUAAGUUUUCGAAGCGUGUUUUAUUUUUCACGUUGUGGCUUGUAGCCAUUUCUCUGUUGAAUUAUUCACUAAUUGGAAGUAUGUAUGCUUUGAAUGUCGAUUGGACUGGAGUUUUCUUGCAUUUGAUGAAAUUUUGGGUGCUGAUUCAUGUCAAUUGGGCGAGAAAUUGGUGAAGUUUUUUAAUGGCUGUUUGUUGUUCGACAGAAUGCUUCAAUGAAAGUUCGGCCUGAAGAAUGGAUUAAUUUCUGAUUUAUAUACGUUCGACUGUUUCAUGCUUGUCAAAAUAAUUGAUUCGAAUGGGUUUGUUUGGGCGUCCGUUUGUUUUGGCAAUCUGCUCCGCUUCUCGUUUGUUUGGUGUUCCUCUUGUAUGGAUUUAAAUUCAUGACAUAAAAUGGCGUGCGAGGGGAUUCAUGUGAGAGUCAUUUGUUUUGCUUUUGUUUUGUUUUGUUGAUUGGAGUCCGAAGUUGAAUUUUCUGGUUGCAAAGAGGAAUGAAAUAGCAGCGAACGUUGAGCCAAUUUGGGAAGAAGAGGAUUGCUUGAUUAAAUUCAUGAUUCCAGUCCCUCAAUUUCCCUUUCCAUUAUGAUUUAACCCCAGAAUUUUAGGACUUCAUAAUUUUUCCUCCAACACCUUCAUAAGUCCUUCAAUUAGGUCCCUGCUCUUGUUGCAUUUUAACCCCUCAGCUUCCCCUUGUUCUGAUAUGACCCGAAAAGUGGAAAAAGUGCGUUUGUUUCUCCCUUCUAGAUUUAAAUCAUCUUCUAAUAAGCAUGAAUAGUCCUUUUACUAGAUUAAUUCUUGUUUGUAGGUUCUAAUUGUGGUUCAAUAAUUUAUUUUGAUUUUAUCAUGUUGGGUUUAAUGAAACAAGUGCCUUGGGCUAAGAGGUUAUUUUUGUUUGGGUUUAAGAAAGUCGUUUUAGUUUAUUUUGUUUGGUUUUUUGGUUCGGGCUAGAGGGUCAAGGCCCAUCUAUUUGGUUGGCUAAUUUUUGGGCCAGGAUAUUAUACUAGCCCACUUGUUUUCCUUGGACUUUCGAUUGGGCCAAGUUAUCUUGGCCCAAGAAAGGUGAAGAUGGCCCAUUCCCUUUUUGUUUUGGAUUUUCGGUUGGGCUUGUAAGGCUUUGGCCCAAACAAAUAAAGGAAAUGGCCCAAUGGCUUGGUCCAUUAAGAAACCAGAAAACGAUUUUGCAAAUCAGUCCCUGAAUUUCUCCCUAAUUGUAUUGUGGCCCUGGACAUUUUCAACUUCUUUCAAUUCGGUCCUUGCUUUAAUUGCAAAUAGGUCCCUGAACUUUAUUUUUCUUUAAUUUUGACCUCCAAACUUUGUCAAUCUUUGCAAUCAGGUCCUUUCUUCUCUUGACUUCUUAAAUGUGAAUUGUCGACAUGAUUUAAUUGAUUCAAAUUCAUGCUUAUUUUUUAUCCUUUGUGAUUAUUUGCCAAAUAAAUUGGUACCUUGACCUUUUUAUUGUUUUGAAGCUAAUAUCUCAUUUACUCGAUUUCCGUUGCGAGGGAGGUAACUUCUAUAUUUUUGAGUUUAUUUUUUCCUACGUGCUCCUACGUGUUAUGUGAAUAUGCCUGUCUACUUUGCUUUCUUUGCCUUUCUUUAAUUCUUUUCAUUUUUUUUUACUUACUUUUGCUUUUUAUUUAAGUUAUUCAUUAUGGGGUAUGUGUACACCUCUUGGCUUGUAAUAGUUAGGGAUUUAAUUAUUUUAUUCUUUUCCCCCUUUUAGAUUGUAGUGGGGUCUCCCUAAUGUAAUAGAUAGGGUUUGGAGGAGCAUUCAAUGAAGACCUAUCGAAGACUUGUGCCUAGCUAGCAAAUGUAAUAGUUAGGGCUUUAAUUGUCUCAUGUGCCUUGCAUGCUUAGUUGCUACGUGUUAAUUUGCUUUGCUAGGGCCUUGCAUCUAGUCGAGCAUGCAAAAUGUUAUGUGCUAUGUGUUUAUAAGUGUUUGGCAUGUCUACUCGCUUUCCAUAGCCUGAAUAAAUGUGAUGGAUGAAUGUACGUCACCACACUAGUCCAAUGCUAGUUGUGGCUCAUUAUUUCAUUAGGAAUUCAUAGAAAGGGCUAGUCCAACGCUAGACCCAAUAGGAUUUUUCCUUUGUUUUUCAUUAAUGCAUUAUUUGCCUGUUCACUACAUAUCAUGCAUUUUUCCUUAGUUUUAUCAUCUGGCAUGCUCCUCGAUUCCCCUUUCCCCUCACUUUAGGAUUUUUGCAUUUCAUGCUAGUUAUAGGGUUCAUUUGCCUGAAGAGUCCCCUUCUGAUAAGGGAAACGAGCGAGUGUGGCUACUCGAUAGCCUUAGCACGCUAGUUUCGCCUUCUAAUCAAAGGGAAGAUUAAGUCACAAAGUUAGGACUCCCCGUUCCCGUCUUGAUGCAUUCCUAUAGGAUUCAUGCAUUCUAUUCAUUCACUAUCACAUACACUUACUUUAUAUUCUAACCCUUUUUCCACAUUCUCACUUCACACUACUUUUACACGUUUUCAUUUAACUACUCACACUCUAUGCCAUAUCACUCGCACACAUGCACUUUAUAUUAUUUUCACAUUAUCAUUCUUUACUCACCUUACCUUGUAAAUACAUUUGCACACCUCCACUUUUCUCACUUCACAUAAACUUACAUUUUCACAUGACAUGCACCCCAUUCAUUUUUACGUCAUUUAGGAUUACGUGUGACCUCUCCAAAGGAUCAUUAUUGGGCUUCACAAUUAAUGUGAUUGGCACCACUCAACCUUUGAAGAGAAAUUUCCCCCAAUACCCCUAGGUCUAGGGUUUUGCAUUCAUAUAGACAUAUCCAACACGCGAUACAUACCUUGGGUAGAAAAAUUAGGAAAAAUUGGUUUAAGUCACGCAACUAGCCUUGGCUAGGUCGAAGGGGUGCCUUGGAUUUUUUAUCCUUGCCUUCCCCUUCGUCAAAUGUGACCCCCGAUCCCUCUUUUUGGUUACGUAGACCCAAAAGUUCUUUAAAAGGGUUUAUUUACUUUUUUUAUUCAAAAACAAAAAACCAUUUUUUGGGUGACUUGGUACACCCUAACCCUAUACCAAGUGGCGACUCCAUUUUUGAUACAAAAAACCCUUUUUGAACUUUAUAUGGCCAAACCGUCGCAUUAUCAAGUCCCAUGGCCUUUUACUUUUCAUUUACACACGUUCACAUUCCAUUACACCACUCACAUCUCACACCACACACACACCACAACUCAUCAUCUUCGAAAAGUGGGGCGCGACAGUUGGCGACUCCACUGGGGAAGCUCCUAAGUGGGUCCGAGCAUUUGACUUAGCCAUUCGUUUCCUUUUUCUACCCUUUUUAUGCAUUGCACUUGGAUAUUAGGGUUGCAUUUUUUUUAUUUUAGGCCUUUUUGCCUCGUGCGCGUAUCCAACUAUUCCCUCACUCACGUACGUGUGAUUGGUUGAUUGGAUGUAUGUUUACUUGUUUAUCUCGCGCUUGCAUUGCAUUUGGGAGGGGGCGUGUCACCUUUAGAGCCUCACGUUGGUUCUCAACCCCUUCCCUCAAAAUAGGGGAGCACUUCAUACGUGCACGUUUACUUGCUUUUAUCCCAUUUUAUUUUGUUUUUCGUGGGCGUUUCCCACACCGCCUUGUAGGAUUAGGAUCGAUUGCCUUGGGUAGGCGGCUGGUGUGCUCUGCGCCCAUAACGCUACCUAAGGGAUCACUCGAGCCACCGAUCAAAGGCCUUGGGAGUGAUGACCCUUUGCCUUUAGGUCUGAAGGCUUGGGAGCCGAAGCUUUAUCGAGUCUAGGCAUUAAUGAACCAAACCUCAUGCAUCCAUGUUAGCAUUUGCCUAGGGUAGAGUCAGCCUCACCCUUUUUAAGCACAAUUAGGCACGAGGGAAGGGGUUCCACCCCUUUUUAUUGGCUUUUAUUGUAUUUCUUUUUCUUAAUUGCUCCCAAUAUGUUAUGUGUAUUACCAAUUGCACUAACCAUUCUUUUGUUUUCUUGGCUUGCAUUCAUAUGCCCUAGCAAUAAGAGGCCCUUUUGGCACUCUUUUAGUGACCUAUCCACUAGAUAACUCACAUGUUUAAAUUUCAGUCAUUAUACUUAAUAAAUACAUUUCAUUUUAGACCUUUUUUCCCCCGAUGCAUUAUUUAUGUCCCUUAGGUCAUAUUUGUCACAUAUUUACAUCGCUUUAAUAAAUGACAUCAUGCAUAAACCCUAGAAAGGGAAUGCCAUUUAGGGGAUCCCGUGUCAGGAAUAAGCCACCUUGUGUCUCGGAUACUUAAUCCAGUGAGACUUGCACGUUUACAUUUUGUACCAUCCAAAGGGGGUAGUGCACAAAGUAAGGUAGGAUCCGAUCAUUUUCAUAGAGUGAUCUUUGGGAUAUGAGCAUCUAAUAAUCACUUUUUGGCCAUUUUAUCAAAAAUUGGUAAAAAUUCCUUGCGUGAAGGACAGUAAUUUGAAGAAAUUCACAAAUGAUUCCUUCUAUUGAGACGAUAAAUAAAUUGAGGCCAAAAUUUGAUUUUUAGAAGCUCAUAGACUAAUGCAUCUCAAUCAUUUUGAAAUCACCAAUGGCCGGACAAUUCAACCAAUCCAUUUUACCCAUUCAUUCAAUAAAUCAUCAAUUCAUUUGAUCAAUUUACCCUUUUUAGGGUCAUCCGGUCGAUUUUGAAUAAAUCGUCAAUUCAUUUGACCAAUUUACCCUUUUUAGGGUCACCUGGUCGAUUUUCAAUAAAUCAUCAAUUCAUUUGAUCAAUUUACCCUUUUUAGGGUCACCUGGUCGAUUUUGAAUAAAUCGUCAAUUCAUUUGACCAAUUUACCCUUUUUAGGGUCAUCCGGUCGAUUUUGAAUAAAUCAUCAAUUCAUUUGACCGAUUUACCCUUUUUAGGAUCGUUCGGCCGAUUUUUGAACAAGUCACUAAUUCAAUUUCAUUCAUUUGGCCAAUUUACCUUUUUUUAGGGCAACCGAGCCGUUUUUUGACCUGUUUCCCUUCUAGGGUAAUCCGGUCGAUUUUCAAUAAAUUGUCAAUUUCAUUUGACCAAUUAGGAUUUCAAUGUCGAAUUCCAAAUUGGGAAAUCUAGUCAAUUUUGAAGAAAACCGUCCAUUGCAUCCAAUCACUUGAUCAAUUAGGGUUUUUGACCCGUAAUUCACUGAGAAAUUUUAUCAACGAAUUCCAAUCUCUUCGAUAGGAGUUCGUCAAGGUCAAACCCAUGCGUUUUGCAAAUCAAAGGUGAUCAAUCUAUUCGGACGUUGUCCUCAUUUUGACAAAUCUCUUGCCACUCCAAUGGCCAAAUUUUUCAAAUUAUUUUUCACUCAAUGAGUUGAUCAGAUCCGUCAGGUAUGGUAUAGUGCUUCCCUAGAGGAUUGCAUUUUCAUGCUAGGCCUACCCUUGGCAUAAAAAGGGUUCCCCCAUAGGACAUGCAUACCGAUUUUUUUUUAUUCUUACUUACUGACUCUGGGUAUUUUUCUUUUUGUUUUCCCCUCCCCCUGCAUUUAUAAAAAUGUUUCAAUAAGGCGAGAAUAUUCUUCUAUAUCUGAUAAUUUUGAUCCAAUAAAGCUUGAAGAUUACAAGUAUUACUUGAUUUUUAGGUAGACAUUGCCGCGAAAGCAUAAAGGGGAAAUUCUAUUUAUUUGAUUUGUUAAUACAUUUUGUUCCAAAAGAAAAGGAGACAAAAAGUGUAUGUGUUGAGCUCUUUACGAGUUUCUCUCUUCUCAUUUGUAUCAUAAUUGAUUGAGCAAUUUUGUUUCAAACUUUUUCAACAAUAAAAUUUUUUGGAUAAUUUUUGUUUUGUGUAUAUUUAUGUACAUUUCAUUCUUUAUUCUUACUCAUUGGAGAUUUCAUGAUGAUUUUUGAGAAAUAAGACCCAAUUUGAGAUUUUUCAACCUAUAGCCUGAAUUUCACAAGUGUGUGCUUCCUAAAAUCCUUACACUCGAUUGGUGUUCCAACCUGUACAAUAAGAGUGCUCAGAAAGAAAGAGAGUGAACGGUCACUCAAAAGGCCCUAUGAGAUACCUUUCUCCUUCACUUAAUUCCAAAAUAAAAUCAGUCACAUUGAUUGAUAAAUUGUAAAUUGGGGUAACUUUUGCUUGAAAAUGUUCAAGGCGUCUAAUCUGGUUCAAUCACAUCUAAGUGAAAGCAAAAAUGUGCAUUAUUCUUAUUUGUUUGGAAAAUUUGGAAUGAUACUUCAAGCAUUCGUUUCAUUACCUGUACAGAUUUUUAUCAUUUGCUCUCCCAUUUGAGCUUCUAAAAGAAUAAUUUCGUUUCAAAUAAGGGUCUUAAUGAUCACUACCCGUCAUUGAAAAAUUUUCAAAUAUCAAAAGAAGAAUGGGUUUUCAAUGACCAUUUCGCUACUUCGGUUGUCAUGAGGUAUAAGAAUGAUACUUUGGCCGUCAGUUCUACAAUCUAAACACUGAUCAUCCCUUGCAUCCUCGUUUGAGCUAAAUUGGUGGUUCUUUUCGAGUGCACAUAUGAUCGCACCCCACAUUGGGGAAGGAGAUUGGGAAAUUUUGAAAAAAGGGAAAAGAAAAGGGGAAAAGCAAAAAAUGCUAGAAUAAGGAGGGAACCGCAAAUUUGGGGAAUUUGAUUCCACUUGGGUUCCAAUUUUGAAAAAAAAAAAGAAAAGAAAAAGAAGAAAACAAGUUCUAUCCGGUGGAUCACUUAUGUUUCAUAGACAUGAAUGAGCAAGGGUCUUCCUCAGUCAGUUAAUUCAGAUACAUGCCAAAAAUUUCCCAUUAAUGAAAAUUUCUUUUCAGAGUUAAUGUAAGGAACGGAAUACAAGUCAGGCCAUCUUCUUUUCCGAUCAAGCAUCUAUCCCUAGUUAUCCCUUUUGAGCAUUCAGAAUGAAAUACUUCGUUUGGCAACCCCUGAGAAUCGCAAACCCCACACUGGGGCAAGUUGGUUUGAAAAAGGAAAAUUUCAAGAAGCGGAAAAGUGAAAAGCCACAAAAUCAAAAGGCAAAGGAAGAAAAGAGAACCUCAGUUCAAAAAUAAACUGGGGCAAAUUUUGUGAAAGUUCGAAAAAAUGGCCGAAGGCCGAAAAAUCAAAAGAAAGAAAAUAAAAGUGAAAAAGCCUCAAUUGAGCAAAAACUGGGGCAAAUUCUGAUUUUACCCUAAAAUAGGGUUGACGCAACAAUGCGAUUUCAGAUUCUUCAAACCACUUUUGAAAUCCGCUUUCAAGCCUUAACUUUUCUAAGCACCCCACCUGACCCCAUUACAAAAGCCAAAAGUCCUGACUUCUGUUCUUUGCAAUGGCCCUGUCAAGAAAAUUUCUGAUGCCGGAAAAUUUUAGCUGUAUUGCUGAAUUGCUUGAGUAUGAGGUUGGCGCUACUCAUGUGAAAACCCAUCAGCUCGAGGGAAAAGAAAAGAGGCAAAAAGCAAAGCAAGAAAAGUAAAUGCAAGGAAAAUGCAAAAAGACUUGACGCUGAAGUCCCUGGGGAAUGAUGAGAAAAUCCAAACAAAGUCUGAAAUCUUUUGAGUUCAAAUAGGGGCAAUUUUGGAAAAAUGUGAUCUUCGGUGCAAUGUCCUUGAAAGUUUUAUUCUUUAGCUAUCGUUUUUCAAGCCAAAUUACAAGCUAAGAAAGUCCAUCGUUGACUUAUUCCUUCAUGACAAUCCAAAGUGAGGAUCAUACUCAUAAGAAAUUCAUCAAAUCAUUUGUGAUCAUAAGGGUAUAACCCGUUUCCACAUGUUUAGCUAUCACUUCUGUCCAUACGUUACAAGCCUAGAAAGCUGGUAUGUUGACUAAGUUUUCUUGAAAAAUAAGGGUGACAAACUCUUUGCUUUCACUAAGAUGUGACAUUGAAUGGAUUACAUACAAUUGGGGCACAAAAAUGAGACAGAUUCUGACCUCUCAUUUUCCUUCAGCCACUUCCAAAUCAAAAAUAAAGUCACUUGAUUGGUCCUGAAAAAUGAGCCAACCAGAAGUGGUGACCCGUUACCCUAAACACCAAUGCUAAAAGUGAGGAAGAAAUCUUCUUGAAUUUGGUGUUACUUCGAGGAAUUCAUCAUGAAAUUUCUGCAUGAGUUUCAAACUUGACGUUUAAAGUUUCUUCACAUUGUUGUAUAUGUGCACUCUUUUCUAAAUUUUAGAAAGUGCGGUUUUUCUUUGUUCAAAUCAAUGGGAAAUCAUCUGAACAAAUUUUUGCAAUUAAGGGAGCCCACACUGGGGCAAAAAUUUUAUUUGUGAGAUUUCAUGAAAUAAGCCCAUACUGGGGCAAAUUUUUUGUAAUACAUUUGAGAUUUGUGUCCAAAAAUCAAAUAAUAACAUUUUUCGAAACAAUCCCGCUGCUCUUUUCCUGGAAUUUAAGUGCAUGUCAUACUUUGAUGAACCCCUUGUACAGGUAUUCAUGAUUCAAAAUGACGAAAGGCAUCCAGUAAGGCGGAAGGCCGAUACUGCAAAGAGAAGCAAGAAGAAGGAGGAAAAAUGGACACUACACUUGGGGCAAAUUAUUUUUUUAAAAUUUUUGAAAAAAGGGAAAAAAGAAGGAAAAAAGAAAAAAAGAGAAAAAACCAAAAAUCAAAUCAAAAAGUCAAAAAUCAAGUUCAAAUUCUUGUUUCUUGAAAAAUCAAAUUUGAUUUCUUGUGGGCGAAGCUCCAAUGCACGCCGCGCAUCAUUCUGUUCCCCCCUUCUCUUGACAUUCCAAAUCAAGUUGGGCCUGGAUUUCGUGCCACCAACAUCAUUUUAUCACGUUGGGCCUGGACUUGGUGCCGCCAACAUCACUUUAUCACGUUGGGCCUGGACUUGGUGCCGCCAACAUCACUUUAUCACGUUGGGCCUGGACUUGGUGCCGCCAACUUCACUUUAUCACGUUGGGCCUGGAUUUGGUGCCGCCAACAUCACUUUAUCACGUUGGGCCUGGACUUGGUGCCGCCAACUUCACUUUAUCACGUUGGGCCUGGACUUGGUGCCGCCAACAUCACUUUAUCACGUUGGGCUUGGUUUUCGUGCCACCAACUUCGCUUUGUCACGUUGGGCUUGGAUUUAGUGCCACCAACAUUACAAAAGUCACAUUGGGACCGGGUUUUAUCCCGCCAAUCUCGGCAGGACCGGGUCUAAUCCCGCUGACCGCUUACUUCGGCAGGACCGGGUCUAAUCCCGCUGACCGCUUACUUCGGCAGGACCGGGUCUAAUCCCGCUGACCGCUCACCUCGGCAGGACCGGGUCUAAUCCCGCUGACCGCUUACUUCGGCAGGACCGGGUCUAAUCCCGCUGACCGCUCACCUCGGCAGGACCGGGUUUUAUCCCGCUGACCGUCCACACCCCGUCGGCCUCAGAUGUUAUCCCACCGACCAAUUCAUCACACUGGGGCAAAUUUUUUAGAUAAUUUUUCAAACAAGUCCUAUACAGUUCUCUAUUUAAUUUUCUGUUCGGGUCUAUCCCAUGGGUCUGUCCCAUCUACAUUUUUAUCCGAGUCUAUCGCAUUUACAUUCCUGUCCGGGUCUAUCCCGUUUACAAUUCUGUUCAGGCCAGUCCCAUGUUUGAAAUUCCUUGUUUAGGUCAGCCCUCCGAAUAGGGGCAACCGAAUGGUACAGGUAAGCAUUUGGUGUCUACUUCUUUGUCUCAAGUUUUUUCAAAACUCAGACAAAGAGGGGCAAACUGUAGACACCAAAAAUUUCAUCGAUUCAGUUUUAGCUUUAUUCAUUCAAUUUUGACUUCCUUUGAUUCAAUUUUUAGUUUUAUUAUUAUUAUUUAUUCUUGUCUCAUAUUUAUUAUUUUUAAUUGAUUGGAGGUUGCAAAUGGUAAUUGAUGUUCAUUCUUAUUUUAAAUGCAUUAAAAUUCAUCAUUUUCUUUUUAAAGCAAUUUUACACUAAAUUUUAGGAAAAUCCCGAAUAAAGAUCCAUUUUAUCUUUUUAAAAUUUGAUUUUUUCUUGCUAAGGCAUUUUGCAAGGUAAUUUUUAAAAAUUAAGCAUGUUAAACAAGUGUGUCAAUUGCAUGUUGAACAAGUGUGCAAAUAAGCAUUAGACAAGUGGUUGAGGAAUGGUAGGACAAGUGUAUAGGGGGUAGCUGUCAAGGACACUUGGGGGGUUUUUUGGGGGGCAUCGGAAAAAAAAGGAAGAAAAAACCCUCGAAGAGGCUUGAAAACAGGGGGAAGAGAAAAGAGCUAAAAACAGGGAGGGGGCUUCGGAGGAAAGGGGAGAGGAAAAACGAAAUCGAAAAAGGAGGGGAGAGUAGGGAAAAAUCUGGGGAGAGUCUGUGGGCUAAGAAAAACAGCGGAGAGAUAGCGGAAAAAAAGGAGAAAAAGAACGGCUGAGGGGAAGGCUAAAAAUCUGAAAAGAGAAGAAGGCUUCGGCUGGGAGAAGCUGGAGUGGAAAAAAUAGAAAAAGGGAGAACGGCUGCGGUUGAGGGCCGAGAGAGUGGAGAGCCGAGGAGGAAAAAUCAGAAAAGGAGGAGAAAAAUCAAGGGCGGCGGAUGAAGGGAAAAGCUGGGAAAAUUAGAAACAGAGAAAGAGAGGAUAGCAGCGGACAAAGAGCUUGCGACUGAGGAAGCAGAGCAGCUGGAACUGCCGUUCGCGGGAAGCUGUUGCCGCCCUCUUCCGUCACGCGCGACGCCAGCUUCAUCGCUUCUUCCAUCAUAGUUCAAGCUCCGCCCUCUGCCGGCACAAACAAGUGGCCAACCGCCCGCCCAAGCAACCAAAUCCGAGAUCAGCACCCGCAAAAUUUUACCAAGAAACAAACGGUAAGCCACCAUCAUCCUUCAAAUUUCAGUUUUCAUGUAAGUUUUCGAAGCGUGUUUUAUUUUUCACGUUGUGGCUUGUAGCCAUUUCUCUGUUGAAUUAUUCACUAAUUGGAAGUAUGUAUGCUUUGAAUGUCGAUUGGACUGGAGUUUUCUUGCAUUUGAUGAAAUUUUGGGUGCUGAUUCAUGUCAAUUGAGCGAGAAAUUGGUGAAGUUUUUUAAUGGCUGUUUGUUGUUCGACAGAAUGCUUCAAUGAAAGUUCGGCCUGAAGAAUGGAUUAAUUUCUGAUUUAUAUACGUUCGACUGUUUCAUGCUUGUCAAAAUAAUUGAUUCGAAUGGGUUUGUUUGGGCGUCCGUUUGUUUUGGCAAUCUGCUCCGCUUCUCGUUUGUUUGGUGUUCCUCUUGUAUGGAUUUAAAUUCAUGACAUAAAAUGGCGUGCGAGGGGAUUCAUGUGAGAGUCAUUUGUUUUGCUUUUGUUUUGUUUUGUUGAUUGGAGUCCGAAGUUGAAUUUUCUGGUUGCAAAGAGGAAUGAAAUAGCAGCGAACGUUGAGCCAAUUUGGGAAGAAGAGGAUUGCUUGAUUAAAUUCAUGAUUCCAGUCCCUCAAUUUCCCUUUCCAUUAUGAUUUAACCCCAGAAUUUUAGGACUUCAUAAUUUUUCCUCCAACACCUUCAUAAGUCCUUCAAUUAGGUCCCUGCUCUUGUUGCAUUUUAACCCCUCAGCUUCCCCUUGUUCUGAUAUGACCCGAAAAGUGGAAAAAGUGCGUUUGUUUCUCCCUUCUAGAUUUAAAUCAUCUUCUAAUAAGCAUGAAUAGUCCUUUUACUAGAUUAAUUCUUGUUUGUAGGUUCUAAUUGUGGUUCAAUAAUUUAUUUUGAUUUUAUCAUGUUGGGUUUAAUGAAACAAGUGCCUUGGGCUAAGAGGUUAUUUUUGUUUGGGUUUAAGAAAGUCGUUUUAGUUUAUUUUGUUUGGUUUUUUGGUUCGGGCUAGAGGGUCAAGGCCCAUCUAUUUGGUUGGCUAAUUUUUGGGCCAGGAUAUUAUACUAGCCCACUUGUUUUCCUUGGACUUUCGAUUGGGCCAAGUUAUCUUGGCCCAAGAAAGGUGAAGAUGGCCCAUUCCCUUUUUGUUUUGGAUUUUCGGUUGGGCUUGUAAGGCUUUGGCCCAAACAAAUAAAGGAAAUGGCCCAAUGGCUUGGUCCAUUAAGAAACCAGAAAACGAUUUUGCAAAUCAGUCCCUGAAUUUCUCCCUAAUUGUAUUGUGGCCCUGGACAUUUUCAACUUCUUUCAAUUCGGUCCUUGCUUUAAUUGCAAAUAGGUCCCUGAACUUUAUUUUUCUUUAAUUUUGACCUCCAAACUUUGUCAAUCUUUGCAAUCAGGUCCUUUCUUCUCUUGACUUCUUAAAUGUGAAUUGUCGACAUGAUUUAAUUGAUUCAAAUUCAUGCUUAUUUUUUAUCCUUUGUGAUUAUUUGCCAAAUAAAUUGGUACCUUGACCUUUUUAUUGUUUUGAAGCUAAUAUCUCAUUUACUCGAUUUCCGUUGCGAGGGAGGUAACUUCUAUAUUUUUGAGUUUAUUUUUUCCUACGUGCUCCUACGUGUUAUGUGAAUAUGCCUGUCUACUUUGCUUUCUUUGCCUUUCUUUAAUUCUUUUCAUUUUUUUUUACUUACUUUUGCUUUUUAUUUAAGUUAUUCAUUAUGGGGUAUGUGUACACCUCUUGGCUUGUAAUAGUUAGGGAUUUAAUUAUUUUAUUCUUUUCCCCCUUUUAGAUUGUAGUGGGGUCUCCCUAAUGUAAUAGAUAGGGUUUGGAGGAGCAUUCAAUGAAGACCUAUCGAAGACUUGUGCCUAGCUAGCAAAUGUAAUAGUUAGGGCUUUAAUUGUCUCAUGUGCCUUGCAUGCUUAGUUGCUACGUGUUAAUUUGCUUUGCUAGGGCCUUGCAUCUAGUCGAGCAUGCAAAAUGUUAUGUGCUAUGUGUUUAUAAGUGUUUGGCAUGUCUACUCGCUUUCCAUAGCCUGAAUAAAUGUGAUGGAUGAAUGUACGUCACCACACUAGUCCAAUGCUAGUUGUGGCUCAUUAUUUCAUUAGGAAUUCAUAGAAAGGGCUAGUCCAACGCUAGACCCAAUAGGAUUUUUCCUUUGUUUUUCAUUAAUGCAUUAUUUGCCUGUUCACUACAUAUCAUGCAUUUUUCCUUAGUUUUAUCAUCUGGCAUGCUCCUCGAUUCCCCUUUCCCCUCACUUUAGGAUUUUUGCAUUUCAUGCUAGUUAUAGGGUUCAUUUGCCUGAAGAGUCCCCUUCUGAUAAGGGAAACGAGCGAGUGUGGCUACUCGAUAGCCUUAGCACGCUAGUUUCGCCUUCUAAUCAAAGGGAAGAUUAAGUCACAAAGUUAGGACUCCCCGUUCCCGUCUUGAUGCAUUCCUAUAGGAUUCAUGCAUUCUAUUCAUUCACUAUCACAUACACUUACUUUAUAUUCUAACCCUUUUUCCACAUUCUCACUUCACACUACUUUUACACGUUUUCAUUUAACUACUCACACUCUAUGCCAUAUCACUCGCACACAUGCACUUUAUAUUAUUUUCACAUUAUCAUUCUUUACUCACCUUACCUUGUAAAUACAUUUGCACACCUCCACUUUUCUCACUUCACAUAAACUUACAUUUUCACAUGACAUGCACCCCAUUCAUUUUUACGUCAUUUAGGAUUACGUGUGACCUCUCCAAAGGAUCAUUAUUGGGCUUCACAAUUAAUGUGAUUGGCACCACUCAACCUUUGAAGAGAAAUUUCCCCCAAUACCCCUAGGUCUAGGGUUUUGCAUUCAUAUAGACAUAUCCAACACGCGAUACAUACCUUGGGUAGAAAAAUUAGGAAAAAUUGGUUUAAGUCACGCAACUAGCCUUGGCUAGGUCGAAGGGGUGCCUUGGAUUUUUUAUCCUUGCCUUCCCCUUCGUCAAAUGUGACCCCCGAUCCCUCUUUUUGGUUACGUAGACCCAAAAGUUCUUUAAAAGGGUUUAUUUACUUUUUUUAUUCAAAAACAAAAAACCAUUUUUUGGGUGACUUGGUACACCCUAACCCUAUACCAAGUGGCGACUCCAUUUUUGAUACAAAAAACCCUUUUUGAACUUUAUAUGGCCAAACCGUCGCAUUAUCAAGUCCCAUGGCCUUUUACUUUUCAUUUACACACGUUCACAUUCCAUUACACCACUCACAUCUCACACCACACACACACCACAACUCAUCAUCUUCGAAAAGUGGGGCGCGACAGUGCAAAAAUAAUUAUUUUCUCUGAUCAUGCAGCCUUGAGGUACUUGUUAGUGAAGAAGGAUGCAAAACCAAGGCUCAUAAGGUGGGUUUUACUUCUGUAAGAGUUCAAUUUAGAGAUUAAGGAUAAGAGUGGGGCCGAGAACUUGAUGGCUGAUUAUUUGAGGCGUUUUCUUACGAAUAAGGAAGAUCUGUCAUUGAGAGAAUUGUUUUUCGAGGAGCAGUUACUAGCCAUUAAUUCGUCAGUACCUUGGUAUACUGAUGUUGUCAAUUUUUUGGUAACAAAUCAAUUACCUGCAGAUUGACCAAAGGCUAAGAGAGAUAAAUUGAGAAGUGAUGCCAAAUACUAUAUUUGGGAUGGCCCUUACCUGUGGAGGCAAUGCUCGGAUCAAGUGAUAAGAAGGUGUGUAAGUGCAGGUGAGUUCCAUUCUAUUUUAACUUUUUGUCAUUCAUUUGUACGUGGAGGGCACUUUAGACCAAAGCGAACAGCUCGUAAGGUGUUGGAGAGUGGUUUUUAUUGGCUUACUCUGUUUAAGGAUGCAUAUUUAUUUUGUAAAUCUUGUGAUAGGUGUCAAAGGGUGGGGAAUAUUUUUCGUAGAGACCAAAUGAUUCAAACUCGCAUGUUGUUUGUUGAAAUUUUUUAUGUCUGUGGUAUAGAUUUCAUGGGUCCCUUUCCCUCGUCUUUUGGUUUCUUAUACAUUUUACUUUGCUGUCGAUUAUAUUUCUAAAUGGAUGGAGGCAAAGGUCACCCGGACUAAUGAUUCGAGAGUGGUUGCAGAAUUUAUAAAGUCUAACAUUUUUUGUCCGCUUUGGAAUGCCUAGAGCUGUAGUUAGUGACAGGAGCACUCAUUUUUGCAAUAAAACGAUCGUUGCCUUGUUCCGUAAAUAUGGCGUACUCCACCAAAUAUCCACACCCUAUCAUCCGCAGACGAAUGGUUAGGCCGAAGUGUCGAAUAGGGAGAUUAAGUCAAUUUUGGAGAAGAUGGGGUGGCCUGAUAGAAAGGAUUGGAACUUGAAGUUGGAAGAUGCUCUAUGGGCUUACCGCACCGUGUAUAAAAUACCAAUUGGAACGUCCCCAUACAGAUUAGUCUUCGGGAAGCCGUGCCACCUCCCAAUAGAAUUUGAACACAAGAAAUUUUGGGCAAUUGAGCGGUGCAACAUGGACCUUGUGGAUGCCGGGGGACAUAGAAAGCUCCAAUUACAAGAGUUGGAAGAAUUAAGGAAUGAAGUCUAUGAGAACGCAACAAUUUAUAAAGAGAAGAGCAAAGUCUUUCACGACUAACAAGUCUCAAGGAAGUCAUUUGUAGUAAGGCAAAACGUCCCCCUAUAUCACUCGAGAUUUAAGUUUUUUUCCGGUAAGUUGCGUUCGCGUUGGAUUGGUUCAUUUGUCAUUUCUAAUAUUUUUCAUUAUGGUGCAGUGGAAAUCCAAAGUUUGAAAAUUGAGAAGAAGUUUGUGGUAUAUGGUCAACAUUUUAAACCCUAUUAUGAGAGGUUUAAUAGUGAGCAAGUGGAUGUCAUAUAUGUUGAUGAUCCAAAUUGUGUGGCUUAACUAGCUAUUACUGUGUCUAGCCAAAAACAUUAAAGAAAGACGCUACUUGGAAGGCAAUCCAAGGAUUUCAAUUGUGUUUUAUUUCAUAUUUGUGUAUUCAAGAUCAGUGGAUUUAGGUUCCUAUUGACAAACAAUCUGUAUUGUACGUCAUGGGUGUUUCUGUGCAGUUUUAUUCUAGGUUGGGGGCACAAAUUUGUGGGCAAGAGACUUCAUGUUACAAGGCGUGCUCGCGCCUUGUAUUCACCGCACAUGGACAUUUGUAAAAUUUGGUGAACAGAGGACUUACACCCCCAAGGCAUGCCCACGCCGCACAGCAGAUCGUGUCGAACAUAUUACAAUGGGAUGGGCAGACAGAGUCAAACGUGACCAGGACCUUCUCUAACCCCACUUUUCUACUUUUCUCUUUUCUUGUCUUGACUGGUCUUUUCAUUUUUUUUUGUCUUAGCCUCCCCUAGUUUUCUCCCAUCUUUGCUGAAAUCUCAGAGGCCACCGCCACUGCACACCUGCUCCGUUGAUGCCGCUGUCUCCACUAUCUGCGGUCAAGCUCCGGCCGCCAUCAUGCACGCUGUCCGGGCGCACAUCGGCAUCGCCAUAUGCGCCUCGCCGACGCUGCUCAUGCACGUCUCAUGCCGCACGCCAACGCCUCCGUACUUCCCUUCCUCGCCGUAGCGCGCCACCACCGUAGGCGCCAUCAGCUCUACCUAGGGCGCCACACCAAUCAUCGACCGCUCGCGCCCCGCGAUAUCUCACUGUUCCCCGCCGUCGCGACUGCUGCCCUCCGCCAUCGUCGUCAUUGAGGCUCCACUUCUUCCUCUCUGUGCACCACCAACGCUUGCUCCUUCCACGCCACCGCGCCGACCGCCGACUCACCCCUGACGCCCUUGCAGUCGUACCGACCGUCGCUUCCACCGGGGUCCCCUCCAGCAUGACAAAGUGGUACCCCUAAUUCAUUUCUUGCCAUUACUGCUUAAAAUCUGAAAUUGUUUCUAUGCGAUAUUACUCUAUUGUUUGAGCUGAGCUUGCUGAACCUCUGAGACUUUCAUAUGUGUUCUUUGCUUCGCGGUUGAAUUGCUGUGAUUGGUUGUUGGUGUUGGUGUAGAAUUGUUGUGGGGUGCUGAGGUUGUUGUUGUUUAUUUUGCUUUCGAAUUGGUUGUCGAGGGUUUGAUAGGUGAAGCACGUGGCGCAGUAUCAAUUCUGGUUUAAUGUUGAGUGCAUUGUUGACCAGUUAUUUUAGGAAUCUGUUUGUCUUUUUGCCUUGUUGUUGUGGUGGUGGGGUAAUUAUAUUUUUCUUUGCUAUUGGACUGUUGACUGUUGAGUGACACCUAUUGACUGUGGUCCCCUGUCCCCAUUUGGUGGUUGCUUCACUGUUUCUGUGCUUAUUCGUAUUUGUCCUGUGGCCUCCAAAUGCCUUCGAAAAAGCGCGUGUUCAGACACCCACUUCAUCUGGUCCAUCUAAGUCCCAACCUCGUAAGAGGCGAGCCCAAUUCAACCCCCCACUCGAUCCCGUUUAGGUCUCUCUAAAAGUACUAUAUCUCCUGGGACAUGGGGGGAACCUACCACUAACCUUACACAGGAACAAAAGGACCGAUUGACUAGCUUGAUGCCACGUCCUUUUGCUCCGUGUAAAUGUUUCCAUGCCCCAACCCUGGAUCAUUUGCAAAUUGCACGAGAAGUUGAACAGUUGUUCUCAGCAAUUGGUUGGCAGUGGUAUCUGGUCAUCGACUAUCCUACAUUUGAGGAGCUAUGUUAUGAAUUCUACUCCACUUUUGAGUUCAAUAAAAAUGAAUUCAUCACUUUGGAUGAGCGGGGGUGAUUACAUUUAGAUUAAGGGGUACCCCACAAGAUUUGUCCAUUAAUGACUUUAAUCUGAUUUUGGGGUUUUUCAGUGAAGAGACCCUUUCCUCCGGGACGUAUAUCAACAGUGCGUGUGAUUAUACCAGACCCUUUGCUAGUGAAUAUAUUGACAUAUGGAGGGAGUAGUUCACGGACCCUCAACUCUAUGAUCCGAGUCAGUCCAAGGCCUCUCAUCUUAAGAAUCCGAUCUUGAAGGUUAUCCACAGGUUCUUGGCCUACAAUUUCUCGGGUCAGAAGAACUCUUCCGGCACCCUUGCCAAGGUUGAAUUCUAUUUUCUUUGGUGUAUGCGCAACAAAGUACAUGUCGACUUUGGGUGUUGGGUGACCACUCAAAUGCAAUCCGUCAUUCAAAAGCGACAUAAGUAGGUGAUUAUGGAUUCGCUCAUUACUCACUUGGCCGUUCGGUUGGGAUUGCUUGACCUCGACAAAGAACACAAGUUCGCUCUAACUUGCGAGAUUGAGCCAUUGGAUUUGCGUAGCUUAGAAAGGAUGGGGGUUAUUUUCAAAGUAGGAGAUGUAUAUCAGAUGACGCUUCCUGGCGAUGGCAGGCUACAACCCCGGGUUCCUCCUACUAUUCCCCCUACUGGUUCACCAACCCGCACAGAUCAAGUGGGUCCGUCCUCCUACCAUGCUCCCCCUGCUUGGGAUUUCCAAUACCGUGCCCUCCAAGAUUCUAUUCGUGAACUAGGCGAGCUAGUUGUGGGACUGGAUGGCCGUCUUGCAGCGUUGCAAGUUUUUUCCCGUAUUCAGACAAAGAAUCAGGCAGCUUUCUUUGCUUAGAUUGGAUUCUAGCUGCCUCAUCCUCCUCCCCCUUAGUGUUUCGCUGCGUCGUCUCGGCUGUCAGGGAAGUUUCACCCCUUUACACUUACACACUAUUUAUUUUUGCUACAUUGAAGACAAUGUCGAUUUUAGGUGUGGGAGGGAUGGUUUCUAUUAUUUCUUUUUUGCUUGAAAAGAGAAAAAAAAGAAAUAAAAAAAAGAAAAAGAAAGAGAGGAAAAAAUGAAACAAAAAAAAAAGUAUAGUUAGUUGACUUCUUUAGUUCUAUAUUUGUUAAUUGCUAGAGCAUGUUGCUAUGAUGGAUUGCACAAUCAAGGUGCACGUGUAUGUAUCAUUUAUGCUAACUAUGUACUCUACUUUUCCUAGCCAAUGUAGCUGAGUGAUGAAUAUGCUGGACUUGACCCAUUCUUGAAACUUUUGGGAGUUUUUGAGCAGUGCACGAGCACAUUACUCUCGUUUGCUUCGUUUGUGUUGUUGAGUGGGUAUCACACAUGGUAUUAACAUUCUAGAACUUGCUAUUUUAUACAUGUCAAAGCCACAUCUUGUUGAACUGGAUGCAUUUGAAAUGAUAAAGGCAUUUAGGAUUUAACUUUCUUUAAUUUUCUACAAACCAUACCUUCAUCUUGUCUCCCAAUAGUGAAUCAAUUUGAGCUUUUAUUCUUCUCCUUUGUUUGUUAGCCGUGUUUGAUAACCCAGGACUUUUUUUUUUGACUUUCUUGUCCAACCUUGUGUCGUUAAGAGAUGUCUGAAUUUCAUUGUUUGUGCAAGGCAAAUAAAUUUAGGGUCGCAAGUGUUGUUAGAAUAGAAGUUGUAUGGUGUUGGUUCUGUGCAUCUGAGAUCGAAAAGAAAAAGAAAAAAAAGACGAGAAAAAGAGAAAAAAGAAGGAAAAAAAUGUCUACAAACUGGUGAGCAUGGGAUUCUGCUUACAGGGCGUGCCAUGCCUUGCAAGACGCCCUUUCAAAAAAAAACAGAAAGAGAGAGAAAAGAGUUUCGACACUUGCGCAGUUGGUAUAGCAAAUGGAAAUGCCUUGCUUGUGGAAGUUCUCCAGUAAAGCGUUGAGGUUAUGUAGUGGAUAUCGGACAUUAUCUUGACACAGUGCACCCUAUCUUUACCUUCUUAUCCCGCUUUGUUGGCCUAAUCAGCAACAUCCCUCAGAUUCCGGCUCGAAGGGACUAACCGCCCAACUCGUGGCACCCAGGGGUGCAGCCCCUCAUGCUGGCCAAGCGUGGUACGAUGCUUUUCGCUGCUAUUGUGGUUAAGGAAAUAAAGUUACAUCUUCACUAACAGCUAUAGCUUUUGGUGCAAUGGUAAGCGCUUGAUCCUGACAAGUGGUAUCGGAGCGAGGUCGCAGGUUCGAGUCUCCCUGGUUAUUGUUGGGGGAGGAAAUGUUGGCCUAAUCAGCAACAUUCCUCAGAUCCCGGCUCGAAGGGACAGCCCGUGGCACCCAGGGAUACAGUCCCUCAUGCUGGCCGAGCGUGGUACGGUGCUUUGCGCUGCCAUUGUGGUUAAGGAAAUAAAGUUGCGCUUUCACUAAUAGCUAUAACUUUUGGUGCAAUGGUAAGCGCUUGAUCCUGACACGCUUUUCAUCCAAGCCCCAUUACAACCCUAUUAAAGUCCCUUUGAUUUAUGUAUUGAGUUCAUUUUUGAAUGGUAGAGAUGUGAUAAAUGUGCAAGCCUAUGGUAAUGUCAUUCCGUGGUGUUGAUUUGAGCGUUCCUGGUAUCUAUACAUUUUCUUGAAAGUGAUGAGUAUUACUGCUCAUACUCUUUGGAUAACUACCUGUCCGGUGUGCUCUAACUUUGGCGACAUUGUCAGGAAUGCAGGAUGCUUGUGUUAGUGUAGAUCACCGCAUAGUAGUUGCUAUUGUGAUUGAACUUCUGAUCUUCGAAAUGCUUGAGAACAAGCAUUGCCUAGGUGUGGAGGGAUUUGAUAGAGCAAUGUUUGGGCAUCUUAUGUGCUGUUAUGUGGUCAUAAUUUUGGCUACUUAUUAUGCUAAAUAUUGAAAUUUUGCUCAUAUUUGAUAUUUGUGUAAAUUAUAGGCGGUUGGUGUCAAAAAGUGUCUCUGAAGGUGAAUUUCCACAAGACUUUUUAUUUCAGGGUGUGCCCACGCCAGAAACUGUAGAAGAGACGCCUCAAAGUCAGACCGCGGGACUAACUAACUAACUAAACUCAUCCUUAUUCCUGCGGGAUGCGGUUGGAAGUGCGUCAAAACAAAAAGACGGCAAUUUCCAGCGAAUUUGUGAUAGGGUAUUAAUUGUUAGUAAUUUUAUUGUUAAUUUUUUCCUUUGUCCUUACCAAAUAUUGUUUUAAAUUGUUAAUAUAUACUUGUAUUUGGUAUUUGGACCUAUCUACAGGAAGUGGAACUAAAAAGUGCUAAAAAGGGGGGACCUUUUGGAGAGAAUUGCUCCACACGUGGGAGACUUCAAAAAGCUUCACGAACCUGGCCCACAGGAUACUAAGCAACGGACUUCCUUUUCUUUUUGCUGAUAAAGAGUUGCUGACUAGGAGUCUUCCUAUCAAAAGGAAACGAAAAAAGUGGAAUUCGGAGAGCUUUCUUUUUGUACCUUUUCUUUCAAUUCGGCAGGGACAACGUAGGGAGCAUUAGUCAUUGUUUAAGAGACAGUUUAGUUUUCUUUCUUUUCUUUUUCAUGCGUAAGUCUUGUUCGAUAAAAGUCUCGACUGGAGAAAUAUCGUUUAUUUCUUGAUUAUCUAGUGAAAAACGUGAUGCCUUUGCAAUUAAUUAAUUUGCGUGGAGAUUUACUGAUGCGGCGUGGUUAAGUUUUUCAUCUAGUCAAGGAUCAAUGCGACAAUGCAAUCCCUAAUAUCCGUGAGAUCGAAUUAAUUUUCAUGCAUUCCUUAAUUUGUUAAUAUUUGCACGUUGUCUGCUUGAAUUUUCAUGGGAUUAUUUUGUUAAUUGAAUGUCAAGGGCCCGAUGUUCAAUGCGACUUAUUAAUCUCCUGUCAAAUUAGUUAAUUAAAUCUGUAAUUAUUUAAAUUGAUUGAUAUCAGUGGCAACUAACGUUUUUAUACACUAGGGGAGCGUUCAAUCUGUUUCAAAUAACUCUCGUAGCAUGUUAUUGAUUAGGGUUAGACUUUUCUAGUUUUUAAUGCAAUUAGAGAAUUAAAUCCUAUGAUCAUACCUAGGAGUGUUUCCGGGUUAGGGGUAAUCAACGGUCGUACCUUGGUUGUCAAUAAAUUAAGGAAAAGCUGGUCGUCAGAACUUAUUGGCGACUAUAACUAACCUGUUAAUAAAAUUAAGUAAGCCUCCCUUGCAUCAAUAAUCGGAUGAAUGGACUGUGUCGGUGAAGUUGUAUCCUUGGCUCGAACUUGUCUAUUAUUUAUUUAAUUCCUAUCUACAUUCGUGUUAGUUAAUCGUUUACUUUUGGUUGAAUUGCUUAAUUAUUUUUAGUUUCAUUCCGAUAAAAUCCCCCAUUGUUAACUUGAACUUUAGUAAGAAACGAAUUACUCCCAAUCUCUGAGAAUACGACCCUACUUGCCCUGUUUUCAAAGCAAUAAUUAUUUGUGAAUAAGCAAUCCCAUUCUGGUAUAUCGGGUCAAGCAAACUUUUUGGAAACAGGGUGAAUCAAGUAACCUAUUGCACACCUAGAGUCCCUACUCCAGUACUUAGAAUUGGAUUUUGAUUACUCCGAUUGGCAACUAGGUUUAUUUUUAUUAUUGCGCAGGUUCGGCCCUUGUCAAUUUUUGGCGCCGUUGCCGGGGACUGGCAUUAAUUAUUUGUUUCUUUUUAAGUUCAAUUUUGUUCUAAUUUUCUGAUAUUUUUCUAGUUUAUGCCUCGUUCUUCUUGGACAGACGAAUUAAUUUUUGACCCUGAAGUAGAGAAGACCGCGCGUAAAAAGAGCAAAGAGACAAGACAGCUUAGAGAGGAGUUGUCCAGUGUUGCACCUGAGGGACUUGAUCCAAAGGUUGAGUCAACAAAUUCGCAUGGUGAUAAUUCGAGUGAUUCAGACCAAGAGGAAGUCACCAUGGCGAAUGCACGAACAUUAAGGGGGUUAGCUGCCCCAAAUUUAAAUCAACAACCCUUAUGCAUUACUUUUCCGCAUUUAAAUGAUAACACAUCUUUCGAGUUAAAAUCUGGCCUGAUUCAUCUUUUACCAUCUUUUCAUGACUUACCAGGUGAGGAGCCCUACAAGCACUUGCAAGAGUUCAAUGUCGUUUGCAACAGUAUGAAGCCCUCGGAAAUUACAGAAGAGUAGAUAAAAAUGAGGGUCUUUCCCUUCUCUUUGAAGGACUCCGAGAAAAAUUGAAUGUACUACCUACAACCAGGUAGUAUCACCACGUGGGACCAGCUGAAAAAAAAAUUCUUGGACAAAUACUUUUCGGCGUCUCGAGCUGCAAGUCUAAGGAAGGAGAUAUGCGGUAUCAAACAACACCCAGGCGAGUCUCUCUAUGAGUACUGUGAGAGGUUUAAGAAGCUGUGCAUCAAAUGCCCUGAGCAUUAGAUAAGUGAGCAACUGCUCAUCCAAUAUUUCUAUGAGGGGCUACUCUUCAGGGACAGAAGUAUAAUCGAUAUUGCAAGUGGAGGGGCAUUGGUGAACAAGAUUCCUCGAGAAGCAUGGGAGUUGAUUAAAGGGAUGGCUGAGAAUUCACAGCAGUUUGGUUCAAGAGAGGACAUCCCGACGCGUAGGGUGAAUGAGGUAGAAACAUCCUCUAUCCAACAAUAGCUCUUCGAAUUGACAUCUUUUGUACUACAACUAGCUGUGAAAAAUGCUCCACAAGCCAAAGUAUGUGGAGUAUGCACUGCUUUGGGUCAUUUUAUGGAGAUGUGUCCACUAGUUCAAGAAGAAAGUGCAGAGCAAGUGAACAUGACUGGUCACGCGCCCGCGCCAAGAAGGCCAUAUAACCCGUGUUCGAAUACGUACAAUCCGGGUUGGAGAGAUCACCCUAACUUUAGUUAUAGAGGAAAUAGGCAGUCCAAUUUUGCACCAAAUAGAGAGCAAGGGCAUCAACAGCAGUACCAGUCUCGCCCACCACCACCCCCUUCGAACUCAAGUCCGUCCAUGAAAGAGAUGAUGAAGCAAUAAAUUGCUAAUCAACAAAAGACGGAUUCAGAGUUGUAAAGUAUGAGAAAUCAAUUGGGACAGAUGCAAUCAUUGCAAAAUCAAAUAAAUCAAAUGGCCAUAACGAUCAACCGCCUGAAAUCCCAAGUUCAAGGGAAGUUGCCAUUUCAACCUGAGUUGAAUCCGAAAAAUGUAAGUGCACUGACCUUGAGGAGUGGCAAGGAAGUCCAAGGAUCCGAACCGGUGAUUCUUAGGACAAGGACAAGGAACGAAUUGAGAAAGAGUUGGAAGAAGAGGGCAGAGACAACAAAGAUCCAAAGGUAACCUCGGACCAAUCAUUACAGUUAGAACUAAUCCACCUUCCUUUCCUAGCAGGUUGGAGAAACCAAAGAAGCAAUACAAAGAAAAAGAGGUCCUGAAGAUAUUUCGCAAGGUGGAGAUCAACAUUUCCCUACUGGACGCGAUUAAACAAGUACCCAGUUACGCAAAGUUUUUGAAGGACUUGUGUGUCAACCGAAGGCGGUUAAAAGGAGAUGAACGAGUUAUAGUGGGGGAGAACGUGUCAGCAAUUCUACAAAGGAAACUUCCCAUCGAAAUAUGGGGACCCAAGUAUGUUACUAUUCCCUGUAGGAUCGGUAAUACCUUGAUUGGAAAGGCCAUGUUAGACCUAGGAGUUUCGAUAAACGUCAUGCCAAAGUCCAUAUAUGCUUCUUUGAAUUUAGGUCCUUUAAAAGAAACGGGGAUAAUAAUUCAAUUAGCUGACCGAACUGCCCUGAUGGGUUGAUUGAAGAUUUUUUUAGUAAAAAUUAAUGAAUUGAUUUUUCAACUGAUUUUUAUGUGCUUGAUAUGGAUGAUAAAUACUCCCACGACCCCUUACCUUUAUUGUUAGGUAGACCCUUUUUUAGCACAGCCGAACCAAAAUUGAUGUUAACAAGGGUAUCUUGUCUAUGAAAUUUGAUGGUGAUAUUGUUCACUUUAACAUUUUUGAGACCAUGAAAUAUCCUUCAGAUUCAAAUGUCAGCUCUGUUUUCUCUGUAAAUGUUAUUGACCCUGCGGUACAGGAGGUUAUUGAAAUUGAAGGCAGGGAUGAGCUGGAAGUCGCCUUGACCAGGCACUUCGAGUCAGAGACGACCUCUGAGAUAGAGUUGAGUGAAGAGCUCAAAUGUGUGAUUGGAGCGUUGCAAUCAUUGUCAAUCACGAAAACAAGGUAUGGGCUUGCACCCAUUUUCACACCUGAACCUCACCAACGGUUACUUUCAUCUGUGGUGUAGGCACCUAUCUUGGAACUGAAACCCCUGCCGAAACAUCUAAAGUAUGCAUACUUGGGUGAAGGGGAGACUCUCCCAGUGAUCAUCUCUGCUAGUUUAUCGGAGGUCCAAGAAGACAAACUAAUUCGAGUUUUGAGGGAACAUAAGCAGGCGAUAGGAUGGACCAUCGCCGAUAUCAAGGGAAUUAGCCCCGCGGUAUGUAUGCAUCGCAUUCGACUCAAUGAGGGUUCUAAACCCGUGCGGCAGGCUCAGAGGAGACUAAAUUUCCUCAUGAUGAAGGUAGUGAAGAAAGAGAUCCUGAAACUGCUGGAUGUGGGGAUAAUAUUCGCAAUAUCAGACAGCCCUUAGGUAAGUCCAGUAUAGGUGGUUCCGAAAAAGGCAGGGGUGACGGUGGAAUCAAAUUAAGAGGGUGAGCUCAUGCCAGUUCGGAAGCCCACCGGAUGGCAACAGUGUAUCGACUAUCGGAAGUUAAACGUCGUCACAAAAAAGGAUCAUUUUUCCCUUCCUUUUAUUGAUCAGAUGGUAGAGCGAUUAGCAUGUCGAGCUUAAUAUUAUUUUUUGGAUGAAUUUUCAAGUUAUUUUCAGAUUGCUAUCGCACCCGAGGAGCAGGAGAAGACCACUUUCAUGUGCUCGUUUGGAACAUUUGCAUACAGGUGAAUGCCAUUUGGAUUGUGCAAUGCACCUACUACCUUCCAACGUUGCAUGGUAAGCAUUUUUUCGGAGUAUAUUGAGAAGAUUAUUGAGAUUUUCAUGGACAAUUUUAGUGUGUAUGGUGAGAGUUUUGAUAACUGUCUAGAUAACCUGAAACUAAUCUUAGUAAGGUGUAUAGAAACUAAUUUCGUGCUUAAUUGGAAAAAAUACCACUUUAUGAUCGAACACGGGAUAGUUUUGGGUCAUGUAGUGUCGUCUAGGGGUAUUGAGGUUGAUAAAGUGAAAAUAGACAUUAUAUCUACUUUACCUUACCCCAUGAGUGUGCGGAAAGUGCGUUUUUUUUGUCACGCAAGUUUCUAUAGAAGGUUCAUCACAGACUUCUCGAAAAUUAGAGCACCCUUGUUCCAACUUUUGCAAAAAGAGGUGCCCUUCGAAUUUGAUGAAGCGUGUAAGAGGGCAUUUGAUAGGUUGAAGGAGCUAUUGACCUCGUCAUCUAUUAUACAACCUCCUGAUUGGAACCUACCAUUCGAGAUCAUGUGCGACACCAGCGAUUAUGCAGUGGGCGCGGUGCUGGGUCAGAGAGUAGGAAAGACAGCCCAUGCUAUCUACUACGAGUAUCAAGCCUUGAACGGAGCUCAAUUGAACUGUUCAAUCACCGAAAAGGAGCUUUUGGCGGUUGUUUUUGCUUUAGAGAAAUUCUGGUCUUAUUUACUAGAUACCAAAGUUAUUGUCUUUUCAGACCAUGCAGCGUUGCGGUAUCUGUUGACCAAGAAAGAGGCAAAACAGUGACUGAUAAGGUGGAUAUUAUUGUUACAAGAGUUUGACCCAAAGAUCAGAGACAAGAAAGGGGCAAAAAAUCUGGUAGCAGAUGUAGACACCAAAUUUUUAGCCUUUCUUUUUCUUUUUAUUUUAUUUAUUUAAUUAGUUGAUUUUGUUUUAAUUUUUGCUAAGAAAAUUGUUUUACUAUUAUUAAUUAAUUCAUUGAAAAAAAGAAAAAGAAAAAGCUAUUCCAUGUGCAUGUGCUUGGCACGUGCGCCAUUUUCUUUUCUUUCAUGCAAAAAAUGCAAGCGGAAGGCGAAAAUAGGGACAGAAAUUUGCAGCUGCAUUUUUUUAAUCCCAGCCUCAUCUCAAAAAUGCCAUCCAAUGGCUCAAGUUUUCAGUAGAAACCCACCCUUCAUCCUCACCUUUGAGGUGAGGGUUUUAGGGACCUGGGGUUUCCUAUAAAAGAAAAAAGAGCAGCGGGGACAAAGGGUAAGAGGAGUCGGCAGCUGGGGCUGAGUAGAAACAACGGAGGAAAAAAGCAAAAAGGGGGGGUUCUUGGGGAGAGUAGUUGACGGCUGAAGGAAAGAGUGAAUGGAGAGUCUGAGGGCUAGAGAGAGUUUUGGAGAGGGUGACGGCCGAAAGAAAGAAACCAAGCGAGAGGAAACCAAGGAAAGGAGAAGCGACUUCAUCAAUGUAAAGGGCAUUUCGUGGGUCUUCGUUUCCAGAAACAACGUGUUUGUCCUGAGACUGGUAGAGAAACGAAUCAAGAGUCUGAGGAAGACACAAGGGAGGAUCGGGGAAUAAGCAAAGGAAAUCUGCAAAAUCUUGAAGAAGGCUUCGAAGCUGAGAGCGAGGGAAAGAGGACUGCUCGACGAGGUGGCAACUUCUGCAGCAAAAGUUCCCGAUCGCGUUCCUGGGAACCCGUAUGCGUUUCCGGGCAGAUCCCAAGGCCGCUCAACCAUGCUAGCAUUCUCAGGUAAAAAUGCCUCUUAUUUGGUGGAUUUUAACAUGUUUUUAUGAAAGAUAAAGCCAUCGGAUGUGAAUCUUUUUGUUUGCUAUUGGGUCAAGCUCUCGCUGGUUCUAUGAUUCUGCCAUUUUGCUCGUUUGCUAAGAUCUGAUUCAGUAGGAACCUAUGAGAUGAGUCUGAUUAAGAACAUGGGGUUUAGGGUUUUCUGUAGUGGUCACCUGAUGAAUCCAUGAGUUCUUUGCUCGAUGUUUAUGGUCAGUCUUUGUGUGCAUGAAUAAGCAAACCCAGAAAAGUGGCGUAAAGCUUCGGACAAGUCUGUUUUGAUGUUUCCUUGAUUGCUGCUUCUCCAUUUCUUGUUGUUUGUGUAAUAUUUGAUAUCGGGUUUCAGUGUUAAAUGGAGCAAAUGGUGAGUUUUGGUUGUUGGCUUGGAGAUUGAUCCAUCGGAUCCGAACAUUUGAUAAUAAAAAUGGUAGAAGGUUUUUUGAAUGCACCUGGUUCGAUGUUAGUUUUGUACUUGGGUUAUGUUAAUAAGGGUGAUUUGGAGAUUUAUGAGAGUUCUAGUUCACAAACAAAAUAAGUUUCAUUGAUUUCUUUUCAUAUAAUAUCAGCGUGGGUUGAGCUGCAAUUUUGCAGUAGAAAGUUGCGGCAGAAGAAGAAUGUUUUUUUCAUAUCAGGUUGCAUGAUCCUUUUGUAUGAGUGUCGGGUGCUUAAAUAUAAUGGUUUUAUGUUAGAAAACAGAGGGGGGAAUGUUUAAUAAUCCUGUUGCCUGGCUUCAGUUUGCAUUGCGCUUAUAGUUUGCGCAUAAGAAUGCUUGUUGCAGCGGUAUGGACGAAGUUCUGUUUUUUCCUUUUCCUGUUUCAAGUUCAAGUUUUGACUGUGGAAUAUGUGUGUUUUGUUGCUCAAUUUAAGUUGAAGUCUAGGUGAAAUGUUUUGGAUCAAGUCUGGAAUCCUUAUUUGAAAUGAAAGGGCAACAGCGUGCGUUUGUUCUUGAUUGCAGAAGCUUUAAGCUUCGGGAUUGUGCAUGGACUUGCAUGAAUAGCUUUCAAAAUUUGCACUUUGCUCCCCUUAGCUUCUAUCUAUGCUACAGAGGCCCAAUUAUGUUCUAAUUUCUUGCAAUUAGGUCCUAAAGUAAUUGCCAUUUGAACCAUUGCUUGACCUUUCCAUUACUUAUGGGCCUUUGAAGUUCCCAAAUAUUUUAAUUGGGCUUGAAUGAUUGGUUAAGGCUUGCUCUUGGGUCCUUAGUAGUUUUUUUCUAUUUUAGGAACUUGAUUGACAAUUUACCUUCCUUGCAAUUAUGCAUUAUUUGAUUACAUUCAAUUUGCAAUUGGGAAGGAUUAGGUGAUUUGUUGGUUUAACUUAUUUUGUGCUUUUGUUUAUAUGGUUAUUCGUGAUGCCUUGACUUUUUCUUUUAUUUUGGAGGGUAAAUAAGUAAUCUCACUCCAUUAGGGCCCCAAUUCAAGGAAGGUACACCCUAUCUCUUAUUUCUUACUUUAUUUGACUUUACGUGCCCUAUGUGACUUUACGUGUUUGAUUGCAUACCUCUUGAAUGUUUUUUUUAUUAUUUUAUUAUUUAUUUAUUUGUUUGCUUUAUUGACUUUAGUUUUGUAUAUCUAUUUUAGUUCAAUUUUGAUCAUUUGAAAGGCAAUUUAAUGUCAAAGUUGUAAUAACUAGGUUAUGAUUUUAUUUAUUUAUUUCUUUCCCCCUUAAAUUGUAGUAGGCGUUCCCUUUUGUAAUAGAUAGGGCUUGGGUGUGCCUACAUGCCUAUGUGUUUAAUUGCUUUCCCUAGGCUUCUGCAUCUAUAUAAGCAUGCUUAUGUGCUACGUGCUAUGUGAAACUAUGUGCUUUGCAUGUCUAUUUGCUUUAGUAUUAUAUCUGAUUAUGUGGAUGGAAUGCACGUUACCGUGACUAGUCCAAUGCUAGUCAUGAUCUUCCCCUCGAUCACUCACAAGUCCAAUGCUAGAUCCAAUAGGACUGUCCCUCACUAGUACAUACUUGCAUGCCUUCACUACAUCUUCAUUCAUUUUUUUCCCUUUUAGUUUUACAUUUUUGCAUGAUCCUUCACUCCCUUUCCCGCAUUUGAAACAUGAUUUUUAGGAUUUUGUAUUUCAUUCUAGUUAUUAGGGUCAUUUGCUUGAUUAGGUUAGGGAGUCACCCUUCUGGUAAGGGGAAUGGACGAGUGUGGCUACACAUAGCCUUAGCACGCUCAUUCUUUUUCUAAUCAAAAGGCAAAUCGUAAGUCACGAUUUAGGGUCUCCCCGUACACGUUUUGCUUGCAUUCCUCUAGGUCUCAUGCAUUUCAUUUUGCACACACACACACACUUUACACUCUCUCUCAUUUGCACACGUACACUUUACACUCUCUCUCAUUUGCACACGUACACUUUACACUCUCUCUCAUUUGCACACGUACACGUUACAUAUUCAUUUGCAUCCUUACACUUUAUACACUCCCUCAUUUGCACACAUGCACUUCUCACUAUCACUUUACACUCUUCCUCAUUUGCACACAUACACUUCACAUUAUCACUUUGCACACUACCACCUUACACUUUCUCACUACACACCCGUUCAUAUUGAUCACAUUUGCAUCCAUUCAUCUCACUCGAGCAUUCAUUUGCAUUUAUUCGUGGCCUCUUUGAGGGUUCACCAUUUGGCUAUCACAAUUCAUGUGAUUAGGACCAAUCGAGCCUCAAAAGAGACAUUUUGUUCCUUUCGAACCAAUAAUUAGAUUUAGGUUUGCAUUCACAUUAGACACAUCCAAAAUGCGAUACAUCUUUUGGGUAGAAAUUAGGAAACUUGUCACUAAAUCACGCAACUAGCUUAGGUUAGGGUAAAAGGGUGCCUUAGACUUCGUUUUUGCCUUCCCUUUUAUCAACCGUGACCCCCGAACUCAUCUCUUUGAUUUUCGUAGAUUAGGAGUCAUCUAAAAAGGUUUUUCACCUCAUUUUUCAAAAACUAUUUUUUGGGUGACUUGGUACACCCCAACUCAAUAACAAGUGGCGACUCCUAUUUUUCAUGUUAAAAACCCUUUUAGAUUAUCGUUUUGGCCAAACCGUCGCAUUUAAAAGUCCCAUGGCCUUUUCCUUUAAUUCUCAUAUUCACACACUUCACACACAAUACACAUUAUGACUUCAAAACAAACUUUCACUUUUUUCUUUAUAUUUUCUCAAAAAAUGGGGCGGGACAGCUUGGCGACUCCACUGGGGACUUCCUAAGUGGGUCCGAGCACUUGAUUUAGUUAUUCUUUUCCUUUUUUACCCUUUUCAUGUAUCGCAUUUGCGUGUUUAAGGUUGCAUUUUUUUUCUUUUUUAGGAGUUUUGCAUUCCGCGCGUAUCAACUCACUCCCUUACUCAUUUGCGUACAUUUGAUUUGAUGGAUGGAUGAUUUAUUUAUGUUAUCCCGCGCUUUGCAUUGCAUUUGGAUGGGGGGAUAUUACCCUAGAGCCUCGCGUUGGUUCUCGAUCCCUCCCCUCCAAAUGGAGCACUAGCAUACGUGCAUACGCUUUAUUUUUUAUCCCUCAUUUAUUUUUCUUUUUAGUGGCUUGUCACGCCACUCCACCCUACUAGGAUUAGACGACCCAUUUGGACGUGUGAUCGCGACACGAUGUGUGCGUAGCAUGAUCCAAGGGGUCACUCAAUCUUCCAUUUUAAACUUUGGAUUGAUAACCUUUAGUUUUUAGUCAAAGGUUGAGGAUUUUUGAUAGAUUCACUCAGAUAUGUAGCCGUGACACGAUGUGUGCGUAGCAGUGUCUGGAGAAUCGCUCGAGCCACCGACAAAGAACCUUGGGAUUGAUGACCUUUGGUUUCCAAGUCUGAAGGCUCGGGGACCUAAAACCUAUCGAGUCUAGAUGCAUUAGUGAGCCAAUACCGCAUGCAUCCAUGAUAGUUUACUUAGGGUAGAGCCUGCCUUACCCUAUUAGGAACACUAUUCACGAGGGGAGGGAUCCAACCCCUCUUUUCCUUUUAUUGCUUUAUCUCUUUGUAUUGCUUUGCUUCAAUGUGUUAUGUGUAUUUAUCUGAUUGAACUAACUUUUCUUGGUUUUUGUCUCUAUUGCAUUCAUAAAUCCUAGAAAAUAAGAGUUCUGGCAUGGUACUCUCUAGGAACUUACCCUAUUUGAUGUGACACGUUUAAAUUCAAUGCUUCGCAUUUGUAACAUGAAUACAUUUCAUUUUAGGCGUACCCCGGCAUACAAAAGGGGGUUCCUUUAGGUCACGUUUCAUUUGUAUACUGCAUAUUUAGUUGCUUUGAUAAAUUGACAUCAUGCAUGAACCAUAGAGGGAAUGCCAUUUAGGGGAUCCCACGUUAGGAAUAAACCGCCAUGUGUCUCGGAUAUACAAUCCAAUGAGACUUGCACGUCUAUAUUUCUUGUACCUUCCAAAGGAGUAGUGCACAAGGUAAGGUAGAAUCCGAUCUUUUUCCAUGAUUAUAGAACAAAUUUUGCACAUUAGAAUAUGAACAUCUAACAAUCAUUUUUUGGUCAUUUAUCUGGUAAAAAUCCCUUGCGUAAAAGGCAUUAAUUUGAAGAAAUUUACAAACGAUCCCUCAUUGUUCAGACGAUAAAUAUAUCGAGGCCAAAUCUUGAUUUUAGAAGACUCAUAGACUAAUGUAUCGCAAUGAUUUUUUUUUGAAACUACCAAUAGGUAGACAAUUCAAUAAAUCAUCAUUUUCAUUCAAUUCGUUUGAUCAAAUUAUCCAUCAAAUUCUUCCAAUCUAUUUGGUCAAUUCAUUCAUUUUAGGACAAUUCGGUCAAUUUUGAAUAAAUCAUCAUUUUCAUUCAUUCGACCAAUUUACCCUUUUUAGGGUGAUCUGACCAAUUUUGAAUAAAUCAUCAAUUCCAUUCAAUUCAUUGGAUCAGUUUAUCUAUUUUUAGGGUGAUCUAGUCAAUUUUGAAUAAAUCAUCAAUUUCAUCCUAUUCAUUUGACCCGCUUAUUCCGUUUAGGGUUUAACUCUAAGGUUCACUAAAUAAAUUAGUCGACACAUUGCAAUCCUUUCAAGAGUAGACUCUUUUACACAUCAUUUUAUGUGUUGAUCAAAACAAGCAAUCCAUUCGGACUUUGUCCUCAUUUUUAGGACAAAUGUCUCUUCUCACUCCAAUUGACCAAAUUUGUUAAAAUUAUUUUUUCACUCAAUAAGUUGAUCGGAUUCAUCAGGUAUUGUAUAGUGCCUACCCCAGAGAAUUGCAUUUUCAUGCUAUGCCUACCCUUGGCAUAAAAAGGGCACCCCCAUAGGACAUGCAUACCGAUUUUAUAGUCUUGCUUACUAACUCGGGGUAUUUUUCUUUUAUUUUCUCCCCUCCCCUGCAUUCAUAAAAAAUGUUUCAAUAAGGUGAAAAUAUUUUUUCUAUAUCUGAUAACGAUUUUAUCUAAUAAAUCUUGAAAAUUACAAUUAAUAUUUGAUUCUUGGAUAGACCCUACUAUUUGAAGAAUCUAUCUGGAGGCACAAGGCUAAAACACCUAAGAGACUUCAUAAUUGUUUGUCAAAGAAAAAAUUUUGUUUAUUUGAUUUGUUAAUACAUUUUGUUCCAAAAGAAAAGGAGACAAAAGUGUGUAUAUGUGGAGUUCUUUAGAAGUUUUUCUCUUCUCAUUUGCAUUAUGAUUGAACAAGAAAUUUUGUUUCAAACUUUUCCAAUAAUAAAGUUUUUUAUUUAGACAAUUAUUGUCUUGUAUAUAUAUUCAUCUAUAUUUCAUUCUUUAUUUUGCUCAUUGGAGAUUUCAUGAUGAAUUUUAAGAAAUGAGACUACAUUGAGAUUUUUUCAACCUCUAGCCUGAAAAUUCACAAGUGUAUGUUUUCUAAAAUCUUUGCAUACACUAGAUUGGUGAUCUGAACUAUACAAUAAGAGUGUUCAGAAUUAAAAAGAGGUCACUCAAAAGACCCAAUGGGAUACAUUUUUCUCCUUCACUGUACAAUUCAUAUUUUUGCCCAUUUCUAUUAGCCCCCCAAAAUCAGUCACAUUGAUUGAUAAAUUACAAAUUGGGGCAAUCUUUGCUUGAAAAUGCCCACUGUGUCUAAUUAGAUUCAAUCCACAUCUAAGUGAAAACAAAAAUGUACAUUAUUCUUAUUUGUUUUGAAAGUUUGGAAUGAUACUUCAAGCAUUCGUUUCUCUAUCUAUACAGAUUUUAUCAUUUGCUCUCUCAUUUGAGCCUUUAAAAGAAUAAUUUCGUUUCAAAUGAGAGCCCUAAUGAUCACUACCCCAUAUUGGAAGAUUUUUCAAAUAUCAAAAGGGAGUGGAUUCUCAAUGAGCAUUUCGUUACUUUGGUUGUCAUAAAACUUAAGAAUGAUGCUUUGGCCAUCGUUUCUACAAUCUAAACAUUAUUUAUCCCUUGCAUCCUCCUUUGAGCUAAAAUGGGUGGUUCUUUUUAAAAGCAUUUAUGAUCGUACCCCACACCGGGGAAGGAGAUUGGAGGAUUUUUCAAAAGAAGAAAAAAAGGAAGAAAAAGGAGGCAAAAAAUGCUAAAAUUCAAGAAGAAGAGAGGGAAUUGCAAAUUGGGAAAAUUUGAUUCUAUCUGGGAUUUAAUUUUGGAAAAGAAAGAGGAAGAGUUUUGUCCGGCGGAUCACUUAUGUUUCACAGAUAUGGAUGAACAGGAGUCUUUCUCAAUCAAUGAUGCGAGACGCGGAAGCAAAGACUGGAUUUCAGAGGUACACGUCGCGAUUGACGGAAUGGAACCCGACUUGGACCACUCAAGGACGGAUUCAACGGUAGAGGACGCCACAAUCAAGUGUGUGAGCUUGAUUGAUAAGUCAAUAAAACAGCCUAGGAACCACGCUCGGACAUUCAACUUAGCCUUCACAAGCUAAAGGAAUUUGCCACAACCAAUGGACGAAAUUCUGGAAUUUUAUUGAAUAAUAUCGGAAAACUGAAUGUAAAACAUGAUUUAAGGCUAUUUAUAGCCUUGACUAAACCCUAAUAAAGCUUGGAAAAUACAAAAGAAAAUUCGGCCAACCCAUUUCCUUCACUUGGCCGAAUAUUAACCCAACAACCUAUGGCCCGUAACUCAGCGUAGGUACUUAACUGCGGCCCAAUCAGCCGUUUGAAGCUUGACCACUUGCAUCCUCAACUGUAAGCAACACUUUAGUAGUCUCGCCCGGAUCUUCCAACUCAAUCCCUUCAAUGGGCGGUUUCUCUUGGGUUUGGACUGUGACGGCCCCACAUCUCCUUAAGGCGAACCAAAGGGUAUCCGCGGGACGCCUGCCCAACUCUCGCCAGGACUCAAGCAAUUCCAUUCCUCUUAAAACCAAACCGAACAUUUCGAAGAGAGUAACAUGAGUACAAAUAAUGCGGAAGCGUUCAACUUAACAAGUCACUUAACAUGUAACCAGUACAUCGGGUAAACAUAAUACGACUUAAAUUCUAAUUACACGUCAGGGCCCAAAUUUUACAUUUCAAUUCCAAAAGUACAGUCCAAACCAGGGCCUAGCCAAAAUAUAGAAGAAAUCCUAAACAAAAGUACAACGAAGGGUUUCUCCAUACUUCUCCGAGAUUCGGUCCUGUUAAGGAAAACAAAACUAUGGGGUGAGCUAAAUGCUCGUGAGGCCAAGAACACAUAUUCAAGCACAUUGUUCAAAUAGCAAUCCUAAAUUUAUUAAAUAAAACCGUGAUAUUUCAAUAAUCAACCAUUCGAGCAGGAAAAGUAAUCAGAAACAAUUCAAGGAUAUAGUAGCUCUCAGGAGUUAAGUUCCACUCGCUCUGCCGAUGUCAUUCGUAUACCUUCCCGCGAUGACCCUCCGUCAACCGGGUCGGUAUUUCCAUUUCCGUAGAUCACCACUUACUUCCCUCCGUCCACCGUACACCUCCAGGGCCCACAAGUCAUUUAUAAGGCGAUACUCCACGAGUAUGCCAAGCAAGACCUCUCAUUAGGUCAAGCUUAUAUAUCUCAUGGCUCGCCCAGGUUCCCGACCAAGCCCAUUGCCGGCUCGAGUCCAAGGUCGGCCUAUGAGUUUGGGCGUCCCCCAUUCAUUUGAAAGUCGAGGAGAUUCACUCCAACGACGUAUGUAGUUAUAACAUACCAUUGCAUUUCAUUCAUUCAUUCAAUACAUUUCAUUCAUUCAUUUGAAAUUAGAACGAGUGUGAUAAAAUACACACCCGCCCUUAUUUUUAAAAUCUCCAACAAUUACCACAAAUAAGCAAGUAUCAAGGAUUCACACACUUGACACUCACCGAGCAAUUCAAUAAGAAUUAUUUUCUGGAAGUUCAAGUGUCCACUGUAAGAUCCUCUUGAAGGUCUCCUUGUGCGCCUGGCAAUUAAUAGUGGAUAAUCACUCAAAUAUCAAAAUUAUCAAGGAAGAUUGUACACUAGUACAAUCUAAAGAAUAUUUCACAAAAAUGAACCUCAAUUACUCGUAAAUCGAGGUUCAACUUGCAUUUUAUUAAGUACAAUAUUAUUUGAGUUUUUAUCAUGAAAAUCGAGGGCAAAACGUUUGAAUAAUACUAAGAGAAUUAAGAGUUUUGGAAAAACUCCUUUGCCUUGAAAAUUGAAAAUUUUCAGUUUUAUUAUAAAUCUUUGAAAAUUCGUAUCUCUCUCGAUAUAAGUCCAAAAUUGGAAAACUUUAUCCCGUUGGAAACCUUUUGGAAAGUGUUAAAAGUUCGUAGAAGACACUUUUCCAUGAAUCUAAGUGGAAAGUACUUAAAAAUGAGCUUGAAAUCACUGUUCCAGAAUGUUCAGGAUUGAGUUAAGGUUGGUUUUUUUUGCUAACUUUGGAAAUUUGGCAGAAUUCACUCGUUGCAAGCUAGCCCUUGAAAUUUAUAACUCAAUUAGAGGUGUAAGUAAGGUUUAGGGCAGAACAAGCGGAUUGAGAAUUGGAGUUUCGAGCACCGAGAUACGGUAGCUCGAAGUUGGGAAAAUUCAAGUCUGGUGAACAAUUUCCAGAUUUGAGUUUCCAAAAAUUGGAACCUUAGCUAAGUGUCAAAACGAACUUGGAUUGGUAUAAACUUUUGUAGUAUGUUACUCCUAUAUGAAAGGUAUCUCUCUAUCAAAUUUCAGGAAAAAAUACCUUCGGAAAGAUAGUUAAUUAAUCAUCCAAAGUUCAGGAAAAUUUCUAAGGCAACCUGUCUUUUGACUUCAUUUCCCAAUUCAAAUCGUUUAAUCAACAAAGCUAUCCAACCAUGGUUCAUUUAUGAAAUAAAGGUCUAAGAUACAUCCAUGAUACCUUUGGUAGGUGUUUAGCAUCAAGAACUUCAAUUAAUAAGAUCACUCCCAGGUUUUGUCCCAAACCAGUCCAAGUAUUACGGUUUUUCCAAAACAGUGCAGUCCUCUUGUUUCGGUCACAACUCAGUCAAUUUAACUCAGAAUCGAGCAUGGUUUAUGUCGUUGAAAAAUACAUUCAUAGGGCUAUAAUAUCACAGAAGAAAUCAUUUCAAAAUUUGGUGCCCAACUAGUUCAAAAUUGGGCAUCAAUUUGCUGCCUUAUCACUUCAUUCCAGUUGAACAGAGCAACAGGACAGCGAUCUUAAAACGUUUGGUUCGGCUCACUCACAAAGAAUCAGAACGUGCAUUUUAUCUCAAAUUAAAGCCUGAAAUGUCUAGUUUCCAACGCCACCAACGGCACAUGAUUUCGACAUCCGAGGACGGAGUUAUGGCCGAAUCACCACCGCUGGUCAGAGCCAUACGUGAACAGUUUCCAGAUUUGCUAGUUUCACAAAAAAAAUUCGUUUGCCCAACCAAACCUCAUUAUUUUUCAAUGAAAUUUUUCACACAUCUAAUACGUCAUAUAAACAUCAAAUUCAAGCCAUUAGGUCAUUAAAAAUUGGCCUUAAAAUGGCCGAACAAGGCAGGGGCAAAAUCGGAAACUUUUGCUUCUUGCACCCAAUGAAGUUUCUAUCAAUUUCACACCAUUAAUCCAUCAUUUUAACCACUAAACCAACAAUAUAUCCACCAUCAAUCAUCAAAUCAGCAACAACCCAAGAGUGGGAGUUCAUAGAGCCCACUUUCACAUUUUUCCAACAAUAUCAAGUCAUCUACUUAUAUGCAAGUACUUAGAGAUGCAUAUCUACUACUAUAAAUCAAGUUUAAGGUGAUGGAUCAUGUUAUACCUUCUUAAUGUACUAGAACAGAAUUUUUGGCCCUUGAAAUGCUCCAAGAAAUCGUGAUUUCCAGCACCCUUUUUGCAGCUCAAAAUGAUCUCCUAGUGUUAAGCUAAGUGUGGUGCAAGUUUGGUUGAAUUUGGAGAUGUUUUGGUGGUGGUUUGAGUAAGCUUUGUGAAGUAAAAUGAAGAACAAUGAAGCUUAAGAGAGAGAGAGAGCUAGUCGGCAGUCUUGAGAAGGAAGAGAGAGAGAGUGAUCAGAUUUUUAAGCUUCCAAGAGAAGAUACUAACUUGUGGCUACAAAUCACCCAUUAGUCAACUCACAUUAGGGGGCAUUUGGCGCGAUUAGGGCUCGUUUUCACGCGCGUUUGGUUCACUAGUGCACUAAGUCUCUAAUGCACUUAUUUUCAUGUAAAUAUUAUUCACUCUUAAUUGUCCCGAAAUAAGGGUCUAAAGUCCCUCAAAUAAAGUCGCGCGUAUGAAAACGCGUACCGUCAAUUUUAACGCUAUAACGCGAAACCUCCGAGAAAUUCUUAUAACAACCGUGCUACUAACUAUCACUUGAGUAUUUAUUCAUAAGAUUACCUAUUUUAGGACCAUAGUACAAGUCUCCAAUAUUCCAAACUUAUUGUGCUCCCACGCGGUAAAAUCUCCGAGCACUGUUCACUAUUUUUACUAAACGCACUCCAGGAAAUUAAUUUUUGAGACGAGUCACUUUAAAAAUAUAACGAAGUUAUAUUAUCAUGUAUUUAGGUCUAAUAAGACUAGAAAAUAUUUCUCGUGGUAAAAAUCCAAUUAAAUAAUUUAUUAAGCCAUAAGUUAGGCUAAAAAAAAUAAUAGUUUUUACGAGUCCUCACAUGGACGGCAUAAACCAAGGCUUGAAGUGACUCCUUGAAUCUCUUAACUCGUGCUCGUGUCACUGGGCCUUGGGGCACCUUUACAGGGUCUACUUGAGCACCAUGGGCCUCGUCCGCAUCAAUCAAUUAAUUCAGAUACAUGCAAGAAAUUUCGCAUUAAUGAAAGUUUCCUUUCAGAGUUAUUGUAAGGAACGGAAUAAAAAGUUAGGCUCUCUUCUUUUCCAAUCAAACAUUCUAUCGCUAGUUAUCCCUUUCGAGCCUUCAAAAUAAAAUACUUCGUUUGGCAACCACUGAGGAUCGCAAACUCCACACUGGGGCAAGUUUGAGUUGCAAAGGGAAGGAAAGUUUCAAGAGGUGAAAAGUGAUAAAGUAACAAAAGAAAAAGAGAAAAUGAAACAAAAGAGAACCUCGGUUAAGCAUAAACUGGGACAAAUUUUGAAAAGUUCAAAAGAAUGGCAAAAGGCCAAGAAGAAAAUAGAGAGAAGAAAAUGAAAGAGAAAAGAGCCUCGGUCGAGAAUAAAUUGGGGCAGGUUUUGAUUUAACCCUAAAAAUAGGGUUGGCGCAACAAUGCGAUCUCAGAUCAUUUAAACCACUUUUGAAAUCCGCUUUCAAGUUUUAACUUUUCUAAGCACCCCACCAGACCCCAUUACAAAAGCCGAAAGUCCUGACUUCUGUUUUUUGCAAUAUCUCUGUCAAGAAAUUUUCUAAUUGGCAAGUGAUGCUCAUAUAUUGAUGCCAAGGAAUUUUUAAAUAUAUUUGAAUUGAUUAGGCGUGAGGUUGACACUGCUCUUCAUGUGAAAACCAGCAAGGGCACUUUUGAAAAAAAGAAGGAAAAAGGAAAAAGCAAGCGAAAUAAAUGCAAAAGAAAAAUGCAAAAAGAUUCGAUGCUGAAAGUCCCUGUUGAGUGAUUAUAAAGUCAAACAAAGGUCGAGAUUGGGGCGAUUUUUGGGAGGAAAUGCGAUCUUCAAUGCAAUGUCCUUAAAAUCUUAUUUAUUUAACUAUCGUUUUCAAGCCACAUUACAAGCUCAUAAAGUCCAUCGCUGACUUAUCUUUCAUGACAAUUCGAAGUGAGGAUUAUGCUUCUAAGGAAUCCAUUAAUCAUUCAGGAUUAUAAGGCAAUAACCGGUUUCCACAUGCUUAACUGUCAUUUCUACCCAUAUGUUACAAGUUUAUAAAGCUUAUAUGUUGACUAAGUUUUCUUAAAAAAUAAGGGUGACAAACUAUUUGUUUUCACUAAGAUGUGAUAUUGAAGGGAUUACAUACAAUUUGGGCACAAGAAUAAGACAAAUCCUGACCUCUAAUUCCCCUUAGCCCCCUCAAAAUAAAAAAUAAGAUCACUUGAUUGGUCCUGAAAGAUGAGCUAACAAAAAAGAGGUGACCCAUUACCCUAAGUCUCGAUGUUAAAGUGAGGAAGAAAUCUUCUGUAAUUUGAUAUUAUUUUGAGAAAUUCAUCAUGAAAUUUUUUGUAUGAGUUUAAGCAAGAUGUUUAAUUUUCUUCACAUUAUACGUUAGGAAACAUAGUUUCUUACUUUGUUCAAAUAAAUGGAGAGUCAUCGAAACAAAAUUUUUGCAAUUGAAAGGGCCCACACUGGGGUAAAUUUUUGUAAUGCAUUUGAGGAUUUCGUCCAAGAGUCAAAUAAGAUAUUUUUGAAUCAAUCAUACUGCUCUUUACAUGAGUAAUAGGUGCAUCAAUCAAAAAAAUAAUAAGAAAUUUAAGUGCAUGUUGUACUUUGGUAAGACCCCUAUACAGGUAUUCAUGGCUGAAAUUGAUGAAGAAACAUUUAGUGAUGUGGAAGGCCGAUACCGGAAAAAGAGAAGAAAGGAAAAGAAAAAGGGCUCUACACUGGGACAAAUUAUUUUUUGAAAAGAAUCUCUCAAUCAAAAAAAAAUCCCAAAAAAAAUCAAAAGAUCAAAAAUCCAAAAAAAAAAAAUCAAAAGAUCAAAAUUUUAAAAAAAAAUCAAUCAAACAAAAAAAAUAAAAAAUAAAAAAUCAAGUUUAAAUUCUUGUUUCUUGGAAAAUCAAAUUUAAUUUCUUGUUUCUUGAAAAGUCAAAUCUAAUUUCUUAUUGGUGAGUCUCAGCGUCCGCUGCGCACCCUUCUACCUCAUUUCUGGACAACCACAUUUAAUUCACUGACUUCUACCACCGUUAGCAUCGAGUCUAUCUCACUAACGUGUGCGUUUUUAUUCAACUACCGUUAGCAUCGAGUCUAUCUCACUAACGUGUGCAUUUUUAUUCAACCACUGUUAGAAUCGAGUCUAUCUCACUAUCGUGUGCGUUUUUAUUCUACCACCGUUAGCAUCGAGUCUAUCUCACUAACGUGUGUGUUUUUAUUCUACCAUCGUUAGCAUCGAGUCUAUCUCAUUAACGUGUGCGUUUUUAUUCAACCACCGUUAGUAUCGAGUCUAUCUCACUAACGUGUGCGUUUUUAUUCUACCACCGUUAGCAUCGAGUCUAUCUCACUAACAUGUGUGUUUUUAUUCUACCAUCGUUUGCAUCGAGUUUAUCUCACUAACGUGUGUGUUUUUAUUCAAAUACCGUUAGCAUCGAGUCUAUCUCACUAACGUGUGCGUUUUUAUUCUACCAUUGCUAGCAUCGAGUCUAUCUCAUUAACGUGUGCAUUUUUAUUCAACCACCGUUAGCAUCGAGUCUAUCUCACUAACGUGUGCAUUUUUAUUCUACCACCGUUAGUAUCGAGUCUAUCUCACUAACGUGUGUGUGUUUUUAUUCUAUCUUCGUUAGCAUUGGAUUCAUCCCACUAACGUUAUUCUAUCUCCGUUAGCAUUGGGUUCAUCCCACUAACGUGCCUUUCUAUUUUCGAUUUUUUCGGCAGGCUCGAGUGUUAUCAUACUGACCGACUAUCACGGCAGGUUUGGGUUUAUCCCACUAACCGAUUCUCAAGGCAGGCUCGGGUGUUAUUCCACUGACCGAUUAUCAAGAUUAUUAAGGCAGGUUCGGGUUUAAUCCCACUGACUGAUUAUCAAGGCAGACUCGGGUUUAAUCUCACUGAUCGAUUGUCAAGGCAUUUCAUUCAUCACUGCCACUAAACAUGGGUUAGUCCCACUAGUGAGCACUUCAUUCAUCAUUGCCAUUAAACACGGGUUAAUCCCACUAAUGUACAUUACAUCUUAUCGUUAGACAUGGGUCAGUCCCACUAACACUUCAUUUCACUUCACUUCACUUCAUCCCGUUGGGUUUGGAUUUUGUGCCACCAACCUCGGCAGGCUUGGGUUGUAUCCCACUGACCGAUGUCAUAGCAGCUUCGGGUCAGUCCCGUUUUAAAUUUCUUGUUCGGGUCAGUCACGUUUUAAAUUCCUCAUUCAGGUCAGUCCCGUUUUAAAUUUCUUGUUCAGGUCAGUCUCGUUUUAAAUUUCUUGUUCGGGUCAGUCCCGUUUUAAAUUUCUCGUUCGGGUCAGCUCCAUUUUAAAUUCCUUGUUCGGGUUAGUUCCGUUUUAAUUUUCUUGUUCGGGUCAGUCCCGUUUUAAAUUUCUCGUUCGGGUCAGUCUCGUUUUAAAUUAUUUGUUUGGGUCAGUCCCAUUUUAAAUUUCUUGUUCGGGUCAGUCCCGUUUUAAAUUCUUUGUCUGGGUCAGUCCCAUUUUCUAAUUUUUUGUUAAAGGGGUCAGUCCUCAUUUUGAAAGCGUCAGUCAUUCGAGUAGUUUGCAGCAGAAUAACCACAGGUGAGUAUUUGGUGUCUACGUCUUUGUCUCAAAUUUCUUCGAAACUCAGACAAAGAGGGGUAAACUGUAGACACCAAAUUUUUAGCCUUUCUUUUUCUUUUUAUUUUAUUUAUUUAAUUAGUUGAUUUUGUUUUAAUUUUUGCUAAGAAAAUUGUUUUACUAUUAUUAAUUAAUUCAUUGAAAAAAAAGAAAAAGAAAAACUGUUCCAUGCGCUCGUGCUUGGCACGUGCGCCAUUUUCUUUUCUUUCAUGCAAAAAAUGCAAGCGAAAGGCGAAAACAGGGACAUAAAUUUGCAACGGCAUUUUUUUAAUCCCAGCCUCAUCUCAAAAAUGCCAUCCAAUGGCUUAAGUUUUCGGUAGAAACCCACCCUUCAUCCUCACCUUUGAGGUGAGGGUUUUAGGGACCUGGGGUUUCCUAUAAAAGAAAAAAGAGCAGCGGGGACAAAGGGUAAGAGGAGUCGGCGGCUGGGGCUGAGUAGAAACAACGGAGGAAAAAAGCAAAAAAGGGGGGUUUUUGGGGAGAGUAGUUGACAGCUGAAGGAAAGAGUGAAGGGAGAGUUUGAGGGUUAGAGAGAGUUUUGGAGAGGGUGACGGCCGAAAGAAAGAAACCAAGCGAGAGGAAACCAAGGAAAGGAGAAGCGACUUCAUCAACGUAAAGGGCAUUUCGUGGGUCUUCGUUUCCAGAAACAACGUGUUUGUCCUGAGACUAGGAGAGAAACGAAUCAAGAGUCUGAGGAAGACACAAGGGAGGAUCGGGGAACAAGCAAAGGAAAUCUGCAAAAUCUUGAAGAAGGCUUCGAAGCUGAGAGCGAGGGAAAGAGGACUGCUCGACGAGGAGGCAACUUUUGCAGCAAAAGUUCCCGAUCGCGUUCCUGGGAACCCGUACGCGUUUCCGGGCAGAUCUCAAUGCCGCUCAACCGUGCUAGCAUUCUCAGGUAAAAAUACCUCUUAUUUGGUGGAUUUUAACAUGUUUUUAUGAAAGAUAAAGCCAUCGGAUGUGAAUCUUUUUGUUUGCUACUGGGUCAAGCUCUCGCUGGUUCUAUGAUUCUGCCAUUUUGCUCGUUUGCUAAGAUCUGAUUCAGUAGGAACCUAUGAGAUGAGUUUGAUUAAGAACAUGGGGUUUAGGGUUUUCUAUAGUGGUCACCUGAUGAAUCCAUGAGUUCUUUGCUCGAUGUUUAUGGUCAGUCUUUGUGUGAGUAUUGGAGCAGGGACUGAAACCCGAAUUGCCAUCUCAACCUGAAUUGAACCCGAAGAACGUAAGCGCGAUGAGUACUGGAGCAGGGACUCUAGGUGUGUAAUGAGUUACUUGAUUCAUCCUAUUCCCGAAGUGUUUGCUUGACCCGAUAUACCAGAAUGGGAUUGCUUAUUCGCAAGAAACUAUUGAUUUGUAAACAGGGCAAGUAGGGUCGCAUCCUCAGGGACUGGAAAAAAUUCGUUUCUUUUCAAAUCCACAAUAACAAGGGGAUGUUUUUGGUAUAAACGAUGACAAUCAAAGGAGUUUAAAUAAAGAUAAAUAGCUAACUAGGAAUUAAAUGACAAUUUACUAAAAUCAGAGUAAUAAUAAUUAAAGGUCUAGCCAAGAAAUAACUUCAGCAAUGGUUCACCUAAUUGAUCAUCGAUGCAAAUGCAAUUCCAGUUAUUUACUAAUAAAUAGGUUAUAACUGUCAAACAAGCAAUGACAGUCAACCCCUUCUUACUGUGUCGGUGACUAAGGUACGCCCGUUAAUCACUACUCUAAUUGAGAAAUAAUCCUAAGUACGCCCGUAAGAUUUAAUUUUCCAAUUGCCUUACGUAUUAAAGAAGCCCUAUUCUAACCAAAUAACACACUACCAGGGUUAUUUUAGAUUAGCCUGCGCAUUCCCCUGACACAAACCCAAUCAUGCCAGUUGUCACUAUUUUAGGGCAAUUAAACAAUUACGAUUUAAUGCUCUAAUUGACAAUAGGUUACUAAACUAAUUCAUUAUCUGGAUCCAAGACAAUCAAUUAAUUAAAUAACCAUAAGUACUACAAUCAGGGAAUAUGCAAAUACCAAUAAAUAAGAGGAAAAGAUAAAUUUAAAUCGAUCUCACAAUUUUUAGAUGAACCAAAACCUCCGUUGUUUCUUGACCAGAAAAGGGAAUUUAAUUCAUCCCGGAUAGGAAAGACCCACACAAAGUUGCAGCAAUAGUUGCGGCCAUUGUCUCCAAGAAUUGGGAAAAUUCAAUUCGUUCGAAUCAAUAAGAAAAGCAAGCUACAGAAAAUAAUUACUGGUCUUCACUUUGUCUUGACAUACGAAGAAGGAAAACUACUAAGAGCCCACAAGAAGAAAAGUCAAAAGCUAAAACUAAAAAGUAGUGCCCUCUUGUUUCUCUCUAUUCCUAUCUAAUGCCCCCUGCUUUGCAGCUGCCCCGCGGCAGAAAAAGAGAGAGUCCAGCCUUGUUCCGUCUCUUCCUUCUUCGGUAAGUACCAAAAGGGGAAAAGUUCCCCUUUUCCAAAAAUGCCACUGGGAUGAGGGCUGCUACUUGAACUCCUUUCCUAAUGACUAUCAAAUUGGCACUUGUUGUGGUAUUUUUGUUCUACUCCCUGUAAUAAAUGUAAAUUUUCAAAAGUGAGUAGAAUCUAACAAUUAAUCCACAUCAGGUCAAGUAAUAAGAGAAAUUAAUAAUAAAAGAAAUGAUAAAAUUGCGACCUAUCAAAAUGGGAUGGAUGUUUAGAUAGGAAUUCUGUAGAGGGCUGGUAGCAGCCAUCCAAAGAGAACAAGUCCAUUUGUGGACAAAAUAAAGUGAAUGGAGAAUAUAUAUAUAUAUAUAUACGCUACAUGAAUAUUCAACAUAUACAAAAAUGUGAUCAAGAAAAAUGAGGAAUCUGACAGCCUAAUGCUUACUUGCUGCUUUUUAUGGUUUAACUUUAAAGAGACUUUGGUGUCUUGGUAGUUCGUAAUUUGAUUCGAGGUUGAUAAAAAGAAAUUUUUCAGAAAACGUGAAAUAGGGUAAGUAUCCUAGUUUAUUUUAGGUAUUGAAAGUUAAUAAAAAUGGAAAUUAUGGCAGUAAUCCUCUUCAUUUUUCCCCACCAACCAAAGCAACGAUUUUUAAGAAUACAAACAAGAUUUUAAAAAAUAGUUGUGGAGAAAACUUUUAACAAGUUUAAAAUGCAAAGUGUCCAUCAUAAUGUAGAAGAGCACAAUAAUUAGAACUCCCACGUUGGCUAAGCAAAAAUAUAUGUUUGCUCUAAUAACAUAUUACAUAUUAAAUUAUUUUACUAUGAGGUAGGGUACAUUUUUUUUAUAGUUUAGCAAACUAGAACAAAAUUAUAAUAAUUUUAAAUUAAUAUAGUUGCGUGGUGAAAUAUCAUCUGCGGCAAUAUAUAUAUAUAUAUAUACACACACACAUGCGCACGCACACUACUUAUUCAGUUGAAAAAAAUACAAGAAUUUGACAAUAUUGGUUAAUCAAAGAGCACCUUUAGUGACAUGAGAAUGAAAAUUGCUCCUAGAAUAUCUUCCUGAACUUUGUCAUUGAACGAUUGCUCAAAGAGUCUGUAAGAAAUUUAAUUCAUUCUAAUUUUGUCAGUAUUUAAGAAAGUAAGGAUGAUUGAAUUUGACUGCCAUUGUUUUCGAAAGAAUGACUCCACUCAUUAAAGAAUCAAGCCAAAAUUGAGACAAGUAUGAACAAACAAGCAAUUAGUAAUUUAUAUUGUGGUAAUACAAGUUUAUACAAAAAAAAAAGUAGGCACAGUGUAUUUUUUCUGCACCUGUUGUCUAAUAAUAUUAUCACCUUCCAAACUUUGUGGGUUUGUAAAAUGCAUCAAUUAUGGAUCUUGGAGUAAAGAUAUUAAGUAUUAACUAAAUUAACUAAUUAUUGAACUUAUACUCAUGGAAUAAUAAUUUUUUUUUGUAAUGUGCUAAUCUCUAGAAUAUUUGACUUUUAAUAUCCAGGUCUCCCAAUGGUGUGGAAAUUAAGUUGUUCUUCAACAUGCAGCUUCGUGGGACUUCAAGCAUGCCAAGAGUUUCUGGGAAAGAAUAGGUCAAGAUAAGUGACUUGGAGGAAUCUUCAAAAUCAAUACACUUUGUUGAAAUUGAAACUCUUGGAAGUAGCUUGACUGCAUUCAUACCAAAAAGUAAUUUAACAUAAUACUUAUGGACUUUCUCCAUCUCUUUUGUCAUUUCUUUUUCGAAAUUUAUUGUUUAUAGGAAAAAGAAAAAGUCGAUUCAAGAUAUGAAUCUAUGAACAGUUCAACAAUCUAGAUAAUAUUACUCAUUAACGAGAGAGGUUAAUCUAAAAGGACUGAGAUUCGUAGACCAACUGGUCACUACUCAUUACUCAUUAAUAUUCUAAUGUUUGCUUGCUUCUUUUUCAUGGUUUAACUUUAAAGUGAUUUUGGUGUCUUGCUAGUUUGUAAUUUGAUUCAGUCCGGUUGAUAGAAAGAAAUUGCUCAGAAAAUGUGAAAUAGGUUAAAAUAUCCCAGUUUGGUUUGGAUAUUGAAAGUUAUAAAAAUGGAAAUUAUGGCGGUGAUCCUCUUCAUUUUUCCCCACCAAUCAAAGCAGUGAAUUUUUUAAGAAUACAGACAAGAUUUGAAAAAAUAGUUAUCUAUAAUAAUGUAGAAGGGCACAAUAAUUAGAACUCCUAUAUAUGUUGGCUAAGCAAAAAUAUAUUUUUGUUAUCAUAAGAUCUUACAUACGAAACGAUUGUACUAUCAGGCAGGGUAGAUUUUCUUUAUAGUUAGCAAACUGGAACAAAAUUAUAAUAAUCUUAUUUUAAUAAAAUUGCCAAAUGAAAUAUCAUUUGCAAUGACAAUGUAUAUAUUACUAGUUUAAUUGACAAAAUAUAAGGAUUUGACAAUGCUAAUUUGAUUAAUCAAAGAGCACUUUUAGAAGAUAUUACGUUUACACGUAAAACUUAAAAGCCAAUUUAUUUAUUUUUUUUUGCUUUUCUAAAUUUAAAUUCUUUUUGCACGUGCUUCCACUAUUAUCUUGCUCUACAUUUGAGAAGAACUUCUUACAACUUUCUUCAAAUAAAUACCUUUUCCAUACAAAUCCCGCGCCUUUAUAUAAACAAUUACGCUGGUUACAAAGUUUAUCAAGCAAUAAUGAAGAGGCCGAUAACAUUUUAUAGUACCUUACUUUUCUUCUUUCUUUUACAUCCUGAAGAAGUGAUCACUUUCACUUUCUUGGAAGAUCAUUUGUGCCAUCAUGAUGAGGCUCUUGCACUGCUUCAGUUUAAGGAAAUGCAUAGCACAUCAACUGAUGCUUCUCAUGAUUGCAAUUAUUUUGGUCAGUACUCAUAUCCAAAGACAACACAUUGGAAACCAGAUACAGAUUGUUGCAAUUGGGAUGGUGUCACAUGCGACAACAUCACCGGUCGUGUAAUUGGGCUAGAUCUGAGUUGUGGCCAGCUUCAGGGAGUCAUCCAUCCAUACGCUACCCUUUUCAAUCUUUUCCAUCUCCACAGUCCCAACCUUACUUUUAAUGAUUUCACCGGCUCACGGAUUUCAUAGUGAUUUGACUCGCUAAAAAGUUUGAUCCACCUCAAUCUCUCAAAUUCAAAUUUCCAAGGUGAGGUUGCUUCAGAAAAUAUCACACCUGUUCAACCUAAUUUCACUUGAUCUCUCUUUCAAUCUCUUGUGUAAUUCUAUGGGUUGCUCAUAUCCAAGAUAUGAAUUUAGUAAUUUUGAAGCGAUGCUUCAAAACAUAACCCAUUUAAGAGAGCUAUCACUUUCGUCAGUGAACAUCUCAUCCGAGUUAAGGGUGAAUUUUUCUUCAUCUUUGACAUAUCUAGAUCUCUCAUAUACUGGAAUAACAGGUAAUCUACUAGGCAAUGUUUUUCAUCUACCGAACAUGCAAGUUCUCUCGUUAGAUAGCAAUGAGAAUCUUACUGUUAGUUUAUCAAACUUGAACUGCAGCAUUUCUGAUUCUCUGAGGCAGUUGGACCUAUCGGCGACAAGUCUCUCUGCUGCACUGUCAGAUUCAAUUGGGUGCAUAAGGUCCUUAAAUUCUUUGGAUCUAGGAACUUGUCAAAUUUCUGGUGUCAUUCCUGAAUCAAUUGUCUUCGGAAGAUAACUAUCUUCUAGGGAAAAUUCUAGCUAAAUUUUCCUGUUCACAAAAGCUAAGUAGACUAUCACUUGGUCUUUUUAGAUCUCUCUAGUAAUCAACUAAGCGGUUCACUUCCUCCAACAAUUUUUACUAUUCUGACUCUAUCUUAUCUUGACCUUUCUUCAAACCAUUUUGCUGGGGUUGGGCAAGACGUAUUUGUGGACUUCAAUAAGCUUCAAAAGAACCCUCUUGAGAAUGAAGCCCCACGGAACACUAAAAACAAUGUGAGCAUUUCCUAUCCAGAUUUCUGGCACUUGGGAUUGUCUUCUUGCCAGAUAAAGGAAUUUCCUGAGUCGCAUAGAAAUUCAAAGAGCUUAAAAUUUCUGGACCUCUCAAAUAACAGGAUUCACGGCGAAAUUCCAAGCUGGUUCAUGUUGAAGAAAAGGGUUCAGAUUGGGAAAAACUUCAAGCGUAUAUUACUGAUUGCAAUAGUCUGCUGAUAUAGUUACAAGAAUUUGACAAAAAAGGGAAGAUACAAUUAUUCCUAAAAUCAUGUAAUGGAAAGCUAAAACUACUCCUACAAUCACGUCAUGACAAAAACUUAUAUGGUAACAAUAUAUACAGCUAUAUGAUUGAAUAUCUCAACACUCCCCCUCAAGUUGGAACAUGGAGAUUGCGAAUGCCCAACUUGCUCAACAAAUGGUGGAACUGAGCUUUCCCAAGUGCUUUGGUGAACAAGUCGCCAAUUUGAUCACAUGAGCGAACGUGAGCAGUCUGCAACUCGUUACUUAGUAUGCGAUCACGAAUGAAAUGGCAAUCAAUUUCAAUGUGCUUUGUACGUUCAUGAAAAACUGGAUUUGCAGCAAUGUGUAGAGCAGCUUGGUUGUCACAAAAGAGAGACAUGGGUGAUGCUAAUGAAACUUUCAAAUCUGCAAACAAAGAACGCAGCCAGAGGAGUUCACUAGUAGCAUUGGCCAUUGCCCUAUACUCUGCUUCAGCGGAUGAGCGGGAAACUGUAGUUUGCUUUUUGGACUUCCAAGAAACCGGGCUAUUACCGAGGAAAACGAUAUAACCACUAGUCGAUCGUCGAGAUGUUGGGCAGCUGGCCCAAUCUGAGUCACAAUAAGCAAUGAGUUGCAGCAAACUAGCAGAUGACAAGAAUAUACCUUGGCCUGGUGCCCUUUUGAGGUAGUGAAGGACUCGAUAAGCUGCAUCCAAGUGAGGAACACGUGGAUCUUGCAUAAAUUGAUUGAGAACUUGUACUGGAUAGCUAAUGUCAGGUCGAGUUAUCGUCAAAUAAAGUAGCCUUCCAAUGAGACGACGAUAUUGACCAGCAUCUUUAACUACUGCACCAACUCCCGCUGCCAAGUUGUGUCGUUGUUCCAUAGGAAAGUCAGCAGGACUUGCGUCGAGAUGACAAGUCUCUUCAAGGAGGUCUAGAGUGUAUUUUCGCUGGCUAAGUACAAUUCCUUCCUUAUUACGAGCCACCUCAAUACCAAGAAAAUAUUUGAGUUGCCCAAGAUCUUUGAUGCGAAAAGCUGAAUCAAGAUGAUGCUUCAUAUGAUUGAUGGUGGUUGAAUCAUUUCCAGCCACAAUAACAUCAUCUACAUACACUAACAAAGCAGUAAAGUGUGCUCCACUGGUGAAUGUAAAAUGUGAAUUAUCUGUAGCAGAUUGACUAAAACCAAUACUCUACAAGCAACUAGAAAAUGUUUGAAACCAAUUUCUAGAGGCUUGUUUAAGGCCAUAAAGGGACUUUCGAAGUCGACAAACCCGAUUGUCACCUGGUUUUGCAAAGCCUUGUGGUAUUUUCAUGUAUACCUCUUCACGUAGAUCUCCAUGCAGGAAGGCAUUAUUAAUGUCCAGCUGAUGUAAUUCCCAAUGUCGUACUGCAGCCACAACUAAUAGACAACGUAGAGUUGUAAGCUUUGCAACUGGAGCAAAAGUAUCAUGGUAAUCGAGUCCUUCAACCUGUGUAAAACCUUUAGCAACCAAACGUGCCUUAAACCGCUCAAUUGUGCCAUCAGACUUGUACUUGAUUUUGUACACCCACUUGGAAUCAAUGGCAUGCUUACCAGGUGGUAGAUGCUCUAAUGUCUAAGUUUGAUUCUCCUCCAGUGCCUUAAUUUCUUGCUGCAUAGCAAGUCUCCAACGAUGAUCCCUAACUGCUUGGGAAAAAAACUUUGGUUCGUCUAAUGAAGUGAUGGAGGCCAAAAAAGCUUUAUGGGCAUCAGUGAAAUGAGAAUAGGACAAGUUAUGAGAGAUAGGAUAAAUUGUACCUGAGUUUGCUGAUGGAGGGGACUCCCGAGAUGGUUCCAAGGAGGGUAACAACUUAUAAUCAAAACCAGAAAGCUUUGUGGAUACAUGCCUUACUCGAUGUGGACGCUGCAAGGAAGGAAUUAUAUUUCCACUAGGGCUGCCAGUAUCUGGUUGUAGUGUAGAAUUAUCUUUUUCAUGUUGGGUUUGUUGGGAAAAUGUAUGUUCAAUAGGAGAUGGUGUGGUGUCCAUCGAAGUGGAGUUUAUAGGAGGUGGAAUUGGGUCAGAUUGUGAGUAAUCAUGCUGAUCUAUAUGGGGUUGCACACUCCACAUUGAAGGUUUAGACUCGUUAUUUCAUUGAAAAGGAAAUUCUGUCUCAUAAAAUAUCACAUCCCGUGAUACAAAUACUUUUUCUCUUUCCAAAUCAUAGACUUUAUAGCCCUUUUGUCCAUGGGGAUAACCAAGAAAAAUACACCGAUAGGCUCUAGUAGAGAAUUUAUCUCGGUGUUUGUCAUGAUUAUGAGCAUAACAAAGUGAUCCAAACACCUUCAAAUGAUUGUAGUUGGGUUUACUUUUGAAAAGUACCUCAUAUGGGCUCUUGCCUUUGAGAGUGGGAGUGGGCAUCAAAUUGAUAAGAUGAACUGCUGUCAAAACACAUUCUCCCCAAAAUUUCAAAGGUAAAUGGGCUUGAAAACGCAAUGCUCGCGCAACCUCAAGAAUGUGGCGAUGUUUGCUCUCCACUCGCCCAUUUUGUUGUGGAGUAUCAACACAAGAGGUUUGAUAGUCAAUCCCUUGACUAGCAAAAAAAUCUCUCAUGGUCCUGAGACAAAUUCACUCCCAUUAUCACUUCUCACAACCUGUACUGGGUAACCAAAUUGAGUUUGUGUAGAUUGGCAGAACAUGGUUAGAAAAUCAUAGGCCUACAAUUUAUUUUUCAAAAGAAAGACCCAAGUACAUCGUGAAAAAUCAUCAAAAAUAGUUAAGAAAUAAUGAGCACCACUAAGUGAUAAGACAGAAUAUGCUCCCCAAAGAUCAACAUGAAUCAAAGCAAAAGGUUUAACACUUUUCUUAUUGCUGUUUGGAAAAGACAAUCUUGUUUGUUUGGCCCUAUGGCAUACAUCACAAAUGUGAUUAAAAUUGCUAGGAAAAGGAAUACUAGAAAUUAAUUUUAAUCGGCUAAAGGAAGGAUGACCCAAGCGCAUGUGCCACAAGGUAGCAUCAGAUUCAGUAACACUAAGACUUGCGAGCCCGUGGCCUCCUUCUAAUUGAUAAACCCCAUCUCGGAGCCUACCCACUCCAAUCAGCAUCCUCGUACACAGGUCCUGAAAAAAAACAAGAAUCAGGAAGAAAGGUUGCUGAGCAGUUUAAUUCCUUUGUAGCUUUGGCAAUAGAGAGGAGAUUGAACUUGAAACCAGGCACACAAAUAACAUUUUUCAAAUUGAUAUUUGGUGUUAGGUAGGCAUUACCAACGUGAGUUACAGGGAGACUAGAGCCAUUUGCGAUUCUCACAUUUGGAUAUGAAGAGAUGCAUUUAACAUUGUCAAGUAUACUUUUGUCUCCAACCAUAUGGUUAGAGGCACCAGUAUCCAAAAUCCAUGAGUUAUGGAAUGAAUUGCAUUUACCUGCAAAGUUGGCCAAGGCCUCAUUAUCAUGAUUUGGUGGUCCAAGGAUUUGCAUGAGUUUGUUGUACUGGUCCAUUGUCAAUCCAAGAGGUUGUUGUGACUGUGACUUCUCACUUGGGUUGAUAAAUUGGUGGUCAGUUGCUGCUAUGUUGCCAUAGAUUUGCAUCUGCCCUGAAUUGUUCUUGCCUCCACCACAAUUGCCACCUUUGCUUUGUUGAUUAUUCUUCCAAUUUGCUGGAUACCCUAUUAUCUCAAAGCAUUCUUCCUUGAGAUGUCCCAUUUUCUUGCAAUGUUCACACCUUUUACUUGAUCGACUUCUUGGGGCUUGACUCCUGGUAUUUUCGUUGCCCCUACGAUCAGUUUUUGCUGCAAAAGCCGCUCCUUCCAGGCUGUGUGAUGUUUGUUCAUUUACUUGUACAAAGGAUUGCUCUUCUUGUAAAGCCAAGGAAAACAGUUUACUGAGUGAAGGUGUAGGUUCCAUGGACAGCACAUUAGAUCUCAACCGAUCGAAAUUUCCAUUCAAUCCCAGUAGAAAUUGAAGGGCUUUUUCUUUUUCUCGGCGUAAUAAGUGAUCCUUGGCUGCCUCGCAUUUGCAAUAAGGCAAUGGAUCAUAGAUUUACAGUUCUUGCCAUAAGGUUUUGAACUUGGUAUAAUAUUGAGUUAAAGGCUGCCCAUCUCCUUGUAACAUGUUGGAAAAUUAUUUUUUUAUUUUAUAAAGUCGAGGUGCAUUACUUUGUCCAUACCUUUCACAAAUCUCAGUCCAAAUUUCUUGUGCCGUGCCGGUGUAGACAACGCUCUCUUGUAUGUCCUUGGCCAAGGAAUUCCUCAGCCAUGCUCUAACCAUUGCAUCAUUCUUCUUCCACCGUUGAAAGUCUGGUGACUUUAGAUCUGGCACUUCUAGACUGCCAUCAAUGAAACCACCCUUGCCUUUGGCAUAUAGGGCUGUUUCCAUGGUGCUUUUCCAUGCUGCAAAAUUUUCUCCUGCGAAUGGUGUGGAGACAAAUUGCAGCCCUGGAUGAUCUGAAGGUACAACACAUAGGGGGAGUCAUCAUAGAUUGUAACCUCUCCCCCUUUCGUUGAAUUCUCUGGAGUUGACAUAUUUUAUUGUCAACAAUUGUUAAGGCUCAACCUGCUCUGAUGCCAUGAAGAAAAGGGUUCAGAUUGGGAAAAACUUCAAGCGUAUAUUACUGAUUGCAAUAGUCUGCUGAUAUAGUUGCAAGAAUUUGACAAAAAAUGGAAGAUACAAUUAUUCCUAAAAUCAUGUAAUGGAAAGCUAAAACUACUCCUACAAUCACGUCAUGAUAGAAACAUAUAUGGUAACAAUAUAUACAGCUAUAUGAUUGAAUAUCUCAACACAUGUCCAAGACUUGGGAUAAUUUGCCCUACUUGAAUCUUUCGCAUAACUUUUUGACUGGUACCAUAGACCAACUACGGUGCAAACAUCUGUUGCAUCUAGAUAUGAGUUUCAACUCACUUCAGGGUCAAAUGCCUUCUUCUAUCUGUAACUCAACUUCUCUUUUCAUUCUUGAUUUGUCAUAUAACAAUUUGGUUUCCCGAAUCCCUCAAUGCUUGGGAAACUUCAGCCAGAAGCUCUCCGUUUUGGAUUUGGGAAAUAAUGGACUUUUUGGCACCAUUCCCACAACUUUUUCACAAGGUAACUCUCUGAAUAUUCUUAUGCUGAAUGACAAUCAACAAGAUUGAUGAUAGAUUUCCAAUUUGGUUGGAAUCUCUACCUAAUCUACAGGUUUUCAUAAUCGAUUUCACGGAGGAAUUGGUAAUUUUCAAACUGAAAGCCCAUUUCCGCAGCUGAGAAUCAUCGAUGCAUCCUGCAAUGAGCUCACUGGUGUUCUACCUACAGAACUCUUCAAAAGCUUAGAAGCUAUGAGAAGCUUAAAGGAUCACCCUGGGCAAUAUAGGUCAGAAACUGGCUAUGAGCUUGAUUAUUACAUCCAUUCCUUGACUUUAGUAAUCAAAGGGACGGAGUAUAGUCUUGAAAGAGUCCUGAUAGAUCGAACAGCCAUUGAUUUCUCAAGCAACAGAUUUGAAGGACAAAUUCCAGAAAUUAUCGGAACCCUUCAUUCUCUUCUUAUACUCAAUUUCUCUCAUAACAAUCUCAGUGGUCAUACUCCCCGGGCAUUAGGGAAUUUGAAUAAGCUUGAAUGUCUAGACCUCUCUUGGAACCAGCUUGAGGGAACUAUUCCUGUGGAGCUUCUGAAUCUGACAUUCCUUGAAUUCUUACACCUUUCAGAAAAUCAUCUGAUUGGACCCAUUCCUCGAGGAAGACAUUUUGAUACAUUUGGGAAUGAUUCAUGCAGAGGGAACUCGGCCUUGUGUGGAUCACCAUUGACUAAAGAUUGUGGAAAUACAGGGGCACCACCACCAGCCUCGCCAUUCGGAUCUGAGCAACAAUAUGAUCCAGAGUUCUUUGAUGGAUUCACCUGGAGAGCUGUUGUUCUGGGAUAUGGUUGCGGAUUAGUGCUCGGACUAACCAUGGGAAGUCUCGUGUUCUUAACUGAAAAACGAAGAUGGUUCAUAUAGAUUGUUGAAGAGUCGUACAAUCUGUGAAAAAGAUCGAGGAAAUAUGUCCACAUACGAACUUGAGAACAGCAAUGCAAUUUACAAAAUUGGUGGGCAAAACAUACUCUCUUCUGCAGCUGUUGUCUAAUAAUUUUACUUCCUCUGCAUAAUUUCCAUUUUCAUAAUCAAAUAUCCUUGGAAAUGAUAACUUUUUUCUAUGGCUAAUCACCAGAAAAUUUGACUUUUUAUGUCCAGGCCUCCCAUUGGAGUCGUAACUAGGAAGGAUCAGCAGUAAAACUGGCUUUGUUUCAGUUCCAGUUGUAUGUAUCUGCUAUGCACGUUUUAAGGUUCUAAUAGUUGCUUCUUUUUAUGAUUGUCAAGUUCCAGGUGCAAAGAGAUUCUGAUUCCUUGCAACUUUAUCUUUUGCUUCAUGGUUAAAAAUGAAAUCAAGAACAUGUUCAGAAAAUAUGAAAAAAGGGUAUAUCCCAGUUUGGUUUGCACAUUGAAAGUUGUUCGAUGAAAAUUAUGACAAUAAUUCUCUUCAUUAUUCCCCACCUGCCAAAGAAGUUAUCUUUGAGACUACAAACUAGGCUAGUGUGCUUUAAAAUGCUUUACAUUGACUAAUCAACAACGAAGAUGUUCUUCAACUUGCACCUUUGUGGGACUUGAUUUGGAACAGCUUUGCACCAUUCGAACUUCAAUCGUUUACUGCCACAGCUGGUAUGUGUGAACAGAGAGAGACUAAUCCAAGCCACUUUUCUUGACUUUGUGGAAAAGAACAAGUCAUCCUCAGUCUUUUGCAAUAAAUUAUAGAUAAGUGAAGCCUAGUCUUCAUCCAAAAUUGUCAAAAGUGAAAUUCAUGGAUGCAACUUGAACAUAACUUAUUCUUCACUGGACCUGAAAAUUAGAGCACCAGCGACCAGCUUAAUCUUAAUUGGCUUUGGAGCUUCCACGCCAAAUGGUACGACAAUUUUGAGAAAAGGGAAGGGAGAGUUAUAGAUUUCAAGAGAAUGAUCUUUUUUCACACUACCAAAUUAGGGUCUACUAACAAAAUUUAUAGUGAAGUUCUUCAAAUCAAAUGAUCAAUCCACGAGACAAAAUCUAAUAGCAUGAACUAACUCGAAAAUAAGGUUGAGAUCUCUAUUUUAAAUACAAAAGACAAUUCACAUAUCCGAGAUAAUGAGUCAAGGAUAACCAUAUAAUAAAGCACAUACAACCACAAACUUCAAACAGCAACAAGUAACCAUGAAAUGCUUCAUGAUCCAAUUAACACAAGAAAAGCAAGAUAGUUAAGUAAUCUUAACAGAAUGCUUAUUGACUUUCUACAUCUCUUUAAUCAUUUCUUUUUCCAAUUUUUUUUUUUGUUUUACAACAAAACAAAAGUGAAUUCCAGAUAUGACCCCAUUACAGGUUCAAAAGUACAGAUAAUACUCAUGAACGAAAAGGAAUGAGAUGGGUAGGCCACUUUGGCCCCAUAGCUGUGACAAUUAGUGGACUCGUUGAUCCAAAGGCAUUUAUGGUGGAAAUGAAUUUAGAACGUAAAUGUAGUUUCUUGGCAUUACAAGUCUUUACAAGCCUAAUGAAGAUAGCAAAUAAUUCAUAUGGAUGCUACGACUUUUCAGAGGAGCUAAGGCCCAUUCUAAUUAGCCAUUACUCAUGAAAGGGAUAGUUAGAUAGGAAUUUAGUAACAUAGUGAUAGAAGCCAUCCAAAGAGAACCGGUCCAUUUGUGCACAAAGCAAAGUGAGUUUAGGAUAUAUAUGCUACACCAACAAUCUGCACAUACAAAAUUUGAUCAAGCAAAAUGAGGAAUCUAAUAGUUUAUACACUAGUGCUCCUUUCUUUGCAAUCUCGAGAAAUUACCAGUUUGUCUUCCUUUUUACCUCAUUUGUGUCACCAUGAUGAGAGUCUUGCUCUACUUCAGCUUAAGCAAAUGUUUCAAAAAUCAACAGAUGCUUCUGCCUACUGUGAAAAUGCAUAUCCAAAGAUGAUAUCAUGGAGCAAAACUUCUGAUUGCUGCACCUGGGAUGGGGUAACAUGCCAUAGAGUUACAGGUCAUGUAAUUGGCAUAGACCUUAGUUGCUGCCAACUUCAAGGAUCCAUCUAUGCUAAUAGUAGCCUGUUCAAUCUUUCUCGCCUCCAAAAGCUUAAUCUAGCUUACAAUGACUUCAAGAAUUCACCAAUUUCUCAUGGCAUUGGUGGCUUGACUAGUUUAACAAACCUCAAUCUCUCCAAUUCCAAUUUCUACGCUCAAAUUCCAUCCCAAAUAUCUUUACUGUCAAAUUUAGUUUCACUCGAUCUCUCCCAAAAUCCUAUUGAGUUUGAACAUCAGGAUUUCCAACUGCUUCUUCAAAACUUAACUCAGGUUAGAAUACUUUCUCUUUCUGACGUUAGUAUCUUCUCCGAGUUCCCUAAGAACUUUUCUUCAUCUUUGACAAUUGUGGAUCUUGGUCAAACUCAAGUUUAUGGUAAGCUACCAGACCAUAUUUUCUAUCUAGCAAAAUUGCAACAACUCAUACUAAAUGGAACUCAAGUCACUGGAAGUUUACCGAACUUGAACUGCACUGCUUCAUACAUGUUGUCGUACUUAGAUCUUGCUUACACAAAUUUUUCUGGGGAACUUCCCAACACAUUUGGCUGCUUGAAGUCCUUGAACGCCAUGUUGCUCGAUGGAUGUCAGUUCACUGGUCGCCUUCCUGAGUCAAUUGGAAACCUUUCUCAGCUCACUACGAUGUCUCUGACUCAAAACAGUUUCAGUGGGCCUCUUCCAUCGGUGAUCUCAAACCUUGUCCAACUGGAAGUUUUAGACCUUACAGGCAACCAAGUGCAAGGCCAAAUACCAGAUUGUUUCACAAAUCUCCAAAAAUUAACUCAAUUGUCAUUGCGAGACAACCAUUUGGUUGGGCCUUUCCCAUCCACCAUUGCGAACCUUACCAAUCUCCAGACGCUAGAUCUACAAUCCAAUUCGAUAACAGGUCCUCUUCCAUCAAACGUGAGUGGCCUUCAGGAAUUGUCUUUUCUAUAUCUUUAAAACAACUUGCUCCAUGGCACAGCACCGACAUGGUUAUUUAGCCUGCAGUUACUCACAACUUUGCUUCUCAAAAACAAUCUCCUAACAGGACAAAUCGAAGAGCUCAAUGGAAUGUCACUGAUGAAAAUUGAUUUGAGUAAUAACCAAUUAUAUGGUCAAAUUCCUAAAUCAAUUUCAACACUCCCAUUUUUAGAUUUCCUUGACCUCUCAUCAAAUAAUUUGAGUGGCGUGCUUGAACUAUCCAGUGAUGGUCUUGAGUACCUUGUUCUCUCUAAUAAUCGAAUAUCAUGGAGCACCAGCGGAAAUGUCAGCAACUCUUUACCAAACCUUUAUCGUUUAGAGCUAUCUUCUUGUGAGAUGAAGGCUUUCCCAGAAUUUCUCAGAAGCUCAAAGAAGUUAGAAGUUCUACAGCUCUCUGACAAUAAGAUUCAAGGUCAGAUUCCCAGCUGGGUGACAUCCAUGCCUUGGGAUUCACUUCUGUAUCUAAAUCUAUCUUAUGACCACCUUUCUGGGAUGGAUGCAUUACCUUGGAAGAAUCUAAGGGUUCUAGAUGUUCGAUUCAACCAAAUCCAAGGACAAUGGCCUUUUUUCAUUUGCAAUUUGAAAGCUCUAGCAAUUCUUGAUUUGUCAAGGAACAAAUUUACUGGUGCAAACCUCGGUGUUUUGGGAACUUUUCUAGUUUUGUGGUCCUGAAUUUGGAAGGAAAUGGCCUGCAAAGGACCAUUAAUUCAAUGGUAUUUGCAAAAGAUAUCAGAUUGAGAUAUCUUGGUCUGAAUAGAAAUUUCUUGGAAGGGCCGCUGCCAGAAACUUUGGCCAACUGCAAGUCCUUGAUGUGGGGAACAACCGUCUGAAAGAUAUAUUUCCUGCAUGGUUACAAAAUCUUACGGAGCUCCAAGUUCUUGUGUUGAGUUCUAACAGAUUCUUUGGACCCAUAAGCAUUUUCAAGGCUAAGAGUCCAUUCCAAAAGUUGCAAAUCUUCGCCCUCUCUUGCAAUGAGUUCAGUGGUGUUCUAUCUACAGAACUUUGGAAAGCUUCAGGGCUAUGAUGAGCUUACAAAGCAACAAAUCAGAAUCUAAAUACUUGCAUGCAACCGGUAAUACAACAAAUUAUCUAUACUCUGUCAGCAUGACAUCCAAAGGCCAUGAGAUUGAGUUCACCAAAAUCAUUAGAACUCUCACAACCAUUGAUCUGUCAAGCAACAUGUUUCAUGGGAGGAUCCCAGACGUCAUUGGAAAUCUCUACUCCCUCAAGUUGUUGAACUUAUCCAACAAUAACUUUUCUGGCCACAUUCCACCAGCUAUUGGGAACCUGAAAUUUCUUGAAACAUUAGACCUUUCAAGAAACCAAAUUGGAGGAGAGAUUCCAAUGCAGCUAACGAAUCUUACAUCUCUUGAAGUCCUAAACUUAUCAUGCAAUCAUCUUAUUGGGCAAUUCCUCAAGGCAAUCAAUUGCGCACACUUGGUGAAGAUUCAUACAGCGGAAACUCAGGAUUAUGUGGAUUCCCAAUAACAAAAAGCUGUGAAGAAAUGCAUGUGCCACAAGCGCCCCCAGAUGAGGCAUUGGAACAAGGCGAGGAUUCGAGUUUCAUGGGUGGAUUUACAAGGAAAUCAGUGCUCAUAGGAUAUGGUUGUGGACUUGUUCUUGGCAUAGCUUCUGGUUUUCUAAUGUUUGCUACUGGAAAACCAAGAAGAUUGGUAAGAUUCAUUGAAGAAGAAGCAUAUAGUAAUAGUGUACUCUUGUUUGGAAAGAGAAAAACUGUAUAAUCAGCUGAAAAAACCAAUAACAUGUCACGAGCGCAUGGAAGAAGAAACUAAAUAUCCAGAUAAAUGAGGUAACUAGAACAUACAUUCUGUGAUUUUAUAUUGUUUCCUUGUACAACUUUGUUAUCUAUAUCAUCAAAUGUUUACAUUCUUAAGAUAAACUGUACUUCUUACAGUUGCCCAAUUUAUAUUCAAGCACUUACUAUCUUUGUGCUUAAUAAGCUAUUAUUCAUACAGCGGGUCUGGUUUUAUAUUUGUAUAGCUGAUAUCAAAUUUUUGGAGCAUGUCUCGUUGCCCCAUUAUUCAAAAAUAACAGCUUUAAGAUCUCCAGUCUAUGAACCAAGAUAUCACUCAAGGCCAUAACCAAAAGGAUGACCUCACAGGAUCCAAAGCCAUUUCUGAUAAUUAGUGAGACUGAUAGUUUCUUGGGUUUUCACUGAAUUUCUGAUUCAAUGAAUUAGAAUAGACAGCUUUAAGGAUAUGAUACCUUUCUUUUUAUUAUUCUCAUUUAUUGAUUUGAUCAAUUCAUCUAAGCAAUCACCAUUGUUGUAGUUUAAUGUGCUUACCUUUCAUUUUUGUAGGUGGAGAAAUUUGGGAAAGAGAACUUUUCAUUCCACGUUAGAUGUCUUAAGUAUUUGUGUUAGACCUAUUAACCUUUCACGGUUCUUCAAGUGCUGUCAAUUACUAAACUCAUAGAAAUCAAAAUCCGCUUCAAAAUUUCUCAUAUUAUGUCCUUUGUUCUUUUCAUGUGUGAAUCUUAGUGUGGUUUUGUAACACUUUGUAGAAGCUCAACAAUUGAUUACUAGAUUCAGGUUUCUAAAAGAUAGUCUCCAUUAAUUAUAUGAUUUAGGAAACCCAAAUUAAUGGUGAAAAUAAUAAUUACAUUUUUCAGAAGCUCCUAAAGGUAGGAACUAAUAUUGAAAUUCACCUUUAUGAGACGGUACAGACUCUAUACAUUGGCACAUCCCAAAAUUAUUCUGAAAAUGAUCCAGCUUUGUGUCAAAGUUCAUUAAGGGUACACAAGAAUGUCCAACCACAAGCUAAAAAUUAGUUUUACUAGAACUAAUUUUUAUUAAACUUCAAAACAUAAGCUAAAUUAUUUAACAACAAAAUAGCAAUGAAUUGAGAACAUAGGAUUUGUAAUUCAACAAAAAAGAGGAAAUUAAGGAUUAUGUGGAUUUGCACAAGUACAUGUAACUUGAUGUUACUGUUGGAUCUUUUAAUUGGAAAUAAAGGAUGGCUUACCUAAUUAAAUUUACCACUACCAGGUCAACCUUCUUGCAGUUUCAGCAUUGUUUUUUCAAUAACUCAGCUUCCCCAUGGAUUUUGCUGCAUUCAAAUAAUUUUGUCCUCAGCGUCAGAGAGAAGUCAUAGACAAGUAAUUUGAUUGAUAAGAAACCAACAUGUCAGGCCAUUCAAUUAACUUCUUAAUCAUGUAACUCACCGUUGUGCACAGAAAUAUGAGACUCUAAAAGACAAACCUUGAAAUAGCAUUUCUCCAUUCACGUUUAGUUUGAUUUUAUGAUCUAAAGUAACUGCUGGUGUACUUGCAACACAAAAUGAGAAGACUAACGUGCUUUGUGCAUCAGUUGAAUGAAGCUAAAGGAAAGCACCAACAAAGUGCCCUGCGUCUGGUGAACAAAAGCCACAUAUGGCAACACGAUGAACAUCUCCAGCUCCACGACAAACCUAGUUGCAAAGUUACCCAUUAAAGAACAUAAAAACGAAAGUUGAAAACUUUCUGAUCGAACAUCUUUAAAACCAACAGAACAAUCUUCCAGAAGGAGCAAGUCAUUCUGAUUCUUGUGCAAUCUUUUAUCAAUCCCACAAGGGUGGAACAAAACCUAGAAGUGGAUUCAAUUAAUAACUCUAUGGUGACAAAUUGUCAUCAAAAGAUUUAAGCUCUGAAGGAAACAACUAUAACCAAAAUUUUAAUUGUGGUAUAUACAUCUAAAUGAAAGCAAUUUCAAAGUUUGAGGAGCCAAAAACAUCAGCAAGAAUGAUGAUUGCUACCCAUAAAAGGAAAAAGAAAAAAAAGGAUAAGAUCAGCAGCUCUACUCAGCCACCACUCAAACUGAUUGCAACAUAGCUAGAACAUGUUGACACUCUGCCUAAUCUAAUUAACGAGAAACUGGCAUGUCAUACAAAUGCACUUCUGGACACGCAAUUGCGAGAAACUGGCAUGUCAUACAAAUGCAAUUGAUAUAAAUUUCUGCUGACAUGGGAACAAAAUGUUGAUCUCAGCAUCCUGGCAGUAUACUUCAUGGAUGGAAUAGUUGGAAAAUUGUAUUCAGCAAGUCAUGGAGCCUGAUGUUUCCAAGUCACUCUCUUCACUCCCAGCAAAUUUAAUAGAUCUGCCAAAAAGAGCCAUCUUCUCUGACAAAUUACGAAGAGCAUCCUGCCUAUUAGCCAAUUCCAUAAGCACCUUAAUCCUCCUAAAUGAAACAUUACUUGGUUUUUGCCCUUUCUCCACCAUCUGCAAGAAAGACCUCUCAGCCUCAUCCAACUUCCCCAUGUCACAAAGCAAAUCAAACAAAACGUCAGAGACCAAUAUAUAAGAGCCAUACCCCAUCUCCACCAUAUCAUUCCAUAGCUCAAGUCCCAUUUCAACCUUCUCGUGCCUUCUCAACAACCUGAUCAAAAACAUACAAGAUUGAGUGUUUGGUAGACACCCUGUUUCCCUCAUUCUCAGGUACAAGUUCCAUGAACUUAUCAAAUCAUUCCACCAAUAAAAGUCCUCAACAAAAUAUUUUAAGUAGUUGCAUUUGGGCUCAACACCUUCUUUACCAUCUCAUUCAUCAAACCAUAGGCAUCCCCAAUCCUCUUUGCAAUACAGAAAUUUCUAAUAGCAGCAUUGUAAGCUGCCACAUCAGGAUAGCAUCCAUACUCUCUCAUCUCUUCCAAAACAUCCCUUGCCUUAUCAGGUUGCCCCACAAGCCCCAAACCACCAAUCAAACUCGUAUAUGUAAUCACAUCUGGACUAAUAUCCCUCUCCCUCAUCUCCUCCACCACCCUAUACGCCUUAUCCAUUUCUCUCGUCUUACAAUACACAUCCACCAAACACUAUCAGGUUCAACCCCCAUUUCCCUCGUCUCCUCAAAAAAGCCCUCGGCCUCAUCAGUUGACUUCCAACCAGCCAACAAUAUAUUAAAAGUCUGCAAAUUCGGCCUAAAUUCAUGCUUCAAGUUAUGAUACACAUUCCUGGCAUCACUCAUCCUCUUCUCUUGACACAAUGUCCUAAACAGUGCAUUGUAACAACUAGUAUCAAACUCCAAAACAAGCCUUCGAAACCGCUUAAACGAAAUCACAGUCUGCUUAACUGAACAAACCUUAGCAAUCCUAGCUAAGACAACUUGAACAGUUCUUGAAGUGAUCGAAGAUUGAUCCUUUUUCUUCGCUUCCACCAAAACCUCCCAAAUAUUAUCAAAUUUUCUGCUCCUACCCAAAACAUACAGCAUUGUAUCCAAAGAAAAUGCAGAAUGCAAAAACCCCUUUUUCCUAGAUGUAAACUUAAAGAAUUCCAAAGCCUGUAAUGGAUUAGAAUGAGAAAAUCUGACCCUUUUCAGAACAUUAUCAAUUAAGUCAUUUGAGAAAGGGAUUGAAGCUGCUGCUGAUCUCAGUGACUGUCUGAGUUCAACUGAGGUUCUUGAACUUGUUAGUAUCCGAAAAACAGUCUCAACAUCGUCGUUUACAGCAGGGGAGGAAGAAGUAAAAGGCGGGAUUUUUUCAAUUUGGGGAAUGGAACUAAAGAAAAGAAGUGAAUUUAAACAGGCAUACCUUACUGUUGCCGUUGAUGAUGUACAAGAGUGAAGAAAAAUGGGAUUUCUGAUAAAAAGAUGGAGCAAUUUUUUUGGGAUGAAAUCUGAAUGAAGACAAGAACCAAAUAUUCAGACUCUAUGCUACUGCUGCUCCUGCAGGUUUUCCCUCAAGUAUUCGAAUGCAUGAAAUUUUUGGGAUUUUUGUGAUUUUGGGGUCAUUUUUUAUGCUGUGGUUUUGCCGCAAAGCGAUUCUUCCAGCUGAAUUGAAGUGAAAGUUACACUUCAGGGAUGCACCUCUGUAUUCUUUUGUUUUCCUCUUUUUUGCCUUUUUUUUUCCAUCGGCGAAAUAAAAAGAGAAAAAAAAAGUAGGCUAAUACCAUAAAAAUGACCAUAGUUUUAGAACCAUCAGAUCCAAUUACUUUUAAAGGUCAAACUAGGAGGGGAACACCGCGCGAUGCGCGGUGUAAUUUUCAAGUUUGCCCAGAAACGUUCAAUUAUUCAAACUGGGAUAUUCAAUAUAAAAAGUUACAUGAAGGUGCAUCCAAAUGUUUGUGAUUAUUUUUUAUAAUUUUAUUAUGCAAUGAAGAGAGCCACAAUUUCAGUCUAGUUGCUAAAUGACAGUCAUUUUUGGUAUGCUGACUAAUUGGACAGCAAUGGCAAUGUCAUUAGUUUGAAAAUAAUAUAACACUGUGUAAUGCUGCCUUAUAUUUUUUAUGUACACCAAAAUCUGUGACUUUGUAGCUAAAAAAAAAAAAGAGAGAGCAGUGUAGUAUUGCAGCAAGGCUUAGCCUUAUUUUUAGACUCUGAUACAACCAAUCCACUAUUUUCGUAAUUGCAUCAAAUUAACCCAAAGACUGAAAGAAAGACCUAUUACUUUGUAGUACAAUAACCAAAAUGGCUUCAUUAGCUUGUAACUUCAAGAAAUCUACGGAAAGCAAAAGAAUUGUGCUCACAUAUCAACCGUAGUGAGAUAAACUGCAUUUGACCAAAAACGGAGGAGGAUUACCUAAUGCAGGUGUAUCUUCUCAAUACAUCAAUAGUAUAGGGGAUGGUCAAGUACUCAAUACACAAAAAAAAAAGAAAAAAGGAAGUUUCACAGGCCUCGAUGCAAUUCUACCUUUGAUCAUUUGAUGCAUGUCAACAACCAGAAUCCCGUAAAAGGAAAGACAAGUACAUGAGAUAAUGUAAAAGCCUGCAUUUAUGAAACUUACUACCAGUAGACUGCAUUCCAGAGGUUCUCAUUACACAUCAAAGCUGUUCCAGCUCAAAAAGGAAUAUAAGAAAAAGAAGAAAAAAGAAAUGCACAGUGUGCAUCAAGCCUUUUCCUUGUUAUUAGAAUCAUACACUUCAAAAUAACCGAAAGACCGAAAAAUGCAUUACUUUGUAGUACAAUAACUAAAAAGGUUUUUAUUAGCAUAUAACUUCAAGAAAUCUAAUGAAAAGUGUGAAUUUCAGAGGAAGAGAAUAAAUUCCCCAUAUUUUUAUUCAUCAAUGGUAAGGGUAUAUAUACAGGUAUAGACAUCUUAUAAUAUGAAGAUAUCCUAUUACAAUAAAUCAGUCCUCUAAUUCCUAUAAUUUAGGCUACAAACUAGCCUACAUUUGUUAGCUAUCUAAUCCCUACAAAUCAGCCUAUAUCAAUCUGUGACAGCUAUCUAAUCCCUACAAAUCAGCCUGCAUAUAAUCUGUAACACUCCCCCUCAAGCUGGAGCAUAGAUAUUAAUCAUGCCCAGCUUGUUACAUAGAUAAUCAAUCCGGACCCCGUUAAGAGCUUUUGUGAAUAUAUCACCUAAUUGUUCUCCAGUCUUCACAUAACCUGUAGUGAUCAAACCUUGUUGGAUCUUUUCACGAACAAAAUGACAAUCAAUCUCAAUGUGUUUCGUUCGUUCAUGAAAGACUGGAUUGGAAGCAAUGUGAAGUGCAGCUUGAUUAUCACACCAUAGCUUGGCAGGUACUGAGACCUUAAUUCCUACUUCACUAAGGAGCUGAUAUACCCAUAUGACUUCACACACAGACUUGGCCAUAGCUCUAUAUUCAGCUUCCGCACUGGAUCGUGAGACGACAUUCUGUUUCUUACUCUUCCAUGAGACCAAAUUUCCCCCAACAAAAACACAAUAUCCUGAAGUAGAUCUCCUAUCUUCCUUACACCCUGCCCAAUCUGAAUCUGAAAAACAUUCAAUCCUAGUAUGACCAUGAUUGCCAUAUAGGAUUCCACGUCCAGGAGCACAUUUUAAAUAGUGCAAAACUUGUUCGACUGCUUUCCAAUGGUCAACAGUUGGUGAGGACAUAUAUUGGCUUAACACACUCACUGAAUAAGCAAUAUCAGGACGUGUCACAGUAAGAUAAUUCAACUUUCCGAUUAGUCUUCUGUACCUCUCAGGAUCUGCACACAAUUCACCUUCUUUGGUUAAUUGUAAAUUAGGAACCAUUGGGGUACUACAUGGUUUAGCACCCAACUUUCCCGACUCCGACAGUAAAUCAAGUACAUACUUUCUCUGUGAUAGAAAGAUUCCCUUCUUACUCCUGCUAACUUCAACUCCCAAGAAAUACUUUAACAUCCCCAAGUCUUUGGUAUAGAACUGAGUAUGAAGAAAGGACUUUAGAGACGAAAUUCCGCUAGAGUCGCUACCUGUGAUUACAAUAUCAUCCACAUAUACAACUAACAGAAUAAUACCUCCAUUAGAGUGUCUAUAGAAAAUAGAAUGAUCUGACUUGCUUUUCUGCAUCCCAAAUUUCUCAAUAGCUUGGCUAAAUUUUCCAAACCAAGCCCGAGGACUCUGUUUCAAGCCAUAUAGAGAUUUUUGCAGACGACAGACUUUCCCUUUCCCAUACCCCCCUUGAGCAACAAAACCAGGUGGUUGCUCCAUAUAUACCUCCUCCUGAAGAUCACCAUGAAGAAAGGCAUUCUUGAUGUCUAACUGAUGCAGAGGCCAGUCAUAAGCUGCAGCAAGGGAGAUAAACAACCUGACCGAAGCAAGUUUAGCAACAGGAGAAAAAGUAUCAUGAUAAUCCACCCCAUAAAUUUGAGCAUAUCCUUUAGCAACAAGUCGAGCUUUCAAUCGAGAAAUGGAGCCAUCAGAAUUCAUUUUGACAGUAAACACCCAUUUACAUCCAAUGGCUUGUUUACCUGCAGGUAAGGUAACCAAAGUCCAUGUACCAUUGACAUCUAGAGCAUUCAUUUCCUCAAUCAUAGCAGUCCGCCAUCCGGGAUGAGCUAAUGCCUCUCGAACAGUCUUAGGUACAGAAACAGUGUCUAGGGAUGUAAGAAAAGCACAAGAAGAGGAAGACAAAUGAUGGUAGGAAACAACUGAAGAGAUUGGAUAAGUACAUGCACGUUUACCUUUUCUGUGAGCAAUAGGGAGAUCAAGAUCAUCGUUGGCAGCCGGAUCUGAUGACAAAGAGACUGGUUCAUCAGGACAUGAUUCUGGAGACUCAAGGACCAAGUCAGAACUGGGCUGAUGUGCCCGACGUGAGUAGGUAUAUUUGAUGGGAGGCUUAACCGGUGUAGAAGGAGGCGGACCCAAAUUUGGUAUGACACUAUAGAUUAACAAAUCAUCAUCCUCCCCUGGACUCACAGAACUUGAAGAGCCUGAAGAUGAAGAUAAAGGUGUUUGUUCCAAAAAAGUAACAUCAGCAGACACAAGAUACUUACCAAGACUAGGACAAUAACAACGAUACCCUUUUUGCAUGCGAGAAUAACCCAGAAACAUACACUUUAAGGACUUAGGAUCAAGUUUUGUAACUUGAGGACGAACAUCCCGAACAAAACAAGUACAACCGAAUAUCUUUGGUUCUAUAGGAAACAACUGUUUAUUUGGAAAUAGAGUGUGGAAAGGAGUAUUACCAGACAAAACAGAGGAAGGCAUACGAUUGAUUAGAAAACAAGCAGUAGAUAGAGCAUCAGCCCAGAAACAUUUAGGAACCUUCAUUUGAAAUAACAAAGCUCGAGCAGUUUCAAGAAGGUGUCUAUUCUUUCUCUCGGCAACCCCAUUUUGAGAAGGGGUGUCAACACAAGAGGUCUGAUGAAGAAUACCCUGCUCAAGCAUGUAUUUCUGAAAACUGCUUGAAACAUAUUCUUUUGCAUUAUCACUUCGCAAAAUUUGUACAGGUUUACCAAAUUGGGUUCGAAUUUCAGCACAAAAGGAAGAAAAGUGAAGAAAUAGUUCUGAGCGACUUUGCAUCAAAUAAAGCCAUGUCAUUCUAGAAUAAUCAUCCACAAAGGUAACAAAAUAUCUGAAACCAGUUUUAGAGGUAACUGGACAAGGACCCCAAACAUCAGAAUGUACUAACUCGAAGGGAGCAGUAGCUCGCUUAUUGAUUCUAGGACUAGAACUAAGACGAUGAUGUUUAGCAAACUGACAAGACUCACAAUCUAAGGAAGUAAUGUUUGAAAACUGAGGACAAAGUUUCUUCAACAUAGAAAGCGAAGGAUGACCCAAUCGACAAUGUGCUUCAAAAGGAGAGAUUGUUCCAGCACAAGCUAUAGACCCUGGUUUCGGUGUAUCAAGAAUGUAGAGACCGUCAGACUCAUGUCCCUCACCAAUAAUCUUCUUCGUCAUGAGAUCCUGAAAUGAACAAUAACCAGGAAAAAAUGAGACACAACAAUUAAGAGCACGAGUAAGUUUGCUGACAGAAAUCAGAUUAAAAGAUAGUUGUGGUAGACUCAGAACAGAUGAUAAAUGGAGAGAUGAUGUGGGCUGAGUGGUUCCAGACCCAAUAACACUGGAUGUUGAACCAUCGGCUAAAGUAACAGGAGUGAUAGAUUUAUGUGGCUGAAAGUUAGAAAGUAAACUAGGAUUACCUGUCAUGUGAUCAGUAGCACCAGAAUCAAUGACCCAUUUUGGAGAAGAGGAAACAAGACAUGCAUUGGGUUUACCUGUCUCGACAGGAGCAGUAACAUGACCAGAUGGCUGUUUCACUGUUUCUUGAAACUGAGUCAAUCUAGCAUACUUAUCCGCAGAUAUUGUAACAUGCUUGUCAGAGGUGGCACAACUAGAUGCAAUAUGGGCAGAGUGAGCCUUCUUAUACUGCAGCUUCCGACAGUCUCGCUUGAUAUGACCUGGUUUAUGACAGUAGUGACAUACAAUCUCUCCUUGCUCCUGUCCAUGAUUGCUAGUAUUCUUAUCAGAGUGGUUGGGCCCCGACCCCAUGCUCGUACUGUUGCCAUUACUCUUGUAGUGUUGUCUUCCUGAAUCAGCUGUGGUAGUUCGGCUAAGAAGAACACUGUUAGGCUGAGUAGAUAGAACAGGUAACGUAUUCUCUGUACGGAGAACCCUUCGAAAAGCAUCUUCUAGACUGGAAAUUUCUGAACCGGAAAGAAUUUGAGAUUUAGCAGUCUCAAAUUCAGACGGAAGACCGGCUAGAAAACUCAUAACCGCCAUCUUCGCUCGCUGAUUUCGUUGUUCCUCCACAUCACAACUGAAGGGAAGCAGCAUAUUGAGCUCUUCAUAUGUUUUCUUGAAGUCCAUAAAAUAACUGGUGAGAGACUUGUCUCCUUUAUCUGCCCUGUAAAAAUCCUUGCAAACAUCAUAGAUACGAGAGAAAUUUCCUUUUCCAGAAUAUAAGAACUGUAAAUAGUUCAUUAAUUGUUUUACUGUCUUACAAUGAGUCACCAGACCAACCACCUCACUAUCAAUAGAAUUACGGAUCUGUAUAUACAAGCGAGCAUCCUCUCUCAUCCAAGACAAUUUAGAGUCAUCCGUAGGUGGAUCAUCAGUCAGAUGGCCAUCCAUAGAAAUACUGAGCAGAUAUAAUUCAAUAGUAUUGUUCCAAUCAAGAAAAUUAAUUCCAGUUAACUUAUGUUCCGUGAUUUUUGAAACCAGCGGAACUAUAUCAGAAACAACUCCAGGCUUUUUGUCAGACAUAAUUGCUAAGAAAAUUCAACAAGAUAACAGAUUACCCACAAGAAAAACCUGUUGUAGCCAAGUCCCACACCUAGAUCGAUGUUGACCCACAAACAGGUAUGCAAAUAGCGUCGAGAGACAGAGGAGAGGUGCUGGGUUCUGACCAAUCGGUACUACGUACCUCCCUGAGUUGGCGGUGUCUAUAAAGGAACCUCUAAAGCCUGUACCUUGAAUAUGGCAGCAGCUUCCCUCACACCCAACAACCCAGAAAAAAAAAAUUUAUGAACAAACCUUGCUCUGAUACCAUGUGAAUUUCAGAGGAAGAGAAUAAAUUCCCCAUAUUUUUAUUCAUCAAUGGUAAGGGUAUAUAUACAGGUAUAGACAUCUUAUAAUAUGAAGAUAUCCUAUUACAAUAAAUCAGUCCUCUAAUUCCUAUAAUUUAGGCUACAAACUAGCCUACAUUUGUUAGCUAUCUAAUCCCUACAAAUCAGCCUAUAUCAAUCUGUGACAGCUAUCUAAUCCCUACAAAUCAGCCUGCAUAUAAUCUGUAACAAAAAGAAACUGUGUUUACGUAUCAACCUUAGUGGGAUAAAUUGCAUUUGAUCAAAAAAGGAGGAGGAUUAUUAAUAUAGGCCAUACUUCUAUCCUCUCAAUACAUCAGUAGCAAAAGGGAUGGUCAAACUCUUGGCACAAAAUAACUCAUCCAGUUACACAAGAUUUUAAACCAAAUAAAAAUAUUAUGAUAACACCAUCCGCGUGAGAUAUAAUGCAUCAAGAGCUGACAUACAUAUAUAGCAGGUAAUGCAAAGAUCAGAUAGCUACAGUUAGUGCAAAAUCUAGUAUCCAGGGUCAUACGCUUCAAGGCUUUGAUCUUGAUAAAGCUUCAAGGGUGGCCGAUUCUGCUUCCCACAUAAAUAAACACGUAGUUUUGUUAAUCAAAUGGCAGAGGCAUUCUUGAGUGGUACUGCAAAAAUCCACUUCGUAUAGUUAAAUAUUAGUAACAAUUACCAUAUUCUCCAAAAAUAUAUCAUAGAUUUUUUUCUUUUAUCAUUGUCACUUCCAUUUUAAUCUAACUUUUUUCACUUACAGGAACAUCAUAAUUAGCGCCUAUCUAUGCAAUUACCUAUAUGGCAGACAAGUUUUUUCCAUAUAAUUAUCCCUGAAGGCAAAAGUAUGGGGCAAAGGAUUUUGUACAAUUCAUAGGUUAGGGCAUACUGCACCAGUGUGGCCAAAGAAUAAACGAACAAUCUUCAAUUACAAUAUAAAACAUGCAAUAACUACAAAUGAACAAUUUUCCAUUACAUUAUUAUAUACACAAUAUACACACUGUUGUAAAAAAAAAUUCCAUUCAUAGAGAUGGUUACAUUAAACCGAAAGGUGAAAGAAAAAAGGUUAGAAUCAGCACCUUAAAAGUAGUAGAAGGCCAUUAUUUGCUUUAUUAUAUGCCGAUAAUUUUAAUACCUAAUUCCAUCAUGAAGAGCCAGGUAGCCAUCUAAUUUAACGCCAAAUAAGGACACAAAGAAAUGGUUCGCAAGCUAAAUAGCAGAAAAGAUAAUUAACAGAAACUUAAUCAUUUUCUCAUAAUUAACAGAAACAUAAUCAACAAAGACAUCUACUAAUUAUUAGUAUACAAGCACAUCAAUUUGACUAAGAUAUUUUUUUAAAUAAAGUGUAAACAGCUUACUUGUCUAAAGCUGAACUAUGCUAAAAGGCCAAAGCUUGGGCUUAGACUGACUGGUACUAAACGAAGCAUUACCCCUAUAAAAUUCAACCCAAAAGUUAACAAAAAUAAACAGGAGCAAAAAUAAAUUGUUCAUAUGCAAAAUGGAAACAAGUAGCAAAAAAGAAGGCUGUAAAAUGUUACACAAAGAUAAUCACCAAGUUUUUAGCCAAAGACAUUGUGCUAAGAUUUAAACAACCCAUGAAUCCAAAACUAUAUGGUCAAAGAAGGAAAAGAGAUCUAGGGAUUUUUUCUUCUAAAUAAUAGGUUUUUUGGUAAACAUACACCUUUCAUAACAGCAUUUGUGGCCAAAGUGUUAUCUACCAACCAAUCUAACAAAUUUUGCCACUUUAACCUCCUUUCCCACAAUUAGUUGAAAAUUAUUCAAAACUAUAAUUAAAAACUUCAAACUAAAGUCAUCAAAAGAUGAAAUAAGUUCAAUUCCAUUGGAAAUUGACAAUGGCGGAGACAUGAAAAAGAAACAAAGAAAAUUGACAAUUUAAGUUAUUUCGAAAAUCCCAAGCAACAACUAAACAAGAGCUGGGAAAUUUGAGCAUAUAACAUCUCGAGUGAUAACCAAUGCAAUCUUGAUUUUGAGCUCCAAGACUCCAAAUGAUCAAGUAGUAUAGUACAGCAUAAACUGAAAAGCAUGAAACUUUUGCACUAAAAACCAAAGCCAACAGAUGAGAUAACUUAUUUAUGGCUUGGUUCCUAAGCUUAAAUGACACCACAAAUACAGCAAUAAUAAAAAAUCAACUUUAAUGUGCUCAAACUUCAAAGCUUGCGACGUCUGUGCAAUCACUCAGUUGAAAUUUUAGCUCAAAACACUAUACAACGGAAAAGGAAUAAGCAAAAGCACAAAAACACAUAAAAUCCGACAUUUUAAAAGCAAAAAAAAAAGAAUCCAUGGAAUUAAUGUUUGGAACCUUUUUUACGGCAUGCAGUGCAGCUCCAUGACCACUGACGCCAGCGCCAAUAAUGAUGAGAUCGUAAUCAAAGGAUUUGGGAGCGCUUCCAUUAUCAUCCGAAGAUGCAGAAACCUUCGUCGGACUCGCCUGCGCUUUUCUCGGAAAAAUUAGCCUCUUUGCUCGAAUAAACUGGCCGCGCUUCAGCUGCGAGGGAACUGAAAACCCAGAGAUUUCUAAUAUUUCACCUGCAAGAUCUAAGCAGAAGAAAAUAAAAAACAUACUACGGGUAGGAAAGCAGAUUUCUAAUAUUUCACCUACAAACUCAAAAGCAUACUCAACAAGAAAAUAAAAAACAGCAGAUCUCUGGGUUUAUAAAUACUUCUGACUUUCACUGCUUUUGGAUGAAGAUUUUACUACAGCUUUCUUUGUUUGCUCAAAGAAGGAGAUGAAAAAAUAGUAUUUCAGACCUCUAGGUUAUUAAUCGAAAGAUUAACAAAUCUUAGCAAGAAAAAUGUCUUUCUUUCUUGAAUAAAGGAAACUGUAAAACUUUGGGGAAAUAUUGGAGCUUACCAAUUAAGAUGAUUUCUGUGUCUCAUGCGUUCAGUAGCUUCAUAUCCAGACCAAUUCUAACAAGGGAAAAAAAUCAGUUAGAAUCAUAUAAUUGAAAAAAAAGGAAAGAGAAGAAAGGAAAAAGGGGGGAGGGGGGAAACGGGAAGGAAAAACAGAGAAAAAAGGACCAAAUAAAAACAACAAAAAGGAACAAAGAAAAGAAAAGAAAAGAAAAAUGGAAGGGGAGAGGAGAGGAGCUCUGGAGAGCAACGAAGCGGCGGACAUGAAUGAGGGGAAAGAAAACAAGGGAAGCCCUAAAACAAAAUUUUUGGCACGCGAGUCCCACGUGAUUGACGACCAAAUUCCAGCCAAUAAAACCCAGCCACGUCAGCAAAACAACAACCACCCUUAACAAUCCCAUUCGCGCUUUUACUAUAUAGGUAGAUUAGCAUUAUUCUUGUUCGGCUGGUUCUAGUUUCGAUUUCAGUUUCUAUCAUUUUCAAUUUUAGUAUUUUUCUAGGUAUAGUUUUCAGAUUUUCUAGUACAUUUAAUUACUUAUGAUUAUAAAAUUAAUUUUAAGAAAAUAUAAUAAUGAAUUUAGAGUAACGAGAAACUAAAGAAAAUGAAUGUAAAAAAAAAUAAGGCUUUUAUUGUAUUAUUAGCUUACAAGGAAGAGAAAGAUGAUAAAAAAAAAAUUUAUGUAAAACAUAUCUCAUAUUUAUUGAAUGUUUUAAAUAAAACAAAAGAUACAUAAUUUUCUAUCAAACUUGAAAAAAGAAAAAGAGAAAAACAUCUCAAUUUUCUCACUAACUUGCGCAUUGUUUUUCUUUUGACUCAACAUUUUAGAACUAGCUUAAUGCUGUUGAACUUUCGGUGAACCUCAACCAAAACCUUUAACCAUGGUUCCAACACCGAUUUAAAAUUUCCAAAUUAGUUAUAAUUUUUUUUUAACAAAUUGCUGAUUCAAUUCCGAUUUGAUUCCAAUUUGAACCUGAACUAUGGCCAUGGUUAUUACUAUUACGUAGAGGUGGCAAUUUGUCCCAAAUCCCAAUGAACUACCCAUACCCAAAAAGACUUUGGCGGGAUGGGUAUUGUAAUUUGAUAUUAGGUUUAAAAUGGGAUGCAUCCCAAUUAUACUCAUUAUUUGAUGGAAAAUGUUGGAAAAUACUUGGGUACCUAUUGAGCCCAAAUAUCUUCCCAAAAAAUUUCAUUUUAUCCAAAAAUUCAUCAUUAUUUUUUUUUUUUUGCAAAAAUCUGAUUUUUUUUCACUUCCAUUUUCUUUCAUUUCCUUUCUUCACUUUCCUACAAAAGAAAACCAGUUAAGUAAAAAUGAUUUCAUUUAAACAACUUUAAAAAAAUUAAAGAUAACAAUAAAAAUAAAAUAAAUUGGUAAAAUUUUGGUGUCUACAAGAUCAAUACUUUACUAACAACUGUUGGUACCCUAUAUGUUAAUUUUAUGCUAAUUGUUGAACUAUCUACAUAGAUUUCUAUAUGCAACCCUGUUAUCAAUUUUUAAUCAGCUUCUUCGUUUCUGUGCUAGCUUUAUUCAGCAUUUAAUGUGAAUUUCUUUUGUAUCAAAUUUUGAAAAUUUUAAGAAUGUCAGUAAGAAUGAAUGUGGUGUUAAAAAACUUGUUUCUAGUCCUUGUGUCAGACAACAUUAUGGGUAAGGUUGGAAUAUGGUUGUAUAUCUAUCUUUUCCUUUUUUUGUUAAUCCAAUUUUUGGUUUAAUCCAGGGAGAAGAUAUGUUCAUUCUUACCAAAAUAUUAUGUCUUUUAAAAGUAACUGCUGAUCGUUCUAAAGUGUAAAUGAAUUCAGGAAAAUAUAAAUUCACAAUAAGAUCAAAAGAAAUUUAAUAAAUAAAAAUAUUAAAGUUAUAUAAAAAAUAAAAAAGAAUUAAAGGAAAAAUAUAGAAAAUAGAUUUGGGUAUUGGACGGGAUCAAUCUAAACCUAUCCCAAAGUGAUCCCGCCCAAGUUAGUCCCAAAAUAUAUAUGGGUAAGAUUAGACCCAAACCCAUAUGAUUCGGUUCUAUUUCGAAUUCAAGCAAAUCACGUCCAUCCCGCCCAUUUUGCCACCUCUACUAUUACGAACCAAAUAGUGAAAAACUUGGGUUUUUUUUUUAUGGAAAUGAAACAACUUUGGUGCGAAGGAAGCUCAAGGGCUCAUGCAUCAAAAACAGAAACUGUUUCGUUGAAGCCCUUUUGGAUAGUGGAUAUUGCCGGCUCAGGCCAUUGAAUUUGAAUUGAAGAAGGAUUGCAUCGUGAUAUAAAUAAUUAGAUUGUAAACGAAUUGAAUCGAAUACAAAAUCUAUUCCCAGAUUGAAUUCUGGAUAUUAAGUCACACAACAAGUAGGAAAAAAUAAUAAAGUUAAAAUUGCCAUGUAUUGCCAAUUUUUCAUGUAAAUCCGAACUUUUUUUCAGUUUUCAUAUAAUGUUUUUAAAAAUUGAAGCCAAAAUCACUAUAUGUACUCGAAUUGUUAAUUAGGCAUUUUAUGACUAAUUUGAUUUAGCAAGUGCUCUAAGUUUUACUCAUCGUUAGCUUAAUUUCUUAAGAUUAUACUCGAAUGCCCAAAUGCACGUAAUUAGAAUGGUAUCUUAUGUACAUAUUAUUAAAAUGAUGUCUUAUGAAAUUAUUGCAGGUAUCAUGCAACAAAAUUUUAUCAAGUCCUAAAAAUGAUGUGAGUUCUUGGAAAAUAUUUUAAAAAGAAAAAAUGCAUGCAUUAUUAUUUUGGUAGUCCACUUAUAUUAAUUGCAUGAGCAAUUGAAGGCAGUCCAAAAUUUUUUCAACAAUCUUUACAAGUGCAAAGUGUUCAUUGUUCACAAUAACAAACAAGGGUGAAACUAUAAAAACUAUUCUUCCUUGGAAAAAUGUGAAAUGUGGGCAAAGAUAUUAUGAAAAUAACACAAAAGACUCGAUGAUCAUAAAAUCAAAUGUUCAAAACAACAUAGAAUAGUUCAUGAUCUUUGUAUACUUUAUACAUAAAUGCAUAAUUAAUGAGUUUUCUAUUAAAUUCCAUAAACUGCAUGGAGGAUAUUAUCAGUUUCAUAUGAGAUUAACUUGGGGUCAACUGGUCAUGGGUAGACCAUGAGAUGCCCUAAAACAUGACAUGGAGAAGAGAAUCUGCAUAUUAAGUGGCUCUUAGAGUCUCUUGCUACUAAUACUCUUGUUUAUGCCUUGGCUAAAAAGCUUGAGCUGCAGGUUAAAUGGCCUUAAUUUUAAGUACUCUUGUAACUUAGCUUAAUUUUGAAUUUGGCCCUGAACAAAUAAUUCAACUCUUGAUUCGAGUUCGAACAAGAAAUAUGAUUUGAUUAAAGUAUCAAAUAAAAUUCGAGUUGAAUAUUCGACUCGUACAUAUUCAAUUGAUUAAAGUUCAAUGCAACUCAACUAAUUUUUUAUAUUUUUAAGUUUCUUAAUAUUUUUUAUAAAAUUAUGCAUUUCCUAUUUUAUUAUUAAAAAAUUAAAUAAAAUUCCAAGCUCCGAAUUGAGCUCGAGCCUAGUGAGUACUAAAUUGAAUCAAACUCAACCUUAAAUUUUAAACUCGUUUAGGAUUCGAAUUGAGCUUUCGUUUGAGUCCAAAAAUUCAAAUCAAGUCGAAAAAUUAGAAUUGGAAUCUGAGUCUAACAGCUAAGAAGUUCGAGUAAAUUCGUUUGCUGCCCUAGCUUUAUGGAUUUGAAAUCCACGAAAUACAAGUUGAAAAGCCAAACAAUUAAUCAAGAAACCAGAGCAUCAAAAACUAUUCAAAAGUUUCCUUUCCUUUCUUCCUCAAUCUCCAUCCCUUGACCAAGACAAAAAAGGUUUUCACUAGUAACGACAUACAAGAAAGGUCUAUCAAUCCUUUAAAGGGCUAAGGGAAAGAGGAAAUGAAACCCCAACUCAAGGGAAGAACAACAGGGACAAUAAUUACAAAAACCUUUACAACUAUACAAAAUUCCUGUAGAAUUGAGGGAUUAUUUCCUCACCUCAAAAUUAGGGAAUGCUUUCUCUAUAACAUGAGUUGGCACUAUGUACUGUUAUGAUUUUUCUUUGUGUAUGUCAAAUAUGGAUCCUGAGCAAUGGUCAAAACAUCUGGCCUCUCUGCCUGAUUAUAUGUAAGACAACGACGAAUAAAAUCCUGCAAAACAUAAAAGGAGUUGCUACUUCAGCAUACAGGACAAAGGUGAUGAAAGAAAAGUUUAGCGCAGUCUAUAUACCAGUAUUCUUCAGCUUUUUGUCAGCAAAUGUCCUUUAACCACAUGUUAACAUCAUUCAUCGCAGAAAAUCCAAAAACUAAAAUAAACAUUGUAAUAAAGAAUCCAAGCUAAACAAGGAAACAUCCUAAAGGUAUAAAUUUUGCACCUUUGCCAAGCAAAUAAUUUAGAAAUCCAUCAACAGUAUUGUUAUCAAUUUUCAUGAGAAUCAGCAAUGGCAGUUUUAUUUAUAAAUCAUCAUCAUAGUUUCUUCAUUUUUGACAUACCUAGCAAGUUUCUCUAUUUCGUUUUGUUCCUUCAUCAAUCAUUUCCAUAUUAUGACUUGCAAUAUGAGUAAAAGGAAGCAUGAACAUUAUGUCUGAGCCAGUCAGCCAGAUGUUAAUCUGUCUCAGAAACUGCUAUAAAACAUUGAUACAAAUGAGAUUUUCAAAUUUGCAGCACAUCUGGCUUGGAGAAUUGCCAGAGACGAGUGGGGGGUGGGGGUGGGGGAAUAGAUUGACAUGUUUGUAAAUGGACACCCUCGAUUGAAUUUCAUACAGAAUACUUCCGCUAACAGAAAGUAUAGACAUUGACGAGUCAAAACCCAUUUACUGAAAUAAAUUUUGAAGCACUUCAAUACCACACAAAAAUUGACUCCACUAUGUUGGAAACAAUAACCAUUAUGAAACAAACAAGAGGAUAUCAAGAAUAAACUCAGUAGCAUCCACAUGAUUGGCAUGCUUAUCCAUUACAGAUAAAUUAAAGAGAUAAUUGUUGAAACUUUUGUCAAAUAAGAUUUACACAAGUGAAAACACAUCAAAUUGUAAAGUAUAAGAAAGAUGAUCGAUUUCACACCCCACUUUUACUGUUAUCAAAUUGUGGUAAUAAACACUAGCAAUUAGUGCUGGUGAUGGUGAUAGUGGUGGUGGUGGUGGUCAUAGUAACAAUGAUAUAGUCUCUCCUACGCAGACUCUCUUAGAGAAUUUACCCUACAUAAGGAUGUCGAAGAUUAUCACCCCAAGAAACAUUAGCAAAGAAGUUUACACACAAAUGAUUAGUGAACCUGCCUUUGCCUCGUUCGACACAGCUGGCCUUGAAGGAAAAUCCACCUUCCGGGCUUUAAUGAUGGUAUCUUCGCGUAAAACAAACAAAACAGACAGAAUUCAACCAAGAUCAAUCUAGCAAACGUCCGUGAUCUAUCCCCCAUUCUAACAACAACUCCCAAUUUUCCUUACUACGAGGAGCUUUAGCCCAUAAGAGACAAGUCAAGUUGAACAAUUUUAACCACUGUUGAUUUAAUAAAAUUUGGAGUGAAGCCCUCCAACGUGUACAGGGCUUGUCUUUCCAAAAAAACAAAAAACAAAAAACAAAACCGCUGCUGCAACUACUUCCAUUAUCAGUAUUCUGUAUUCGAAAAUCAACAUUUAGUCUUUCCCAAAUUUAGUAUAUUUUAGUGCAUAAUUGAAAAAUUCUCUUGGCGCAAGUGGAAAAUUAUAGAUUUGCAAUCAAUUACAAAUUUUCCUCGAAAAUAGAUGCCCAGUGAUCAACUAUGGCGCUUCAUAGUUCACCUUUUCCAGUCUUAUACUUAGGAGUUGGUCUUAAUAGUGCAUUAAUUUUUUCAUAGUUAAUCAGAAUUUUCUAUGACAAAAAAAAGAAGAAGAUUCAUGAAGAAAAAUAAUCUAUUGGCUGUACUUUUUUUCGAUUUAGACAUCAAUAGUGCAAUGGCAAAAGGACUUUGUAGAUGAAGCUAGUUGAUGUAAUGAAUUUAUGAUGAUUUAAUUAACUAAAAAGGCAAUCAAUUCGGUCUACUAAAUGUCAUACUCAAGAGGUCAUCAUCUUUGUCAAAGGGUCUAUACAUUCCAUACAUUAGUAGUAAAAGUUAGUGGAUUUGUUAGUAUUGAUGACCAUGUUAGCCACUGAUUUCUAUUAAAUCAUGUCUUCAGCUUCUUAUAAGCUUCUCUAUACCCUACCUAAUCUCAUACCAUUUUACUUUCUCUUGGAUUAUGUGGAAUGCCUACUUGACUGCCUGCAAUGCCUAUAUUUUAAUGAUUCCGGUGCAUUUUCAAAAUCUUCAAUUUAUUUUGUAAAGUAUCGAAGUUCAGUUCACUAAUUGGCCAUAAAAACAGAUCAAUAGCAAAGUUGAAAUAUGCCACUUAUCCUGAGACUUUGCAGAAAGUUUGGAAUGUUAAUGUUGUCCCUUGUAAUCCGAAUUAUCCGAUUAUGUGAAACUGAAGUUGUUGAAGGGUGAGAUGAGUUUUUCACUUGUAUACAAGCUGUUUAAUGGGGUUUUCAAUAAAAAACUUUAUCAUUUGCUCCAAAAAAAAAAAAAAAAAAGAAGAAGAAGGGUGAGUUGAGGAAGCUGAAUGCUAAGCAAUAUAGUUCUAUUAGUGAUAGAAUAAACAGGUGUGUAUGGCCAGUUAUGUGAAGUGCAAUCCUUUUCCUUCAUUCACCUUUUGAUAUCUCUUUGCAAUUUCAAGAACAAUCUCAGAGUAGUUGUCUCAACUAGGAGGCGACCAGCUAGGAUUUAUGUUUACUUUACGGGCCAAAGAUACUGGCCUGGCCACGUCUUCUUCUUCUUGGUUUUUUUUUUAAUUCUUCUUAUAGAUCUUUCAGGCGAGUAAGCAACCUUUUGGGGAAAUAAUGUGGUAUAUUUGGACAUUGGGAUAAUUUAACAAAUCUCCUCUGAGUUUAUAACAAAUUCAUCAUAGCUCCCCUCAAAUUAUGACAUGACGCUUGUGUCUAUUAGCUAUUGAUUUCCAAGGCAAAUACUGAAGUUUACCUCUAUGUUUACCAUUGACACUUUCUAUACAAAGCGAUACAAAUUAUAUAUAAGAGAUUUGUGAAAAUGUUAUACUUCCGAGCUAUAACUCAUAAACAAAGGCAUUCGUAAAACCCUUUUGAUUCAAAUAUAUAGAUAUACUCAACUAUACACUUAACAAUUUAAUGUGUGCUAAAGUGAGUAGAAUAGGCUUUUGAAAAAAGUACUCAAAAGUAUGCUACUUCCAUCAUUACCUUCUAGCACGCAUUGUGCAAACUCUUUUCAAAUAGAAAAAAGGGAACGGAAAGGAGAUACAAAAAAGGGUUACAAAUUCUUUAAAAUAUGGCAAGGGUAAGCAUGGAAGUAACAUAUAACAUGAAACAAACAUGUUAAGGAAACCUUAAAUCAAGAGAGGUAACAGUAAGUUUGAAAACUUUGGUGCAGCUAAAUGAAGUCAAAAACCUAAAACAAGGUUGAUGGAAUUAUCCUUUGUAAACUUUAUGUGUCCGUGGCCAAGUGAAAAAAUACUGUUCAAAAUUCUUAUUUCUAUCGGAACCAUUUCGAGGAACUCCAAUUUGGAUGUCAAUACUAAAAGAAAUUUUCCCUAUGGUACAACUGAUUUUGAAAUUUACUAAUUAUUUAUAUUUUUUUUCGGAGACGACAACUGUUAUAUAAUCUAAUCUAUCCUACACUAAAGGGGAGGGGGCGGACCUAAAGAGGCCCAGGGGUAUAUAGGAAGCAAAUGCAUUGUAUAUAGGAAGCUGAAAACCAAACAAGACUUUAUUAUUAGGUUAUCAGUAUUAUUAGUCGUAUCCAAGUGUCAUCAUGUUUUUUUUAUUCAAGUGUCAUAACGUUAUUGAUAGUAUAAUUGGGUUGCAUGAUUAUGGUUGAAAGUGUGGACUAUGCGAUUAAACUCCGUCUUAGGUGAUAGGGUGUUAAUUGUUAGUAAUUUUAUUGUUAAUUUUCCCUUUUAUCCUUGUCAAAUAUUAUUUUAAUUAUUAAUAUUUACUUAUAUUUGGUAUUUGGACUCAAUUUCAGGGAAUGGAGCAGAAAACUACAAAAAAUGAAGGACUUUCUGAAAACAAUGGAGACUUCAAACAAUCGGGCCCACAUGGUGCCACAAACGGAUGGCAUUUCCUUUUUGCUGAUUAGGAGUUGAAGUCUUUGAUGGGCAACAGGAAACGAAAAGUAGAGAAAAAUUCGGCAGAGCCUUCUUUUUGUACUUGGACUCCCAAUUCGUUGGGGACCACAGAGAGCAUUAAGGAGUCAUACUUUUGCUUGGAAUAAAAAGAACGUACAGAGGCUAGGGAUAGUUUUUAGCAAUAGUUUAGUUUUCUUGCUUUUUCCUUUUCAUGCACGCCUACUGUUAUCAAUGGUUGUACCUUGGUUAUCAAUAAAUUAAAGAAAAAUUGGUCGUUAGAGUUCGUCGGCGACUAUAACUAGUCUAUUAAUAAAUUAAGUGAACCUCCCUUACAUCAAUGAUCGGGUAAGUGGACUAUGUUUGAAUAGUUGUAUUCUUGGUUAGAAUUUAUCUAUUCUUGAAUUAAUUCCUGUGUAUAUUUGUGUUAGUUAAUUAUUCGUUUUAUUUGAAUUGCUUAAUUAUUUGUAGUUUUAUUCUGAUGAAACACCCCUUUUACCAAUUGGAAUCUCAAAGAGACAAAUAUCCUCAAUUCCUGAGGAGACGUGUGAGAACCCGUAUUUUCCCUAAUAAUUUUCCUAGGGUUUUUCCCCUUUAAUGGCAUGUUUUUUGCAUUUUCUGGCUUAGAAAAUUUUCCUGGUGAAUUUUAUGAGUAAUUAUAGUUUUUAGAUGAUUUUUCUAGCAUUGGAUAGUUUUUGAAAAAUUACGGAUAUAUAACGGACGUGGGGCCCACUAGUGCGAAAAGUUCGGAAAAAUUCGGCCAAUAAGGUUAAGUUUCGGAUACUGAGUGAAAUUUAUCGGGUGUUAAGAGAUAAGUAUAGGAUGUGAUGUGAUUGAUGUGAGAGGAAAACAAAAGGAUAGAAAUGCAUUAAUGAAGUGACACUUGUCAUGUUGGGAUUGGUUUCACUUGUUGACAACUAUUCAUUUUUUUUGACUUUUCUUACCAAUUGAUUAAAUAUCUCAAAAAUCACAAAAAAAAUCACUCUUGUCUUCACCUUCUUGGCCGGCCACCUUGAGCUUAAGAAGGAAGAAAACUCUUCAAAAUCUUGGCUACCAUCUAGCUCAAAUCCUCCAAAACAAUUGCUUGAUCUUGUUUCUACUCCAUAAAAUCUCUCCAUUUGGUACUAGUAAGUGAUUUGGUGAAGUGUUUAAGGAAGCUAAGGUGUCCAACAACUCUCCCUCUCUUGUUUACUAGGUGAGUGGUGAUUGAACUUCCUCCUACACUUAAUGAAGCUUAAGUUGUGCUUAGUGGUAGCUAAAGUGCUGAAAUUUGUGGUUUAUUUCUUGGUUUGAGAUGAAAUGAUGAAGUUUUCAAUUUAAUGGUGUAUUUUCUGGUUUAAUGUGAUCAUGAUGUUGUGGUUAUCUAUGAUGGUUGGUAAUGAAGGGUAAUGACUCUAGUAGGUGUACAUGAUUGGUAAUUGCAAGCAAUUUUGGGUUUGGAAGGAAUUUGAGAAAGUUAGGGUUUUAUAUCCCCAAUUCUGUCCGAUUUUGUAUCUCAUGGUUAGAGGCCGAAUUGGCCUUGUCUUAAAACAUGAAAGUUGUAGGUAUUGAUGUGUUUGAGGUGCCUGUAAAAUUUCAGGUUCAUCGGAGUUGUGUAGAGUGAGAAAAGUCGAUUUUACUGUUGCUGUUCUGGGUUCUUCAGGAUGGCCGAACUGCGUCUGUAAUUGGUGGUUUUGGCUGGAAUUGCUUUGGAUUUGGUUGUUGAGGCCUUCUGAUGAAAUGUAGCUUGAUGUCUUAGCUACCGCAUGCCUUUGGUAUGAAUGAAUUUGGACUUGUAUAGACUGAGUUGGACUAAUUACAGCAUAGUGUAUUUUGUAAACCUGCAAUUAAGGUUCUGGUUUGGUAUUUUGCAUAUUUGACCUAGUUGUGCUAGGAAUUGGACUGAGUGACCUUCUACAUUGUUGUAGCCCUGUUUCUUAGCUUCGAAACGGUGGGUCUUACACCCUCAUCCGAUAAGCGUAGUGCAAUUUGUGCCAUUACCGCAAACUGAGGACAAAACUGUUUUUUUUUCAGGGCCAAGUUAGUUACAUUUCCUGAUUUUCUGGUUUGCUAUAAUGCUUAUAUAUGAAUAUGAAACCCUAUUGGGGUUGUGAUUGGCAUGGCUUUAUGACUCGUUAUCGAGUCUCAUUGUAUUUGUUUACGUGUUUUAGGACGUGACGAGGGUUCACGACGACCUUUUAACGACGGUGCAUGAAACAUCACCUACUUGAGUAGUGAGUAUACUACUCACUUGAAUGUUUAUAAUGUGGCUUUGCUAUAUGUGAUUGUGAUGCCUUGAAGGCUUGUUUGGCUAUUGGACAUGGUUAAGGUGAGGGUGUACUUGACCGCCCUCAUCCUUUUUAUCUUGUUAAUGACUGUUUACCGUUUCACUGUAAUACUGCACUUGCUAUAUGAGAUAUUGAAUUCCAUUCAUGGGAAACUGUUUGGGUGUCGGUUGGACGAGUAUCCAACGGCCCUACUGCAUUACUGAGCUCGACCCCGUUGGUAGUUACUUGAAUCGAGCCAGCGAGGGCUUGGUCGUGAAAAUUGACUAGCCACGGGGACUGAAAUGGGAAUCUUGUGGUAAUGAGACCCUUGGUUCCGGUGUACUCGAGUAUCACCUAAAGCUACUGCUUGGAGUGCGGGCCCGGUUGGGGUAUGUUGGGUGGAAGGAAUGGAAGUGAAGUGAGGUCUACGGUCGGGUAUUCUUAAACAUUGACGGAGGGUCAAUGAGGUUGGAUCAAGAAUGUAAGCGUGGAAAUGGGCUCUUGAGAGCCGUCCGUAUCCUUUUACCGACUUGUUUUAUUUCUUAAUUGCGUACUUGAGAUGAAAGUUAAGUGAUCUUUGUUGAUUAUGUGAUAGUUGCUCACUGAGCUUUAGCUCACUCCGUUCCAUUUGUUUUCCUUACAGGAAAAAUGACUAUUUUGGGAAAGGUUGUGCUAGUUGGUUGUCAAGUUGAGCUCAUGUAAAUGUAUAUUUUGAAUAGCUCCUUGAGGGUGAAAACCCUAAGUGUUUUGUUUCAACCAAUGGUUGGUUUGUAAUUGGCCAAUUGCACAUGUGUGAACUUGUUGGAUAUUUUGGUAUACCGCUUUGGCUUGUAAAUGUUAAAUUUCGAUGUAUAUAUGUUGGAUUGAUGUUUGGUUGAACUCCGGAUUCUGACAUGGCCGGUACUGUUCAUCAUCGGCUUCGAUUUUCAUAUUUUUUUUAUUUUGUGAUUUUGACUUGUUUGCGCGCGUUGGUGUGUUCCGGAAUGUAGUAGAUCGACGUAAACUGAUCCGUUAGUCCUGGCGAGAGCUGGGCAGGCAGUCCGCUAACCCCUUUGGUUCGCCUUAGGGGAAGGUGGGGCUGUUACAAGACGACCCUACUUGCCACUGUCUGCCAAUUAGUAAAUUUUGUCAAAUAAUUAAUUCUGGUAUAUCGGAUUAAGCAAACUCUUCGAGAACAGGGUGAAUCAAGUAACCCAUUGCACACCUAGAGUCUCUGCUCCAGUACUUAGAAUUGAUUAUUGACUACUUUUGACGGGCGUAGGGUAUACAUAUAACAUUAAGCUCAUCCUAAUCAAGUUUUACAUUUAUAAACUCCUAAAUACCCUACACGCGAUUUAUCGCAAGUAUACGAAUCGUGAGCGAGUAUAGGGUAUUAAAAGUCGAUCUCACAAGGAAGAUUGCAAUUACCGGCACUACUAAAGCUUCUCUAUUAUUUAGACUAUCAAUGAAUUAUAACAAAUUUAACCUACUGAACUUAUGCAAGAAAAUAACAAAUGAAAGCUCCUUAAGUUGUGGUAUCCCUAACUACUCAUGCAAGUGCUAUAUUUGGAUCAUUGAAUACUACUAUCUAGGCUAGUUAUGGUGUAAUUUCCUUAAACAUGUGAAACCUACUUUCGUAGUGAAUCAACUAUAUUCAUAACUAAUCCAUACAUAUUCUCAUGGUUAUGAAAUUAGCUACAAGUUCAUUUCUUCAAUGAAAUUAAUCACUAAAAUCACAUAGGUGCACCUCUACUCUCGUGAGCGUACUCCCUAUGUUUAGCACUUCUUAAACUAGUGUUAAAUCUCAAUUUUCAUUGCAGAAACAACACCUUAAAUAAUCACAAUCAAUGGUACCAGAUUAAUCAUGAUUUAAAGAGCCAAAGUACUAAAUAACUUGCUCAAAUCAUAGCAAUCAAAUAACCAAAUAAUAAAUACUAACAAUUAUAGAAAGUUCAACCAAACCCAAGGCAUAAACGUUAGAGACACAUAUUAAACACAAAAUCCAGAACUUGCAUAUCAACUAAACUUAGAAUCCAAUACAAAAGAUAAAGAGUUGGAAAAGAGAUAACCAUUGUCACAUGAGCUUCAACUCCUCCUUUUUCAUCUCCAUUUUCAUCCUAAUCUAGCUAAUAUACAAGAAUGGAAGAGCUAUACUAUUCUAAACUAAACUAUCCUACUACUCAGAAAGUGCAAGAGCUACAUCUCUGCACUCCAAGUUUCUCCUGUAUGUCUCUCUAUUCUCCCUUCAAUCUUGCAAGCUUUGGCUAUAUAAAGGUGAAAGUUGGUCAAGAAGUGAGGUUUACACCUCCCUUUUACAGCUGGGAAUGUUUCUCACAUGUCUAGCAUCACCUGUGACUUAGUGGAGGUGAAAUUGAGUUUCCCACGUAAAGAGCAGCCUUCUCUGACCACAAUCCGGCCAGAAAUCUGGCCAAGUUCCGGCCGGAUUGCUACAGUGACAUUUUGGUGCACUUUUGUUCAAUUUCCAGCUCUGCUCCAAUUUUGUGUCAAUUUCAACUGAACUUUUGUUGAUGAUAAAAGCUGAUUUAGCUCUUGAUCAACAUAAAACUUGUAGCCCUUUGAGUUAGCUUUCCAAUGCAUCAAGAAUCACCUCAUUUGGAUCUGUGUAGGCUGAGAAAUGACCGAAAUACCUUUGACUGCUCACUGCCCUAUUUCAGCUUCGACCAAUAGAAAUUAGCUACUGUAAUUCGGCUUUUUAACCUGGAAAACCUUCAAAAUAGAUUCAGAUGUCUUCACCAAAGUUGUAGAUCUAUCUCUUAUCUUCAAAUUGGUUUAAGAAUCAUCUCAAUCCGAUCAUUAUAGCUCAAGUUAUAGCCAAAAUACGAAAAUGUGUCAAAACUGUCAAAAUGCACAAAAUCCAAGUAAAAAGUGAUAAAAACCUCAUUUAAUUACUUAAAAGCAUUUUUCACCAAUUAUAGCCAAAAUGAAUCAUUUUCUUCCAAUAAUGUAACCAAAGUGACUAACAAUAAUAUAAAAUAUCAUACAAUUAUUACAUAAAUUAGUCACUUAUCAGCUUUUAUUGGCAAUUAGGUUUAUUUUUAUUAUUGCACAGGUUCGGCACCUGUCAUUAGGAGUACUGGUUUUGCUGUGGGAUUUUUCGUUUUCUUUGUCAGCUGCGUCAGCUGCAUGGUGCUUUAGAGCAUAAGCCUUUGUUUUGUAUCGAAACAUCACGGCCAAAAUUGCCAAAAGCAUAUCGAAACAUGAACACAAAAUGAAAGAUGUGAGGAAACUUUAAUGAAGAUAUGCCUUGAGAUUUAAACACCAAAGACAAAAGCUCAAAAAAUAUUAUCAACGGAUCAAAAUAAGAACUUGAUUAUUGGUAAAACACUCCAACAAGUUAAGUCGAACCAAGAUCAACAUAAUCAAUUAUUUGAUUUCAAGAGUCAUAACUUUUGCUUGUAAAGAACAAAUAAAGUUAAACAAUUUAUUGCUUUUUUCCCCCCAGUCAGCUGUGUACCUCAACAUUAUUUCACGUCAAAAACUUGUUUUUCCUCGGAUUAAAUACCCUAGCAUCUGAGGUUAUCACCAGUCUCGACACCCAAUUGUCUACAAUAUUCAGUAUAAUACUCAACUCGAGCACUAACUGUGUUUGGAUUUGCACCAUCACAUUCAAGCCGACCAUUAAUGGCACGAAUUGUAGCCCCAAAACCCUGGCCAGAAGUGAUAAGAUCAUGACAAUGGUUCAUCCAAUACCACAAGCCAGUUUUGAAUGAAAUAACAUUAUUUGUAGCUACAGUUUCAGGUUGGCUGAGUCCAUUGAAUCCAAUGCUUUCACCUGCUGGUCCAUAGUUAGAGUUCCAUGAUAACUGUAUUGGACCCCUGCCGUAAUAUCCCUUGCCUGGCACACAUGGAUACUGAGUGUUGCUCUCAUCACAGUAAUCUCUGGAGGGGCCGUCUAUCUCUUCUAUGUAGCACAAAUCUGCGCAAUAUAAAGAAAUUUUGUCACUCAAUUGAAAUGAUUGAUAAAGGGUUAGAAUCAAAGAAAAUCAGGAGGUCUGGAAUUUUUUGUAAAUUUUUAGAUUUGAUUGUUUUACUAAUGAAUUCAAUUGGUGAGAAAAGACUUUAUCCCAUUUUGUAAAAAUUGGGUUGGACAGACCUAAAGUAAACACUCUUUUUAUGAGGUAAAAUUUUAGAAUGAUUUAACAUUAUAGGGUUAUACGAUAGAUAAAUAAAAAUUGGCAAUAGCAAGAUUAAGAAGGGACCAACAGUGAUAUAAAAAUUACAAAGGUAUCAUGGACGUCUAAAAUAUAUUUGGCUAAUAAAUUUGAACUAAUUUACGGCCAAAUUUAGGUGAAAUAGUUAAUUCUACUUGGUAAAUUGGAAGUUCGGAAACGUGUAUCUGUCAGUUGUCAUACUCAUGAGCGAGCCAAUCUUAACUUAAAAAAGAAAAAGAAAAAAAGAAAAAGAAAAAAGGAAUCCAAAAGAUAAAAGUAGAAAAGGCAUGAAUUUUAAAACGUAAUCGUAAUACCUUGUACCCGAAACAAAUAUGUGCAAUACUUAUUAAGCUAAGCAAAGCCACAUGAUCUACUCUUAGAUGCAGCAAAAUAUACAACCACCUUAAGCUUGGAAUGUAAAGGCAGAAAAACUUGCUUAUGUAGAUAUAAAAGUGACCACUACAAGAAAAGUAAAAAGAAUAUGGAGAUAAUAAUCCUUCUGUUCAUCAUGAUAAAUUAUUUAACAGUAAUAAAUCUUUCAUAUUCAAGUUUUAUUUUUUGAAGAAAAAAUUCUUGGAUAAUAGUGCACAGGAGAUUCCAAGAUAUACUAUCUAGAAAUUCACAGGAGCUACUAAAAAAGUAGAAAAUAUCUUCAAAAUUUAAUUUCCAAGCUAGUGUUAUUCAAAACUUACGUCCAGUCUCAUGAGUGACAUGAGCAAAGAAAGCAGCAAUCUCCCUUUUAGAAUCAUCAACAGAACCAGCGGUUCCAAACUGGGGAUACGAGUUCAGAGCUUCAAGAAAAGCUGAUCGAGUAUAGAACCCUUUUCCAGCACAGCUUGAAGCAGCUUGAUCAGCAAUCCCAUUAAAGAAAGCGUCCGUCACAAUAUCAGCAACUGAAACGCCACUAUUACCACUGCUCGGAGCAGCGGUGCAAGGGCCGGAUUGACAGCCAGAGCCGCAGUAGUCGUUGCCGGUACCGCAAUAGCCGAAUUUGCUGCAGCACAAGUCUGGUGCACAGCCGCAGUUUUGGCUUGAAAUCAGCUGUGGAAAGGCUCCUACAAGAACUACAAUGGAGAAAAUGAUGGUUGGAAAACUCUUCAUUUUUGGAUUUGAUAAAGGAGAGAAGCUUGUGGGCAGCAGUUGUAUCAGAAAAAAGGGUAUAUGUAGGGAAGAGAACUGAAAACUGAUCAGCUUGUGUGAAGCAUGCACAGCUGCUAUUGUUGAAAAUAUUGAAUUUGAGCAAUUAAAGAAAACAGAACAGAAGACGAAAGCGUGAAUGGUUGACUUCUAUCGAGAGUAUUGACUUUGACAUUGUCAAUGAAGCGGAAACUUUCUUUCUUGGCUUCUAGAAUGGGAAAGGUCAAAAAGAAAGAUUUUGGCCAAUUCGUAUGAACAAUUGUGAGAAUAAGGCAUGUAGACUCACAAGUCCCCACUAGAAUGUGUGCAAAAAUAUAAUUUGAAGUUGCCUAAAUCAUUUAAUUUCAUGCUUGUUAUUGAGUUUAUUUGCCUAACUGUGUUUUAGUAAUACUUCAAAAUUGUGUUUGAGUUAGAACGGAAAAAAAUAUGAGACAUUUUUUUUUUAAUUGCAAUUCCAGAAAUAAAAUCUUAUAAAACAUGUAUUAGAAAAAUUUUGAGGGUAAAUGAUAUGAAAAAAAAAAAGAAGAAAUAGUUCUAUAAAUUGACAUAAGUGUUCAUCGGCUUUUGGAAAAAUUAAGAAAGAAUAAAGCAGCCGACAUAUCUAUCAUGCAUAACAACAUUAUGUGGCUUUUGUUAGUACACGCUAUGACCAUAUAUGUUUCAUUUGAGAUGCUUGUCGGACGUGUUGAAUUGUUGGCAAUGAAAUGCUCCAAAAUGUCAGCACUAUAGUUUAUAAAUAGUAUUAGGUCAUAGUGAAUUAUCGACAUAUCGUUACAUGCAGAGUCGUGAAAAUAUACAAGUCUUUCCCUAUCAUUAAUUAGUUGGUCAAAUGACAAUUUUAGAGUGGCUGCUGACUAUGUCAAGAAACAUCUUGCAGUAAAUUGGGCGAUUUAAUGUACUUUUCUUUUUCUAAAUAUUUGCACUUAAACUCUCAAAUCGACCAUAGUUUUAACUAAUUUUGCUCUGGCUUUAUUCUUGAUUCGCAAAAUUCAGAAAAACCAAAACAAACCCUUGUUACUGAAGAUAUCAAAAUGGUAACCCAACUAAGUAAUUGAUUUUGAAAAACAUUCUGAACCAAAUUUCAAGUUUUGGUUUCUUUGCUCUUUUUCUACUGAAAGGCAACUUCCCCGGGCCAAGAAAUUGAAACAAAUAGUACGAUGCUUAAGUUUUCUAUGCUCUUAUGAUCAAGUCAAACCAUGCUUAUAAUCAAUUACAUAAAAAAUUACGGGCAAUUUCGUCAUUAUUUGGGAGGAGGAGGAAUAUUAAGCAAAAAAAAAAGUUCUAUUAAGAAAACGAUUAAGCAUAUUAUUUUCCAGGAAUAAAAAAGAACGAGCAGAGAAAUACAUUAGUUUGGAUGACAUUACAACAUUUAGCAACAUGAUUAGGGAUGCAAUGGGAUGGGUGCCAAUUGGGAAUCAAUGGGAUGGGAGAAAAUGCAGGAGGGGAUGGAGGGAUUGAAGAAUAUUUCUCCUCCAACAUUAAAUGGAUACCUCCAUCCCAUCCCCUAAAACCCCUUGUUGCUAUUCCUAAACAGGAUGCUACUUAUAUCCUCUCUCUAUGAGCAUGUGUGGCUAGUGAGGAAUGCAGGAUUUUGAUUUUGGCGGGGGGAGGGUGGGGCAAAUUGACAAUCAAGAAACAAUAGAAAAAAAACCUUAGCAAAUAAAGCACACAAACUUAAAAUGAAAGUUUAAUAUACGAUAAAUAAAAUAUAAAUAUUUUUAAUAAUAAAAUACACCAUAUAAAUAAAAUGAUAGAGCAAUAAUUGGGCACCAUAAGUGCUGUUAUUUGGUCAUAAUGUUGGCUACUUAUCAUGCUAAGUAGUGCAGCUUUGCUCAUAUUUGAUAUUUGUGUAAAUUACAGGCGGUUGGUGUUGAAACUGAUCUCUCGAGGCAAAUUUUCAGAAGACUUUUUAUUUCAGAGCGUGCCGACGCCAGAAACUAUAGAGAGACUCCUCAAAGGUGGACCGCGGGACUAAUUAACUAAACUUACCUUUAUUCCUGCUUGACGCUGCUGGAAGUGCGUUAAAACAAAAAGGCAAUAAUUUCCAGCGAAUUGGGUAACAACCAAUAAGGAGGAAAAUUAGGGGCACUAGCCUACAAAGCCGGACCCCGCGAGACUGGUAGACAAAGUGGGGAAUUAGGAAGUCUUCAAAGCGGCUAUUUUCUCGUGGGCUGCAGAGGUGAAAAGGACAAGUAGUUUGAGUCUUGCAGAGAGCUUUUGAGUUCUCUUACGUUUUGUCUUGCGGUAGCCACCCGGGGGAGGAUUGAAAAAGCCAUAUUCACGUGGGAUUAGGAGAUUAGCUUUAGUUUCUUGUAUCCCUGGGUAGACGAUCUGCUCUCUGCUUUGCUUUUGGCGACUUUCUUUAGACCUUUUUCUUUACUUUUCUCCGGCACGAACACGGAACCAAAAAAGAAGCAAGACUUUUCGUUUGUCUCGUCGUUAUUUCAUCUUUCCCAACUUUUUGGUAAUUAAGUGGAUGGAAUCAAUCAAAUCACGCGAGAUUGAUGUGAUGAGGAGUGGCUAGGUUUCUCUGCUACCCAAAGGUCGACGCGAAGGCGCGGUCCAUAACAUCUGUGAGAUCUAAUCGAACUUUCACUAUUUCUUCCAAUCCGUUACUAUUCGUGCGUUUUCUGGAUUAACUGUUUAUGAUUAUUUUAUUAAUUGAGUAUCAACAGCCGGAUAUUUAAUUUAAUCUAAUAGCCUACUGUCACGUUAACUAAAUUGAAUCCGUAAUUAUUCGUUUAGUUGAUAAUUAGUGACAACCAUCAUAAUUGGCUUUAUGUUGGGAAAAACGUAAGAUCUAAUUUAGAUAAACCCUCUUAUAGCGUGUUUAUUGGUUAGGGUUGGAUUUUUCUAGCGUUAAUGCAACUGAAUAAUUAAAUUCCUACGGUCGUAUCUAGGGUUAUUUUCUGGUUAGAGAAACAGUCAACGGUCGUACCUUGGCUAUCGAAAAAGUAAGAAAAAACUAGCAGUCAGAGCUUGUUGAUCGCUAUAACCAACCUAGUGACGAAUGAGUGAAAUAUCUUUGCAUCGAUGAUCAUUUAAUUGGACCGUGCCUGAAAAGUUGAUCCUUUGGAUAGAAUUUUGCUAAUUGCUAUUUUCAGUGAAUUGUACUUGGCGAGUUAGCUUUUGAAUUUUGUUUAUUUUAUUUUCAUUUUCAUUCCAUUAAAUAUCCCCCAAUUUUGUUCUAUUGACUUGGAAAGAAACAACUUCUUACCCGUUACUUGUGGAAUCGACCCUACUUGCCAUUUUCAGAAACAACUUCUUAAAUUUUAAUCCUUAUGAAACCCAGCUUCUCUCUCAAUUUUCAGAGGUUUCUUUUCCUUCAUCAUGUCAAAGUUGCUAUUAUAAUCACUGUAAUUAGACAGCUAAACCUGUCAUUCCAAUUAUACCCUUGGUCCGCCGUGGGAAAUACAUAAAAUGUGGUAGCGCUGCCCAAUAAGUCCCACAUUGGACCAUAUAAAAUUGUUUAAGGACUAAAUUGGUAAAAAAAAUCGUAAAUGAUGAAAUUGAUUUAAGUGAAAAAGUUCAAGGACCAAAUUGGCAAUUUUUCCUUAUUAUGAUUAUGAUUAUGAUUAUUAUUAUUAUUAUUAUUAUUAGUCUGAGAUGCCGAACAAGUUGUGGAGACUUAUUUCACCUUUACAAGGUCAUUGGAGGGCUUGACGAGGUGCGAUGUGGUAAGGAAAGGCACAAAAAACUCUUUUUUCUUUAUUAAAAAACAUACAAAUUGCACUAAUAAUGGCUGAAAAUGCAUCCAACAUGCAAUAGUGAAAAAUCGUUAGAUGCAAGAUAUAUAAAAGUUAACAAAAAUUAUCUUAGUACCUCUGAUAUAUUCCAAAUUCAGAUAAAUCAUCUGCCCCCAAUGAAUAUAUGUGCAUAUCAUCAUUGUCAAAAAAUAUUUAUGCAUAUCAUUGCCGUUAGAUUUUAUAUUGAAGUGGUUAAAGCUCCAAAUCUAGUAGAGAAGAAAUUCAACACUUGAGAAAAUAAGUUAAGAAAUUCAAGAUUUGACAUACAAAUCUGAAAAGCUCUCAAAUCUAACAAAACAAGAUAUAAAAUUAUCUGAAUAAAACUCUCACUAGAAUAUCUUAGUAGAGAAGAAAAUUCUCACUAGAUAGUCUCACUAUACUUUAUUAGACAUAAAAAAAAAAAAAAGAGAAGUCAAACAGAGGGAGGAAGGCAAUCCUCCAUGGAGGAAAUAAUAAUUGUCUUGAAGGUUGUGUAGAGAGAUGGUGGAGAAACUUCUUUUGUUUUAUCUAUUGGUUAUCUUUCUAAUUGCUAGUUAACGAACAAUAAACUCUAAAUGAAACUACUAAAUUUGCAACCGAAGACAUUUUUGGGCUUGUAUCUUAGUAUCGUAAUCGUCACCCAAUUAGAGCCGCCCAUGACGGCUUCAUUAAAUAUAUAAUUUGGGGGAACCAGGAUUUAAGGCCAAAUUUCGGCAACCUUCAAGGCACUUCAUUGUUUUCUCACAAAUUUUGUUUAUUUAUUGUAAAAGAUUAACUUUAAAGUGUCCUCAAAUUUCUUCCCUAUCUUCUCUCAAACUUUACCAGUGAAAAUUGUUUGUCUUCGGGUUCGUUUGUUUCGGGUGAAAAUGUUUUCCAGAAAAAGUAUUUUCCUAAUUUCCCGUGUUUGAUUGCACAAAAGUUACUGAAAACAUUUUACAUAAAUUUUCACUCAUCUUAUGGAAAACAACUUCCCUUCCAAACUUACUGAAGUUGUUUUCCGAAAUGCAUGCAUCCCGCCUGUAGUAUGUUCCAAACUUACUGAAACCAUCUUGUAGUAUGUUCUUUUUUUUUUUUAGUGUAAACAGGAGGACUCGAACCAAGACCUCUUCCUUACACUCCCUCCCCCGUACCAUCCAACCCAACCCAACCCUCCCCCUAGUAUAUUCAAAAUAAAAAAAAACCUCAUCCUACUCAUCCUAUUCUAGUAAUUAAUUAUGUAUAAUAGGGACAUUCUUUUCUAGAGAAACUUUCAGCAAUGAUAGUGCAAGAUAUAUGUCACAAUAAGCAUUGCAUGUGAUUGAUAUUUGACACUAAAUGGCCAGCAAUUUGUUUAUUGCUUAAGGAGAUAUUUUUUAUUCAUAUAUACAUUUCUCCAAGAUUUUUUAAAGUUAAACAAUGAGAUAAAUUUUCUUAUUUUGCAUGGGAAGAAGUAUGUAGUUAUAAUGUGUAGAAAGUAAAGAUAGAGAUAAAAGUGAAAAUAUUUCAAAAGUUAAACAAACACCAAAAAAAUGAAGUAAGAAAAUAUUUUCAAUAAACUAACCAAACACCUGAAAAUGAUGAAAGAGAAAUGAUUUUCAUGGAAAAUUACUUCCACGGAAAAUAUUUUCCCAAGAAAAACAUUUUACUUCCAACCAAACAGACCCUUCAUCUCGUUGAUUGUCUCCCCCAGUGCAUACAAAUGUAUUAUGGGCAUUUUGGUGAAAGAAAGGCAUAAACUGAGUUCUGCACAACUAAAUUUUGCCAAUAGCAUAUGAAAAUAUGAAGAAGAAUAAUAAUAAAUGAAGGGUCUGUCUAAUAAGUAUUCAUAGGGAACCAUUGAAAUAUAUCUCAAGUGUCAUGUUUUUGGAAAUGUAAAAUUAAUAGAAAAAAUAAAUAAAUACAAGAGAGAGUAGAUAAAAUUAAAUAAGAAAAGUUAAUAAUUGUUAAUAGAUAUAUAUACAUAAUAGAUUAGAUGAACGUUAAAUAUGUUAACAAGUACCUUAUUAGCACCCGUUAAAAAAAGCUAUAAAUGAAAGAUGUGAUCACCAAAUCAUUGACAAAGAAAUGUGUUGAAAAUGAAACAAGAAAGUCAAACAUGAUAAGGGAUCAAAAAUGGAAUUUAAUAAUUGCAGAUACUCCAAGAAGUUGAGUUGAAAUCAGUUAUCCGAUUUCAAAUUCACAACUUCUGCUGUCAAAGAACUACAAAGGGACUCAACUUCUGCUAAUUUAUAUUAGUUUCGAAACUCUUACAAGUACCCUAGCAUCUGAGAUUAUCACCGGGAUCAACACCCAACUGGUUACAAUAUUCAGCAUAAUACUCAACACGAGCACUAACAGUGUCCGGAUUUGCACCAUCACAUUCAAGCUGUCCGUUAACGGCACGAAUUGUAGCCCCAAAACCCUGGCCAGAAGUGAUAAGAUCAUGACAAUUGUUCAUCCAGAACCACAAGGCAGUUUUGAAUGAAAUAACAUUAUCUGUGGCCACAGUUUCAGGUUCAGUUAGUCCAUCGAACCCUAUGCUUUCACCUGCUGGUCCAUAGUUAAAGUUCCAAGAUAUUUGUAUUGGACCCCUGCCGUAAUAUCCCUUGCCUGGCACACAAGGGUACUGAGUGUUGCGCUCAUCACAAUAGUCUUUGGAAGGGCCGUCUAUCUCUUCUAUAUAGCACAUAUCUGCACAAUAUAGAGAAGUCUGUAUCAAUUAUCACUGCAUUCAAUUGCUUAUAUGAAAGCCACUCAUUGAUACAUUAUGGAUUUUAGAUAUUUUUACUAUUAAAAAACCUAUAAUCUAAAUACAAAAUAAAUGAGAACAUAAAAAAAAUUAAUUAUUUAAAAUCAGAAUCUAUAGUCAGUUAUAAUAAUCAAUCAAGAACAACCCCAAAAAAUGUCAUCAAUAUUUAAGAAGGGACCAUAUGUGAUAAAGAAAUUAUAAAGUUAUAAGUAAUCACAGACUAAAUAAAUAACCAAUACAACAAAGUAGAAAAAAUUAACGUCAAAGUGGGACGGAGGGAGUAUAUGUUUUUCUUGGUAUCCUAGCAAUAUGAUAGUUGGAGCAAUAACCAUUGUCAAAUUUUGGUGUUUGAUUGUUGCUCUCAUGCUUGAGGGCAAGCAUGGUUCAGGUGUGAGGAGAAUUGAUAGGGUGUUAAUUGUUAGUAAUUUUAUUGUUAAUUUUCCCUUUUAUCCUUGCCAAAUAUUGUUUUAAUUAUUAAUAUUUACUUAUAUUUGGUAUUUGGACUCAAUUUCAGGGAAUAGAGUAGAAAACUACAAAAAAGGAGGGACUUUAUGGAGACAAUGGAGACUUCAAACAACCGGGGCCACAUGGUGCCACAAACGGAUGGCAUUUCCUUUUUACUGAUUAGGAGUUGAAGUCUUUGAUGGGCAACAGGAAACGAAAAGUAGAGAAAAAUUCGGCAGAGCUUUCUUUUUGUACUUGGACUCCCAAUUCGUUGGGGACCACAGAGAGCAUUAAGGAGUCAUACUUUUGCUUGGAAUAAAAAGAACGUAUAGAGGCUAGGGAUAGUUUUUAGCAAUAGUUUAGUUUUCUUCCUUUUUCCUUUUCAUGCAUGCCUACUGUUCGACAAAAGUCCCAACUGGAGAAAUAUCUUUCACCUCUUGAUUAUUUAGUGAAAAACCCGAUGCCUUUGCAAUCAAUUAAUUUGCGUGGAAAUUUAUUUAUGCGGCGUGGCUAAACUUUUCAUCUAGUCAAGGAUCAACUCGACGGCGCAGUCCCGAAUAUCUGUGAGAUCUAAUUAGUUUUCACGCGUUCUUAAUUUGUUAAUAAUUGCGCGUUGUCUAUUCGAAUUUCCAUGGGAUUAUUUUGUUAAUUGGAUGUCAAGGGAUCGAUGUUCAAUGUGACUUAUUAAUCUCCUGCCAAAUUAGUCAAUUAAAUCCAUAAUUGUUUGAUUGGUUAAUAUUAGUGGCAACUGGCGUGUUUACACACCAGGGGAACGUGCAAUCUAAUUUAAAUAACCCUCGUAGCGUGUUAUUGAUUGGGGUUAGGUUUUUCUAGUUAUUAAUGCAAUUGAAAAAUUAAUUCCUACGGUCGUACCUAGGAGUAUUUUCUGGUUAGGGGUAAUCAAUGGUUGUACCUUGGUUAUCAAUAAAUUAAAGAAAAAUUGGUCGUUAGAGUUCGUCGGCGACUAUAACUAGUCUAUUAAUAAAUUAAGUGAACCUCCCUUACAUCAAUGAUCGGGUAAGUGGACUAUGUUUGAAUAGUUGUAUUCUUGGUUAGAAUUUAUCUAUUCUUGAAUUAAUUCCUGUGUAUAUUCGUGUUAGUUAAUUAUUCGUUUUAUUUGAAUUGCUUAAUUAUUUGUAGUUUUAUUCUGAUGAAACACCCAUUUUACCAAUUGGAAUCUCAAAGAGACAAAUAUCCUCAAUUCCUGAGGAGACGUGUGAGAACCCGUAUUUUCCCUAAUAAUUUUCCUAGGGUUUUUCCCCUUUAAUGGCAUGUUUUCUGCAUUUUCUGGCUUAGAAAAUUUUCCUGGUGAAUUUUAUGAGUAAUUAUAGUUUUUAGAUGAUUUUUCUAGCAUUGGAUAGUUUUUGAAAAAUUACGGAUAUAUAACGGACGUGGGGCCCACUAGUGCGAAAAGUUCGGAAAAAUUCGGUCAAUAAGGUUAAGUUCCGGAUACUGAGUGAAAUUUAUCGGGUGUUAAGAGAUAAGUAUAGGAUGUGAUGUGAUUGAUGUGAGAGGAAAACAAAAGGAUAGAAAUGCAUUAAUGAAGUGACACUUGUCAUGUUGGGAUUGGUUUCACUUGUUGACAACUAUUCAUUUUUUUUGACUUUUCUUACCAAUUGAUUAAAUAUCUCAAAAAUCACAAAAAAAUUCACUCUUGUCUUCACCUUCUUGGCCGGCCACCUUGAGCUUAAGAAGGAAGAAAACUCUUCAAAAUCUUGGCUACCAUCUAGCUCAAAUCCUCCAAAACAAUUGCUUGAUCUUGUUUCUACUCCAUAAAAUCUCUCCAUUUGGUACUAGUAAGUGAUUUGGUGAAGUGUUUAAGGAAGCUAAGGUGUCCAACAACUCUCCCUCUCUUGUUUACUAGGUGAGUGGUGAUUGAACUUCCUCCUACACUUAAUGAAGCUUAAGUUGUGCUUAGUGGUAGCUAAAGUGCUGAAAUUUGUGGUUUAUUUCUUGGUUUGAGAUGAAAUGAUGAAGUUUUCAAUUUAAUGGUGUAUUUUCUGGUUUAAUGUGAUCAUGAUGUUGUGGUUAUCUAUGAUGGUUGGUAAUGAAGGGUAAUGACUCUAGUAGGUGUACAUGAUUGGUAAUUGCAAGCAAUUUUGGGUUUGGAAGGAAUUUGAGAAAGUUAGGGUUUUAUAUCCCCAAUUCUGUCCGAUUUUGUAUCUCAUGGUUAGAGGCCGAAUUGGCCUUGUCUUAAAACAUGAAAGUUGUAGGUAUUGAUGUGUUUGAGGUGCCUGUAAAAUUUCAGGUUCAUCGGAGUUGUGUAGAGUGAGAAAAGUCGAUUUUACUGUUGCUGUUCUGGGUUCUUCAGGAUGGCCGAACUGCGUCUGUAAUUGGUGGUUUUGGCUGGAAUUGCUUUGGAUUUGGUUGUUGAGGCCUUCUGAUGAAAUGUAGCUUGAUGUCUUAGCUACCGCAUGCCUUUGGUAUGAAUGAAUUUGGACUUGUAUAGACUGAGUUGGACUAAUUACAGCAUAGUGUAUUUUGUAAACCUGCAAUUAAGGUUCUGGUUUGGUAUUUUGCAUAUUUGACCUAGUUGUGCUAGGAAUUGGACUGAGUGACCUUCUACAUUGUUGUAGCCCUGUUUCUUAGCUUCGAAACGGUGGGUCUUACACCCUCAUCCGAUAAGCGUAGUGCAAUUUGUGCCAUUACCGCAAACUGAGGACAAAACUGUUUUUUUUUCAGGGCCAAGUUAGUUACAUUUCCUGAUUUUCUGGUUUGCUAUAAUGCUUAUAUAUGAAUAUGAAACCCUAUUGGGGUUGUGAUUGGCAUGGCUUUAUGACUCGUUAUCGAGUCUCAUUGUAUUUGUUUACGUGUUUUAGGACGUGACGAGGGUUCACGACGACCUUUUAACGACGGUGCAUGAAACAUCACCUACUUGAGUAGUGAGUAUACUACUCACUUGAAUGUUUAUAAUGUGGCUUUGCUAUAUGUGAUUGUGAUGCCUUGAAGGCUUGUUUGGCUAUUGGACAUGGUUAAGGUGAGGGUGUACUUGACCGCCCUCAUCCUUUUUAUCUUGUUAAUGACUGUUUACCGUUUCACUGUAAUACUGCACUUGCUAUAUGAGAUAUUGAAUUCCAUUCAUGGGAAACUGUUUGGGUGUCGGUUGGACGAGUAUCCAACGGCCCUACUGCAUUACUGAGCUCGACCCCGUUGGUAGUUACUUGAAUCGAGCCAGCGAGGGCUUGGUCGUGAAAAUUGACUAGCCACGGGGACUGAAAUGGGAAUCUUGUGGUAAUGAGACCCUUGGUUCCGGUGUACUCGAGUAUCACCUAAAGCUACUGCUUGGAGUGCGGGCCCGGUUGGGGUAUGUUGGGUGGAAGGAAUGGAAGUGAAGUGAGGUCUACGGUCGGGUAUUCUUAAACAUUGACGGAGGGUCAAUGAGGUUGGAUCAAGAAUGUAAGCGUGGAAAUGGGCUCUUGAGAGCCGUCCGUAUCCUUUUACCGACUUGUUUUAUUUCUUAAUUGCGUACUUGAGAUGAAAGUUAAGUGAUCUUUGUUGAUUAUGUGAUAGUUGCUCACUGAGCUUUAGCUCACUCCGUUCCAUUUGUUUUCCUUACAGGAAAAAUGACUAUUUUGGGAAAGGUUGUGCUAGUUGGUUGUCAAGUUGAGCUCAUGUAAAUGUAUAUUUUGAAUAGCUCCUUGAGGGUGAAAACCCUAAGUGUUUUGUUUCAACCAAUGGUUGGUUUGUAAUUGGCCAAUUGCACAUGUGUGAACUUGUUGGAUAUUUUGGUAUACCGCUUUGGCUUGUAAAUGUUAAAUUUCGAUGUAUAUAUGUUGGAUUGAUGUUUGGUUGAACUCCGGAUUCUGACAUGGCCGGUACUGUUCAUCAUCGGCUUCGAUUUUCAUAUUUUUUUUAUUUUGUGAUUUUGACUUGUUUGCGCGCGUUGGUGUGUUCCGGAACGUAGUAGAUCGACGUAAACUGAUCCGUUAGUCCUGGCGAGAGCUGGGCAGCCAGUCCGCUAACCCCUUUGGUUCGCCUUAGGGGAAGGUGGGGCUGUUACAAGACGACCCUACUUGCCACUGUCUGCCAAUUAGUAAAUUUUGUCAAAUAAUUAAUUCUGGUAUAUCGGAUUAAGCAAACUCUUCGAGAACAGGGUGAAUCAAGUAACCCAUUGCACACCUAGAGUCCCUGCUCCAGUACUUAGAAUUGAUUAUCGACUACUUUUGACGGGCGUAGGGUAUACAUAUAACAUUAAGCUCAUCCUAAUCAAGUUUUACAUUUAUAAACUCCUAAAUACCCUACACGCGAUUUAUCGCAAGUAUACGAAUCGUGAGCGAGUAUAGGGUAUUAAAAGUCGAUCUCACAAUGAAGAUUGCAAUUACCGGCACUACUAAAGCUUCUCUAUUAUUUAGACUAUCAAUGAAUUAUAACAAAUUUAACCUACUGAACUUAUGCAAGAAAAUAACAAAUGAAAGCUCCUUAAGUUGUGGUAUCCCUAACUACUCAUGCAAGUGCUAUAUUUGGAUCAUUGAAUACUACUAUCUAGGCUAGUUAUGGUGUAAUUUCCUUAAACAUGUGAAACCUACUUUCGUAGUGAAUCAACUAUAUUCAUAACUAAUCCAUACAUAUUCUCAUGGUUAUGAAAUUAGCUACAAGUUCAUUUCUUCAAUGAAAUUAAUCACUAAAAUCACAUAGGUGCACCUCUACUCUCGUGAGCGUACUCCCUAUGUUUAGCACUUCUUAAACUAGUGUUAAAUCUCAAUUUUCAUUGCAGAAACAACACCUUAAAUAAUCACAAUCAAUGGUACCAGAUUAAUCAUGAUUUAAAGAGCCAAAGUACUAAAUAACUUGCUCAAAUCAUAGCAAUCAAAUAACCAAAUAAUAAAUACUAACAAUUAUAGAAAGUUCAACCAAACCCAAGGCAUAAACGUUAGAGACACAUAUUAAACACAAAAUCCAGAACUUGCAUAUCAACUAAACUUAGAAUCCAAUACAAAAGAUAAAGAGUUGGAAAAGAGAUAACCAUUGUCACAUGAGCUUCAACUCCUCCUUUUUCAUCUCCAUUUUCAUCCUAAUCUAGCUAAUAUACAAGAAUGGAAGAGCUAUACUAUUCUAAACUAAACUAUCCUACUACUCAGAAAGUGCAAGAGCUACAUCUCUGCACUCCAAGUUUCUCCUGUAUGUCUCUCUAUUCUCCCUUCAAUCUUGCAAGCUUUGGCUAUAUAAAGGUGAAAGUUGGUCAAGAAGUGAGGUUUACACCUCCCUUUUACAGCUGGGAAUGUUUCUCACAUGUCUAGCAUCACCUGUGACUUAGUGGAGGUGAAAUUGAGUUUCCCACGUAAAGAGCAGCCUUCUCUGACCACAAUCCGGCCAGAAAUCUGGCCAAGUUCCGGCCGGAUUGCUACAGUGACAUUUUGGUGCACUUUUGUUCAAUUUCCAGCUCUGCUCCAAUUUUGUGUCAAUUUCAACUGAACUUUUGUUGAUGAUAAAAGCUGAUUUAGCUCUUGAUCAACAUAAAACUUGUAGCCCUUUGAGUUAGCUUUCCAAUGCAUCAAGAAUCACCUCAUUUGGAUCUGUGUAGGCUGAGAAAUGACCGAAAUACCUUUGACUGCUCACUGCCCUAUUUCAGCUUCGACCAAUAGAAAUUAGCUACUGUAAUUCGGCUUUUUAACCUGGAAAACCUUCAAAAUAGAUUCAGAUGUCUUCACCAAAGUUGUAGAUCUAUCUCUUAUCUUCAAAUUGGUUUAAGAAUCAUCUCAAUCCGAUCAUUAUAGCUCAAGUUAUAGCCAAAAUACGAAAAUGUGUCAAAACUGUCAAAAUGCACAAAAUCCAAGUAAAAAGUGAUAAAAACCUCAUUUAAUUACUUAAAAGCAUUUUUCACCAAUUAUAGCCAAAAUGAAUCAUUUUCUUCCAAUAAUGUAACCAAAGUGACUAACAAUAAUAUAAAAUAUCAUACAAUUAUUACAUAAAUUAGUCACUUAUCAGCUUUUAUUGGCAAUUAGGUUUAUUUUUAUUAUUGCACAGGUUCGGCACCUGUCAUUAGGAGUACUGGUUUUGCUGUGGGAUUUUUCGUUUUCUUUGUCAGCUGCGUCAGCUGCAUGGUGCUUUAGAGCAUAAGCCUUUGUUUUGUAUCGAAACAUCACGGCCAAAAUUGCCAAAAGCAUAUCGAAACAUGAACACAAAAUGAAAGAUGUGAGGAAACUUUAAUGAAGAUAUGCCUUGAGAUUUAAACACCAAAGACAAAAGCUCAAAAAAUAUUAUCAACGGAUCAAAAUAAGAACUUGAUUAUUGGUAAAACACUCCAACAAGUUAAGUCGAACCAAGAUCAACAUAAUCAAUUAUUUGAUUUCAAGAGUCAUAACUUUUGCUUGUAAAGAACAAAUAAAGUUAAACAAUUUAUUGCUUUUUUCCCCCCAGUCAGCUGUGUACCUCAACAUUAUUUCACGUCAAAAACUUGUUUUUCCUCGGAUUAAAUACCCUAGCAUCUGAGGUUAUCACCAGUCUCGACACCCAAUUGUCUACAAUAUUCAGUAUAAUACUCAACUCGAGCACUAACUGUGUUUGGAUUUGCACCAUCACAUUCAAGCCGACCAUUAAUGGCACGAAUUGUAGCCCCAAAACCCUGGCCAGAAGUGAUAAGAUCAUGACAAUGGUUCAUCCAAUACCACAAGCCAGUUUUGAAUGAAAUAACAUUAUUUGUAGCUACAGUUUCAGGUUGGCUGAGUCCAUUGAAUCCAAUGCUUUCACCUGCUGGUCCAUAGUUAGAGUUCCAUGAUAACUGUAUUGGACCCCUGCCGUAAUAUCCCUUGCCUGGCACACAUGGAUACUGAGUGUUGCUCUCAUCACAGUAAUCUCUGGAGGGGCCGUCUAUCUCUUCUAUGUAGCACAAAUCUGCGCAAUAUAAAGAAAUUUUGUCACUCAAUUGAAAUGAUUGAUAAAGGGUUAGAAUCAAAGAAAAUCAGGAGGUCUGGAAUUUUUUGUAAAUUUUUAGAUUUGAUUGUUUUACUAAUGAAUUCAAUUGGUGAGAAAAGACUUUAUCCCAUUUUGUAAAAAUUGGGUUGGACAGACCUAAAGUAAACACUCUUUUUAUGAGGUAAAAUUUUAGAAUGAUUUAACAUUAUAGGGUUAUACGAUAGAUAAAUAAAAAUUGGCAAUAGCAAGAUUAAGAAGGGACCAACAGUGAUAUAAAAAUUACAAAGGUAUCAUGGACGUCUAAAAUAUAUUUGGCUAAUAAAUUUGAACUAAUUUACGGCCAAAUUUAGGUGAAAUAGUUAAUUCUACUUGGUAAAUUGGAAGUUCGGAAACGUGUAUCUGUCAGUUGUCAUACUCAUGAGCGAGCCAAUCUUAACUUAAAAAAGAAAAAGAAAAAAAGAAAAAGAAAAAAGGAAUCCAAAAGAUAAAAGUAGAAAAGGCAUGAAUUUUAAAACGUAAUCGUAAUACCUUGUACCCGAAACAAAUAUGUGCAAUACUUAUUAAGCUAAGCAAAGCCACAUGAUCUACUCUUAGAUGCAGCAAAAUAUACAACCACCUUAAGCUUGGAAUGUAAAGGCAGAAAAACUUGCUUAUGUAGAUAUAAAAGUGACCACUACAAGAAAAGUAAAAAGAAUAUGGAGAUAAUAAUCCUUCUGUUCAUCAUGAUAAAUUAUUUAACAGUAAUAAAUCUUUCAUAUUCAAGUUUUAUUUUUUGAAGAAAAAAUUCUUGGAUAAUAGUGCACAGGAGAUUCCAAGAUAUACUAUCUAGAAAUUCACAGGAGCUACUAAAAAAGUAGAAAAUAUCUUCAAAAUUUAAUUUCCAAGCUAGUGUUAUUCAAAACUUACGUCCAGUCUCAUGAGUGACAUGAGCAAAGAAAGCAGCAAUCUCCCUUUUAGAAUCAUCAACAGAACCAGCGGUUCCAAACUGGGGAUACGAGUUCAGAGCUUCAAGAAAAGCUGAUCGAGUAUAGAACCCUUUUCCAGCACAGCUUGAAGCAGCUUGAUCAGCAAUCCCAUUAAAGAAAGCGUCCGUCACAAUAUCAGCAACUGAAACGCCACUAUUACCACUGCUCGGAGCAGCGGUGCAAGGGCCGGAUUGACAGCCAGAGCCGCAGUAGUCGUUGCCGGUACCGCAAUAGCCGAAUUUGCUGCAGCACAAGUCUGGUGCACAGCCGCAGUUUUGGCUUGAAAUCAGCUGUGGAAAGGCUCCUACAAGAACUACAAUGGAGAAAAUGAUGGUUGGAAAACUCUUCAUUUUUGGAUUUGAUAAAGGAGAGAAGCUUGUGGGCAGCAGUUGUAUCAGAAAAAAGGGUAUAUGUAGGGAAGAGAACUGAAAACUGAUCAGCUUGUGUGAAGCAUGCACAGCUGCUAUUGUUGAAAAUAUUGAAUUUGAGCAAUUAAAGAAAACAGAACAGAAGACGAAAGCGUGAAUGGUUGACUUCUAUCGAGAGUAUUGACUUUGACAUUGUCAAUGAAGCGGAAACUUUCUUUCUUGGCUUCUAGAAUGGGAAAGGUCAAAAAGAAAGAUUUUGGCCAAUUCGUAUGAACAAUUGUGAGAAUAAGGCAUGUAGACUCACAAGUCCCCACUAGAAUGUGUGCAAAAAUAUAAUUUGAAGUUGCCUAAAUCAUUUAAUUUCAUGCUUGUUAUUGAGUUUAUUUGCCUAACUGUGUUUUAGUAAUACUUCAAAAUUGUGUUUGAGUUAGAACGGAAAAAAAUAUGAGACAUUUUUUUUUUAAUUGCAAUUCCAGAAAUAAAAUCUUAUAAAACAUGUAUUAGAAAAAUUUUGAGGGUAAAUGAUAUGAAAAAAAAAAAGAAGAAAUAGUUCUAUAAAUUGACAUAAGUGUUCAUCGGCUUUUGGAAAAAUUAAGAAAGAAUAAAGCAGCCGACAUAUCUAUCAUGCAUAACAACAUUAUGUGGCUUUUGUUAGUACACGCUAUGACCAUAUAUGUUUCAUUUGAGAUGCUUGUCGGACGUGUUGAAUUGUUGGCAAUGAAAUGCUCCAAAAUGUCAGCACUAUAGUUUAUAAAUAGUAUUAGGUCAUACUGAAUUAUCGACAUAUCGUUACAUGCAGAGUCGUGAAAAUAUACAAGUCUUUCCCUAUCAUUAAUUAGUUGGUCAAAUGACAAUUUUAGAGUGGCUGCUGACUAUGUCAAGAAACAUCUUGCAGUAAAUUGGGCGAGUUAAUGUACUUUUCUUUUUCUAAAUAUUUGCACUUAAACUCUCAAAUCGACCAUAGUUUUAACUAAUUUUGCUCUGGCUUUAUUCUUGAUUCGCAAAAUUCAGAAAAACCAAAACAAACCCUUGUUACUGAAGAUAUCAAAAUGGUAACCCAACUAAGUAAUUGAUUUUGAAAAACAUUCUGAACCAAAUUUCAAGUUUUGGUUUCUUUGCUCUUUUUCUACUGAAAGGCAACUUCCCCGGGCCAAGAAAUUGAAACAAAUAGUACGAUGCUUAAGUUUUCUAUGCUCUUAUGAUCAAGUCAAACCAUGCUUAUAAUCAAUUACAUAAAAAAUUACGGGCAAUUUCGUCAUUAUUUGGGAGGAGGAGGAAUAUUAAGCAAAAAAAAAAGUUCUAUUAAGAAAACGAUUAAGCAUAUUAUUUUCCAGGAAUAAAAAAGAACGAGCAGAGAAAUACAUUAGUUUGGAUGACAUUACAACAUUUAGCAACAUGAUUAGGGAUGCAAUGGGAUGGGUGCCAAUUGGGAAUCAAUGGGAUGGGAGAAAAUGCAGGAGGGGAUGGAGGGAUUGAAGAAUAUUUCUCCUCCAACAUUAAAUGGAUACCUCCAUCCCAUCCCCUAAAACCCCUUGUUGCUAUUCCUAAACAGGAUGCUACUUAUAUCCUCUCUCUAUGAGCAUGUGUGGCUAGUGAGGAAUGCAGGAUUUUGAUUUUGGCGGGGGGAGGGUGGGGCAAAUUGACAAUCAAGAAACAAUAGAAAAAAAACCUUAGCAAAUAAAGCACACAAACUUAAAAUGAAAGUUUAAUAUACGAUAAAUAAAAUAUAAAUAUUUUUAAUAAUAAAAUACACCAUAUAAAUAAAAUGAUAGAGCAAUAAUUGGGCACCAUAAGUGCUGUUAUUUGGUCAUAAUGUUGGCUACUUAUCAUGCUAAGUAGUGCAGCUUUGCUCAUAUUUGAUAUUUGUGUAAAUUACAGGCGGUUGGUGUUGAAACUGAUCUCUCGAGGCAAAUUUUCAGAAGACUUUUUAUUUCAGAGCGUGCCGACGCCAGAAACUAUAGAGAGACUCCUCAAAGGUGGACCGCGGGACUAAUUAACUAAACUUACCUUUAUUCCUGCUUGACGCUGCUGGAAGUGCGUUAAAACAAAAAGGCAAUAAUUUCCAGCGAAUUGGGUAACAACCAAUAAGGAGGAAAAUUAGGGGCACUAGCCUACAAAGCCGGACCCGCGAGACUGGUAGACAAAGUGGGGAAUUAGGAAGUCUUCAAAGCGGCUAUUUUCUCGUGGGCUGCAGAGGUGAAAAGGACAAGUAGUUUGAGUCUUGCAGAGAGCUUUUGAGUUCUCUUACGUUUUGUCUUGCGGUAGCCACCCGGGGGAGGAUUGAAAAAGCCAUAUUCACGUGGGAUUAGGAGAUUAGCUUUAGUUUCUUGUAUCCCUGGGUAGACGAUCUGCUCUCUGCUUUGCUUUUGGCGACUUUCUUUAGACCUUUUUCUUUACUUUUCUCCGGCACGAACAGGGAACCAAAAAAGAAGCAAGACUUUUCGUUUGUCUCGUCGUUAUUUCAUCUUUCCCAACUUUUUGGUAAUUAAGUGGAUGGAAUCAAUCAAAUCACGCGAGAUUGAUGUGAUGAGGAGUGGCUAGGUUUCUCUGCUACCCAAAGGUCGACGCGAAGGCGCGGUCCAUAACAUCUGUGAGAUCUAAUCGAACUUUCACUAUUUCUUCCAAUCCGUUACUAUUCGUGCGUUUUCUGGAUUAACUGUUUAUGGUUAUUUUAUUAAUUGAGUAUCAACAGCCGGAUAUUUAAUUUAAUCUAAUAGCCUACUGUCACGUUAACUAAAUUGAAUCCGUAAUUAUUCGUUUAGUUGAUAAUUAGUGACAACCAUCAUAAUUGGCUUUAUGUUGGGAAAAACGUAAGAUCUAAUUUAGAUAAACCCUCUUAUAGCGUGUUUAUUGGUUAGGGUUGGAUUUUUCUAGCGUUAAUGCAACUGAAUAAUUAAAUUCCUACGGUCGUAUCUAGGGUUAUUUUCUGGUUAGAGAAACAGUCAACGGUCGUACCUUGGCUAUCGAAAAAGUAAGAAAAAACUAGCAGUCAGAGCUUGUUGAUCGCUAUAACCAACCUAGUGACGAAUGAGUGAAAUAUCUUUGCAUCGAUGAUCAUUUAAUUGGACCGUGCCUGAAAAGUUGAUCCUUUGGAUAGAAUUUUGCUAAUUGCUAUUUUCAGUGAAUUGUACUUGGCGAGUUAGCUUUUGAAUUUUGUUUAUUUUAUUUUCAUUUUCAUUCCAUUAAAUAUCCCCCAAUUUUGUUCUAUUGACUUGGAAAGAAACAACUUCUUACCCGUUACUUGUGGAAUCGACCCUACUUGCCAUUUUCAGAAACAACUUCUUAAUUUUAAUCCUUAUGAAACCCAGCUUCUCUCUCAAUUUUCAGAGGUUUCUUUUCCUUCAUCAUGUCAAAGUUGCUAUUAUAAUCACUGUAAUUAGACAGCUAAACCUGUCAUUCCAAUUAUACCCUUGGUCCGCCGUGGGAAAUACAUAAAAUGUGGUAGCGCUGCCCAAUAAGUCCCACAUUGGACCAUAUAAAAUUGUUUAAGGACUAAAUUGGUAAAAAAAAUCGUAAAUGAUGAAAUUGAUUUAAGUGAAAAAGUUCAAGGACCAAAUUGGCAAUUUUUCCUUAUUAUGAUUAUGAUUAUGAUUAUUAUUAUUAUUAUUAUUAUUAGUCUGAGAUGCCGAACAAGUUGUGGAGACUUAUUUCACCUUUACAAGGUCAUUGGAGGGCUUGACGAGGUGCGAUGUGGUAAGGAAAGGCACAAAAAACUCUUUUUUCUUUAUUAAAAAACAUACAAAUUGCACUAAUAAUGGCUGAAAAUGCAUCCAACAUGCAAUAGUGAAAAAUCGUUAGAUGCAAGAUAUAUAAAAGUUAACAAAAAUUAUCUUAGUACCUCUGAUAUAUUCCAAAUUCAGAUAAAUCAUCUGCCCCCAAUGAAUAUAUGUGCAUAUCAUCAUUGUCAAAAAAUAUUUAUGCAUAUCAUUGCCGUUAGAUUUUAUAUUGAAGUGGUUAAAGCUCCAAAUCUAGUAGAGAAGAAAUUCAACACUUGAGAAAAUAAGUUAAGAAAUUCAAGAUUUGACAUACAAAUCUGAAAAGCUCUCAAAUCUAACAAAACAAGAUAUAAAAUUAUCUGAAUAAAACUCUCACUAGAAUAUCUUAGUAGAGAAGAAAAUUCUCACUAGAUAGUCUCACUAUACUUUAUUAGACAUAAAAAAAAAAAAAAGAGAAGUCAAACAGAGGGAGGAAGGCAAUCCUCCAUGGAGGAAAUAAUAAUUGUCUUGAAGGUUGUGUAGAGAGAUGGUGGAGAAACUUCUUUUGUUUUAUCUAUUGGUUAUCUUUCUAAUUGCUAGUUAACGAACAAUAAACUCUAAAUGAAACUACUAAAUUUGCAACCGAAGACAUUUUUGGGCUUGUAUCUUAGUAUCGUAAUCGUCACCCAAUUAGAGCCGCCCAUGACGGCUUCAUUAAAUAUAUAAUUUGGGGGAACCAGGAUUUAAGGCCAAAUUUCGGCAACCUUCAAGGCACUUCAUUGUUUUCUCACAAAUUUUGUUUAUUUAUUGUAAAAGAUUAACUUUAAAGUGUCCUCAAAUUUCUUCCCUAUCUUCUCUCAAACUUUACCAGUGAAAAUUGUUUGUCUUCGGGUUCGUUUGUUUCGGGUGAAAAUGUUUUCCAGAAAAAGUAUUUUCCUAAUUUCCCGUGUUUGAUUGCACAAAAGUUACUGAAAACAUUUUACAUAAAUUUUCACUCAUCUUAUGGAAAACAACUUCCCUUCCAAACUUACUGAAGUUGUUUUCCGAAAUGCAUGCAUCCCGCCUGUAGUAUGUUCCAAACUUACUGAAACCAUCUUGUAGUAUGUUCUUUUUUUUUUUUAGUGUAAACAGGAGGACUCGAACCAAGACCUCUUCCUUACACUCCCUCCCCCGUACCAUCCAACCCAACCCAACCCUCCCCCUAGUAUAUUCAAAAUAAAAAAAAACCUCAUCCUACUCAUCCUAUUCUAGUAAUUAAUUAUGUAUAAUAGGGACAUUCUUUUCUAGAGAAACUUUCAGCAAUGAUAGUGCAAGAUAUAUGUCACAAUAAGCAUUGCAUGUGAUUGAUAUUUGACACUAAAUGGCCAGCAAUUUGUUUAUUGCUUAAGGAGAUAUUUUUUAUUCAUAUAUACAUUUCUCCAAGAUUUUUUAAAGUUAAACAAUGAGAUAAAUUUUCUUAUUUUGCAUGGGAAGAAGUAUGUAGUUAUAAUGUGUAGAAAGUAAAGAUAGAGAUAAAAGUGAAAAUAUUUCAAAAGUUAAACAAACACCAAAAAAAUGAAGUAAGAAAAUAUUUUCAAUAAACUAACCAAACACCUGAAAAUGAUGAAAGAGAAAUGAUUUUCAUGGAAAAUUACUUCCACGGAAAAUAUUUUCCCAAGAAAAAUAUUUUACUUCCAACCAAACAGACCCUUCAUCUCGUUGAUUGUCUCCCCCAGUGCAUACAAAUGUAUUAUGGGCAUUUUGGUGAAAGAAAGGCAUAAACCGAGUUCUGCACAACUAAAUUUUGCCAAUAGCAUAUGAAAAUAUGAAGAAGAAUAAUAAUAAAUGAAGGGUCUGUCUAAUAAGUAUUCAUAGGGAACCAUUGAAAUAUAUCUCAAGUGUCAUGUUUUUGGAAAUGUAAAAUUAAUAGAAAAAAUAAAUAAAUACAAGAGAGAGUAGAUAAAAUUAAAUAAGAAAAGUUAAUAAUUGUUAAUAGAUAUAUAUACAUAAUAGAUUAGAUGAACGUUAAAUAUGUUAACAAGUACCUUAUUAGCACCCGUUAAAAAAACCUAUAAAUGAAAGAUGUGAUCACCAAAUCAUUGACAAAGAAAUGUGUUGAAAAUGAAACAAGAAAGUCAAACAUGAUAAGGGAUCAAAAAUGGAAUUUAAUAAUUGCAGAUACUCCAAGAAGUUGAGUUGAAAUCAGUUAUCCGAUUUCAAAUUCACAACUUCUGCUGUCAAAGAACUACAAAGGGACUCAACUUCUGCUAAUUUAUAUUAGUUUCGAAACUCUUACAAGUACCCUAGCAUCUGAGAUUAUCACCGGGAUCAACACCCAACUGGUUACAAUAUUCAGCAUAAUACUCAACACGAGCACUAACAGUGUCCGGAUUUGCACCAUCACAUUCAAGCUGUCCGUUAACGGCACGAAUUGUAGCCCCAAAACCCUGGCCAGAAGUGAUAAGAUCAUGACAAUUGUUCAUCCAGAACCACAAGGCAGUUUUGAAUGAAAUAACAUUAUCUGUGGCCACAGUUUCAGGUUCAGUUAGUCCAUCGAACCCUAUGCUUUCACCUGCUGGUCCAUAGUUAAAGUUCCAAGAUAUUUGUAUUGGACCCCUGCCGUAAUAUCCCUUGCCUGGCACACAAGGGUACUGAGUGUUGCGCUCAUCACAAUAGUCUUUGGAAGGGCCGUCUAUCUCUUCUAUAUAGCACAUAUCUGCACAAUAUAGAGAAGUCUGUAUCAAUUAUCACUGCAUUCAAUUGCUUAUAUGAAAGCCACUCAUUGAUACAUUAUGGAUUUUAGAUAUUUUUACUAUUAAAAAAUCUAUAAUCUAAAUACAAAAUAAAUGAGAACAUAAAAAAAAUUAAUUAUUUAAAAUCAGAAUCUAUAGUCAGUUAUAAUAAUCAAUCAAGAACAACCCCAAAAAAUGUCAUCAAUAUUUAAGAAGGGACCAUAUGUGAUAAAGAAAUUAUAAAGUUAUAAGUAAUCACAGACUAAAUAAAUAACCAAUACAACAAAGUAGAAAAAAAAAAGGAAAACAAUAAUCCCUCUGCCCAGUUAUAAGAGACACACCCUCAUGAUAAAUUUCUUUUUUUUCUUUUUCAGUUAUGUCAUUUUAAGUUAUUUGACAAUAGAAAGUAUUUCAUAUUAAUGUCGUUAUCUUUGAAGAAAGUUCUUGGACAAUAGUGCACAGGACAACAUCCUACGUAGAACUGUACAAAGAUUUAGUAAAUAGGAUCUAAGACGUAGAAAAGUUGCUAAAAAUUUCAAAAAAACUAAAUCUCCUUGGUGGAGUUGUUCAAAGCUUACGUCCAGUCUCAUGAGUGACAUGAGCAAAGAAGGCGGCAAUCUCCCUUUUGGAAUCAUCAACUGAACCAACUGUUCCAAACUCAGAAUACAAAUUCUGAGCUUCAAGAAACGCCGAUCGAGUAUAGAACCCUUUUCCAGCACAGCUUGAACCAGCUUGAUCAGAAAUCCAGCUAAAGAAAGCGUCUGUCACAACAUCAGCAACUGAAACACCAUUAUUACCACCAUCUGAUGAAGCGGUGCAAGGGCCGGACUGGCAGCCUUUGCCACAAUAGUCGUCGCUGGUGCCACAAUAGCCCCACUGGCUGCAGCAUAAAUCUGGUUCACAGUCACAGUUUUGGCUUGAAAUCAGCUGGGAAAAGGACCCUACAAGAACUGCAAUGGAGAAAAUGAUGAUUCGAAAAUUCUUCAUUUCUGUACUUGAAGAAGGAGAAAAGGAUGUGGACAGAAAUUGUUUGAGUAAGAAGGAUAUUUAUAGCAUGGAGAACUGGAAAAGUGAUCAGCUUGUGUGAAGUAUGGAGAACUGCUAUUGUUGGAAAUCUUGAAGUUGAGCACUGAAUGGAAUGGAUAUAAAAUGCAAUAUUAGUGCUUGACUUUCAAUUAAUCUAUUGACUUUGGCACUGUCAAAAAGUAGCAACCUUCUUUCUUGGCAUUCGGAAUGGGAAUUGUGGAAAAGAAAAAUUUUGGCCAAUUGAUAUCAACAAUUGUGAGUACAAGUCACAAGUCACAAAUAUAAUGCGUGCAAAAAAGAUAACUUGAUGUUGUCUGUAUCAUCUGAUGUUAAUAAAGCCUAACUCUGUUGUAGUCCUAUUUCAGUCUCGUAUUUGAGUCAGAACACAGAUGAUAUUUGUACCAUUCUAGAUCCACGGGCUGCCCUACUACAAAUACUUUUCAUUUGGCUUAAAAAAAACAUUUUAAAGGGUGUAAGCUUUACAAUUAAAGCACGAUCUUUACCUUAUCAUGCAAAGUAUUGGACAUAUAAAAUUUUAUCAAACUGUUGUAGUGAAAAGAACUCAAAUGAUCAAAUUUUAUCCAGUUGAUAAAUAUAGAAUCCUAAAUAAAAUGCAUAGUCCUUUUUUUUUCCUUUAGAGUUCUUAUUGCAUACUAUAUGAAUUAAUUGGUAAAAUUUUGGUAGCGUAUAGGAAAUGAUACCAAUAUAAAAACUACAUUUACUACUCGAGGGCUUAUUAUGCUGCCCAAUUUUUUGGUUUCUACCAUGAGCUGAAAAAAAAUCUUUUCGAAGCAUAAGUUUCCCCAAAUUCUCAUAGACUUUACAAAUGAAAGUUAUUUGUUUCUUGUCGUUCAUUGACUCACCAUGCGUGUGCAGAUGAAUUAUUGAUUGGCCUUUUUGUGGCAGAAAGAUAAAACAGAAUUGAACCAAAGACCUCAUAAUUCCCUAAUUAGUCACUUCAGCCAGUUGAAUUAGAUCUUAUUCACAAGUUUUUUGUACUUCGGUAUAAUAGCGCUCCUGUUCCUUAGUCUCUUAUGCUUCGGUUUACUCCCAAUCUUAAUUGCCUUAACAUUGGUGCAUUUAGACCCUUGCAUUUGGUAAUUCAUAAUCUUAGUAUAGUUAUGAUCCUCAAAUAUCAUACCUUGAGAAACAUCACGGCUAAAAUUACCAACAGCAUAUUGAAACAUGAAAAGUAAAUGAAAGACGUGCAGAAACUUCAAUGGAGAGGCUUGUUGAGAGUGGAAACACCAAAGUCGAAAGCUCGACGAAUACGAUCAAGGGUUCAAAACUGGAACAUGCCUAUUCGUAAAUAGUCCAAGAAAUCGAAACAAGACCAACAAAAUCAAUUAUAUGAUUUCAAAACUUAACAACUUUCGCUUGUAAAGAGCAAGAAAGGUAAACACCUUUUGCUAAUUUUUAUUAAUUUCCAAUCAGUUUUAAGCCUUUAUAGCUCAACAUAUUACUCCCUUCCGAGCACUUUCGGCUCUCCAGAAGUACCCUAGCAUCUGAGAUUCGGACCAGGAUCAACACCCAGUUGGCGACAAUAUUGAGUAUAAUACCCAACACGAGCACUAACAGUGUUUGGAUUUGCACCGUCACAUUCAAGCCGACCAUUAAUGGCACGAAUUGUAGCCCCGAAACCCUGGCCGGAAAUGAUAAGAGAAUGACAAUGGUUCAUCCAAAACCACAAGGCAGUUUUGAAUGAAAUAACAUUAUUCCUGGCUACAAGUUCAGGUUGACUUAGUCCAUUGAACCCAAUGCUUUGUCCUGCUGGUCCAUAGUUGUAGUUCCAUGAUAUUUGUAGUGGACCGCGGCCGUAAUACCCCUUGCCUGGCACACAUGGAUACUGAGUGUUGCUCUUGUCACAGUAGUUUCUGGACGGGCCGCUUAUCUCUUCUAUAUAGCACAUAUCUGCAUGAUAUAGAGAAGUGGUAUUAGUUAUCAUUCCGUCGAAUUGCCAAAAAAGGAAAAAAUGAACGUUAGGUAAGACAAGGAUUGUCGGAUGAUAUGAUAAUGAAAAAUGUAGCAAAAUUUUAUGAGUUCUAAUAACAAUUAAUUGCAAAAUUAUAGAAUUGAAAGGAUUUAAGAAUCACAAACAAAAAUAUUUAUGUGGGAGAAAAGAGAAUAAAUAACUUAACUCAAAAUGUCAUUAAUAUUUCAAACAAAGAAGAAAAUCUCACCACAAUAAAAAUCUAAUAAAUUUUCUAUAGACUAUUUUAGGCUCUCUUAAAUUUUUAGAAAAUACUCCACCUAAUACUCUAGUGCUAAUUUAUGAGAAUCAUUGAAUAAGAAACAACACGAUUAAUUAUGAAAUAAAACACCAAUCACUAAAUAAUAAAAUUACUAGAAAUUGACUUCAAUAAAACUAAUGAUAAUUAAAUAGAAAAUUUUUGAAGCUUGGUUUAUUUUGCCAAAAAAAGAAAAGAAAAGAAGAGCCAUCAAUAUUUAUGAAUAGACCACAAGUGAUUUAAAAUUUACAAAGUUGUAAGUAAUGAUUUAAAAUUUACAAAGUUGUAAGUAAUCACAUGCUUACUAAAUUAUAAAGUUGACUACUACAACAAAGUGAAAAGAACGGAAAAUAAUAAUUUCUCUAUCCAAUUAUAAGUGGCACCCAUAUUCAUGAUAAAUUAUUACAAUAAUAAGUAUUUCUUGUUAAAAUUUUAGUUUUUGAAGAAAGUUCUUGGAUAAUAUUGCAAAGAAAAAUAGUCAAAACUUGGGGACAUCCGGUUUUCAAAAAUCCAAUAGACCAAAGUGUGCUAUACUUUCUCACCAAGUGGUUUAACACAAUUUGGACUAUUGAAUUUUUGAACAUGGGACUUACCCAAGUGUGAGUCCAGAAAAAUAAUCUAUAUAUUACUGUACCAACAUUUAGAAAAGUUACUAAAAAUAUUUUAUAGAAAGUUCCAAAGUAAUUCUCUUUGGUAGAGUUGUUGAAAACACUUACGUCCAGUCUCAUGAGUGACAUGAGCAAAGAAAGCAGCAACCUCCCUUUUAGAAUCAGCAGCAGAACCAGCAGUUCCAAACUUAGAAUACGACUUCUGAGCUUCAAGAAAUGCCGAUCGAGUAUAGAACCCUUUUCCAGCACAACCCGAAGCAGCUUGGUUAGCAAUUCCAUUAAAGAAAGCGUCUGUGACAAUACCAGCAACUGAAGCACCAUUAUUACCACCGCUGGGUGCAGCAGUGCAAGGGCCGGAUCGGCAGCCGGGGCCACAGUAGUCGUUGCUGGUGCCGCAAUAGCCGAAUUUGCUGCAGCAUAAGUUUGGUGCACAGCCACAGUUUUGACUUGAAAUCAGCUGUGGGAAGGCUCCGACAAGAACCAUAAUGGAGAAAAUGAUGGUUGGAAAAUUCUUCAUUUUUGUGCUUGAAGGAAGAGAAAUGGAUGUGGGCAGAAGCUGUUUGAGAAAAAAGGGUAUAUAUAGGGAGGAGAACUGGAAAAUGGAUCAGCUUGUGUGAAGAAGGGAGAGCUGUUAUUGUUGAAAAAAUUUAAGUUGACUAAUGAAUGAAAACAGAAAUCACGUUUGACUUUAAUUCGUGCAUUGACUUUGACAGUGUCAAUAAGUGGGAAUUUUUGUUCUUGGUUUCUAGAAUGGUAUUUGUGAAAGAUUGAUUUUGAUCAAUUGAUAUCAAUAAUUUUGGAAUUGAAUAAUGUAGACUCACAAGUCGCAACUACUGUGUGUAUUUUUAUGACUUGAAGUUGUCUACAGCAUUUAAUUUAGUGCUCAUUAAUUCAUUAACUUGCCUAACUAUGUUUUAGUCAUACUUCACAUUUGCAUUUGAGUUUAAGCACUCAAAAAUAUGAGACAGAUCAAUUUGUCAGUUACAAUUCAUGAAAUAAAAUAGUGUAGAACCUGUGUUAGAAUAAUUUUAGGUUAAAUGGUAAAGAAAAGCAACACUUUUACAUAGCAAUAUAAGUGGUAGUCAGUUUUGGAAAAGCUAAGAAAGGAUUAAAGCCCCGCUUGAUAACCUAAUUCAACACUUAAAUUUAUUGAAUUCAAAUUUUAAUAUAUUCAGACCAUUUGAUAACCAAAGAUUGAACAUCUGAAUUAAUUAAUUCGCACUGAAUUUUCUAGGUAAAACUUAUUUCCAAAAUUAAGUGAUAAGCUAUUCACUUAUCAUUGAAUAUGAUAUGCACUCAAAUAUAUUAGAUUUAAUACUUAACAACUCAAUAAUUUAACGGAUUUAAAUUUAAAUUUUCAAUUUUCAAAUUUGAGACUUCAAUUUUCACGCUUAACUUUUGUCAAACGCAUCCUAAUUAGGCCACUUGCAUAUCACGAAUGACAAAACCAUGUGGCUUCUGCUAGUACACGUUUCGACAGUAUUCCACUUCACGUGUUUGUUGGGCAUACUGGCAUGUCCAUUUGCAUCAUGUCCUAUUUCAUAACAAAAUAUUAUAUUCUAAAUAUAUAUGAAAUAUUUAAUUUAUAUAUGUUAAUUUUUUAAUACAAUAAUAUAAUGUACUUGUAAAUCAAAUAGUAUUAAGUAAAAUAACUACAUAGAAGCAGAUAAAAAUAUAACUGCAGUGCCCCUGUUAGAUUGAAUCUUUAACAAAUUGAAUGCUUUGAACUUUUUUCAUUCAGGAUUUCAGUGCUAUAAUUUAUAAACAGUAUUUCCAAAAAAGAAUUGUUAGUGAAGAUAUCAAAUUGGUGCCCCUAGUAAGUAAUUGUGUUCAGAAAACAACUAGAGUCAAAAGUCAAAUUUUCGUUUCUUUCCUGUUCUUGUCUAAAGACAAUUCUGCAGACAAAGAAGUUGGAAAAAAAAAUAUGCUCACAAUUUGGCAGGGCAAACCUCCUUGCCUAAAAAUUAAGAAAAAUCCACGCCUAAAAAUUAAGAUAAGAAAAAAAAAUCAGUUCAUUUUCUCCUCAUGUUCACUAUUAUCUUAUUAAAUUAAAGGAAACCACGCUUAUAAAUUAUAAUCACUUGCAUCAAAAUCCAACGGCAAUUUUCUCCAUUUUUUGGAAAGAAGAGGAAGGGGGAAAAAGGAAGAAGCUUCCGUAGAAAAGGAAAGAAUUGAGAAAUGUGAUAGGUACUCUGUCUCCCUCUCGGCAAGUGCGGCUUAAGCCAAGCACAGCUCACAGAAGUCCAUUGUUGAAUUAGUCUCCCUGAAAAUUUCUAGCCAUAAAAAUUUUAACUUUUCCUUUUAGUAUAAAUGGAAGAUCUCGAAGUGGGGACCUCUUAUUUACAUUUUCUCUCCUCAUAUCAUUCAACUCAUUUUUUCCCCGAAUUUCAACUUGCUACUCCAUAACUUAGCUUCAUGGAUCUAUAUUUAUGUUCUCAGAAAUGUGAUGUCAUACUUCUAGAUACAUUCAAAAGCGAUGAAUAGUCGAUCAUUUGGACAAUUGUAGUUUAAAGAACUAAGAAUUAGUGCAAAUAUCUAGUUCAUUGAAAACGUAUGGCCCUUAAUUUUUGUAUUUUGACGAUAUACAAGUCUGAAAUUCUAGAAAACAAAGAAAACUGCCAUCCUUGAACAAUUCUUUAGAGAUUUUUUGUUCUUUUUAUUUUUUGAGCAAAUGAAACAUCUUCCCGUUUAUCAUUGGAACAUAAGCUUUACAAAGGAGCAAAACCUCUUACUACAACAAAAAAUCUGGAGCGAGCUAUACCCAUUAUACAAUACUAUGCAUGUGAAAACAAACAAAACAGACAGAAUUCAACCAAGAUCAAUCUAGCAAACGUCCGUGAUCUAUCCCCCAUUCUAACAACAACUCCCAAUUUUCCUUACUACCAGGAGCUUUAGCCCAUAAGAGACAAGUCAAGUUGAACAAUUUUAACCACUGCCGAUUUAAUAAAAUUUGGAGUGAAACCCUCCAACGUGUACAGGGUUUGUCUUUCCAAAAAAACAAAAAACAAAAAACAAAACCGCUGCUGCAACUACUUCCAUUAUCAGUAUUCUGUAUACGAAAAUCAACAUUUAGUCUUUCCCAAAUUUAGUAUAUUUUAGUGCAUAAUUGAAAAAAAUUCUCUUGGCACAAGUGGAAAAUUAUAGAUUUGAAAUCAAUUACAAAAUUUCCUAGAAAAUAGACGCCCACUGAUCAACUAUGGCGCUUCGUAGUUCAGCUUUUCCAGUCUCAUACGUAGAAGUUGGUCCUAAUAGUGCAUUAAUGUUUCAUAGUUAAUCAGAAUUUUCUAUGACAAAAAAAAAGAAGAAGAUUCAUGAAGAAAAAUAAUCUAUUGGCUGUACUUUAUUUCGAUUUAGACAUCAAUAGUGCAAUGGCAAAAGGACUUUGUAGAUGAACCUAGUUGAUGUAAUGAAUUUAUGAUGAUUUAAUUAACUAAAAAGGCAAUCAAUUCGGUCUGCUUAAUGUCAUACUCAAGAGGUCAUCAUCUUUGUCAAAGGGUCUAUACAUUCCAUACAUUAGUAGUAAAUGUUAGUGGAUUUGUUACUAUUGCUGACCAUGUUAGCCACUGAUUUCUAUUAAAUCAUGUCUUUAGCUUCUUAUAAGCUUCUCUAUACCCUACCUAAUCUCAUACCAUUUUACUUUCUCUUGGAUUAUGUGGAAUGCCUACUUGACCGCAAUGUCUAUAUUUUAAUGAUACCAGUACAUUUUCAAAUCUUCAAUUAGCUUUUAAAGUAUCGAAGUUCAGUUCACUAAUUGGCCAUAAAGACAGAUCAAUAGCAAAGUUGAAAUAUGCCACUUAUCCUGAGACGUUGUAGAAAGUUGGAAUGUUAAUGUCGUCCCUUGUAAUCCGAAUAUGUGAAACUGAAGUUGUUGAAGGGUGGGGGAGAGUUGGGUUGGGUGGUACGGGGCAGGAAGUAUAAGCAAGAGGUCUCGAGUUCAAGUCCUCCCGCUUACACUAAAAAAAAUUAAAAAAAAAAAGAAGCUGUUGAAGGGUGAAUGAGUUUUUCAGUUGUAUACAAGCUGUAUAAUGGGGUUUUCAAUAAAAAGUUUAUCAUUUUCUCAAAAAAAGAAAAAAAAAAGAAGAAGGGUGAAUUGAGGAAGCUGAAUGCUAAGCGAUAUAGUUCUAUUAGUGAUAGAAUAUAACAGGUGUGUAUGGCCAGUUAUGUGAAGUGCAAUCGUUCUCCUUCAUUCACCUUUUGAUAUUACUUUACGGGCCAAAUAUAAGAAUGAGAUCUCUUGGGCUGGCCACGUCUUCUUCUUCUUCGUUUUUUUUUUCCAUUCUUCUUAUAGAUCUUUAGGCGAAUAAGCAAUCUUUGGGGAAAUAAUGUAGUAUAUUUGGACAUUGGGAUAAUUUAACAAAUCUCCAUUGAGUUUUAUGACAAAUUCAUCAUAGUUCCCCCUCAAAUUAUUGCAUUACACUUGUGUCUAUUAGCUAUUGAUUUCCAAGGUAAAUGCUGAAUUUCCCCUCUAGGUUUACCAUUGACACUUUCUAUACAAAGCGAUACAAAUUAUAUAUAAGAGAUUUGUGAAAGUGUCAUACUUCCGAGCUAUAACUCAUAAACAAAGGCAUUCGUAAAACCCUUUUGAUUCAAAUAUAUAGAUUUUUUUUUAUCCAACACCAAAAUUAUAUUGCCCAAUAAAAAAAGAAAACCUUUUUUUUUGGUUAAACCAAACUAUUAUUAUUGCAGCCCCAAAAAAGUACAAAGUUCGGGACCAGCCCUUCCCUAAGAAUACAAGCUCACACACCCUGCCCCACCUCUAAUUAACCCCUACCGCCGGCAUCUACGAAAAUUUGGAUACCCACACACAUCUAAUAUAUAGAUAUACUCACCUAUACACUUAACAAUUUAAUGUAUGCUAAAGUGAGUAGAAUAGGGUUUUGAAAAAGUACUCAAAAGUAUGCUACUUCCAUCAUUACCUUCUAGCACGCAUUGUGCAAACUCUUUUCAAAUAGAAAAAAGGGAAUGAAGAGGAGAUACAAAAAAGGGUUGCAAAUUCUUUAAAAUAUGGCAAGGGUAAGCAUGCAAGUAACAUAUAACAUGAAACAAACAUGUUAAGGAAACCUUAAAACAAGAGAGGUAACAGUAAGUUUGAAAACUUUGGUGCAGCUAAAUGAAGUCAAAAACCUAAAACAAGGUUGAUGGAAUUAUCCCUAGUAAACUCUAUGUGUCCUUCACCAAGUGAAAAAAUACUGUUCAAAAUUCUUAUUUCUAUCGGAACCAUUUCGAGGAACUCCAAUUCGGAUGUCAAUACUAAAAGAAAUUUUCCCUAUGGUACCCCUGAUUUUGAAAUUCACUAAUUAUUUGUAUAAUUGUAUCAUAUAUAUGCUUUUAUGUAUUGUGUAAUGAUUCACAUCAAAUUCAUGAGAAAUUUCGCAUCCCUCUCACAAAAGUUAGCAAAUGCAUUGUAUAUAGGAAGCUGAAAACCAAACAAGACUUUAUUAUUAGGUUAUCGAUCAGUAUUAUUGGUCCUAUCCAAGUGUCAUCACGUUUUGUUUAUUCAAGUGUCAUAAUGUUAUUGAUAGUAUAAUUGGGUUGCAUGAUUAUGGUUGAAAGUGUGGAAUAUGCGAUUAAACUCCGUGUUAGGAGUACUGGUUUUGCUGUGGGUUUUUUCGUUUUCUUUGUCAGCUGCGUGGGGGCUUUAGAGCAUAAGCCUUUGUUUUGUUUCUAAACAUCACCGCCAAAAUUGCCAAUAGCAUAUCGAAACAUGGACACUAAAUGAAAAGAUGUGAGGAAACUUUAAUGAAGAUAUGCCAAAGACAAAAGCUCGAAAAAAUAUGAUCAAGGGAUCAAAAUAGGAACAGGCGAACACCAACAAGUUAAGUCGAACCAAGAUCAACAUAAUCAAUUAUUUGAUUUCAAGAGUCAUAACUUUGCUUGUAAAGAACAAUUAAAGGUAAACAAUUUGUUGCUUUCCCCCCCUCCCCAAUCAGGUGUGUACCUCAACAUUAUUUCACGUCAUGAACUUGUUUUUCCUGGGAUAAAUACCCUAGCAUCUGAGGUUAUCACCAGGCUCGACACCCAAUUGUCUACAAUAUUCAGUAUAAUACUCAACUCGAGCACUAACUGUGUUUGGAUUUGCACCAUCACAUUCAAGCCGACCAUUAAUGGCACGAAUUGUAGCCCCAAAACCCUGGCCAGAAGUGAUAAGAUCAUGACAAUGGUUCAUCCAAUACCACAAGCCAGUUUUGAAUGAAAUAACAUUAUUUGUAGCUACAGUUUCAGGUUGGCUGAGUCCAUUGAAUCCAAUGCUUUCACCUGCUGGUCCAUAGUUAAAGUUCCAUGAUAACUGUAUUGGACCCCUGCCGUAAUAUCCCUUGCCUGGCACACAUGGAUACUGAGUGUUGCUCUCAUCACAGUAAUCUCUGGAGGGGCCGUCUAUCUCUUCUAUGUAGCACAAAUCUGCGCAAUAUAAAGAAAUUUUGUCACUCAAUUGAAAUGAUUGAUAAAGGGUUAGAAUCAAAGAAAAUCAGCAGGUCUGGAAUUUUUUGUAAAUUUUUAGAUUUGAUUGUUUUACUGAUGAAUUCAAUUGGUGAGAAAAGAAUUUAUCCCAUUUUGUAAAAAUUGGAUUGGACAGACUUAAAGUAAACACUUCUUUUAUGAGGUAAAAUUUUAGAAUGAUUUAACAUUAUAGGGUUAUACGAUAGAUAAAUAAAAAUUGGCAAUAGCAAGAUUAAGAUGGGACUAAAAUAUAUUUGGUUAAUAAAUUUGAAUUAAUUUACGGCCAAAUUUAGGUGAAAUAGUUAAUUCUACUUGGUAAAUUGGAAGUUCGGAAAUGUGUAUCUGUCAGUUGUCAUACUCAUGAGUAAGCCAAUCUUCACUUAAAAAAAAAAGUAAUCCAAAAGAUAAAGCCGCAUGAUCAUCUACUUUUACAUGCAGCAAAAUACACAAUCACCAUAAGCUUAGAAUGUAAAGGCAGAAAAACUUGCUUCUGUAGAUAUAAAAGUGACCACUACAAGAAAAGUAAAAAGAAGAUGGAGAUAAUAAUCCUUCUAUCCCCUUAUAAGGAUUAAACCUUCGUCAUGAUAAAUUAUUUGACAGUAAAAACUCUUUCAUAUUCAAGUUUUAUUUUUUGAAGAAAAAAUUCUUGGAUAAUAGUGCACAGGAUAAUUUAGAUUCCAAGAUAUACUAUCUAGAAAUUUACAGGAGCUACUAAAAUAGUAGAAAAUAUCUUCAAAAUUUAAUUUCCAAGCUAGUGUUAUUCAAAACUUACGUCCAGUCUCAUGAGUGACAUGAGCAAAGAAAGCAGCAAUCUCCCUUUUAGAAUCAUCAACAGAGCCAACGGUUCCAAACUGGGGAUACGAAUUCAGAGCUUCAAGAAAAGCUGAUCGAGUAUAGAACCCUUUUCCAGCACAGCUUGAAGCAGCUUGAUCAGCAAUUCCAUUAAAGAAAGCGUCCGUCACAAUAUCAGCAACUGAAACGCCACUAUUACCACUGCUCGGAGCAGCGGUGCAAGGGCCGGAUUGACAGCCAGAGCCACAGUAGUCAUUGCCGGUACCGCAAUAGCCGAAUUUGCUGCAGCACAAGUCUGGUGCACAGCCGCAGUUUUGGCUUGAAAUCAGCUGUGGAAAGGCUCCUACAAGAACUACAAUGGAGAAAAUGAUGGUUGGAAAACUCUUCAUUUUUGGAUUUGAUAAAGUAGAGAAGCUUGUGGGCAGAAGUUGUAUCAGAAAGAAGGAUAUAUAUAGGGAAGAGAACUGAAAACCGAUCAGCUUGUGUGAAGCAUGCACCGCUGUUAUUGUUGAAAAUAUUGAAUUUGAGCAAUUAAAGAAAACGGAAGACGAAAGCGUGAAUGGUUGACUUCUAUCGAGUGUAUUGACUUUGACAUUGUCAAUGAAGCGGAAACUUUCUUUCUUGGCUUCUAGAAUGGAAAAGGUCAAACGGGAAGAUUUUGGCCAAUCAUAUAAACAAUUGUGAGAAUAAGUCACGUAGACUAACAAGUCCCCACUAUAAUGUGUGCAAAAAUAUAAUUUGAAGUUGCCUAAAUCAUUUAAUUUGAUGCUUAUUAUUGAGUUUACUUGCCCAACUAUGUUUUAAUAAUAUUUCAAAAUUGUGUUUGAAUUAGAACAAAAAAAUAUGAGACAUACUUAUUUAUUUAAUUGCAAUUCCAGAAAUAAAAUCGUAUACAACAUGUAUUAGAAUAAUUUUUAGGGUAAAUGAUAAAGAAAAGAAAUACUUCUACAAAUUGACGUAAGUGAUCAUCAGCUUUUCGAGAAGUUCAGAAAGAAUAAAGUGGCCGAUAUAUAUAUCAUGCAUGGCAAACUAUGUGGCUUUUGUUAGUACACGUUAUGACUAUAUGUAUGUUUCAUUUGACAUGUUUGUUGGACGUGUUGAAUUGUUAGCAAUGAAAUGCUCCAAAAUGUUUUCAUGCAAGAUUUCAGCACUGUGGUUUAUAAGCAGUAUGAGGUCAUAGUGAAUUAUCGACAUAUCGUCACAUGCAGAGUCGUGAAAAUAUACAAGUCUUUCCCUAUCAUUAAUUAGUUGGUUAAAUGACAAUUUCUAGAAUGGAGCUUCAUGGUUGGCCAUGUCAAGAAACAUCUCGCAGUAAAUUGGGCGAGUUAAUAUGGUCCUCUUGUUUUACACAGGAUGUACUUUUCUUUUUCUAAAUAUUUCCCCUUAAACUCUCAAAUUGAUCAUAGUGUUAACUAAUUUUGCUCUGGUUUUAUUCUUGGUUCGCAAAAUUCAGUAAAACCAAAACAAACCCUUGUUACUGAAGAUAUCAAAAUGGUACCCCAACUAAGUAAUUGAUUUCGAAAAACACUCUGAACCAAAUUUCAAGUUUUGGUUUCUUUGCUCUUUUUCUACUGAAAGGCAACAUCCCCGGGCCAAGAACUUGAAACAAAUAGUAUGAUGCUCAAGUUUUCUAUGCUCUUAUGAUCAAGUCAAACCAUGCUUAUAAUCAAUUACAUAAAAAAAAAAAAAUCACGGGCAAUUUUGUUACUAUUUGGGAGGAGGAGGAAUAUUAAGCAAAAAAAUAUUCUAUUAAGAAAACGAUGAAGCAUAUUAUUUUCCAGGAAUAAAAAAUAACGAGCAGAAAAAAACAAAUAGUAUGAUGCUCAAGUUUUCUAUGCUCUUAUGAUCAAGUCAAACCAUGCUUAUAAUCAAUUACAUAAAAAAAAAAAUCACGGGCAAUUUCGUCACUAUUUGGGAGGAGGAGGAAUAUUAAGCAAAAAAAUAUUCUAUUAAGAAAACGAUGAAGCAUAUUAUUUUCCAGGAAUAAAAAAUAAAGAGCAGAAAAAUACAUUAGUUUGGAUGACAUUAGAACAUUUAGCAACAGGAUUAGGGAUGCAAUGGGAAGAGUGCCAACUGGGAAUCAACAGGAUGGGAAAAAAUACAGGGCGGGGUGGGGGGGAUUGGAGAUAUAAUAAAUCUAAAAUUUUGUUUCUUUAGGAAACUUACAUAAGUGAACUUAAUAUUUCCUAAAAUAAUAUUUAAAAGUUAUAUUUAUUGUAAGGAAAAUAGAUUUGCUUUAUUUUGAGAUACUUUUUAACUUAAGGAAACUAGAGUUAAUUUAUUUUAGGACACUCUUGUUAAGGAGAAAUUAAAGGAAAUUAACAAUCUAACUAAUGAUAAAUAUGUUUUUUUUAGGGCAUUCGGUUGGUGCUUGAGAACACACCCGAGUACUGCAGCGUCUGCUGGAGAUUAGAGCAUUCGGUGGAGGAGUGCAGGAAGGAUACUCAUAACGGUGCAGGAGCCUUGGUUAAGGGCAACCAACCGCAAUUUGUAUCGCAGAGUGAUACUGUUGGGGCUGUCAUGGAGGCAAAAGGCAGUUCGGUUGGUGCGUCGAAGCCGCCCGGGGGGGGGAACACUCCCAGCAGCGCUGAUGGAGGCUCCGCUCUCCAUCCCUGGUCGAGAUGGCAAAAGCCCAGCGGCAGCAGCUGCGGUAACAGGGGUGGUGCCCAGGGAGGCAGAGCUGACCCACGAGCAUCAGCCUACUCGGGUUGCUGGUGUGAGUGUGGAGCUCCUUGAGGGAAGCGGGCAGGAUGAUGGCGCGCCAGAGGGGGAGCGUUCCACAGCAAGGGAAGGAGCCUCGCUUGCGCAGGUGAAUGCUAGAGCGGAGAUAAUGGUGGAGGGGCGACGUGCGGCUGAGCUUCCAGUGGCAGCAGGCUCGAAGGACAGUGGGCAAGCUGUUGGCGCACCAGAAUGGGAUCAGGCUGAGCAGGUGGAUGCUAGAGUAGAGAUCAUUUUGGAGGGGUGCAGUGCGGAUGUCCAGACUGCAACGGGCAAUCUGUCUCCGCGGCCCAGCGCCUAUUAUGGGGAGUUGGCAGCUUCUCCCUUGGAGGCGAUGAAUGUAGAUCAGUCACGGGCAUUGGAGCCGGCUAUAAAACUCGGAAAAUCAAAGGGAAUAAGAGCGAUUUUCCCUUCCGACAGGUAGCUGCGUUCCACUUCAACAUCCUCCAAAAACGGAUUCCAGGUUCUUUCCCAUGAUUAAUAGCAUAUUUUGGAACAUUAUGGGGGUUUCCAAACCUCCUAAUUUGAGACGGUUGAAAAACCUUAUUCGAUUACAUAAAGUUCAGCUGGUAGCUAUAUGUGAACCGAAACUUGAUGUCACAAAUAUUGAGAGCAUCCGCUUAAAUUUAUCGUUUGAUGCUGCUGUUGUUAACUUGUCAGCAGAUGUUUGGGUCUUGUAUAAUUUUCCGUUAGUAUGCUCUAUAGCUGGGAAUUCUCAGCAACAUAUCUCCUUGAAUGUCCAUCAUCCAUGGCUACCUCGCUCCUUGCGAUUUUCUUUUGUGCAUGCCAGGUGUACAUUGGAAGAACGACGGGGGUUGUGGCAAGCACUUUUGGUGGACAAACCACGCGACCAGCCAUGGUGCAUCUGUGGGGAUUUCAAUGUGAUCAUAUCCCCUAGCGAAAAAAAAGGAGAUCGGCCUUUUCGUGUCUCGGAGAGGUUAGAGCUUCUGACCUUCAUGGAGGAGGCGGAAGUUUUUUAUGUGGGUUUUUCCGGCUCGAGUUUCACUUGGUGCAACAAUAGCCAUGGCCGGGCUCGGAUAUGGAAGCGAUUGGAUAGGCUAUUGGUUAAUGGAGAAUGUUCUGAAUUACCGUCAGCCGUGUCGAUCACUCACUUGGCUAGACAUCCAUCCGACCAUGCACCGCUACGAGUUUCUUUCACAUCCUGUGUAGAGAUAAACCUCAUGCGUUCCGCUUCCUGAAUGUGUGGACAUCCAGAGCAUCUUUACUUGAUGUUAUUUGAACGACUUGGCAACAGGAGUGUCGGGGUUCUCCCUUAAGGAUCUUAUGCUCCAAGUUGCUAGCAGCAAGGAGAGCUAUCCAAGAGUGAAAUAAGUCCUCCUUUGGGAAUAUAUUUGCAGUGUCUCGCGAAGCAGAGGCUUCGGUGCUUAGGGCGGAAGCACGGGUGGAAACUGAGGCAUCGGAGAAUGCUCAGAUAGAGCUUCAUAGGUCUCAAGCACAGCUCAACCGUGCUUUGUCAGUGGAGGAGGAGUUUUGGAAGCAGAAGGCUCGUGUCAAGUGGCUCCGACAUGGCGACUGUAACUCAAAGUUCUUCCAUGCCACCCUGAGACAGAGGAGGAUGCAAGGGCAAAUCCACAGGAUUAAAGAUGAGACUGGCAUAUGGGUGAAGACGGAUGAAGAUAUAUCACGUGAAGCGAUACGGUAUUUUUCUGAUUUAUUCUCUGCUCCGGCGGAAUCCUCAUCAGACUUGCUGCAUGUUAUCCCUGCCAACGUCACGGCGGAGGAAAACAUGAGCUUAGAGGCCGAUCCGUCUUUCGAUGAAGUAAAAAGAACUAUCUUUGCAAUGGACGGUGAUAGUGCAGCAAGCCCCGAUGGUUUCAUGGGUAAGCUUUUUACUUUUGCUUGGGAGGUGAUUGGUCAAGAUGUCUAUAAUGCAGUUUUGAGCUUUUUCUGUAGGGCUGAGCUCCCUCAUUUUAUUACAUCUACUUCUAUUGUCCUUCUCCCGAAGGGACCGAACCCUCAGGAUUUUUUGAUGUUCAGACCGAUUAACCUCUGCAAUUUCUUUAAUAAAGUAUUGUCCAAGAUCUUGGCUGAUAGGUUGGCUAAUAUUCUGCCAAGAAUCGUCUCACCCCAACAUACAGGCUUUGUUAAGGGCAGGAAUAUAUCAGAGAAUUAUUUUCUCGCCCAGGAAAUAAUGUCAGGGAUGCGUAGAUCGUACAGGGGUGGGAAUGUAGCAUUGAAGUUAGACAUGUCCAAGGCAUAUGAUCAUGUAUCGUGGGUAUUUCUCAUGAACGUAAUGCGGCAGUUUGGGUUUGGAGAAAGGUUUCUUGACAUGGUGUGGAGGUUGAUUUCUAAUGCUUGGUUUUCGGUUAUAAUUAAUGAAGCGUCUUAUGGCUUUUUCAAGUCGGGUAGGGGAUUACGGCAGGGGGAUCCGAUAUCCCCCGCGUUAUUCGUAAUUGGGGCGGAGCUUCUCUCACAGGCUUUAAACAAUCUCGUGUUACAUUGUGGCUAUAGGGGUUUUAAGGUCCCACGGGGGUGUCCCCAAGUCACGUACUUGGCCUUCGCUGACGAUGUAUUGAUUUUCGCUAAUGGGUUUGCUCGAGCUUUGCAGGAUAUUGUGCGGGUAUUGGAGCUUUACCAACAAUCCUCGGGUCAGUUGGUGAAUAGGCAAAAAAAUGGGUAUAUCGUCCAUCUCUCCGCCUCGAUUGCUAGACGGAGGGUGAUUGAGCAUCUCACUGGCUUUUCUAGGCAACAGGCGCCUAUUCGAUACUUGGGCUUCCCAUUGUACUUGGGCCAAAGUAAGGCUUAUUAUUACGGUGAGGUGAGUCAAGCAAUAAUCGGAAGAAUCCUCUCAUGGAAGUCCAAGUUUUUGUCUCAGGGGGGUAAGAUCAUCCUCAUCAAACAUGUUCUCUCUUCUAUCCCACUGCACUUACUAUCUGCUGCAGUAAUGCCGACUUCGGUGUUCAGGGUAAUUAAAAAGGUUUGUUCUGACUUUCUAUGGAGUUCGACGGAGAGGGGGGCCAGGUAUUACUGGAUCCACUGGGAGUUGUGCUUUUCAAAGGAGGAGAAGGGAGUAGGCUUCAGGCUUCUAAAGGAUGUUUACACAGCUUUAUCUCAUAAACCCUAGUGGAAAUUCCGCACGGGGACGUCUUUAUGGGCAAGGUUCUUACGUGCUAAGUAUUAUGGGGCUUGCCACCCUUGUCAAGUGGAGCUUAAAGUGGGCGUAUCAGCAACUUGGAAACGGAUAAUCAAUGUCAGCAGGGAGGCGGAGUUGUCUAUGCGAUGGUUGGUGAAUGCUGGGACCUGUGACUUCUGGUAUGAUAACUGGCUAGGGAAUGGAGCUCUUUUCCUUAAAGCUCCUGUUCAGGGGGAUUUAUCGUUCAGAGACUUUAUUGUUGACGGGAAGUGGAACUCGGUGGGACUUGCAGAAUACCUCCCAAGGGACAUCACAACUAUGAUCCUGCAACACUCGACCCCAGAGGGUGAGAGGCCCGAUGAGGUGGUAUGGGUGUCAACAACUUCAGGAUCAUUUUCGUUAUCCUCUGCUUUUCGUGAGGUAAGGCAAGCUCGGAAUCCCUCUUGGAUAUUUUCCCACAUUUGGCUCCCCCAACUCCCUGUAAAAGUUUCUUUAUUUAUGCUCCGUCUUUUGAUGCGGAGGCUCCCCCUGGAUGAUAUCUUGGGUAAGUUUGGCUUUCAAUUACCUUCCAAAUGUUUUUGUUCUUCCAUGGCAGCGGCGGCGGGAGAAUCUAUUGAACACAUUUUCUCAACGGGACAACUAGCGGUAGAGAUUUGGGGUGUCUUUGGAUCCUCGUGCGGUAUAUGUCUGCCGGCCGUAUCAUUGCGAGAGCGACUGGUCGCUUGGUGGUUGUCCCCGCACUCAGAUGCUCAAAGACGUCAUGUUGUUUCCAUCCUGCCAAGUUUCAUCUGUUGGCAUAUCUGGAAGGCACGGAACAAAGCAAUCUUUGAAGGGGUUGAACUGACUAGGGGGGAGAUUUGCCAUGGCAUUCUCCGGGAUAUUUUCGCAACGGUUGAGAUUAAAUUUCGUCAUGGGAUUGUAGCGCAAACAUUUGAUCAGUUUUGUGAAAGACUCUCUUAGCCGCCGCUAGUACUUCGGGUCCAGUUGGUCAAGUGGUAGGCAUCUGGAAGGGGGGUUUUCUCCCUUAAUACGGAUGGGUGCUCAAAGGGGAAUCCAGGGAUGAGUGGUGGUGGAGGAAUAUUACGGGAUUCAAAUGGUCAGGUGCUAGUAGCAUUCUCAGCCUCCCUGGGGGUCAAUACAAGCUUGCACGCUGAAGCAUUGGCACUUUUAACGAGGCUUCGCGUAUGCUUCCAGCAAGGGUUUGUACAGGUGCGAGUGCAGACAGAUUCACUGGUUCUAGUAGAUAUAUUACAACGGAGGUUCCAGUGUCCAUGGCUCAUUCGAAGAGAGGUACACCAAAUAUGGCAGCUAGUCGCGAAUCCUACACACUUUUCGCAUUGUUUUAGGGAAGCCAACAAAGUGGCUGACAUCUUAGCUAAUGUAGGUAUCUUGCAUCCGCAGGAUCAUGUAAGGGUGUAUCACCAACUCUGCUCUCUUUCACAGCUAGCAAGGGGGGAAGUUAGGUUGAAUAUGCUAGACUUUCCUUCUAUUAGACUUAUCAAAGGAUCGUCGUGAUGACCGGUCCUGGUCUCGGCUUGUAAUCUUCUGAUUGGGCAAUAAAAGUUUUUUCAAUAAAAUAAAUAAAUAAAUAAAUGUUUUUUUUGGGAGGGGGAUUGAUAAAUUUUUAAUCUGAAACAAAACUCUAUAUUGUUGUUUUGGGUGAGGGGAGGGAGGAGGGGGGACUGCCCCCACAAUAGAUCUUUUGUUUCAUUCUCUGUGUUAUUUUCUGUUUCACUUUUUAUUAUAUCAUUAUUUUUUCUUCAUAGACAUCAUAUUUUAUUUUCUUUAUUUCUUUAAGAUCUAAUAACUAUUAACUAAGUAAAAAAUAAAUACAACAAUCUAAAAAUAUAUAUAUAAUAGAAAAUUAGAAAAUAUAGCAAAAAAUUUAUUAAAAAAUCUCAUUUUUCAUGCAUUUUAAUUUUUUGAAUUUGUUAAAUUUGGUGUAUUACUCAGUUAAUAGUUAUUGGAUCCUAAGGAAAUUAAAAAAAAAAACUAAAAUAUGAUGUUUAUGAAGGAAAAAUAAUAAUAUAUUAAAAAAUGAGACGGAGAGUGGCACAAGGUGUGAGACAGAAAAUCCAUUGCAGGCUGCCCUGCUGGCCCUUUCUUAUGUCCGUCACUAUAUGGCUAGAAACAAGUACCUAUUGCUGAAUUAGUCUCUCCCUUCUAACUUCUAAGAAUUCCAAGGUUUUGUAAUGAUUCCGCAGGAAAUAAGACAAAAAUAGUUAGCCAACUAUUACCUUGCUGGAAUUGUUAUAACGGCUACCACUUGCAGAAAGAAGGUUACUGAUUAGUUAGUGGGGAAGCUUUCUAUUAAUAGGCCAAUACUAAUGUAAAGGGGCAUGCAAAUUCUGAUCAUUGAGAAUACAACUUUCCCGCUUCUUUCCCAUUCAUUCUGCUCCCUCUCUUUUCUCUCAACCUUUUUCUCUCUAUUCCUUUCUAUAUUUUUGUUCCUUAGUUGAAUCAACCAAUUCCCAACCAUUACAGUUUUUUUUUCUUGUCAAUCGACAACUUCUACAUUUAUCCUACUCCUACUCCUACUUUUUCUCCUAUUCUAACCUAUCUAAAGAAUGGCCUAACAGGGCCAAAAAUCCUAUUCCUAGUUCUAUUUCCACUCCCAUUCUAACCUAUUUAAGGGAGGGUCUAGCUGGAUCAAGGGGACCUAGAGAGAGUAGUCCCCAUCUCUAGACCAACGUCUGGAUUUGGAGGAAACUACAUACUAGUCACAAUUGCUAGAAAGUAAGAAUUGAAUUCUUGAUCUCUUACUCCAAGGCCUUUGACAAGUGACUAAUUUACACUAUAUUUGAAUGAUAUCUUAUGUUAUUUUUAGUCACUUUGGCUAUAUUAUUGGAAGAAAAUGGAUCAUUCUGGCUAUAAUUAGUUUAAAAUGCUCUUAAGUGAUUAAAUGAGAUUUUUGUCACUUUUACUUGCAUUUUGUCCAUAAUUUGUAUAGGAGUUGGAAAUAUAUUUCCUUUGGAUGAAGAGGAAGUUGACAGCUUUGACACAACUUCGUAUUUCGGCUAUAACUUGAGUUACAAUGAUCGGAUUGAGAUGAUUCUAGAACCAUUUUUAAGAUAAGAGAUAGAUGUACAAAUCUUAUGAAGACAUUGAAAUACAGUUUGAAGGUUUUCCCUAUCAAAAAUCUGAAUUAUAGUGCCAAUUUCUAUUGGUCGAAGCUGAAACAAGGCAGUGAGCAGUCAAGGGUAUUUCUGUCAUUUCUCCAUCUACACAAAUCCAAAUGAGGUGAUUCUUGAUGCAUUGGAAACAUAACUAAAAGGGUUACAAGUUUCAUGUUUUGGUCAAGAGUUAAUUCAACUUCUAUCAUCAAGAAAAGUUCAGUUGAAGUUGAGGCAAAAUUGGAGCAACAUUGAAGACUGGACAGAAAUUGCUAAGAAUGGCAGGGGAGCAAUCCGGCUGAAAAUCCGUCCGGAUUCUGGCCGGAUUCUAGUCAGAAAUAGCUGCUCUCCACUUGCACAACUUAUUUCCUCCUCCAAUAUUCAUAGCUAUUGAUGGACGUGUAACAACAACUUUGCAGCUGUAAAAGUGAUAUUUGAAGCCUUAUUUCUUGACUAAAUUAUCUAUAAAUAGCCAUGGACUUAUAAGGAUAAGGAGAGCUUGGGGGAGUGCAAGAAACACCACAAAAAUGUAGUUCCUUGGUUCUUUAGUGUAGAGUAGUGUAGGAUAGUUUAGUUUUAGAUAGUUUAUCCUUUCUUGUAUGUUAGCUAAAUGAAGAUGAAGAUGGAGAUGAAGAAGGCAAGGAAAGAGCUCAUGUGACAAGGAUUACUUUACCUUUCCAACUCUUUAUCUUUUGUACUUGAUUCUAAGUUUAGUUAAUAUAUAAGUUUUGGAUUCUAUGUUUAUUAUGUGUUUCUAAAGUUUAUGCCUUGGGCUUGGUUGAACUUUCUAUGAUUGUUAGUGUUUAUUAUUUGGUUAUUUGAUGCUAUUAUUUUGAGCAAGUUAUUGAGUACUUUACCUCUUUUAAAUCAUGAUUAACUUGGUACCAUUAAUUGUAAUUAUCUAAAGGUGUUGUUUCUUCAAUGAAAAUUGAGAUUUAACAGUAAUUCAAGAAGUGCUAAACCUAGAGAAUACACUCACGAGAGUAGAGGUUCACCUAUGUGGCUUUAGUGAUUCAUUUCAUGUAAUUUCAUAGAAGAAAUGAACUUGUAGCUAAUUUCUUAACCACGAGAGUAGGUAUGGAUUAGUUAUAAGUAUAGUUGAUUCACUACGAAAGUUGGUUUCACAUACAUAAGGAAAUUUCGCCAUAACUAGCCAAAAUAGUAGUACUCAAUGAUCCAAAAAUAACACUUGCAUGAGUAGUUAGGAAUACCAUAGACUAAGGAGCUUUCAUUUGUUAUUAUCUUGCAUAAGGUUAGCAUAGUUUUAUCUCUUUUAAUUCAUUGAUCGUCUAAAUAAUGGAGAAGCUUUAGUAGUGUCGGUAAUUGUCCAAUAUCAUUUGCAAGGGUAGUGAGGAAUUCCAUAUCUCUAGAAGCUUUCUAGUACUGAUUUUCAUUACUUUUAUAUUUAUGGUAAUCUAGAUAAUAAAGGAGUUCGAAAAACACCGGUAAUUGCAAUCUUCCUUGUGGGAUCGACCCUUAAUACCCUAUACUCGCUCACGAUUCGUAUACUUACGAUAAAUCGCGUGUGGGAUAUUUAAGAAUUAUAAAUGUAAAACUUGAUUGUGGAUAAACUUAUUGUAUAUGUAUACCCUGCGCACGUCAGCCUUUAUGGUGGCCAACAGCCCAAUAGGACAUUGGUUACAUGACAUCAUACUUCUAGUACAUGAGAAUACAUUAAAAAUCAAUCGCUUUCACAGUUCCACUUCAGACAAUUAAGAAUUACUAUCCAUUGGAUAAAACUAGUUUUAACCUUCAAAUAUCUUAUUGCAAGUAAGCCUUCUAAAAUAUGCUCACGAUUACUAUAUUUUUAGCAUUUUCACUAUGUAUAAGUCUAGAAUUGUAUGAUGAAAAGAAUUUCCAUCAAUCAAUAACUACUUAAGACUUUAUUGAGCCCAAUGACUAGCUUCUGAUAUAUUUUUGAAAGUGUACACUUUAGGUCGUUAAACCAUCAUUUUCAAGUAAAAUUACAGACCUAUUAAGCAACAGUUAAGAAAUUAUAGAUUGCACAAUACUAAAUUCACAGAAAAAUGAAAGAUUACUAAAUGAGGAUAAAUAUAUAGUUGGGAGGUGGAGCUAGAAACAAAAUUCAGUACGGAUAAACAUACUGUUAAAUUAUACUACUUUCAGUGUAUAAAAAAAGUUACAAUAACUUUUCAAAUGAAUUUCUUGUGUGUUGGGAGCACAUCAAUGAUGGAUCUAAGGGGGGGCUGGGGCCCCCCUCGACCCAUGUUUUGAAAAGUUUAAUUCAUAGUGUGUAAAUAUAUAUAUAAAAUAAUGUUGGCCCCCCUUAAUUUUUUCCAAUUUUAAUUUAUAUUAUGAGAGUUUAUAUUUAUAUAUAUAUAGUCACCUUUGAAUUAAUUUUUUUAUUCAAAAAAGUUAUUUAUUUUUUACUAAUUACUUAACUUUCAAAAAAUUAAACAUACUAUUUGAUGAUCCAUAGUAAAUUGAUCCAAUUUGACAUAUUAUAAUAAAAAGACCCAAUUCACAAUAUCAAUGGGUUAAAACAAAAAUAAUAAUUUUAUUGGCCCAUAUGCAAAUAUACAACUUAACCCAAUUGAAUGAUUGUCUAAGUAUAUACAUAGAUAGGGGUGGCAAUGGGGCGGGGAUGGGGCAGGGGACACCUCCCCCAACCCCCGCCCCCGGCUUCCCCCGCCCCGCCCCGCUUCCCCCCACGGGGGCACUCGUAGGGUUAAAAAAAUUUUAUUAUGUAAUUUCAUUAUAAUUAAAUUUGAGCAAAUAAUCAAAUAUUAAAAUAUCAACACAUCACCAAAUUAUUAUUCAUUGUAACUUCACAAUUGAAACUCAUAAAAAUAAUUAAACAAAAGUUAUUUGAAUACAAUCUAAUAUGAUAAAACAAAUAUAACUAAAAUAAUCAAGUUUUCACUUUUGAUACAAAUACAAUCACUAAAUUAUUAUUGUGUUUUUUUUAGAAAAAAGUGUUAUUGUAUUAAGUGUAGUUAGAAAUUUAACAUAAAUGUAUUAAUAAAUUUAGUAUAAAUAAUUAAUAAUUUUUAUUAAUAGACAUGUAUAAUUAGUAGUAUAAUUGAUAAUAUCAUUAUAUAUAUAAUUAUGUACAUAUAUAUAUAUAUAUAUUUUUCAAACAGGUGGCGGGGCAGGGGUGGGGCGUACUCCCCUGCCCCCCGCCCCGUUUCUAAACGGGGGGAAAAAUUCCCCCCCCCGGCCUUCGCCCCAACCCCCACCCCACUAAUCCCCCGCGGGGCGGCUGUCCGCCCCCGUUGCUAUCCGUAUACAUAGAAAAGAAAAUUGCUGAAAAAUUUAUCAUUGAUUCAAUCAUAGAUGAAUUUAGUUCUAUGAAAGAAUGUAAAGCUCAAUUUACUUUAAAAUAAAAGGUUCAAAUUUUAAGUUAUAUUAACAUAACUUUUAUCUUGUUUUAAUUGAAAAUAGAUAUAUUUAUAUUGCAUAGUUAUAUGCUUUCUUUUCUUUUUGCAUAGGUGACAUAUUGGAGUUUAUGUUCAUAAUGUGCAUCUUGGAUGGUUUGCAAUGCUAUAAGACAUUUAAUCUAAUGUUAUUUCUUGUCUUAAUUUUCGUUAUGACUAUAUUGCAUAUUUAUGAAAUAGACAUACACUUAUAAUUAAAGUUAAUAUUGGAUAUUUUUAGAUAAUAUAUAUUUAAAUAGUUGAAAUUUAUUUUGAACAUAACAUAUUAAGAUAAUUUUGUUAGAAAAUCCCCCCCCCCUCACGAAGAAAAAAAUCCUAGCUCCAUCACUGGAGCAGAGAAAAAGAAGGAAAAGAGGAAUAAACAUAAAGUUGAGUUUUUGUUAGUUAUUUUUUAUUUAUUUGUAAGAGGUGAAAUGAGUUGUUUUUUAUUUUUAAUCUAUUGAAAUGGUGAGGACAAAGUGAUAAACAAAGGAUAAUAUUAGAUACAUAUUUUAUUAGAACAUAGUGGGGAAAAUAUUAUCUAACAACGACAUGAAUUGUAUAUAAGUUAUAUGCUUUUGGUGGGUCAGUGGAGGUUAUUGUCUCCAUUGUAUCGUUUCCUAGAAUCAGUAUAUUCUAGUAAAUGAUUCUAGUUAUAUGUAAGUGAUUUAUAUUACUAAUUUUUUGUUACAAUUUUUAGAGAAUAGUUGGUUGAUUCUUAAAAAUAGAGCGAAGUCAACAACUAAUGCGCUUCAUAGUUAAUAGAAGUUUCCAAGAGGGCACCAAGUAAUAUUUUCAUAAUUGAUUAGCUUGGUUUUCAAGUGCAUAUAAAAAGAUAUCCAUGAAGACCUCCCCACCCAAGGGAAGACUGUAAGUUACGAAAACGUUUACUUUACUCUCAACAAAAUGUUGAGCAUACUUUAUUUUACUUUCGACAUCAUGCAAUGAUUAAAGGAUUUUGUAUAGGGACCUAGUUAAUUCAAUAAGCUUUAUGAUGGUUUAAUUGACUAACGGAGGAAUUUGCUCAGCCUAGUAACUCUGGUACUCAAGUAAUCAUGACCUUUAUCUAAAGAUCUACACAUUCCAUAUUGAAGUAAAUGAUAAUGGAUUUAUUACUUUUGUUGACCAAGUCAAGCAAAAAGCUGUUAUCAAAUCAUGGUUUUAGCGACUUAUAAGUUUCUUGAUAUCCCAACUAACCUCAUAGGAGGGCUACUUUAUUUCUUUUUGGUUACUUUCUAAUGCCUAGUUGCCUGUCGGAUAAAAUAUUGCCUUCACGGAUUGAUUCCAAAACUUGCUCAAAAACAUCUAUUUAUUUUUAAAAUAUUGCUUAUACUAUAUUUUGAACCAUUCAAUUGCAAAACACAAACAAUUUUUCUUAUGGUGCCUUCUUGUCGUUGAAACUAGGAAGCUAACCAAACAUUUGAAGCAAAGUGAUAAACAAUUAAUAGCAAACUAUAUUGGAUCUUCGAAAGGAAAAUUGAGGCCUCAUCUAUGAAUUUAACAUUUUCCGUUGUGAUGACAUCCGAAAUUGAUUGUGAGAAGAUUUUACAAACGCUAAAAGAGUAUCUCCAUUUAAUUGUGGAAAGGAAUUUGAUUUUGUCAAAUGCACAGAUAAUGGAAAUGACAAAAUAGCAGCACUAUCCUUGUCAUUAGGAAGCACUCAAAAGUUACGUAUUAAAUGGGAGUCUAACGUACAAGCAAUGAAACACUAUUGUAUUUGCGAUAGUAUUGAUAAAAAUUAAGAUUCUAUAGUCUUUGGAUCAUAAUGAAUUCAACGUUGGAUGACACAAUAAGUAUUCUGAAUUCUUAAAUUAUAAUAAUGUUAAAUAUUUAAAAUAGAAGCUGAUAUCGUUAUUAAGAAAUACACAUUGAAGGAAUAGUUCUCUAAGCGAUAAAAAUUUUCCAAAAGUAAAAGAAUGAAUGAUCAAAGUUUUCCAUCUUUGCCCGAUGACUCGUCUCUUUCCAUUUUACUUUCCCAAAGGAUAGCAUUUAAUAGCCUCGUGCCUGCUCUCAUUUUAAUCCUAAAAUAAGUGAUCAUGGGCUUCUUUGAGAAUGGGCUUGGUCUAAAUAUUGAACGCUCAAAACAGACUUCUUUUGUUGGAGGCGGCUUUCACUAGAGAGCGUGGGACUGAUUCAGAGUUCUUUUUUUUUUUGUAGGAAAAGGGAGACUGAUUCAGACUUCUUGCUAUCAUAGUUAUUAAACCUACCUUGGAGAGGAAUCCGGUGAAGGAGGUGGGUCAACGGAUUAUUGGUUCAAUCAGUGGAUGAGUAGUUGAAUUGGUGGGUUACUAAAUAUAUUUAAAUAUUAUGUCUCAUAAUUUUUUCAUAUAGGGUAUCUGGUUUAAACUACAAUGAACUAUACCAAGCAAAUGGUUAUUUAGGGUGUGUUUAAUAAAAUUAAAAUUUGAAAUUAAAAUCUGAAAUGUGAAUCUAUUAAGUUAUUAAAUUGUUAAGUGCUAAAUCUGAUACAUUUGUGUGUGUGUAUAUAUAUAUAUAUAUAUCAUAUUAAGUAAUAAGUGAAUAGUUUAUCACUUAUUUUUAGGAAUAAAUUUUGCCUAGAAAAUUCAUUACUAUUUAAUUAAUUCAGAUGUUCAAUUUUUUAAUAUGUUAAGAUCUGAAUCCAUUAAAUUAAAGUGUUGAAUUGGAUUAUCAAACAGGGUUUUAGUCUAAUUCAUUAUAGUCUAAUUCAUUAUAGAAUGAUUAAUUAUUAUAAAAAUCUAUAAAAUCAAAAUUAAAUUAGUAAUCCACCAAAUUUCAAGUGCAAAUAUUUACCUAUAUUUAGUGUAAUUAUUUAGUUUAUUUAUGAAUUUUAAGUGCAAGAGGUUAUUAGGAACAAUAUUUGCCUUUAAAUGAAUUGUAUACUAUGUUAUUUUUGAAAUCCAUUUCAGAACUUAUAGAGUUUGAGAAAUAAUAAAUUUUAUUAAAAUAUCCCAAAUAAUUUUUAUUUUAGAGAAAUUAUAAAAAUAAAGAAACAAUUGACUAACAUAUAAUAUAAGACAGGUGAAUAACUAGCAUGUCAGCUGUUCACCUAGCGGUAAGUACUCGUUGUUUAUAUGCAUGAGGUUUUGAGUUUGAACCAUUAAAAAAACACAAUCUUGUCUAAUUUUUCCAAUAGCAACUAAUGUUCUACCUGAUUCAACCGGUCGGAUUUUCGAUUUAAUCCGGUUGAACCAUUGAUUUGUUGACAAGUCAAUGAGACUUGUUCACAUUCAAUCCAAUUAGAGACCCGAUGUUGUUUACUGAUCAGGCUUAAUAACUAUGCUUGCUGUGUUUCCUAGGUUUGCAAGAUUGAAUUCAAGGUUAAUUGUAUUCAUCUCCUUUUUGGUUAAACCAAAUUACAAAAAUCUUUUAUAUUGUUUGACCAAAUUAAGAGUACAGGCAAAGCCCUUGACCAAAUUACAAAAAUCUACCAUAUUGUCUGACCAAAUUAAGAGUACAGGCAAAGCCCUUGAUGGCAAAACAUUUAUCAAAUGCGCCCUUAUAUCAAUAGCUGUUAAAAUUGAUGCUUACAUUAACAAAAACCACAUAUUUGAAAGCCCCAAAAUAACCUUUUACACCUUGAGUUAAUUACACUUAUCUUUAUAUUUGGCAAUUGGGUGGGUUGAACGGAUUUUGGGCGGGUUAAUAUUGGAUUUUCACUUAAAUGGAUUAUACCCAACCCGUCCAACUUUAGAUUUGGUUGAUUUUGGGUUGGGUCAUAUUGGGUUAUUUCAAACCCAUGACCCAAAAAUAACCUAUUAUAUUAAUUAAUACAUAACCUUUUUUCACAUUCAUUUUAACAUACAAAAAAGAUUUUUUUCACACAUAUAAACACAUUUUCACAUACAUAAAUGUAUUUUCAUACACACUCACUUCUUAAGUUCCUUGAAAACACAUCAUAAAUAGAAUAAUAUUUUAUAUUACUUGUAUUGUAAAUUUUAGAUAAUAAAUGAUGGGGGUUGGGUUCUGCAGCAGGUUGCGUGAUGAAGUCGUAGAUGAUGUUGGGAGUACUGGGAAAGGAUGGAUGAUGAUGAUGGAGGUGAUGAGGAGGUGGCUCCGCCAUUAUACACACAGAGUAUACAUGAAUGAGGAUGGCGCCGAUGAUGACUGCACUCACUUCUUAUUAUAUGUAUCCACAUUAAUAAUUCCUAUGUACACAUGAAACUCUGUGUGUGUGUGUAGAUACAAUAUAUAUAUAUAUAUAUGUAUGUGGCGGGACUUAAAUUAUAUAUAUAUGGGACAUAGAGCCACUGCUACUGGUCUAUAGUAUAGUUCAACAACAACAGCAGCAACGGCAUUCGACUACUCUGUUAGUGCAGUGUAUCAGCAGCUUGAGGUUAAAAAAGGUUAAAAAAGAAAUUUGUACAAUAUUAUAUGUACACGAAAUAUUGACAAACAAAAGCAAUCAUGAAAUAUUAAAAAAGAAUGCAAUUAGAAUAAAUUUAAAACUCUAUUUUACGUACACGAAAUAUUAACAAACAAAAGCAAGUAGCAACUUGAGAACAACCACAAAAAAAAAAAGAAAAAAAGAAGGAGGAAAAUAACAUACUCUUAAAAGGCAUAAUAAAUUAUUAUAAAAGUUGAGUAAGUUUAACUACUGUUAUAAAAGUAAAAUAGCUAUGAGUUUUUAUUUCAAGUUUCUUUUUUCUUUUAAAUAAAAAUUAAAAAAAUUGAUUGAAAAAAAAAAAUAUAUAUAUAUAUAUAUAUAUAUAUAUAUAUAUAUAUAUAUAUAUGAGAAUUUUGAAUACAAAUUAAUCAAUGAAUUAUUAACACAUGUCCAAAUGCAAAUAGUUAGAUAUAUGUGUAUUGAAUCUUGUAUUUAUUAUUUUCAAUUACUUUUAAACAAGUUAGAUAUUGAGUACCCAAAUAAAAAAUUCAACCCGUCCAAUGAAUAAAUUGGAUUGUUCUUACCCAACCCAAUAAAACCCAUAACCCAAUUAACCCAACCCAUCAUUUAAAAUUAAUGGACGGAUUUUGGGCUUUUUUGCUAGCUCCACUUAUCUUCCUUGGAUUUUGUCCAAACUACUUUCAUCUCUCGUGAGGGUUGUACAAAUGACAAGUAAAGCCUAUUAUUGUCCAAAUCAAUUCAAAGCUAUAAAUAACCCAAUACUUUUCAAAUACACCAUAGUCAACUUAAUUAGUUGCAACAAACUUCUAAAACAAUUCUCAAAUACCGAUUAGUUACUACCUUUUUCUUUUACCAUUUUUUCUCCUCGUAGGUUAUAGUGUUACUCCACCUAAAAACUUGAAUUCGAUUUUCGCACAUCGUUGGGCCUUGCAUGAUGUCAAAUAUCAACAGUAUUUUCGGCAAUUGAUUCUUUAGUCGCAACUGCUAUGUACAAAAUUGAAACUUUUCUCCUUGUUAGCAUGCAAAUUAUCAAAAUCCAUUUUUCAAAUAAAAGACAGUAUAAACUUAAAUCCACCUUAGCACUAAAAUUUAAGGUUUCUAUAUAAACGAUAUUUUGGAAUUCAUUAGUAAAAGUCCAAGAAAAAAUUAUCUAGAAAUUUUAGAAUAAAAGCUUAACAUCUUAAUAUGGAUAAAAAGAAGACAAUCUAAAAAGAAAGUUCCGUCUAAGCUAAGUCAAUCCUUGCUGAUGGUUCAUGAUUUUGGAGGAAAUUGCUCCAAAUGCGAGACCUGGCAAGAUGAUAUAUUCAGGCUGUAGUAGGCAGUGGGCGCGCUAUACAUAUGUGGCAGGAUUCAUGGCAUCCACAUGGACCUCUGUUACAAUACUAUGGGUAUGAUAUUGUUAAGGGUAAAAAACAAAAAAAAAAAAUUCUCCUGUAGCAAACCUAAUACAUAGAAAAGCUCUCCGUAAUUUUAAAACGUACAACAUGACACCUCAUGUUUUGAACUAAAUUGUAAAGGUGAAUGCCUUAUUGGAACCUAAAAAAAAUUUUAUACCUAAUUUUUAACAAAUAUACAUGUUCUCCCUCUUAACCCUCAAUUCUCUUUAUAUAGAAAAUAAAACGAAUGAUUUUUUUGAACUGUUUUUUACUUAAUUAUAUGAAGGCAUUUUGGUCACUUCAUCCAUUUCUGUUAAGUUUAACGGAUUCCGUCACUUUUACAAUUUAGUUCAAAGUAUGGAGUGUUGUGUUGUACAUUUUGAAAUUACGGGGAUUUUUCUAUAAAUUAGAUUUACCACGGGGGCUCUUUUGUUUUUUACCCUAUUGUUAAACAAUUUAAUAGGUUUGAGAAUGCAAGACUGGCUUCAAUUGUGAACACAAGUGCUUGGUGUUGGCCACAUGGUAGAAGAAGAACCUCUCAAGCGGAGGAUUUGAUCCAUAAACUUCCCUCUGCUUGUGUACCUCUCUACCCAGGGAAGAUGAUACCUUCUCAUGGUUAUGAGAUAAAACUGGAAUGUUACUACAAAGUCUGUUAUUGCUUCUUUGAGAGAACAUUGUAUGAAUGUCGAGUGGUAUAAACUGGGGUGGUUUAAGCAACAUAUCCUAGACAUACAUUUAUCGCUUGGCAACAUAUUCCUAGACAUGCAUUUACAAACAAGCAACAUAUUGUUUGUAAAAAUAGUUUGGCUACAAAAGAUAGGUUACUUAAAUGGGGUAUGCCAGCUUAUGUUUGGAGUAGGAUACAACAGUGCUAUUUGCUUUAUGGAGGCGUAUAUGGUUGGUCUGUAGGAUUGGCAUUGUGGGUUGGUUUCCUGUAGAAUGAUGAAUUUGUUACCUCAGUCAAAAGAUUGGCUCUUGGGGGUUUUUAUUUAUUUCCUUUGGCAUGAGCGCAAUCAAAGGCAGUUCAAUAGUAAGGUGUCGAAUGCUGAUUAUGUGAUACAGCAUAUAAUUACUACUGUUAGGCAAACUAUAAUAGGCUGGCGAAGGGUGCAAAGGACACAUAGCAGCUGGGAGUUUGGCAUUGGCUGGAAUUUUGAAUAGCAGUUUUUUUUCUUAGAUUAAUAUUUCAUGGUUAUAAUAUUUGUUUUCAUUAUAGUAUGGUGUCUUGUUCCGUUAAGCUUGUAUAGGGCAGCUUUUCUUGUUGUUGGAACCAUUCCUUGCUUAUCUAAUGAAAAGAGUUAUUUUGCCUAAAAAUAUAUAUAAUAUUCUUCUUUAUUUUUCUUACUUGCCCAACCCUUCUCACACCCUUCCCAUCCCCAAGUGCUAGGUUAUACUAUUCACUUAGGCCCUGUUUAAUAACUAAUUCAGUACUUAAUAUUAAUUGAUUCAGAUCUUAAUAUGUUCAAAUGCAUUUGAUAACAAAAUAUUGAACAUUUGAAUUAAUUAAGUGGCAUUGAAUUUUCUAAGCAAAACUUGCUUUUAAGAAUAAGUGAUAAGGUAUUCACUUAUCAUUGAACGUGAUAUACACUACAAUGUAUUUAAUUUCAUACUUAACAAUUCAAUAAUUUAAUGGAUUCAGACUUUAGAUUUCAGAUUUCAGUUUUCAAAUUUUAGUUUUAUCAAACACACCCUUAAUCUAAAUAAAUUUAUUUUUUUGAAACCAAAUUAUAUAUCUAAAAUGUAGCGGACACUUGUCAUAUGGAGAAAUUGGGUUAGGUGAGCUUCGUAGCGGCCACAAUGAGCUGUAGCAAAGAAAAAGGGGAAGAGGUUUUUUUUAAAAAAAAAAUUUUAUCUUUUAUUUGUCAUUUCUUAGUAUUGAGCAAUUAAUUAUUUUCUUUUAAUUUGGGAUUCAAUUUUUCUUGGAUGAUAUCAUGAGUUUUCUUAUGAAUUGUUUGCUAUUCAAAUGAUUAAAUUUAUAUGGCCAAACUAUAUGGUAACUCUUGUAAUAUAGACAAACGUCAAGACAAGAAAAUGUUGGUUUUUCAAAAGGCAUUUUUUGUCAUUUCGCUCAUUUUGUUGGCUGAGUUUAGACGCUGUCACUCAUGGGUAAAUGUAGAUGCAUCACGUGCAAUUUUAAGUUGACCAUAACAAAUAAAGAAAUCCAAAAACAUGAAGUUUCAAAUAUUAAUGAAGCUUUUUGAAAAUAUAAAUAUGAACCGUCACAAAAUAAUUAUUAAUACCCAUAAUACUUCAAAUACUAAUAAUUUUGGCACUCAACAAUAAGGUUUCAGCCAAUCCUCCACUAUUUUUUACUCCAUGAAAAUGACUUUAAUGAUAGACAUUUGUGUUUUUUUUAACCUCCCACCCCUCUCCACGCUCUUCCCACCCCCAACUAUCAGGGCCAAAAUUCGAACUCUCAACUUGACACAUAUGUUUAUGUAUUUGUUAAGUAUAUGGUUUACUGCCUUGGCAAAGAAAUAUAUGAACUAAUGCACAUGUCAUGAUUUUCUAAGUUAAAUUAUCUUGGCGUUUUAAAUUCUUUAAGCAAUGUGAUAAAAUACAAUUUUAUUGGUUUAAAAUAUAUAUAUUUCUUACAUAUCUGUUAUCACUUGUUGUUCAAGAUUAUUUUUAAUGGAAAUAGUUUAUUCAAGUUUUUUUCUUCCUCGUCUCUUUGGCCAGGUUUGGCAUAUAAAUUAUGAGAAAACAUAGAUUAUGUAUCUUAGUUAUUUUGGUGAAGGCAAAGUACGAAUUGAGUGUCUCAAAGUCAAUUUGGAGUUCCAAAUUCAUUGGUUCAUUGGUUCCAAGUUCCAUUAUUUUUUGGACUCUUCUAGGAUCACAUACUUUAUGCAUGAUUUUGGAACUUGCAAGUAUAAACAAAAAGUGUUACUCUCAAAUGCAAAAGAUUUUCAUAUAUAUAAUAGCCCAAGUGUCUAAAAAAUAACUUGUGGAUAUGUCUAAAUUGUAAGAAAAGGAACGAAAAAAGCAUUUAGUUUGGGAGGUUGGAAGUACUUCCAAAUCACAUGUUUGAGAAUAUGUUAUUGCCCCUCUUUUCCUACAUGAAAUUCAUAUUGGAAUUGAUAUAUCAUUUUUCCGGUGCGAUGUUUAAAUUAUUGUUCAUGCAUGCUGAUGCGUGGAACCAAAGAAGAAAUUAACAAAAAUAGCAAAAGAAACAAACUCAAACUUAAUCCAUAGUACAAUACGUUCAUAGAUAGGAUGUCAUAGAUUACACAUCUUGGUUUACAGAUCCACUCAAACUCAAGCAUAAUUACAAUACAUCAGACUUUUAUUCCCACCAUCUUGGUUGAUAAAAGCACACACAAACCAAAUAGAAACACAUGAACACUUAAUUAAGCAGAGAAUAACAGCUUCUGCAAUCUGCGUAUCGCAGCUUGAUAGUCUGAUUAGUUCUUUCCUUGAGAAAUGAAAAUGAGAUCACUUUGAGACAUCCAAUGGCAUGCUUCACUUUGGCCAGGAGAAGUUUUCAAUAUCUUCAAGGCCACAUGAUCAGGGGACCAGCCUGAAGUAUCCAUAUGACAUACCACCGUGACUGUAUUAACUGGAACUUUGGUCCUAGGUUCAACAACAUCUACUGCAUAGACUUCAAUAUUGGACAGCAAAUGGCAGAAAUAUGUUGCAAAAGGAAGAAAUAAUUGAUGACAUGCCACAGUUUUUCCAUAUUUAAGCUUUUCCACGCGUCCAACCAUCAAUUCUUUUCUAGAACCCUCUGUGUUUUUCGAUGCCAAUGCCACCAAAUUCUUGUCACCUAUGGCAGUUUUUGAAAAUUCAAUCAUUUCCUCAAGGGAUUUUGCACAGCUCUGAGGCUCUUCCUUAAGAGCAGGAGUAUUGCAAUAAAUAAGGGUGUAUUGAAUGGCAUCUUUUGUUUGCGGGCUUUCAAAGGAUUGAGGAAAUAAUUUUCGUAGGUCAUUUUCCGUAACAGAGAUCUUUGAUGCCGUUUGAGAAGGAAGAAAUGACUGUUGGGGCAAUUGGUUUUCCAAGCUUGAGAGAUGCACCAUGUUUCCUUGUUUGAGAAGUGAGAGUCUGAAGAAAGAAAAAGGAUCAACAUGUAGGACAACAUUUGGGCUAAUUCUGCCAUAGCCGUAAUUAUUCUUGUCCAAGAAACUAUCAACACGUGCUUUGGAUAAACAAGCUAGGUUUGCAAGAGAGCAAAGAUUUGCAUCAAAUGGAAGAUUUUUCUCGGACGCUAAUGAAGUGAAAUGUUCAGCUUGUUCCUUGCUCAGUGGAGAUAGUUUGGACAGAAGAUUUCCAGGCAUGGUGCCUUGGACAUUUUCUGACCAAUAUUUGAGCUGAUUCAAUGCAGUGAAUGAAGAAGAUGAAAUGUGUGCAGCAAAAUGGGACGUAGGAAACGUGAGGGCAAUGACAAAGAGAACGAUAGCAAACGUUGAAGAGGCCAUUGGUUUCAUCAACACUAAUAUUGAGCUAAUUUUCUUCAGUGGAUGAAGUGCUGAUGACUUUGCUAGUGCAGCUUCUAAUUUAUACUAGUGCUCGAGCCUGGACACAGGGCCUCACCUG